rnacentral:lncRNA from 1 species
CGGAGACUGCAGUACGUAGGAAAAUAGCGGUUGAGAGCCCCAAGGAGAUGGAAGAGGUGGGCAAAAAUGAUAAAAUGUUUUUAUGGCAAUUGAUUUGUAAUUGUUACUGCCCACAUUUGGGUCUCAUUGGGAAAUAAUAGGUUUUCAGGAUAGUCACUAAGAUCAUGUGAAUUCUGAUUUAGAGAAGAUAAUUUGCAGAUUUGGAACUCAUUUUCUUGAAGAUGCCACAAAAAUAUUCAUAGAUCACUAUGGACAUAAAAAUACAGGAACAGUAAUGCUAACGAUAAUACAACAGUAAUUUCUCCUUCCUUGGGGUGUGGGAAGGUUGUUCUUGGCAUGCUGUAUACUCUGUCACGGGUUUUUCAUCCAGUAUUGUUCUGACAAGGAACAGAAGAUAAUGGUAUGAAAUAAAAGUGUGAAUGCAAACUUCAUUGGAAUAGCAAGCAAAAUUGAAGAUGAUUUAUGUGAUGUGGAUUCAAAUGAUUAGAGUUUGGAAUGAUGGCUGCUUUCUAUUAACUUUGCAAGUAACCAGGUUCGUUAAAAGCAAACAUUUGAACCCUCUAUAUAAAUGUUAUGUGUCUCAUAUACACGCAUGUAGAUAGUCCUAGCUGUAUAUGUUAUAUGUGCACUUCAGGCAAGCAGGAUGCAAACUUAUAAGGAAACGCCUUUUGAAAUGUGCUGUAAAGUUGAAAUGAUAAUAGAAAUUCUCACUUUACUAUAGACAGUACAAAAUCCACUAUUUAUUUCGAAAUGUUAUUAUUUUAGUUUGUUUAUUUCUGCUUAUAAUUUUACUCUAGAUAAAGGACAUAUUCUGAGAUAGGAAAAUGUACUGUUCUGAUAAAACCUUCUUCAGAUACAAAUGAUCUUUAUUUGUAGGAAAUCUUAAGGAGGGAAAAAAAGCUAGGUACCCAUCUUAUUGUUUUAGUUAUCGAGGUUAGCAAAAGACAACUCAAGCAACAUUUUAAAAGAAUGUUUAUUAAGAUGAUGGGGUGAUUAAAUCUAAAACAUUAGUGUUCAGCCACUUUAACACUGGACUGUAACUUUGGUCAGGAAAAUACUAAUCAGUGUUCUCUGCUCCGUAUUAGGAUCAUAUGGUAGUAUCAUUUUUUAUUAACAUAAUACAAAUAUCCUGUGCAGUGCUACACCUUUCAUUGCUUGCGGCUUCAGAAUCAAAAUGUCACAGCAAAUUUUACUUUCACUAAUAGAUUGAGACUUGUACAUUACAUCGGUAAAAGUGAACAGUAUUGUGGUAUUAUGCCAAAAUGGCAAAGGCAGGCACAUAUGACAAUAUCCUAAAUUACAGCUUGGUUCUCCUUUGUCCCCAAACAAUAGCAAAAAGGUGAGAAGUUGGGAAAGUAGUUUUAUUACCUUUUUGGAGAAAAGUUCACCUCUCUGCACCUUCUCUAUAUGCAUUGUCAAAAUAUCACAUUAUACAAUUCACUGGAAGUGAACUUACUGCUAAAUACCCAUUAGGUUCCCAGGAGAUGCCUUACAUUAAUUGUUUAGUGAAAGCACCCUUAGGCUAUCACCGGGGAAGCACAUUAAAUGCAUAAAAAGAGAAGUUGACAGAGAUCCCUGUAGAACAAGAUGCAUCUACCAAGCUUAAGACUUCUCCAGGAAGAAUCCUAUGUGGCCGUGUUGAGAAUGGUCAUUUGGGGUGGGGGUAGUUUUUCUCUCUCUUUUUUUUUCCCCCUACUUGGUACAAACAUAAAAUUAGCAUGGGAGAAAAAAAUGAUUCGAGAAAACGAUUAGAACAAGAGUGCUCUGGAAUUGUAAAAAGCAUUAGCUUAUAUGUCUUGGUUCUCAGGCAUCAAGGCAGUUUACAGACGGAAAAGGAAUUGUAAAUGUUGAGACUAAGGGUGUUAUCCACCUAAUGGUGUUAUAAAAUAGGAAUGAUGGCAAAUAACCGAGAGAGGAAAGAUAAGUUUUGAAGUAAAUGAGAAGGAAGUAGCAAAGUUUUAGGCUAAUGGCCAAAUAGGCUGAUGAAGGGAAAAAAGUCAAGUCACAAAAUGAAUGACAGUGAAUUCUGGCAAAAUAUGUUUUCAUGGUCUGUCUGCCACAUUGCAUCUGAAAACGUUUUCCGUUCUGAAUAUAGCACAGAUUUUUAUCACUCUCUUGUUUAGUUACAAUUGCUGGUGAAACUAUUGUACGUCUAUUAUGCACUAUUAUGUUUGUUUAUUUCACAUCAUUUUGUUUAGAAUGUUUCUAAAAAGGAAAUGUAAAAAAGCAAACAAAAUAUGUGCUUGGUGGCUGAAAUCCCCCCACCUCUUUUUCUGGUCUGCGUUGCUGUGAAAAUUCCACUAGAGGGGGCACUAGUAAAACAAGAAGCAAGAUCGAACCCGAUUUUAACUUUUUCUUUCUUUUCUCUUAGAGGUGAAAAAGACUCACUCUCCUGUUUCCUCAUACCUGGACAGGAAUAUUAUGCAAAGGUUUCAGGGAAGCAGUGAAUAUGUCCUAUGGAAGGAAUCUUUAGGUCUUUAAAAUGCUUCCAUUACCUAUAGUUUUUAAAUUUUAAUAUUAAUAUGCUGCAGUUAAAUUUUAGCCAAAAAAGCAAAAAUUCUUAGUUAAAUGUAGGUAGAAUUUGAUAUGUUUGUAUUAAGGUGGCUGAAAGCUGAGGUCUUAAAAGAGUUUCAUCCAUGUGGUUUUUCCUUAGUGACUGUAAUCGUUACAUAAGCAACUGAAAGCUGAGGAUUAUUCCCUAGUUGUCAAUUUGAAUUUACCCAAGGCAUAGACACGGUCUUAACUUUACUUCAUGACCGAGAACAUUUUUUAAAAAGGCAGUGGAAAAAUGUGUCAUUUGCUUGUAAUUAAUCUUCAUUAAAGGCCAAAAAUUUCCAAGCUUUAUAAACUUUCAUGUAACUAUUGAUGUGAUGCUGUCUUUUAUUACUAUUAUUUCUCUUAAGUCGUGGUCACUUACAAAACUCCCCUAACAGCUAACAAUGCUAACAUGACAGAGGCACUGUCAUAUCUUGAUGUCAUAUCUUGAGAAUCAAGAGCACAUCCCAUUUGACAUCAGUGAGAAAAGGCAUAUCCAGAAAGAGCUCAAAUCAACAUCUCUUCCUAACUUCGAUGCUUCCUAAACUUAUAGCAUUAAAAAAAAAUACAUUUUUUCAGUUUAUUUCUCAAAAAGUUUGUAAAGUGUAAAUUUUCUAUUGGAUUAAAUAAAACAAAACCAUCUCAAAUUUUUGUCAUAAUGCCAGGUAGAAUAUGUGUGCUUCAUAAAUAUUAGCAAAUUUUAUGUUAUUUCUAUUCAUUCAAAAUAUCCUAUCUUUGUCCCUUAGAAUAUGUAGUCUGGCUUGGCUUCAUGGUAUGUUACCAUUUUUAGUAUUUCUAUCCAAUCUUUUCUCUGACUUAGCUCAGCAUAGAUUUUCUGAAGAAAACUGGUUACUCCUUGCUUGAAGAUCUGCUUUCUACUCUGACACAUUAAAAUGUUAUGGAUUGGUAUUUCUUUUGCCUUGUUUUUGGUAGAUUGCCAAUAUUUUUAACAAAUGUCAGAAGUAUGUUUUAGAAGAUCAAUGUCUAAGUUUCCUAGCCAUGUAAAUUUCAUUGUCACUUCAAAAUAGCUCUGAAGAGAAUAACCAUCAUGUGCUAUAUGUCAUAGUCAUUAGAACAUUUGAUCUGGAAUACAUUCUUAGAAAUUAUUUAGCCCAAAUGACCUAAACAAAUGGAACCUGAAGACUAGGGUAGUUAGAUGACUGCCCAGGGUCACAUAGCUCGUGGUGAGCUGAACCAGUGAAAUUCACAUUUCUGUCCUCCUUUCUUCAAAAUAAUUUUGCUUCCCAAACUAUGGUAUUGAUCAUUUUCUUGUUUGAUUUGGGAAAAAAAAAAAGAUUCUGUGAAUAGAGAGAAGGUGGAGAAAUGCCUCAGAUCUAAUGUACAUUUGUGUAGCACUUUAGAGUUUAUGAAAUCUCUUUCCAAACAAGGUUGCCUUUCAUGAUGCCUUGGUAUGUGAGGGAACUUGCACAUUCCCUUAUACUGCAAGGAAACUUUUCUCAUAUUUCUUAGCAACUUCUUCAUUCUGUUUUUAUGAAUUCUAAUACUCAGUAAAGUAAGGGCUGAUGCCCCCAUUAUGCAAGCCAUUAAGCUUUAUACAGAUGGACUGUAACUGUUUUUAGAAAUGGUUAUUUAGAGUACUCAGCUCACUGGUGCCGAAUUACAGGUGCUUUUUCCUCCUCUGCUUUGCAGUUCUGUGACCUCAGGUGUGUAAUGGACGGGAAGAGUGGUGAUGGGGUUUGGUGCCUGGGGCGUGCCACCAUCAUGGAGAACUGUCAUGAUAUCCAUACACCUUUAAUCCCCUCCCUCCAGCCUAAAGAAGGGAGGGCAAAGGAAGGGUGCAAAGAUACUUCUUUGAUCCAAUUCCCUGUGGCCAACUGCUUUCCUCCAUCUCUAUUUCAGAACAUACCUACUGGCUUCCUUGAGGAGAGAUGGGUGAAUUACAGAAUUUCAGUAUUAGAAACUAUAGAGACUUCAUGUUCAACUCCCUCAUUUUACAGAUUCACAGUGAUUAAAGUGACCAGUCCAUGGCCAUUCACCCACCCCUUUAUCUAUUUAUUCAUUAAACAUGGUCUUUUUUUUUUUUUUUUAAUUCUACUUGGUUUUAAGGGUUGAACAACUACUUGGUAGCAAAGAUGGGAAUAAAAAUUACUUUUCUUUAGUCAAAGUCUCGUGUUUUCUCUUAGCCACGAAACUUCCCAUAAAACUAUGGACAGUAUUGUUACCAAUAUUAAACCAUUAAUUCACUUGUGAGUCUUUGACUUGACUUGUUUAGUUUUUUUUUUUUUUUUGACUUGUUUAGUUUUCAAAAGUAGGCUGAAAAUUACAUUUUGGGGAGUUGUUUUCCAAUGUUUAGGUAAAAUGCCUGAUUAACAGUAACAAAGUGUUUGAAGGAAUCUUAUUAGUUUAUGGGGGAGUGGUCUGUGAUUCCUUUACGAAUACCAGAAAUAUAUAUAUUUUUUCCAUAUUAUAAAUUUACUCUAAAACACUUUUCUUUGAUAUGUUUUAUGCCCCCUUUCUCUCAUUUUAAUCUUCCCUUCUUUUUGUUAAUUAGUAUAGAUGAUAUUAUUUCAAAAAUAAUAUGGGUUCAUUAUUUGAGCCUAAUAAAGAUGGCCAGCUCUAUACAACUGGGGAUGGCAAAGAGUGUAUAAUGCAAUUUCAGCAGCACUUGCAAAUAAGUCUUCUGUUCACUAGUUUCCAGCCAGUUUAUGUUGGGAAUUUCCAUUGUUUCACAAAUUCCAUAGCUGAGUUUAGGAUACGGAUACAGACAAGGAGUAAUCCAAUCGCUGGGUGGGUAACACAUUUAAAAAUAUUUUGUCAUCCGAUUAAGUAAUUAGGACUGGUUGUCAUAGGACAUUUGAUUGGCUGGAAGAGCACAUUUUGAUAGAGGAAAAGAGAUAAGAGUCUGAAAAUAAGGGGUGCCUGGGUGGCUCAGUCAGUUGAGCAUCUGAUUUCAGCCCAGCUCUAGAUCUCAUGGUUGGUGAGUUUGAGCCCUGCAUUGGGCUCACUGCUGUCAGCUCAGAGCUUGCUUCAGAUCCUCUGUCCCACUCUCUCUGUCCCUACCCCACUUGUGUUCUCUCUCAAAAAUAAAUAAACAUUUUUUAAAAAUCUGGUGUAAAAAGAAAAUUAUACCUGAGCAUAGGUGGAUUAUUGCAUUGGGGCCAAUCAGGGAGCAUUAUAGUGAAGAUAGGAGACACCAGGGGAUGGGAGAAGUAUGAUUGUCAAAAGACCUUAGGAAGAUAGUAAAAUGGAGAAAUCGAGGCCCAUAGAUUUUAAAGAAGUAACGCAGAAUCAAUGUUAACCCUCCUUUACUUUUUUAUUUAUUCAGCAAUUUUUAGUACCUACUAUGUGCAAGACAGUAUGCUUGUCCUUUAAAAUAAUGGUGGGUUUGCAUUUUCAUUCAUUCCCUGGCAUAUAACAAGUCAGCUGCCUGUGAAACACAACAUCUGAGAAGUAGGUAUAUACUCUAACCCUGCAGGCAAAAUCCACACUGUCUAUUUGCACCUUUGCCUCAGUCUGUCCCUCUUCCCUUCCCUGGCUGUGUUUUCAAGGGACACCAUUAGGAUGAAAGAGCAGAACGUUGGAAGGGGGAAUGAUGGGCUGUUUCUGCCCACAGAAUUGUCAACAGGUAUGCACACAGCAUCUGCCACUCUGGGAGAGCUGACAGGCUAGGAGCCACUGUGGUUUACACUUGAAAAUAAUAAUAAUACCCACUUAGGGGUAUGGAAUUAUUUAUUACUACUGGUGGAAUUUUUGCCAAAGGCAAAAAUGAAAAUAUCCAAUGAAAAACAUCUUCAGUCUACAGCCCAUGAUACUCCUGCACCGCAGGAACUGAUUAACUCUGUGACCAAGAAUAAACUGUACUAUAGUUAUUACUAUUAUUAUUUUGCUUUUUAAAGACAUUAGGAGUUAAGGAAUCAGAGCAAACAUAACAUUUGACACUUCGUAUGAGCAAUCUUUAUGACAAAGCUGAUACGCAUAACUGAUGCCUCUGAGGGAGUUUCUGUCCUUUCUUUUUUAUUUCCUUUCUUUUUCUCUUCCUUUCUCAUUCUUUUCCUAUGUACAGUCAUUCUCGGGCACAAGACAGGGAUGUGAAGACAAGGAGAGGUGGGAUGGAGACCUACUGACAGUGUUUUUAUGAAAACGGCAAGAAGGCCCUCUACCUGGCUGUGUUUUCAUGCUGAGUGUGUAAUUAAUACUUACGUGGGGGCUACUGUUAUGUUUCUGAACUCAGGUUGUCAUAUUCACUUAUUGUUAUUCUGAUGUCCUGUGUAUUGUGUGCUAUAAACCACUGCAAGGCAUAAGGAUAUAUGUGACUAUACACUUGGUGUGAGUUCUUGCCAGCUCUAUGGCUCUGCAAGUGGCUUUUUAACUGGAUAAAGGCCAAGCAACCUGCUGCCCAGAUAUGGGCUCUCUGUGAGCCUGGGCUACUGGUUUUCUCUUUCUAUAAGAGAAGGCCAUGUCUGAGGAUCCUGUUUCUGUACCAGUAUUCAGCCUACAUGGAUUAUGUUUGUGCCUUAUUUUAACUCUGGAUCUUAUUUGAGAUCCCAGCUUUAGAUUCUCAAGUUGGGUCUAAGAGCACCCAACUGUCUCAGUCUGCAUUUCCCCAUAGGUGGCCCUUGCUUCUGGGCAUACGGCUGCUUUUGUUAGUGUGGUUUUGAUUCCUAAGUGUCUAUUUCAGGUUCCAUUUCAUUUCAUGGAUAUCGGCAUUGUUUCCAAGCCUGAUUCUUUAGAGACCCUUUUUGAGCUUUCCUGGGUUUUUACAAAUAGUGCAUCCAUAGGGGACACCAUUCUUCACUUUGAUCCUUGAAGAGUUAGGGUCAAGGUGCCAAAGAACCAAUGCCUCAGAGGAAAAUCAGUCUGUCUAUUCUGCUUUUUCCUUCUUUCAUUUACCCUUUCCUUCCUUCACUUUUCUCAUUUUUUUUUCUCUUCUCUCUCUCUCUUCAAUUCAUGUGGGUAUGCUAAAAAAAUCCAGAAUGGAAUAUUUGGGACUUGCCUAAUUAUUGGGAUAUAUAUGGUAAUCAUGGAUAGGGAUUCUAAUUGUAUGACUUAAAUUUAAUCAGCAAAAAAGCCACAUUUUGCUAUUUCUUUCCUAAGUGAAAUAUAAUCCCUACAGGAACAAAUUUUCUAAUAUCUCAAGUUAGACUAACAUGCAAGGCUCACAUUUUUGGGAUGUUCUAGGUUAAGAAUAGAAAAUUGCUAUCUUAAAAAAAAAAAACCUUUGGAUGAAACCAAAUAAGUUAAUAAAAUUUGUGUUUCUCAAUCUUCAUACUUAAUGUCCUUUCAUAUCCCUGGGGCUCCACAUUUUAUUCUAUCAAAAAUAUUUAAAGUUUCAGGUUGUGUGUAGACUCUUCAUAUUUUUAAAAGUUUUUUUUUUAAAGUUUAUUUAUUUUGAGAAAGAUAGAGAGAGAGAGAGAGAAAGAGAAAGUGCAUGAGUGUGGGAGGAGCAGAGAGAGGGAGAGAGAGAAUCCCAAGCAGGCUUUGCACUGAGAGCUGGGAGUGGACAUGAGCCUCAGUCUCACGAACCACAAGAUCAUGACCAAAGCUGAAAUCAAGAGUUGGAUGCUUAACCAACUGAGCCACCCAGAUGCCCCUUAAAAUAUUUUAAUAGAAAUAUGGAAAAUAUUUAUGUGGAACAUAUUAAAUAAUUAGAGAUGUAGUGAAUCUUGAACAAAUUCUGAAUCCCAUAAGUAAUACUUUUAAAAACAUUAAAUAGUAUUUUAGUGAGAAUAGCUUUUAGAAUUUUUCAAAUCUUUUGUUCAUUUUUAUAAGUAAUAAGUAAAUUUUAUAAGUAAUAACUUAAAAAUAGUAAGAAAUUUCUAAAAACAUUUUCAUAUUUCCCAUCUUCAAUUCUGAAAUCCAAAAGCCUCUGGAAACCCUAAGUUGUAAGAAAUUAAUUUGGCAUAAAAGAUUGACCUAAACUGAGGAGGCUAUUUAAAAACUUUAUUCAUCCUAGUUAUUAUGAAUAUUCACAAAUUUCACUAUGGAAAUGUUAAUGUGUUCAUGAGGAUCCAGCCCUAGGCCCCACUGAGGGUUCUACAUAAUGUAUAGUAUAUUACUUUUAAACUUUUGUGAAAUUCUGAAUCAUAAAAUACAUCUGGCCCCAUGUUUGGGAUAGGGGAUUGCAGCCCUAUAUGUGGGUUAUAUUUCUAAGUAGAUGGCAGCUCUUAUUUGGAAUCUAAAGAGAACAAGUGAUAUUCAGAAGAGGCAGUUAUGGACUGUCACUGAGAAAUAUUGAUCACUAGAGUUUAUUUUCCUGCUUCACAUACUAGGUAAAACCAUUCUGAUGUAAUAGCACAUUACAGCCUUGUUCUCGCCAAGUUGAAAAGGAGACAGAUAAAUCACCUUUUGUUUAUAUCUUAGUGUUAUAUCAUCUUAAAAGAAAAAAGGCAAAGCAAAAUAUCAUAUGAAACUUUGAUACCUGGUUUAUUUUUGAAAAUUCCGUUCUAUAUGUUUACUUUUGUCAAAAGGUAUAUAUAUAUACGUACAUAUAAUUUUCUUUUCGGUUCAAGGAGCUUCUAUUAAGCAUGUCUUUUGAAAUUUCCUGGGAAGUGUACAUUGCUCUGAUCAACCUGGCUCCUUUCUUCAUCACUUGCUAAAACUAUAGGAGCCUUUAUGUGAUUAAUCAAGGGUCUCUGUUCACAAAAUCCAAUGAUGAAAACAUUUGACUGCUGCUCAUCUGGGCGAACAAGGAGGUUUUGAUCUCUGUGUGCUCUGCUGAAGCUUAAUACUUUACCUCAGAUAUAUAUCAAUAUUCAAUCCAUACUUCUCUUCAUAUACAUCUGAAGAAGCUCGGGGAACAUGAAUGUUUGUGACCCUAAAAAUGACUGUCCUUAACUUUUGGCUACUUUGUGAUUACCACAUAUUUUAUGCACAUGAAAUGCCAUUGCAUGUGUAAAAAGCAAUUUUCAAAACAACAUUUAAAAUUUAAAAGCACAAUGUUGUUAGUCAUGAAACUUUGGCAUACCAUCUAUGUUCAAGAAUCUGCCUUGUGUAGGUAUUUUAAUAUGUUCUUUAAUUUUCCUUUAAGGCAUCAAUUUUUUUGAAAAUUGUUUUGAAAACUCUACAAAACAAAGUAUUUACAAGCAUCUUUUUUGGGGGAGGUUCAGAGAUCUUCAUUAACAUGAAAAAUGAUUUGUGUGCAUGCUAUCUGGAUAUAUACCUUUGGAUAUAUAUGUAUGUAUAUAUGUGUAGCCAGUAAGUAUGUAUACAUAAGUACAUAUACAUAUAUACAUAUAUAUAAUAUAUGCCCAUCCUUAUUUGAGAAAUUACUGUCAUGAUGCAUUGUCAGGUAUGUUUUGUAAAUUAUAUUCUUCACUUCAUUCUCAUUUCCAAAGUGCCUGUUGGUAAAUUCUCCUAGAUAUACAAAAGAGAAAAUGGACCAAGUAAUUCAGAGAACAAAGUGCUUUCAGUGAAUGUCAGGGGAUCCAGUGGUUUCUGUCAACCACCUGUAAGUAUCAUUUGCAUCUCCUCUCCUUAUACCUCUUAAAAUAUGGCCAGGUUUAACUUUUCUGACCAUGGCUUUUCUAGUCUAGACAGCCUGGUCCUCCUGCCUCUCCCCACCACUCUGUUUUCCUCUCUUUGCCUUAAUACAACUUACUUUGUAUAGUGGGAUCUUCCACAUGGUUCUUCUCUCUUCCAGUCCACAUGCAGCACUGUCUUUCACCUCAGCUGGGGUCACCUCCGUUUAUAUACAUAAAUGUUUGCUAAAGUAGGGGUCUAAAGGCUACAUCAUUUAUCCUCACCAUCAGGAUACAAGAAAUGAAACAGAAUUCUUUGUAUUUAAAUCACAGGAAUUUGUUUCAAAAGGUGAAAAUCUUAUUUCCUAGUUGUUUAUUUUUUUACUGUUUGACUCUUUUAAAAGAGAAAGAUUUCAGAGAAUCAAUAUGGUUUUAUUUUAGCCAUGAGAUAUUUUUCCUUUAGGAGAACAGCACGUUGUAGAGUCCUUGUUACUUCGGAGACACAGUGAAGCCUCAUUCUAUUAACGAUGGCAUCAGUUUUAUUUUUCUGAGAUAAAGGGGCACACUAAGGCUUUUUCCAGCAGCUGGGAAAUUAUGCCAUGAUACGAAAAUAAAUAAAUAAAGGCAUUCUGUUUCCAGUAUGAGAUUCCCUCCGGGAUUUCCGUUCUGGCUGUGAUUACGGGAGGAGUGAUAAUGGUUUUGAGCCUAUGGUGCAUUUACUCCUGUGUGCAACUGUGCAAUCUGUUCCGUGCUCAACCUUUCCAUAUUAAUAUCCUUAGAAGUAUGAACUGUGAAGCCAUAUUCUAGGCCUGAAUCAUCAGAAAACAGGAAAAGUUAGGCCAUACAAGGCCACUUUAGCAACAAGGCAGAGGAGCGUGUAUCCUAACUGUGAGGUGUAUCUAUAUCUAGAAGCGUGGGUUAUCUACCAGGAUUCUAUGAAAGAUGGAUCAGCAUGAACAUGUGUUCUUUAAAAUUUUUUUAAUGUUUAUUUUUGAGAGGGAGACAGAGCAUGAGUGGGGGAGGGACAGAGAGGAAGAGAGGGAGGCACAGAAUCCGAAGCAGGUUCCAGGGUGAGCUGUCUACACAGAGCCCAUUGUGGGGCUUGAACUCACAAACCCUCAGGAACUGAGAGAUCAUGACCUGAGCUGAAGUUGGAUGCUUAAACUGACUAAGUCACCCAGGUGCCCCUGAAUGUGUGUUCUUAAUGCCUUAGGUAUCAGCUGGUCUUUCUUUCUUUCUUUCUUUCUUUCUUUCUUUCUUUCUUUCUUUCUUUCUUUAAUUUUUUUUAAUCUUUACUUAUUUUUGAGAGAGUGAGAGAGAGACAGAGUGAGAGCAGGGGAGGAAUAGAGAGAGAGGGAGACACAGAAUCCGAAGCAGGCUCCAGGCUCUGAGCUGUCAGCACAGAGCCUGAUGUGGGGCUCGAACCCGUGAACCCUGAGAUCAUGACCUGAGCCAAAGUCGGACACUUAACCNNNNNNNNNNNNNNNNNNNNNNNNNNNNNNNNNNNNNNNNNNNAAAAAGAGAGAGCAUGGAGGAGAGGCAGAGAGAGAGGGAGAGAGCACAUCCCAAGCAGGCUCCAUGCUGCCAGCACAGAGCCCGAUGCAGGGCUUGAUCUUAGGAACGGUGAGAUCAUGACCUGAGCAGAAAUCGAGUUGGAUGCUUAACAGACUGAGCCAUCUAGGCGCCCCAGCUGGUGUUCUUUUCACAGAGGGGCUGGGCUGUAUGUUUUUACUUUAAAUGAUCAGUGUAGCCUGCAUAUAACUAGACCACUAAUAAAACUCCAGGGCCGGGGCGCCUGGGUGGCUUAGUCGGUUAGGCGGCCAACUUCGGCUCAGGUCAUGAUCUCGCGGUCAGUGAGUUCAAGCCUCUCAUCAGGCUCUGUGCUGACAGCUCGGAGCCUGGAGCCUGUUUCGGAUUCUGUGUCUCCCUCUCUCAGACCCUCCCCUGUUCAUGCUCUGUCUCUCUCUGUCUCAAAAAUAAAUAAACGUUAAAAAAAAAAAAUUUAAAAACUCCAGGGCCAUGCAGUGAAAUGAAACCACAGAGAAGCAGAUAGGAAGUGCAAAACUUGAAAACUCUUCCAAAGAUCUACAUGCUACUACUACUGCUACUGCCACCUCCAAAAAAGGCUUUUAUCUUUUUGGGGGGAGUUUGGUUUUCAGAUUUUCAAUCGUUUCUUAUAAACCUUGAAAAGUAGGACGAGAAGGAAGGGUGGUGUAUUACUGAUUCCUUCCAAGUGUGGAGGACUAUAAGCAGGAGGAAGACUCACGGAGACCGUCUGUCAUGCCAUCGCUGGGGGGAGUGAGGGUUUUGUCUUCAGGACCUCACAGCAUGCCGGGGACAUGAUGGUAUCUGAGCCCCGCAGCUUUUGCUAUUUCAGUUGUUUACUUUUUUGAGUCACUAAGAAGUCAGAGUCCCGCAGCUUCACAAAGCUAAGGCAGCUCCUCAGCCCAGUUUAAUCUGAGCCAUGCAACCCAUCCCUAGUCUAAAAAAUACCACUUUGGGGGUGCCUGAGUGGCUCAGUCGGUUAGGCGUCUGACUCUUGGUUUCAGCUCAGGUCAUGAUCUCACAGUUUAUGAGUUUGAGCCCCGUGUUGGGAGCCUGCUUGGAAUUCUCUCCCCGCCUCUUUCUCAAAAUAAAUUAAUAAACUUUAAAAAAAUAACAAUUUGUAGAUUUCAACUAUAAGAGGUUUGUCCAUUUAUGACCAUGGUGCUGCUGGGCAUUCAUUAAAUAAUCACUAGAUAGUCAUUUGCUAUACUGAUGCCACAAAAUCCCCAAAGUUACCAAUGCAUAAUGAAAAAUAUUUUAAACGUUUCAGAUGAAGAAAAGAAUUUUAAAUUAGCAAAAUACUCUGGAAAAUUCAGAAUUUAUGUAUUUUUGGUAAAUUUAUUUGGAAGUGGUAAAAAGCAUGUAACAUCUAUUCUCUCAUAAUCUCUAUCUGGAGACAUCUUUGUACCUGUUUUUUCCACCAUGAAAACUCAAAAACAGAGAUUAAGUGACUUGUCUAGUAUUACCCAGUGAGUCAUCGGAAAGGGUCCUGUAUAUUCUAGAACUGAUUUUCAAUGUUUUACACAUUAUGUUUCUCCUAGAAUAGACAUCACAUUUUUAUACCAUUCUCCUUGGAAUGUAUUUAGUGCCUUCUGUAAGUAACUCCUGUCCCCCUGCUAAUUUCAUUAAGUACUGGUACUUGAUAAGACAUUUUCAUGAACUAUCAUGGGUCCCAAUAACCCCACUCAACUCAAUUUGAGAAUUCAUAUCUCUGUGUAAAAGUGAAAUUACUGACUUACCCUUGAAGAUCUCUAAUCUUAACCCUCCUUCAGACAUUGGUUGUAGCGUGGUAAAGAUUACAAACUGUUCUGGGCAGGUGGAUCAUCAAAAAUACAUUAUGUCCCCAAAUAACUUCCCAGAAUAACCUGAGUUUUUUCUCUUUAGCUCUGAAAGUCAAGUGAUCCCUUAGGAAAGAAAUCUCAAAAUCCAUCCAAGCUAAAGUUCUAGAAAGCUUAGAAAAGAAAUCAAAUAUUCCACACUUGCAGAUCAGACUCUGCAAAAUAUCUUGACUGCUAGAGAAUCCUUUGGGGAUAUCACAUAUUAGAAAAUAUAUUCCAGUGCAAUGCUAUCUCCUGAGGAGGGUGAGCCACACAGUGACUCUCACAUCCUGAAAAUAGGACACUCUCCUGGCACUAGUGCUGAAAAAGAGCUACUUGUUGGAGUGGAAAAAAAAAUAACCCUGCAAUUAUCCCAACACCAGACAACUUCUUGAAUCCAGCUCACCUAAGCUAUUUUUUUUCCCCCUCUACUCUGAGAGCAAAAUGAAUACUGCAAGCAGUCAGAGUACUAAUGGUCUUUUUUUUUUUUUUUUUUUUUUCUCUACAUUGUUUCCCUUCCUCCCCACUAAAACCCGAAGCAAGCAAGGGACUGGAGAGACUUCAGGAGCCUCUUCACGCUAUCACUUCACAGGCUAGAAGGUGACAGCUUCGCCAGGGACUAAUGCAGUCCGACAUAAUUGAAUGUGGCCUGGAGCAAGGCAGCUGCCUGCAGCCACUCUUGAUUGUAGCUGUCAUCAGGUAGCGCCUGCUGCCGGAAAAUACAUUCCAGUGGAACGCCAUCCCACCACUCAGCUCCAUGGUGAUAGCUUAUUUACCCUUCCGCUGCGGCCACAGUUUUGUAGUUAAUAAUUGUCAGUAUCACACUGCUGCGUGAGUGCAGACGCUGGGCCUUUGAAUUAUCAAUAAUCUUUUUAGUGAUCUCUCUUUCUUGCUCUUUCUCUUUCCCUCUCUGGCUUUCUUUUCCUCUGGAAUUUAAUCACACCCCAGAAUUCCCUUUAUAUGGCAGAAUUUGACCUGAUUCAAAAGUACGAUUCCAUCCAUUCUUGAGUUUGUUUCAUUUAAUGGAUUCAAAUUUUCUUUGCAAACAAAACAACAGAAAAAACAAAAAAACAAGGAUACUCCUGCUUUUUCUGUGUAUUGAAACAUCUCAGAAAAUUAUCUGCCAGAUUAAGUUUUAUGAGUAGUAUUAUAAGUAUUUGACAUUUUUGGAUUUCCCUUUAAGUGAUUUAAAAGCUCAUUAAAUGCAAAUGAAUAAUGAUUCAAAGUAUUAUAUUUCUUCUUCCAACUAGAUAGAUACAGAUUUUAGGGGAUCAGGUUAAAUUCUAUGCAAAUAAUUUAACUUAAGGGUAAACAUUUAAUAUGCAAAUAAAAUAAUGUGCAAUAAAAUAUACAUAGCUAUAUUUAGUAUUUGUGUAUUCGCAUAUGAAAAAACAAGUUGUGCCAUUCUGUAAAUUGAAGAUGGAAAAAAAAUCAUAUGGUCUGGAUUUUGAGAAUUUUAUUUUAUUUUGUAGUUAUUCUUGAUAUAAUAAUUCAGUGUUUUAAAAUCACACGUAUUUCUGACUUAUUUGUACCCAUUUGACUUUGAGAUAAGCAUUAAAAUCCUCUUAUGACAUUUUCUGCAAUUAAUCUUUAGUUAUAAUUAAAUUCUAAUGUCAGAUUGUGGUGUGAGCCUUAUUUCACAGAUAUGUGAGUGAAGAUGCUGAGUGUUUCCAAGGCUGAUGCAAGCAUACAGAUGUCAGAUGUUAAUGCUAAAAAAUAAAAAAAAAGAAGAAAAGAAAAAAAGAAAAAAAAUCUAGAUUCUUGAAACCAACUUUAAAUGAUAAAAAUCUACACUUUUCUUAGAAAGGUCUAUCAUUUUUUCACUACCACACCCCUAUCCAAAUACCUAGUUUCUUUAAUCAAAUCUUGUCUAUAUCUAUCUCCUGUGGUAUCAGUAUCCUUCCCAACCCUCCCUAUCCCCCAAACUGGGUUCUGUGUGGCUCUCAGGAAGGUAUUUGAUAAAAUAUUCAGAUGAGUGGCUUAGGUAGUAUCUGCAUGAUGAGGUUCAAAUGCAGCCACCUGUCAUUUUAUUGGGACGCUAGGCCAGUAUUUUUGUUCUUUGCUAUAAAGUGAAGUCGUGGCUAACCCAGCUACAUUUACUCUUCAGUCUCAUAUCUCCAUUUCUUUAAACUUAACCGAAGAAGUUUAGAAAGUUGAACUAUUAUCUGUUGAAUUCUAACAACAGACAAUAAAAAGAUAAAAUAAUGCUGGACUUUUCAAAUUCUAAAAUAUUCCCCUUUCAUGAUCAAACCAUUGAGAUAUAUUCCCUAUGUUGCUUGAAUUUCUUGAGAUAGCUACUCAUCUCUCUAAUAUAUGGAAUCAAAUUUAGGAGAACUUAGAUUAUUUAAUUCUUUUCUCUAUUAGAAGUAAAAGAGGAAGAGAAGGUAAUGGUUUACUGUGUGUGGCUUACAGAUUUUCAAAUUUUACGAAAUUUGAUUCUCUCAGUAGUCCUUCAGUGAAAUCUACGUUGGUUGGUUGUAUUAAAUCAGAAGGGUAGAUAGGGUUAAGCCCUGAUUCAGGAUUUCCUAGGGUUACUAGCAGAACCAUAGAAUAGAAUAUAGAUGUGGAGCAGAUUCUACAUGAAUAUAAAAUCUUACUAUUAAAGUAAGUUGCUACAAAUAAGUGUAUUGUAAUAUUUUGCAUGGUAUUUUUUUUUCCAGGAAGGAAUUUCCUGCUUGCCCCUUUCGGUAGAUGUUUCACUAUAUAGAUGGUUCUAUGAGCUAAGGUUUAAGGUAAUUGCUUCAGCAAUUUCAUUCUCUGGACUUCUAGUAUGGAAAGAUGGGUGUGGGGUGAAUAUUUUAUUUGCGUGAAUAUACUGCUCUAACUUGCACAGGACAUUUCUGUUAACCAAAAAUGUUAUGACUAAUCCCUUCAACGUGGACAUGUGUAGAGGGCAGUGACUAAGAUUUAAAUGCUGAGGUAUAAUUUUAGAUAAAAGUAGCUUCUGAAGUGGACAAUUUCUUUUCAGUAUUCUGAGGUGGGAAUACUGAAUUUUAAUGGGUGUGUACAUUGCUGAAGGCUGAGUUAAAACUCAUUUCUGAUUUGUAAAUGUAAAUCACCAAAGUGCCCUCUCCUAGUCACCCUAGAAACAAAUUAAGAGAUAAUGUUAUGACCCUCCAUCCCAAUUCUGCUGUUAACCUGAUCAUUGAGAACCAGGAGAGAACAUCAACAUUGAAAUUCCAGCUGUCUCCAGAGGCUCAAUUUCAUGAGCUUUGUUCAUGGACUACUUUGUCUCAGAAAACAUAAUGGAAAUCUAGCAUUGUCUUCUAGAUAUUAAUAUGCAUCUAUUUAUAUGUGCAUAAAUAUAACUAUAAUAUAUAUACAUGUGAUAAUAUAAACAUUUCUCACUGAGAGGAUAAGAAAUUAGUAAAUGAUCCCCAGGUGUAUUAGGAAGAGAUAGUGGUAGCUAGCAUUUGAUGUGGAAACAUUCUGUCACCAAAAAAUGGCUCUACACGGAGAGUAGAGAAAGUGGUGUCCAAACAUUCUUUUGUCUUAAAAAUUUUAGCUAUGUUGCAUCCACACUGCAGUGUAAUAUCAACCAUGAUUGUUUCAUAGAUUCUCUCUUUGCCAGGAUUUGUUCAUUUCUAGUCAUAGUCAAAAUCAUUUGCUAAUGGUUCUUCUGUUUUAAUUUUAAAAUACAUAGUUUGUGUUCUAUCACAUGUGCUGGGCAAUAGUAGCCUUUUUCUUUUUUUUUUUUUUUUGUAAAUGAAUGAAGACUCUAUUUUUACUUUGUCAUUUAGGUGCAGGCAGUCUGUAUUCCUCUUGUAUUUUGCUUUAAAACGCAUUGCAUUUCAUCUGUCAGUGAUCAGCCAAAUUGCUAUUAAUCAAGAUAAUACCACCAUCAGCUGGAGCUCUUUUUUUACUUAUCAUUAUUUAGUAACUUCAAAAAUAUUUGGCAAUGGAGAUAUAUAGAAGUCCUUUCAAGUAGUUAACUUAAGAGUUUUACUCUGAAAGAGUAUAAAAUGGUCACAAGCUACAAGCAGAAUUGUUCCCCAUCGUACACUAUUUAAGAUGGAUUUUAAAAAUAGUAUCAGGGCUCCUGAAAAUGGGAAAGACAUCAGGCAGAAGCAUCAUCUUUUAAAAAUAUGACUUCCAUGGGGUGCAGCUGGUUGCCUUGGUGAGAGCAAGGGGAAAAAGAAAGGCUUUUGCCUAGCGCUUGCUUCGCGGCCACGGAAAAUGAGAUUGCUCUUGUCCUAGGAUUCCGGGGUCCAUCACUGCAAGUGAGACACAAGUUUGCAGUAUUUCCGUGAACAUGAAAAAGUAUAUUUUUAGGAGGCGGCCAAGUAUGACUAGUCAGCUGUCGGAUUGUAUUUAGAUUUGGGGAAGGCUCUCAGAGGGUUGAAACCACUUGUUUCUCUCUCUCUUUCUCCACUUGUCACUGCAGUAAAGUUGGCUCUGGCUCCAGGGAGCCCUUGGUAAAGUACAAUGCCCAGGGCUAUGGGAGACAGAGGCCUCAAUAACUGAUAUGAAAGGUCCUUAAUUAAGCACUUAGCAUUUCAAGGCAGUCAUCACUGCUCGCCCACAGCCCGAGCUGGCAGUCCGUCACCGCCGAUAGGCCACCUAGAAGACUAACGUGAGUUGAGUCGACUCUUUUGUACUUGAGGCGAGCCGCCCGGAGGCACAGGCUGAUCCGGUGACCCUCCCAGAUACACUUUCUCUGCCGGAAGGAACAGGAUAUCGGAUGUGACAACACUGCAGCCAGGGAAAGGAUUCCCCUCCCCGCUGUCCACCCCACACCCUCUGAAAGAUCAGGGAUUUGAGGAGAAAGUUAGAAUGACAGUGGCACUUUCUUGGCUCAGCACAUCAGUAGGAAUAGAACUGAACCCAAUGAAUGAAUAAUGACGAAUGUAUUAUGAAGCAAAAGGGAACCCCUCCACCAUUGUAAAAUAUCAAUUAUUUUGCAAUUACCCAAAGCCUCGAAAAAGUUAACUAGGAAAGAAACAUUUCCUUUUUUUUUUUUUUUUUUUUNCCCCCCCCCCCCCCACCACAGCACGUAAUUCUCUGGGCAUGAGAAACUGGAAUACACAUAAAUGUUUGGGGGAAGUUUAUCUUUAUAUUAAGGAGCUGGGAGACUUGGCAGCAUUAAAAUGGAAAGGGUUAAUGGAAUGAACUAUAGAUUAAAUUGUAAAGCAAUCAAAGAAAACCAAACAGUUUAUAGCAGACAACCAUCUUCUGGUGUUUGGGUCUGUGUCAAGCCAUGGAUGUGGAAAAUUAAAGCCAUACUGAGAAAGGAAAUGAACCAUGUCUAAUACAUCCCCAGCAAUAAAAUGUUUUCACUAGGACUGUAAAACUGUGGCUUACAUUAGGAAAAAGAAAAUCAAACUAUAUGUCAAUUCCACAUCAUGGGACAUGAAGUGUCCACAAAAAUUUAUAUUACUAUUUAGAAGUGUUUCAUUCUGGUGUUUUAUUGUGAUUGGAUGCGCCCUCCUCAGUAUCUUUUGACUGGUAUGAAAAUGAUUUGAACUACUUUUUUAGCAUUUAUUUUACAUCUAUUACCUGUUCUAUUACUUUUUAUUAUUUUAUUGUGCUUGUGUAGAGGAUUUUGCACAGUUUUCAUUAUAAUGUAACAUUAAGUCAAUUUAUUUGUGUAUUACAUGCUGUAUAAUUGCACCUUUUUCUAGAACAAUUUGGAUUUCAUUAUCUAACAAAUCAGCACUGUUACAUUUCUAAAAGCUCUUGUUAGAAAUCAAGUGCAUUUUCAAAGUAGGACAACAGAGGUCAAGUUUGCACCAAAAAGAUUCCUCAGUAACAUUAGAACUAUUUGAACAUCGGGUGAAGGUCAUAUUGAAAAGAAGGAAAGACUUGUUUCUUUGAGGAAAUAUUUAAUUAUUCACUAUUGUACUAGGUUAAGAUCAAUAAGGAUCAAUACUGCAAGAAAAGGAAUCUUGUAGAACAAAGGGUUCUGACAUGGAACAGAUAAGAGUGAGCUAUAGAUCAGGGAACGAACAAAUUAAUCCAGGAAAAAUGUCAAUUGUUACUGUGUUUUGUUUAUUAUGAUAAAGGAUAUCAAGAUAUCAUUUGGAUGCUUAGUUUACAAGGGCUAUAAAUUGCAAAACUACCAAGCAUGGUGAAGUGUACAUAUGUUUUUACAUAGCUAUCUUCAUAAACUGAUCUAUGCUUAACACAGAGGUGGCAUAAAUGAUUUCAGCAGUCACAUAGGUAAAGUGCAAAACACUAAAACAAAACAAAACCAAACCCCGCAAUCACUAAGAAGUUGAUUAAGCUGUGAAAUAAUUAACAGAAUGUAGAUUGAUGUUUUAUAGGCAUAAUUAUAUUUUACAUUUUCGAUGAGUAAGGAUGUAGGGAUGAUAAGUUAUUCGACACUACAUUUCCUAGAUGGCACACUUGGUAUUUUUCCCAUAUUAUUUUGGGUUGUUUGUUAACUUCUCAUUAACGUUUGCCUUUUUGUUCUUAUUAGACUCUUAAUGGCCUCAGGAUAGUGACCAUGUGAUACUUAAUACAUCUCCACAGCCCUGUCUGUGACCCAGCAGAGAGAAUAGUAAUAUUGACUUAAUACUAUUAAUAGCAGUAAACAUCAGGAAAUAUUAUCCCAUUGGUUAAGACAGUAAGUCACGUAUUUUAUUUAGUUUAUUUAGUUUCUAUAAUGGUAACCAAUACCAUUUUUUUCCCUUUAAGGAUAUAUGGUAUAUGGGAACUUUAGAAAUCUAGAGAAAAUUCCAUUUUCAUUUGUAGGGUCAAUAUGAAAUUCUGUUUUGAUGAAUUUGGUGAUGUAUUUACCAAAUAAAGGUUUUUCGAUUUCAAAUAAUUCAUUAUACAAAAAUGGAAUGUAUUUUAUUCAACCUGACAGUUUUACAUGUUAUUGAAAUUUUACCCACAAUCAUGAAGUUAAGUAGGAUCUCUUGGUGAGGGGUUUUAUACCCCCCUCCACACCAAAACUGCAAGGAAUGUGGGAGAGGAUGCUUUAGCAAAAAUUUUAGCACAGUUUUUUGGACAUGUGAAUAAUAUUUCAUUAAGUCUUGGCCUUUUUAAAAAAUAAAUUGCUCUCUUUACAAAUAAUAGCUUUUAAUAAUGUUUCUGUGAUGUGCUGCUUUGUCUUACAUAGCAACUCAAGCUGUUGGGAGACAAGAACAAACAACAAACAGUAAUAAUAAAAUGUAUCCAUGCAUUCGAUGGCUUAAGUAAGCUUGUGUGAAGCCUUCAAUUUAAUAGCUUCUUUUGUCCUUUUCUGGUCAAUUUUCCUUUUUUUUUUUUUUUUUUUAGCUUCCUGCUUCAUGUUACACUUUUGCUCAUUUUGUGAUCUAUUUAUACCCUUGGAUUUUAGAUAUAUGCUAGUGAUAGGAAAGUCAAUAUAUUUAUUGGCCAAUAUAUUUAUUGGAUUUUAGAUAUAUGAUAGUAAUAGGAAAGUCAAUAUAUUUAUUGGCCUUUAAUUGGUUCUUCAUUCUUACAGUAAAACUGGCUGGUGCUGGCAGCUAAUGGCCUUCAGGAUAAUAGCCUUGCAUUUCUGUUUCUAUCAAUUGAGAUGUAUGGUUACCACACAUGAGUUCUGUUUUCCCAAAUUUGUAUUUUUCACUAUAAUUAUAUCAACCAAUAAGAUCUAUGCUAAAUAUUUGUCUCUGUGACAACUGUUGAAUACUUAAAGAAUACUUGAUAAAAUAAAUUUCAGUACAAGAUUUUGAACUCUCCUGUGAAUAUGAUAGAAAAAAGGUAAACAUUUUCAAUUCUAUACAUUGCUUAGCAGAUGUGAUCAAGACGCUCAAUUCUAAAGAAAUCCAAACUAAAAAUACUGGAUAAUACUUUAUGGGUAUGGUUUUUGCUUUAAAAAUAGUAACUUCAAUCAGGAGAUCCAUACUCAAAGAAGAGAUCUUGGCCCUACCUCCAAGUUUGAUGGAGAAUGAAUAACUAUUAAUACAAGUUAAACUAAAUUAUAGAUGGAUGCAUGCAUCAUUUUUAUGAUUCCCCUGAUAAUAGAGCGAUACAUAGUGCUAGUUAAGCUUAUGCAGUCAAGCUGGUUGAGCUUUCUAGGAUUCCUAGGAACAAUAUUUAUACCAAAAAUCAAUUUAGAUACAUACCACGACACAAACCUAAGUAUCUAGGUUUAUAUGCAUCAUCCAAAUAUUUAACCAAGCCAAGCAAAAUAUAACUGUUCAUGGAAAAAGUGAGCUAAUAUUUAUAUCUCUCAUGUUGAGAAAUUAACAGACACAAUUUUAAUUUUCUGGUUAAAUUGUGAAAAAAAUAACGAAAUAUAAUUUUAAGUUAAAAACUAAUAACUUAAAAAACAAAUGAACAACAUAAGCUAUAUUAUGAAAUUAUUGAAGGAGAAAUUAGAGAAUAAAGACCUAUUGCCAAAGAUAGGAAAAAUAAACUAGUUACAAUAGAAAUAAAAUGACAAUUAUAAGACUGAAAACAUAAUAAAAAAUUAUAGAACAUGUAUAUGUUAUAUAUCAUACGAAGUAUAUGAUAUAUGUCUUGGGAUAAACAUAGUUUUAAAAGAAAAAGAAUAUGAAAUUGUAUUAAAAACAAAAAUGAUUGCCACCCAAAACAAAAAAAAAUCUCAGUUUACAAGUAGAAAAGUAAAAAAUAGGAACAAACCAGUUACUAAUCAGUAACUAAGUUAUUAUAAGUUGAGUUCAGGUUAAAAACUUAAAAUGUAGGAAGAAAAACCCAACCACAUUAAAAGUAAUGAUGAAAAGUAUGGCUGAAGAAAAAUUACAUCAAAUGUAAUGAACUUACAUGUUUCAAAUUACAAAGCACGAAAAUACGUGAAACUGUGUUCUGAUAUUUUAAAAAGAAUUGAAUGUAUAGUGAUGAUUAUGUAAAUAUUAAUAUACUCUUGAUUUCUUGAUAAAUCUGGGACACAAAUUAUAAAUUACGCUAUAGGUAUUUUAAUAAUUUAAUAGAAUUAAUAUCAUUAAUCUAAUAAUAAGUGUGUUAAAUUCUCUGUCAUAUAGAAACCACAACUUUUUAACAUGUUUGUGAAACUUUUUUUAAAAGGCUAUAUAUUAGGCCCCUAAAGGGAGUCCUAAUAAAAGCAAACAUGUUACAAACCACAAUUAAUCUGUAUAUCAAUAGAGUAGAUGUAGGUACCAAAUUGGGAAACAGUUGAAAACCUCUCAGUCAUUUGGAAGCCCACACCUCUGUUCACUCAACUUUCUAAAAAAUCUUUUGUCAAAUUCAGUUUAUCUAGGACAGUUUUCCUCAGGGUGUUCGAGGACCACUGUAUUAGAAUAAAUGUGGGAGUGUUUGUUAAAAAAAAUGAAUAUUCACUUUAGCACUAAUGCAGUCAUUCCAAAUCAGUUAGUAAGGGUGGUGCCUGGAGAUCUGGGUUAGCCAUCUAAGGGAGUUUAGAUCAACAGUGAUCUAGAAAAUUAGUGAUACUAGCUCUGAACUUAAGUUUAGAAUGAAAAUAGAGGCCCCACUGGAAGACGAGAGAUAGAACAUGUUUAUCUCUUCUUCCUCUAAAGGCCUCUCUGAAAUGCUAAAGAAAUAAACACAUGUAAAUUUAUAGAGGUAGAUAAUAGCAUGUAAAGUUAGGUAAUACUAGAUAAAAGUUGAAGAAGAGAGUGUCCUUUAGGCAUCAAGAGGUUUCAGCAAUUCUGGAAGAUGAAAAGCAGAUAGCAUGGUAAUUCAUGUAGUAGGACAAAGAAAGAUGUAGCUUUGAUCUUCAUAAAGGAGAAUAUGGGCAAAGGAGCCAACUUGCCUCUUAGAAUCUUACAGAGGCUUAGAUCUAAGAGAAACCAGAGUGCAAGUUGAGAAAUGUGGAUAAAAACAGGACUUGUUGAAAUUUAUAUGUGGGACAGCUGACUCACAGCCAGCCCCUCCUUCAAUCAAAAUAUAUAUAUGUAAUACAGUCAUAAUUCUGCUCCCUCCCAGGCCGGAAAUCACAGGUAGGAGAUUGAAGUUUUCUUCUAUUGGAGAAAGUGAAUGGCCUCAGAGAAAAGGACUUCACAUUCUGUAUUUUUGUACUCCCCUAUCAAAUUGGCUGGCAUUCUGAUGAUCCUAGAUCCAAAUGCAAAGUCAAUAAUACAGGAACACAAAGCUCCCAAUCAGAGGCUUAGUGCUUUGUAAUUACAAAUAUAUUCAAUCAAGAAUCAUCAAGCAUUUGAGGCAACUCCUCAACAUGAAAGAGGGGCACUGAGGUGGGGAAAAACAUAUAUUAGAGUAGCCCAGAUGUAAUGAAGUUCUAGUAUAAGAUGUUUGUAAAAGUAUUUAUUGAAUCAUAAUUUUAAAAAAGACCAAGAAGGGAUAAGUAAGAAAAAAAUCAAAAAACAAUUCCUGAAAUAAAAAAUUCAGAGAGAAGUGAUAAUAUAAGGUAGGAGAAAUUUGUUAGGAAGUAAAACAAAAAGACCGCGAGAAGGCAAACAGGAGAAGAAAUAAAAGAGAUGUGAAUGAUUACCCUUUAAAAUUCAUUACCUGAUUCGGGAGUUUGAGCCCUACAUUGGGCUCUGUGCUGACAUCUCAGAGCCUGGAGCCUGCUUCUGAUUCUGUAUUUCCCGCUCUCUGCCACUUGCUGCAAACAGUUCCAUACACCUACCCAAAAUAACAUCAAAAUAUGUUCUCUAUAAAGAAACACGAAUCACACAGACACAGAUUUUCCAAAAUAAGCCAGGAAGCUAAAAGUUAAUGAGACAAAACCUUCCAAGUUUCAAGGAAAAUGAUUUGUAACCUUAAAAUAUAAAAUCAGACAAAUGCCAUAUCAAACCAUUUUUUAAUAUGAGGAAAGAAUAUUUUCUGACCGUCAACAGUAAGUAAAUUUGCUUUCAAUGUUCUCUGUCCUAGGCAGCUACUCGUGGAUGUGUUCCAACAAAAUCCAGGAAAUAGGAGGAUAUGAGAACCAGAAAAAUGUAGGUUCAGCUUAGAGCAUCAGGUAAGCAAAGUUGCAAGGAAAAUUUCCCCCCUAAUCUCCCUAAUGUGAAUUACAUGAAAAAUUCAUCUAUCUCUGUUUCAGGCCUUUGAUUCUAUUUCUUGAAAAUUGGAUCAUGAUGUUAAAAAGAAGCUUACUACCAUCCUGCCUUGGGUUAGAAUGCAAAGCAUCCCUAUUAUAGACCAAGGCCCGAAUUGUUUUCCUUUAAUUUGAAUGCUUUCCUCACGAUUAGACUAGGAGGUAGAAAUGUUUACCAUAACAUAUAUCUUACUGUGUCUGUGCAGAAAGAUGUCCAAAAGAUUAUUUACUAUAAAACUGUAUUAUGUUGACUCUGGGUGCUGGGACUUGGGGAGAAUUAGUUUUUCUCUUCUCUUCAUUGCUUGAAUUCUUUUUGAUGCAUGUAUAUCCCUUGUAAACUGGAUUAUACAUUAUAAAUUAACAGAGAAUAAUAAAAGAUUGGAAAUAACUUAAAUGACCAUAAAUGGAGGGACUGGUUACAUAAAUCUGGUGUAUUGGUACAGUGGAAUAUUUUUAAGUACUGAUACAUUGUUAAGUAAAUCAAACUCUGUGUAGUCCUCUCAGUGUAUAGAGUAAGGUACCCUUAGUAUAAAAAGUAUAUAUACAUCUAUUUAUGUGCAUAUAUCUCUGAUAGAAUAUAUAAAAGCAGGCAACAGUUGUCUCUAAGGAACAAAUGAUUUGAGGUUAGGAGUGAGAAGAAUUUUUACUAUAUGCCCUUCUAGAACUUCUGAAUUUGGAACUAUUUGCAUGUACUACUUAUUUAAAAAUAGCAUUUAAAAAUUAUGACUAUAUCCUACAAUACUCAACUGCCUUUCUCCCAAUUUUCAGACUAGAAAACUCCUUAAUUUAUUCAUGCCUCAUCCUUUGUGUCUCAUCUAUUACCAAGUGCUAUGAAUUUAGCUUUUGAAUUUAAUCUUUCUUUUCUCUCUUGCUUCUACCACCAGAUAGUUCAAAGAACUCAUCAAUUAUUACCUGUAUUACUGCAAUCAAUUCCUAACUAUCCUUUCCAAUUUUCUUCCACUUCCAAGUCAGUAAUUACAGUGUGAUCUUUCUAAAAUACAAAUUAGAUCACCUUGCUUUUUAACAUUGGUCCUCCAGAACACAGCAACUGAAGCAAGCAUUUAAAGGAUAAUCCAUGUGAGAGGUGCCAACCUAUGGUGGAAAGAGGAAGAAAAAAGGAAAGUGAGCAAGAGAAGAUGUGAUGCAAAAUGCAAAAUGGUGCAAUACAAAGUGAUUAGCUAGGAUUACGGGGUGCCUGGGUGUCUCAGUUGAUUGAGUGUUAGACUCUUAAUAUCAUCUCAGGUUGUGAUCUCCCAGUCUUGAGAUCCAGCCCCAGGUUGGGGUCUGCACUGAGCAUGGAGCCUGAUUGGAAUUCUCUCUCUCUCUCUCUCUCUCUCUCUCUCUCUCCCCCCCUCUCUCUCUCCCUCUCUCUCUCUCUGUCCCUCUCUCUCUCCCUCUCCCCUGUUUUAGCUGCUCUAUGUCUCAAGAUAAGUAAACAAACGUUUAAUAACAAACAAAAACUGCGAAAGUGAUCAGCUAGGAUUAAAUAUACAAAUUGUGUUGUUGUUAGUUUCCUGGGAGAAAGAAAAGGAGGGGGUAAUUUCAACUGCUUUCCUGUCUCCCAUUGUUCAAUGUUCAUUCCAUGACAAAUCAGUUACCCUGCACUUAUGGGUCUUUUUAUUUAGAAACUUUGUGGUCAGAUUCAGAUUCAGAUUCAAACAGUUGAAAAACUACUAUGGAUAGUAGUUUCCAAAUGGAUGUUAGCUAGUAUUGCUGAUUAUUUUUGUUACUACUAUUAUUAUGUUUCAGAUGACAUCAUUGGGAGAAAGAGAAGGAGUGCAUUUUGUGCCCUCUUGCAAGCUUCAUAUUUGGGGGCAAAGAGGAAUUUGAGAAUUUUAUUUGUUUUUAUUUUUUUAUUUUUUAGAAAGUGUAUUUAUUUUGAGAGAAGAGAGAGAGUGGGGGAGGGGUAGAGAGAGGGAAAGAGAAUCCCAAGCAGGCUCCAUGCUGUCAGCGCAGAGUCCUAUGUGGGGCUUGAUCCCACAAACUGUGAGGUCAUGACCUGAGCCAAAAAUCAAGAGUUGGACGCUUAAUGGACUGGGCCACCCAGGAGCUCCUGAAAGACUUUUAGUUGAAUGAUUAAUUUGUAUGCAAUUUUCUUCAUUAUGUCAUAGCAUCAGGAAGAAUUUCCAUAACUCAGCCACAGGAGCACUGUUUUCUCAAUUUUUUGUCAUAUUUCUGCCCCAAAUAAGUCUGACUUCAGCUCCCUCUCUGCCCUGCUUCACUGUUGUAGUUUCAAGAAUGUAGACUCUUCAGUUUCUUUUACCAUGUUUUACUUGUGUCUUCAUGUAACUUACACAUUAUAGCAACAUAGAGCAUAUAUAAUACUUAUAUUAAAAUGAAAGUUUCUAAAUACAAACCACAUAUUUUGGCCCAUAUUAUCUUUGAACUCAAAUUUUAUGUGUUUAUUAUUAAUCAUUUAUUUUUCCUCAUCUAGUUUCAUGGAAGUAAUUAAUUCAUUAUUUAAAAUAUUGUAUAUAGUUAAGGUGGACAAUGUGAUGAUUUGAUCUACAUAUACACAGUAAAAUGAUUACUAUACUCAAGCUAAUUAACAUGUCAUCUGAUGUAGUUACCCUUUUUUUUUGUGUGAUGAGAGCUCCCUGAAAUCUACUCUUAGCAUACUUCUAAUAGUCAAUAUAGUAUUGUUUUUAUUUGAGAGAGCGAGAGCGCACAAGUGGGGGAGAGGGGCAGAAGGAGAGAGAGAGAAUCCCAAGCAGUCUCCACGACCAGCAUGGAGCCUGAUGUGGAGCUUGAUCCCAUGACUCUGGGAUCAUGACCUGAGCUGAAAUCAAGAGUCAGAUAAUUAACCAGCUGAGCCACGCAGGUGCCCCUUAAAGAUCUUUGUACAGACCAUGAUGUUUCCACAAAUUCAUGAUUUUACCUCUGUUGUUUCCUUAGCUUGAAAUUGACUCUCUCUCUCUUUCUUUGUCUCCUACAAACUCAUUUUUGAUUCUAUGAAGUACCCAGUACUUUGAAGUACCCAUCUCAGGCACCAUCUGCAAAAGAAAGCUAUCCCCAUAUAGCCCAGUUUUGUCAAUAUGCUGUUCUUUUGAACUCUCUUAGCACCUCGGUAUAUACUUAUUAUUAAGGCUAUCAAUUUACAAAAAUAAAAAUGGUUUUAUUUUCUUGUUUGAGUCUCUUACAUAUUUAUCUUCAAGACCCCUUGAAGGAAAGGGAGGUUUAUAAAAUCAGAGCAGGAAAUCUGAAAGGGGUGAACAAUGCAGACACAAAUGCAUGGUGUUGGGAAGGAGCCUUCACAUGUGUGGAUGUGUUUCCCAAUGAAGUUGAGAACUGAGGAUCUAUGCUUGCACCUAUAUGCCUUCUCUCCAGUGAGAAAAAUGGAAGCUGACAUCUCAGGGCAAUUCUUUGUCAGAAAUAUACAUCUGCAUGAAGAGAAGAGAGUUAAAAAUUUAAUCUGCAAAGCUAUUUAGAGAGUGGAUAGGCCUUGACAGGCCUCCCAAAUGUAUUACAAGAACAAGAAGAGUGGAGUUAUGAAAAAAAAAAAAAAAGCUGUUGCAGCAAACAGAAUGAAACUAAGCUUUCUUGACAGAAUCAGUUUGCCAAAUGACUUUAAAAUCACACUUGUCCUUUUUUUUCCCCCUUAAAUAUACUCUAAUUUAAAUGUGUAAGAGAAACUUUCAGAAUGUAUGUGGUACCGUUAAAGAACUCUAAGGUAAAGACACCACAAUAAUAUGCAUUGUGCUAUUUGGGAAAAGGGUGUGUGAAACAAAAUUAAAACCUGUCAAACCACUAACUAGUCACAAAAAAGUAAUGAGGAUUCUGGAGGCAUCUAUGAUAAUCUGACUGAUAAUUUUCAAACUAUCACCUUAUGUUGAAAUUACUGCUUGACAUGAAUGAACAGAGUAAACCAUUGCCAAUCAAGUUCCAAAGAAUAUGACAGUUUGAUGUCACUUUGUGCUCCAUGUUCAUUUUAUUCUACUUAUUACUUCAGGAAGUUUAUAUUCCAGCCCACAUUUCAUCAUUGUUAUAGGGAAGAGUGCUGUUCUAUAUUCUGACUUAUACUUAGUAUUAAAUUUCUUUGUCUUUUUUAAAGUUUAUUUAUUUUUGAGAGAGAGAGAGAGAGAGAGAGAGGGAGAGAGAGAGAGAAUGAAUGAGUGGGGGAGGUGAAAAGAGAGAGGAGACAGAGAAUUCCAAGCAGGUUCCCCACUGGCAGUGCAGAGCCCGAUAUGGGGUUGGAACUCACAAACCGUGAGAUCAUGACCAGAGCCAAAGUCAAGAGUUGGAUGCUUAACUGACUGAGCCAACCAGGUGCCCUAAAUUUCUUUGUCUUUUAAUUUCAUAGUCAUUUCCCUGUAUGGUAAAGAAACCUACUUUUUUAAAAAAUUUAAUUAUUUUUUUAAAUUUACAUCCAAGUUAGUUAGCAUAUAGUGCAACAAUGAUUUGAGGAGUAGAUUCCUUAAUGCCCUUUACCCAUUUAGCUCAUCCCCCCCACAACCCAUCCAAGUAACCCUCUGUUUGUUCUCCAUAUUUAAGAUUCUCUAAUGUUUUGUCCCCCUUCCUGUUUUUACAUUAUUUUUGCUUCCCUUCCCUUAUGUUCAUCUGUUUUGUAUCUUAAAGUCCUCAUAUGAGUAAAGUCAUAUAUUUGUCUUUCUCUGACUAAUUUUGUUUAUCAUAAUACCCUCUAGUUCCAUCCACGUAGUUGCAAAUGGCAAGAUUUCCUUCUUUUUGAUUGCUGAGUAAUGCUCCAUUGUGUGUGUGUGUGUCUGUAUCGCAUCUUUUUUAUCCAUUCAUCCAUCAAUGGACAUUUGGGCUCUUUCCAUAUUUUGGCUAUUGUUGAUAGUACUGCUAUAAACAUGGGGGUGCAUGUGCCCCUUCAGAACAGCAUACCUGUAUCCCUUUGAUAAAUACCUCAUAGUGCAACUGCUGGGUCAUAGGGUAGUUCUAUUUUUAAUUUUGUGAAGAAUCUCCAUACUGUUUUCCAGAGUGGCUGCACCAGUCUGUGUUCCUAACAGCAGUGCAAAAGAGAUCCUCUUUCUCUGCAUCCUCACCAACAUUGUUGUUGCCUGAGUUGUUAACAUUAGCCAUUCUGACAGGUGUAAGGUGGUAUCUCAUUGUGGUUUUGAUUUGUAGUUCCCUGAUGAUGAGUGAUGUUGAGCAUUUCUUCAUGUGUCGGUUGGCCAUCUGGAUGUCUUUUUGGAAAAGUGUCUAUUCACGUCUUUUGCCCAUUUCUUCACUGGAUUAUUUGUUUUUUGGGUGUUGAGUUUGAUAGGGUUUGGAUACUAACCCUUUAUCUGAUAUGUCAUUUGCAAAUAUCUUCUCCCAUUCUGUCGGUUGCCUUUUAGUUUUGCUGAUUGUUUCCUUCACUUUGCAGAAGUUUUUAUUUUGAUGAGGUCCCAAUAGUUCAUUUUUGCUUUUGUUUCCCUUGCUUCCUGAGACAUGUUGAGUAAGAAUUUGCUGCGGCCAAGAUCAAAGAGGUUUUGCCUGCUUUCUCCUCAAGGAUUUUGAUGAUUUCCUGUCUUACAUUUCAUCCAUUUUGAGUUUAUUUUUGUGUAUGGUAUAAGAAAGUGGUCCAGGUUCAUUUUUCUGCAUGUUGCUGUCCAGUUUUCCAGCACCACUUGCUGGAGAGACUAUCUUUGUUCCAUUGGAUAUUCUUUCCUGCUUUGUCAAAGAUUAGUUGGCCAUACGUUUGUGGGUCCAUUUCUGGGUUCUCUAUUCUGUUCCAUUGAUCUGUCUGUUCUUGUGCCAGUACCAUACUGUCUUGAUCAUUACAGUUUUGUAAUACAACUUGAAGUCUGGGAUUGUGACGCCUCCUGCUUUGAUUUUCUUUUCCAAGAUUGCUUUGGCUAUUCAGGGUCUUUCUGGUUCCAUACAAAUUUUAGGAUUGUUUGUUCUAGCUCUGUGAAGAAUCCUGGUGGUAUUUUGAUAGGAAUGGCAUUGAAUAUGUAGAUUGCUUUGGGUAUUAUCAACAUUUCAACAAUAUUUGUUCUAUCAGGAUAUGGAAUCUUUUUCCAUUUUUUUUGGUGUGUGUCUAAUUUGUUUCAUAAGCUUUCUAUAGUUUUCAGUGUAUCGGUUUUUCACCUCUUUGGUUAGAUUUAUUAUGAAAUAUUUUAUGGUUUUUGGUGCAGUUGUAAAUGGGAUCGAUUCCUUGAUUUCUCUUUCUGUUGCUUCAUUGUUGGUGUAUAGAAAUGCAACGGAUUUCUGUGCAUUGAUUUUAUAUCCUGCAACUUUGCUAAAUUCAUGAGUUACUUCUAACAGUUUUUUGGUGGAAUCUUUUGGGUUUUCCAUAUAGAGUAUCAUGUCAUCUAUGAAGAGUGAAAGUUUGACCUCCCCUGGCCAAUUUGGAUGCCUUUUAUUUCUUUGUGUUGCCUGAUUGCUGAGGUUAAGACUUCCAAUACUAUGUUGAAUAAUAAUGGCAAGAGUGGACAUCCCUGUCUUGUUCCUGACCUUAGGGGGAAAGCUCUCAGUUUUUCCCCAUUGAGAUGAUAUUAGCAUUGGUCUUUCAUAUAUGGCUUUUAUGAUCUCGAGGUAUGGUCCUUCCAUCCCUACUUUCUCAAGGUUUUUAUCAAGAAAGGAUGUUGUAUUUUGUCAAAUGCUUUCUCUGCAUCUAUUGAGAAGAUCAUGUGGUUCUUGUCCUUUCUUUUAUUGAUGUAAUGAAUCACAUUGAUUGUUUUACAGAUAUUGAAUGAGCCCUGCAUCCCAGGUAUAAAUCCCAAUUGAUUGUGGUGAAUAAUUUUUUUUAAUGUAUUAUUGGAUCCAGUUGGCUAAUAUCUUGUUGAGGGUUUUUGCAUCCAUGUUCAUCAGGGAAGAUGGUCUAUAGUUCUCCUUUUUAGUUCUCCUUUCCAAAACCUUUGUCUGGUUUUGGAAUCAAGGUAAUGCUGGCUUCAUAGAAAGAGUUUGGAGGUUUUCCUUCUGUUUCUAUUUUUUGGAACAUCUUCCAAGAGAAUAGAUUUUAACUCUUCCUUAAAUGUUUGGUAGAAUUCCCCUGGAGAGCCAUCUGGCCCUGGACUCUUGUUUUUUGGGAGAUUUUUGAUUACUAAUGGAUUUCUUUACUGGUUAUGGGUCUGUUCAAAUUUUCUGUUUCAGUUUUGGUAGUUUAUGUUUCUAAGAAUGUGUCUAUUUCUUCCAGAUUUCCCAUUUUAUUGGCAUAUAAUUGCUCAUAAUAUUCUCUUAUUAUUGUUUUUAUUUCUGCUGUGUUGGUUGUGAUCUCUCUUCUUUAAUUCUUGAUUUUAUUUAUUUGUGUCCCUUUUUUUUUCUUUUUGAUCAAAGUGGCUAUUUGGUUUAUCAAUUUUGUUAAUGCUUUCAAAGAACCCACUUCUGUUUUCAUUGAUCUGUUCUACUGUUUUUUUUUUUUGUUUGUUUGUUUUGAUUGCAUUGAUUUGUGCUCUAAUCUUUAUUAUUUCCAGUCUUCUGCUGGUUUUGGGUUUUAUUUGCUGUUCUUUUUUCAGCUCUUUAAGGUGUAAGAUUAGGUUGUGUAUCUGAGACCUUUCUUACUUCCUUAGGAAGGCCUGGAGUGCUAUAUACUUUCCUCUUAUGAUUGCCUUUGCUGCAUCCCAGAGGUUUUGGGCUGUGGUGUUAUCAUUUUCAUUGGCUUCCAUGUACUUUUUAAUUUUCCUGUUUAACUUCUUGGUUAGCCUAUUCAUUCUUUAGUAGGAUGUUCUUUAGUCUCCAAGUAUGUUACCUUUCCAAAUUUUUCUUGUGGUUGAUUUUGAGUUUCACAGCAAAUUAGGUUUGAAAAUAUGCAUGGUAUGAUCUUGAGCUUUUUGUACUUGUUGAGGACUGAUUUGUGACCCAGUAUGUGAUCUAUUCUAGAGAACAUUCCUUGUGCACUCGAGAAGAAUGCAUAUUCCUCUGCUUUAGGAUAAAAUGUUCUGAAUGUACAGUGUGUUAUUCAAAACCAUUGUUUCCUUGUUGAUUUUCUGUUUUGAUGAUCUGUGCAUUGCUGUAAGUGGGGUGUUGAAGUCCCCUCCUAUUAUGGUAUUAGUAUCAAUGAGUUUCUUUAUGUUUGUGAUCAAUUGAUUUAUAUAUUUGUAUGCUGUCACAUUUGGAGCAUAAAUGUUUACAAUUGUCAGGUCUUCUUGGUGGAUAGACCCCUUAAUUAUGAUAUAAUGCCCUUGUUCAUCUCUUGUUACAGUCUUUAUUAUAAAGUCUAGAUUGUCUGAUAUAAGUAUGGCUACUCCAACUUUGUUUUGUUGACCAUUAGCAUGAUACAUGGUUCUCCAUUCCUUACUUUCAAUCUGAAGGUGUUUUUAGGUCUAAAGUGGGUCUCUUGUAAAGAGCAUAUAGAUGCAUCUUGUUUUCUUAUCCAUUCUGUUACCCUAUGUCUUUUGCUUGGAGCACUUAGUCUGCUGACCUUUAGAGUGAGUCCUGAAAGAUAUGAAUUUAUUGCCAUUAUCUCUUUUGUAGAGUUGAAAUUUCUGGUGGUGUUCUCUGGUCCUUUCUAGUCNGUUUAAACCAAGUUCUGGACUCCACUGCUAUUUUUAUAGUCCUAUUUUUUUAUCUGACCAGGCCUCAGCCUGGGCAAAGGCACACUAUUACUCUAGCAAUAUCCUGCCUAUUAAUAUUGUAGAAUUUUUUUCCAUUAAAGUCUUCACAGCUACUGAAGCAUAACUCUUAAGUCCUAAGAUGUAAGUCUAUCUUAAAAUAUUGCUUUAAAUCUUUAAUAUCUAGGGCUUCACCAUGCUUUCCAGAUUUCCUGUUAAAGUAUCAACUUGUUAAAUAUAAAUACUGAUCAUGUGUCCCCCAGCCCAACAUAUCUGCUUUUCUUAACCUACCAUGUUCUUUGUUAGUGGGUUCUGAGCUAGCUUGCACUCCACUCAGAUGUAGGUAACUUAAUGGAAAGAUUCAGGUUUAUCUCAUUGUAGUAAUUAUGAGGGCUGUUUAUAAAUAUAUUAUUUUUCCUCCUGCUGAAUGUAUGGUAGCUUUGCAUUUCUCUAGACUAUUUUGACUAUGGUCAUGUGCCUUACUCUGGCCAAUGAGAUGUGAGAAGUGAUGUGUUUCACUUCCAAGAAGAAGCCAUGAGGCAGGGCAUGAUAUCCCAUGUUUUCUUAUACUUCUCUGGAAAUGUUGGAAAUAUGUAUUAAGAUGACUCUUCCAUUAGAGUUGGCUUUUGAGCACCAAGGUUAAUAUAGUCCUCUUCUAUCCCCCAAUCCCUACUGAUGACAUCUGUUGGCCUUUUAGUCUGAGAGAGAAAUAAACUUUUGCUGUCUUAAGCCACUGAAAUUUUGGGGUUUUCUUUUAGCAGAGAAUAACUUAUUCUAUCUUAAUUGAUGUACCAUCCUUUUGGUUGCAUGGAAUCUGGCUCUUAGGGAGACAAAUUUUGAAAGUUAAUUUUAUUUAUUUUUUUUUUAAUUUUUUUUUUUCAACGUUUAUUUAUUUUUGGGACAGAGAGAGACAGAGCAUGAACGAGGGAGGGGCAGAGAGAGAGGGAGACACAGAAUCGGAAACAGGCUCUAGGCUCUGAGCCAUCAGCCCAGAGCCUGACGCGGGGCUCGAACUCCCGGACCUCGAGAUCGUGACCUGGCUGAAGUCGGAAGAUUAACCGACUGCGCCACCCAGGCGCCCCUAAAAGUUAAUUUUAAAAUUAUUCAUCUGUUACUGAAUUUUGUCAUCUACCUUCUCUGAAUGUAUUGAUUUCUUCUUUUAUUUUCUUAAUGUGAUAGGGUAUAUUGACUGAUUUUUAACAGCUUUAUUGGGGUAUUAUUUACAUACUAUAUAAUUCAAUUCUCUUAUGUGUACAAUUCAGUGAUUUUUUAAAAUAUAUUUAUAGAGUUGUAAAUACUCAUAACCACAAUCUAAUAUUAGAGCAAUCCCAUUCCCCUAAAAACAUACAAACCAACCAACCAACAAACAAAAACAACUAAUGGCUAUUUGCUGUUAUUUGCUAUUGUUGCCUCUCAUCCUAGGCAGCCACUAAUCUGUUUUCUGUCUUUGCAGAUUUUGUCUUUUCUGGACAUGUUAUAUAAGUGAAUCAUACAAUGUGUUGUAUUUUUGUGACUAGUUUAUUUCAUUUAGCAUCGUGUCUUCAAGGUUCAUCCAUGUUGCAAGGCACAUAAGUUCUUCAUUCCCUUUCAUGGAUGAAUAAUAUUCUACUGUGUGGAUAUACCAAUUCUGUUUAUCCACUCACCAGUGGAUGAGCAUUUAGGUUGUUUACAUUUUUUGGCUAUUAUAAAUGAUGCAGCCGUGACAAUAAAUACAGGUAUUUAUGCACACAAAUGUAUUAAUUUCUCUUCAUUAGAUACCUAGGAGUGGAAUUAUUGGGUUGUAUGGUAAAUUUAUGUUGAACAUUUUAGGAAACUGCUAAUCAGUUUUCCAUGGUGGAGGAAGCACCAUAUGCAUAGUUGAACAGCACUGAUAGACCCAAAGCACUAUUAUAUCCUUUGGAUCUUAAAGGCCCUUAUAUGGCUGUUCAGUAAAAGUAUUCAGGUAAUGAAUAGAAGAUUCUAUUUCUCUUUACUUUCUUUUCAACUCAUACAUACUCACACACACAAACAUUCUUCUUGGAGAGUGAGUACCAGUAUGUUCUGGCUGGUUAAUGAUUCCUGGUAGACAAAGAGUCAUUGGAUUCUCCAUUUGUUCCUGAACCUGUCAUUUAUUGAAUCUUAUAUGAGAAAUAAUUCCAAAAGGGAUUGAGGUCUGUGCUGGAAUAGUCUGACACGCAGAGUUAGGUGUCAUUGCUUCUCUCAGAUUCCUAUUUACACCCUUUGACCUAUCAGUGAUGCUUUAACUGUUGAAAAAUCAUCUGUCCUGCCUGAUCUAAUUUUUAUCAUGUGCAUACAGUAUUAUUCCUCAAAGAACAAAGAGCCAGCUUUUUUUUUUUUUUUCAACGUUUAUUUAUUUUUGGGACAGAGAGAGACAGAGCAUGAACGGGGGAGGGUCAGAGAGAGAGGGAGACACAGAAUCAGAAACAGGCUCCAGGCUCUGAGCCAUCAGCCCAGAGCCCGACUCGGGGCUCAAACUCACGGACCGUGAGAUCGUGACCUGGCUGAAGUCGGACGCUUAACCGACUGCGCCACCCAGGCGCCCCAAAGAGCCAGCUUUUAACACUAUGUAAAUAUAAAUGUCUUGAUUAAGUUCUUUCAAGUCAUUUAAGGAAAAGACCCACCCAUUUUGUCAUUUAUAUACUUUAUCUUUUGCUUCAUUGUUAAUUUUCAUUUAAGUUGGCUGAAGGUAUUAAUUCAUUUUUUAAAAUUUGUUUCAAAUAAAUACUCUAAAUAUUUCCAAAUAUAUGUAUAUAUCCUGCAUACAAAGACCAGGCCAAGAGUGAAGACCUAAAUUGUAAUGUUUUCUAUGUAACUGAAACAGGUGGCCAGUGGAAGAGAAAAUGAGAGGGAGCUCAAACAAGAAAAGCAAGAUGAUUAAGUUGGUAAUGGAAGGACCAUGGCAACAGAGAAGUAAGUCCAAGAGCUCAAUUUGGGUUUUGAACUCGUUGCUGCUCUAAGUUCUUUCUGACAUGUGGAAACAAGGUGUGUUUUCCAUGUACUUGCUGCUCAAAAGCAGGCUCCAAACUGAGGCAAAGUUCAGUAAUGUCAUAGGGUGUAAUCACAAGGCUGGCUGUAGGUAAGCAGGAUGGAACUAAGGUGUACCUUUGGAGUUACACAUCUCCAACUAUCCUCUACUUCUCUGAAGUUGGAAUGUUUCUCUGUCCAGAGGGAACUGGAUCUGAUAAGCUACUCACACUGUGGUAUCAUUUAGUUUGCUUGAAUGGUUGGCAGUUCAGGGUGUGGCUAAAAGCUUAGGCUUUGAAGGUUUGGAAACUCAUUGUCAUCUUCCAGGACUCUUGUGAUCAUGGGCAAUUUACUUAACAUUUUGUAUUCUGGAGUGCCUGAGUGGCUCAGUUGGUGAAACAUCUGACUUCGGCUCAGGUCAUGAUCUCAUGGUUCAUGGAUUCGAGCCCUAUGUUAGGCUCUGUGCUGACAGCACAGAUUCUAUGUCUCCCUCUCUCUCUGCCCCUCAUUCACUCGGUCUCUGUCUCUCUCUCAAAAAUAAAUAAACAUUAAAAAAAUUAAAAAAGAAUGUUUUAUAUUUAAAAUGGGUAUAAUUCCAGAAUGUCAUAGAUCUUUUGUGAAGGUUCGUGGAUAAUAUAAGACAGUAGACACAGUGUCUGCCAGGGAGUGAAUUCUCCAUAAAUAUUGGUUGUUAUUAUUAGUGAUGAGUGGUUGCCAUUCCGUAUAGUACUAUUUUUCAUUCUUUUUCUUUUUAACAGCUUUAUUGAUAUAUCAUUUAAGUACUAUACAAUUCCCCAUUAAAGUGUAGCAUUCAAUGCCUUUUAUUAUAUUCACAGUUGUGUGCAAACUGUACAACUUCAGAACAUUUCAUUACCUCAAAAAAAACCCCCAAACCCUUUAUCUACCACUCCCCUAUCUCCCAUCACACCCCCACCACUAAGUAGCCAUUAAUCUUCUUUCUUUUCUAGGUUUGCCUUUUCUAGAUAUCUCAUGUGAAUGGAAUGCUAGAACAGAUCUUCUGAGACUAGUUUCUUUCAUUUAGCAUAAUGUUUUUAAGUUUAUCCAUGUUUCAGCACAUAUCAAUCAGUAUUUUGUUCCUUCUUAUGGCUGAAAAAUAUGCCGUUGUAUGGAUAUACCACAUUCUGUUUAUCUACUUAUCAGUAGAUGAAUUGUUUCCUUUUGGCAAUUAUGAAUAUGAUGCUAUUUUUUUGUGGAAAUAUGUUUCUAUUUCUUUUGGCUAGAUGCCUAGUUAUGGGAUUACUAGGUCAUGCGGUAAGUUUGUUUAAUUACUUGAAGAAUUGCCAGACUAUUUUCCAAAGCAGUGCCACCAUUUUUUUUUCAUCCCCACCAUCAUGUACAAGUGUCCUGAUUUCUCCACAUCGACUGUGUCUUUUCUGUUUUUUAAAAGUGAAAUGGUUAUAAUCUAUAAAAACUUCAUAAGGACUUAAACUGAGAGAGGAUAAAGUUAGAUCUUAUUGAAUUUUAUGUAUUCAUGGAAACAACAUAAGAGUAAAGAUAAUGGGCCAAAAUUGUACUUUUGUGGGAAGUUUUGAUGUCUACAGUCAUUUAAAGAAGGCUUAUUUUAUAGGACAUGCAUGUAAUUUAUUGUCCAAACUAUAAAACAUUAGAGAAUGGAAGGAGUUCUAUGUAUAAUUAUGCUGGGGAACAAGGGUAAGUUGAGGCUGUCCCAGACACACUGGGGCAUGUGGUCACCUGAUGUGUCAUUAAAGGCCUCACUAUGCCUUCACUCAUUUGGAAAUAUAUUUUAUUUUCUUUUUUAGCAGAAGUGAUAGUUUGUAUUUAUCUCACACUUGGAGGCAAGAGUACAUGAAUACAUUUGUUGUUUUAAGUUUUUUUAAUUUCAAGAUACUUUAUUGUUUUAUUUAAAAAAUGUUUAUUUAUUUUUGAGAGAGAGAGAGCAAGCAAAAGUGAGUGGGGAAGGGGCAGAGAGAGAGAGAGAGAGAGAGAAUCCUAAGCAGGUUGUGCUCUGACAACCUGUGAGAUCAUGACCUGAAUCAAAAUCAAGUCAGACACUUAACCAACUGAGCCACUCAGGCUCCCCAAGGUACUUUAUUUUUAAAACAGGUCAAAACACUAAGCUUUUGGCCCAUUCUGCCAAUGUACAAGCUACAAACGCUUGCUCAGCUGCUGGGAGGCACUCUUUAGUAGCAUGUUCGACAAGUGAAUAAAAAUCCAGAUGAAACAAAUAUCCAAAUGGUUUCCAUAGGAACACACAUAAGUGACUCCAUCUCCUAGAGUUCUCUAUUGCUGCAUCCAUGCCAACCCUGCUUACAAAGACAUCGCAAAAAUAGCAGUGAUUAAGUUCAACAGUUCCCCCAAAUCUCAUAAUUCAAGCUAAACUUGCAUCUAACAGUUACAGGAGUGGCAUGUACUUGUUAAUGCUAAGUAAAGCACAGGCAACAGGAGAAUGCUCCAUCCCUCUCUCCCAAGCACAGGACACAGGUAGAGUGCUGAUAUCCUGCUCUUGUACUUCUAGUGGAAAGUCAUGGUUGUAUCAGUUGCCAUGUUGGUGUCAACAUCACAUAGAUAGUUGGCCUCUGGAACCCACUGAAAGUAGAAGCAGCAGCAACAGUGUAAGCACCUAUGUUUUCAAAAAGCAUCCACUUGCCUGCAUGCAUCUUGGGCAAGUGACAGUGCUCAACAAUGCCAUCAAGGCUGUUACAUGUCGGUCCCCAUACACUGGUUCAAUAAUAUUUCUCAUCUCAUCUGGUUUGGGUCUCUCUGCAUAAGGGGCUUCAUGUGUGCAUGAUCAUAAAGAAUGCAAUUAAAUGAUCCAUAUACCCCAUCAUUCAUGUAAUACAUAGAGAUUUGUUCACUCGACUCAUCUCAUCAUCAGAGCAUGUCUAUUCCUUUAAUACGAGUUUUUUGGCAAUGAUAUUAACCGUGAUCAUGAAAGCUGAUGCAACAUAACGUCUGCUGGUCUCAGCUAUGAUUCUCACUCCUGAGUCUGACGGCAAAUACUUGUUCAGUGCUGGGUUGAUAACACAGGUGAUUGUCUUCAAAUUUAAGCUUUACAUCUUCAGAUCCAGGAAAGCCACCACCGAUAUCAAGCAGAAACAUGUUGAAACCAACCUCAGCUCCCAUGUCAAAGACACAGCGGGUAUCAGAGAUGGUCUGCAUGUAGGUCUCAGGAUCAGUACAGCCACUUCCAUAUGGAAGCUGACACUGAUGACAUCAAUGUGGAGCUCUUUUGCCCCAAAAGGAGCCUGCUGGUUUUGAGUGUGGCAUCAGAUUUAACACCGAGGCAACAGACUGCUUUGGAAUCAUCAGUGGCAAUCUGCAACACUAACGUUGCCUUUGGAUGUGCCCUGGCACCUUCCCUCAAUUUGACUUCACUAUCAUCUUCUGGACUCCCAUUAUUGAUAGAAUACUUAAUCUGAGACACUUGUUUGGAUUUGCAUAGAUAAUCCUCUCUAGAGGCACCUAGAGACUCUGUACCAAUUGUACUUCAGUCUUGCUGGCUCAAUCAAAUCCUGUCCCUAUGGCAAGGAGCGUCUUCACUAUGGUUCUAUUAUCAUUGCAUUUGACUGCAUAAAAGGGGAUGAUCCAAGGACGAGCUUUUAAGCAUCUCUGAUGUUUCUUUGGAAAGUCUCCCAGGUCUGCGACAUAGAAGGCAUCCUUAUCAUUGGAAGACAAAACUUCAUUAAUUUUUUGGUCCAACAUGCCCUUGGCAGUAAGGCCUUCAUGGAGGAAAUGGCAGUCAAACUGCAUUACUAGAGUUGUUCAUGGUUUCUUGAUCUUUCCAUGGAAAACUAAGAGACGGAAUUUAAAGAAAUUAUUGCCACCAUUUCUCAAAGGCCAUUCUUGGGAAUUCCAAGUCCCCCCGAAGAUGCGUGUGCUCUUGGUGCAGCAGUGGUGAUGUUCUAAUAAACACAGAAUUUGCUGUCUUAGAGCACACAGGUGCCAUGGGCUGGCUCAUGGCCCCUAGUACAAAGGACAGCUCCCCCCACCCCAGCCCACCACCUUGCUGCCUCCCUGGGGGGAAUGCCAGACCCAGGUGGCCCCUGAGCUCUGGCAGAGGGUCACACCAUAGAGGCUGAGGGCACUUACCUGUUGUUCCCUCGGAACAGAGCCAGCAUAACUGAUGCAUACGGGAAAUGAAGCCUAGCUGUUCAAAUAGGCUGUAUUGUUUUUGCAGCUAAUCUGAAGCAGAUUGCAUUAUGGAUUUUACAUUUUAUAUAAUGUUGACAUUUUAAAGAUUUUUGUGGACCCUAUAUCAUUUUUUUUAUUAUUAUACAAAAAUAAACUCCUCCAGGAGUGCCUAUUACUAUAUUAGGCAUAUAAAUGUUGCCUUCUCCUCCAAUAUAUAUUAAAAAAAAAUAAUUCAGGUCACAGUGCUUAGUGUUGUGGAAACACGCACGGAAGUCAGUCUGCAUUUCAGGGAUUGGGGUUUCUGAAACAGAUUCUCCCAUGCAAAUCCUCUUUUCCAAAUCCUCUUUUUCCCCCAUUUUUCUUCCAUUCUACUUCCCUGCUAACCAACCAACCAAACUGAACCCAAUAUCUGCAGUACUAUUGACUCUUAGAAAAAUAACAACUGUCCUAUUAAUUGGAAUUCUGAUUUCCAUGAAUAUACAGGGUCAGUUCAACAGCCUAUAAUGCUAGAGCCUGGCAGAGUAUCACCAUGAAAAUGACAAACAAACAGAGAGGCACUUGUUACUGCCCCAGGAGGGAAGGACCAAAUACCAUAGUCUUACCUUAAUUCACCCUCUGGAGGACCUAUCUUUGCCAGCAGCACAAACCGAGUCAUGACCAUUAAAGAACAAACAACUGUGAGAGAAAAGCAAGCUGAGAGGAAAACAAUUGCUGUCCACUUGAAUACACAGGAGGGCUUCUUCAAGAACAUUUGAGUUGCAUGGAAGGUUGACCCUCAAACAGUUGCCUAGGUCAGCAGGACCUGAGGCGAUCCCUGGGGUGAGGACUGGUCAGGUAAGUUAAAGCCGCCUUCAGGGCACUUUCAACUUCCGGCACCAAUUUCCUCAAGACGGAGGAUGAGAAAGCAACACUGUUUGAGUUCAACUUUCUCCUUCACUGUUCUUUUUUUUUUUUCUUGUUUCCUUUGUUCCUGUGAGUCGAGUAUAUCCAAGAGUGACUUCUAAUAGUUGGGCAAAUUCUUUAUAAGGAUGUUGCCUCCUGGUCUGAUCAUGGACUUACUUUUUAGCAAUCCAAACUCAUUUUAUAGGCUCCAGGCAUGAUUGUGCAGAAUGUUUUUAAAAGACAUUUUUACUUCCAACCCUCUAAGUUCUAGGUUCCCUUUCACCAUGAACUCUACAUAAAUUUUCUCAGUACCUACUUAUGUGUCGGGGAAGCUGCUAUUUCUUGCUAUAGUUUUCCUUCCCAGUUCUUGACUCAUCUCAUGUCUAUUGUCUUCUAUAUAGCCCUGAAACUGCCUUAUGUCUGUUUGGGCUGAUCUCACUCCUACCUUGAGGAAUUCAAAACAGAAUCUUUUUUUCCAGACAGAAAUUAUUCUAUUUUUAUUAAUUGACAAAGUAGGAUAUUUACAGAAAUACUCUUUCAUGUAUGUAUUUUUUUAAACAUUUAUUUAUUUUUGAGACAGAGAGAGACAGAGCAUGAAUGGGGGAGGGUCAGAGAGAGAGAGAGGGAGGCACAGAAUCUCAAACAGGCUCCAGGCUCUGAGCUGUCAGCACAGAGCCUGACACGGGGCUUGAACUCACGAACUGCGAGAUCAUGACCUGAGCCGAAGUCGGACGCUUAACGGACUGAGCCACCCAGGCGCCCCUCAUGUAUGUAUUAUUAUAUUAUAUAUUAUAUAUGUCUCACAUGCCCAUCACUGAAGAGAAAAAAUACUCUGUGGUUUUACUUACACUACCAUUAACAAGGCUAAUCAGAACUUUGCUUUGAAUAAGAUUUGGUGAUCUUAAUAUCCUCACUAGAUCUCUGCUGAAUUUGAAAGUUGUUAAUCACUUAUUUCCUUAGAAAUACUUCACUUUUUAGCUUUUGUGACACUGACAUUUGUUGAUUCUCCUGUUAAUCCUCUGGCUAUUUUUCCUGUCUCCAAUGGCUUCUCUUUCUCAACGCAUUUCAUAGUUCUGUGCUUGUAGCCCUGUGCUUCUUACUCUAAUCAAUGGAAUAACAUAUUCUGCAGCAUUCAGACAAAAACUGCUUCUUAGUUACCCAUGAAAAUCUCCUAAGAAGGUGCCACACUGGAAAACAAUAUAGCAUAUAUUAUCUUUUCCUCCAACAUUGAAACUCCAGUUCCUACUGAGGCUCAGACAAAGUAGUGGUUUGCCCUUAAGGGCCAUGCUGUAUGAAACAUACAUAACCUUAAAGAUAAGCAUCCUUUUUAACAAAGCAAGACAUCUAUCAUAGGAUAGGAAUAUGGGGACUGAGACUAAAGGAGGGUAUAUUUCUUUUGGAAUGGCAGGUGGAGUUGCUGUACUUAGUAGAUUGUGAUCUCUUUCUGUUUUGUAAAGCAUGCAAAGUUGAAUUUGCAGUAGUGAAUUUGCAGUAGUGUGCCUGAUCAGGUUUUGUUACUCUCCUAGAAUCAUCCUGUCUGUGCUCGCCAUUUCAUGUACCAUCUCUCUCUCUAUGUGCAUAUAUGUGUAGAAGCUGGUGGUAUUUAUACUAGUAUUAGUGUAGUUUUAACAUUCUGAUUGAAUGCGAUAGGUUCGCAGAUCACAAAAACAUGGGAAACAGUUAUGACUAACUACUUAUUGAUAUAUAAGUAAUUUUCCCAUUCAUUCAACAAUUAAUCCAUUCAGCUCACUGUAUGGAAGGCUCUAUGCUAGGUAUUAGUGCUACUAGGACAAAUUAGGAAAACAAUCCCUGUUUAACAGACCAUAUCACCAUAUAAAGAGUGGUGAGUACAUGCAUUCAUUAACAGUUUACUGUGCAUUAGGUACUGUGUAACACCCUGACAAUAUAAAGAAGCAUCGUUUCUGAUUUCUGGGGGCUGCCGAUUUAGGGUUCAUACAAGAGGGAAAAAGAAUACAUAUAUAAAAUGGUCAUUAUGCUACAACAGAUACAUGCAGUAGCAUCAUGCAGAAAGUUAUGUGGUAUUUGAGAAGAAAGAAUAUUUUUGCAGUAAACUAACCUGCAUCAGGGAGAUAUAAAAAGAAAUCUUGACCUAAGAAUUUUCUUACUUGUGUGAUUUAAUUAUUGAUAACAUUGACUUGUUCUUUUGGGGUUGAUCACUCCUAAAGGCAACCACUGCAGAGGAUUUGAUGGCUGGUGGAUGACUUUAUACAAGAGGUAGCACUUAGUCUGGGGCUUGAAUACUGUUAUUAUUUUAAAUGUGGGGACACAGUUAGGGACAGUGGGCACUGUCAUAGGCUGGAAGAUCACCAUAAGCUAUAACAUAAAGCUAAGUAACAUGAAGUAGCAUAACGUAAGUUAGUAAUAAGGUGAACUUCAGCCUUCCUGACUAUAUAGAGGUUGUAGGCAAUAGGGAAAGGUAAAAACAAGAUGAGGUAGUUGACAGGAGGUCAGCUUAUAGGGAUGACUUAUAGAGUAAGCUACGUAGAAGGAUAUGUAUUAGUGCAAUAUCCAUCUUUCCCCACAUUGCUCCAUCCCAGCAGCUUUUAUUAAGUGUUUACAUUGCAUGUGCACUGCUGUUUUCUGAAAAUACAUUCGACAAGAAGAGAGAAAGAAAAAAAGACAGGAUUUACCUCCAAUUGUAUAGUUUAAUUUAAAAAUGGAUAAACAAAGUAAGAAACACAGCACAAUCUCAUAACUGGUGCAGCAUGAAAACAUACAAAGAAAAAAUUCUGGAAUCUGCCUGGAGGAGUCAAGGAAAGCUGUUCCCAUUUGGUCACCUUGAAUCGCAUUAUGAAGGAGCGGUAAGAUGGUAAGGUUGAGGGCACUGCAGACAGAAGAAACAACAAAGACCAAAAGGUAUGACAGAUAGUGGCUUUCUCAGAGGAACUGUGUGUAUUUCUAAAAUGCUACAAUUUACAAUGUUUUUCUCCUUGGAAAGGGAAAGGAAUCAGCACUGGUGGGACAUGAAAAUGGUCAGGAGCUGUUGAGCUUUAUCCUCCAGCUUUGUCAUGCUCUGCAAGGGAUUAAUAUGGUGGAUUAUUAUACUCAAAUUUGUAUUUUACAGCUUUAACUCUAGACAAAGUGUGGAAGGCAUUUUGUAGUGGUAAUUCUAGAAGUGAAGCCUGUCUACAAGAGGACAGUUAGGGGGUUCUUGUCCCACGGUGUGGUAGCAGAAAUGGAGAUGUAAGAGACAUAAAGUUGAGUAGUCCGACUUCAAGACUGAACAUAUAUCUAGGAUGAGGAAGUAGAGAGAACAUAGGAAACUCACACAGUUCUUGUAAUACCUGACUAAGUAGAUAGUGGCACCAUUAGGUAACCUAACAGGUGAUUUAACCAGGCUGCAUCAGGGACUCCAAAGCUAUGAAGUUACAUGAUACCUCUUCUCCAUAAACAUGUUUGGUGUGAGUUGCUAGGCAGAGGGCUAUUUCGCUGAUUGGAGAGACAAGACCUGGAGCUGUGUCUUCCAAACAGUAAGAAAUUAAGGACAGUGAAGAAGACAGCGUGAAGCUAAGACCACUGGAAGAAAUUACAAGUAUUUAUGACUAUGUUGUCUGUGCCUACCUAUUAUAAAUUCAAGUAGAACUAGAAAAGGAAUAGUGAGAAGAGAUUCAACCACAGAUUUGCAAAACUCACUCUUCCCUAUAGAGAAAGAUAAGCAGUAGGUCUUUAUAUGUUUUAUAAGCGUGAAUUUUUCAAAUUAUUUGUUAAUAUUUAGGGUAUGCAAAUUUUUAGCUAAUCCAUUUUAUAAAGAACAACUUUUUCCAAAUGUGGCUUUGCAACAAGAAUUUUCAUUCAAAUUCUAAAGAAGAAAUACUCUGAAAUACUCAAUAUGAUUUGAUUUCAUAGGGAUAUUUAAAAAAUAGGCAAAAAAAUGUGGAGUAUGGUACACAAAGAUAAUUCAUUCUAGUAUAUGUAAAGAAAAAAUAUCACGAAUCACCAUUAUUUAUCUUCUGCUACGAAGUCAAACAUGGAGAAAUGCUUUGAAUUUGAUACGCAUUUAAACUGCAAAAAAAAAAAAAUUAGAGCUUGGUUUUUUUUUUUGAAAUGUAGAAAUGUAGAAAUUUGUUUUUGUAGAGUCUGUUACGUACUUUUUUGAUGUUUUCAAGGUUUUAUUAAAACAUGAAACAACAAUCAUCAAUCUAAUUAGGGGAAAGUCUUCACAAUAAACAUCUGUUGGUUUUGCCAGUCAGCAUCCAUAGAACCUUUAUUUGGUAAAAAUUUCCUCUGGGAAACUGCCUUUCUUUUACUCUUGACAGUGAGAUUAAGUGGUAAUAAACCACACCUUGCUCUAAGGAUGCAUUCUGAUUGGAAUAAGGCAAUCAGCAGAGCCCAUCUCCCUGACUACAAAAUGAUCAGUCAGUUCAUACAUGGGCACACAAUUCAAGAGUUAGUUGAGGGCCCUUGGAAAGAACAUUUUCUUCUCCUAUGGGCACUAUGUGAGGUGACUCUAGAGGAAUCACUACAUAGAACCAAAGAGGAGGCUCCCACUCAGAAGGCAGAGCAGAUAAGCUGGAUCUUUGUGACAAGGUUGAGCUGCAUUUUCCUGUGUGUCCUAAUAUGCUAGCUAAUUUAGUUAAGAACCAGUCUUCUACUGGUCUUCAUGAGAGUGCCAUGGGGCCUUUAGUAACUUUCAUCUUUAAUAACUCUAGGUAGUUUAUGUACUAAUUCAAGCAUAUCAUGUCCAUAAUUAUCAGAUCAUUCAAGAUAAUGAAUAUGAAAGGAGAAUUAUUAGAGAUACCAUUUUAAUACUUUAAUAGAGGUUAUUAAUGGGAGUGCUUUUAAUAGGAAAUGUAAUUGAAUUAAGGUAUAAUUCAGCUUAUAAGAGGGAGAAAUAGUCAACAUGUGUCUUUGAGUAUAUAACCAAAGCCCUUUGAAAGCUGAUGUACUGUGCUUUAGAAAGUUUCCUGUGUCUAAUUUUACAAUUUUCCCAACUGUUAAGAUAUAGGAAGUGGAGCAAACAAGGGUGAAUGUCAUGGCUUUCUAUAAAGUCUCUUUAUUUCUUGAAAGAACAAAGUGAAGAACUAGUCAUUUAGAGUCAUAUGAUAGGAGAACUCAGGAAAGGUCAAGAUUAAUAGACCUUUAUAGCACUUUAGAUGAGUAUUGCAUCUUAUUGGCCUCUAAAAUGUUUACAUAGAGUGAGCAUGAGGUUUAUCCUUAGAAGGACACUGUGACUCAUUUCUGGGAUAUUGGAGGCUUCUCUGCAUUUAGACCUUUGGGUGGCUGUGUUGGGGCCACUUUGCUGGGCAAUGUGCGUGGGUCAUAGACAAUAGUAGAAUGUGUGAUAAUGGCAGGAGGGAAAGUAAAAAACAGAAUUUUAAGAAACAAAUCAUUGGCUAUCUAUCAUAUACCAGCCACCAAUGAUACAAAGUCAAUAGCAAAAGCAUGUUUCAUCUGGAAACUGUACCCAGGCCUAUUACCUGAGGACAGGAACUCUUGUUCUAACAGACCCAACCUUCCCUUUUCAUGAUAAAUCGUUUGUAAUCUUCUCUUUACUGUCCUUGAGUGAAAAUUAUAGAUAAUAUAAAUUUAAAAAAAUCAAUGUAAUUAAAAAAUCAAUAUAAUCAUCUAACUGUAAUAUCCAAGGAAUAGUAUAUAAAAAUAAUGUAUAUUUUUUCAGUAUGUAAAUGCUUAGGCUCGACUACACUAGAUGAUACGGUGAGGUAGUCAGGUGCUACAGCUGUACAUAGAAUUGUGAAUACAGAAGCUACAAAUAAAGAAAUGCUAUGAUGUGACUUAUUGGUAACUGAAAUAUCAGAAUAGUGAUGUGCUCUUCAAAACACUGAAUAACUCUAGGAAAAUUUCAAACCAAAUAAAGCUUAAUCUUCCCUGGAUUUGCAUUCUUGGAAAAUUUAAGAUACUAAAAUUCAGUAUAUUAAAGUUGCAAAAGUUUUAUAUUUAUAUAUGAAAUGGACUUAGGUUCUAGAUACAGAUAUUUGUAAAGUGAUUUUAACCUGGUCCAUUAUUUGUGGUUUGUAACAGAUGUUGGACAAAUUAUCGUUGUGUGAAUACAUGGUAUCCACUCACUAACUGCCAGUAGCACCCCUUAAUCAUUAUGACAACCCCAAAACACCCCUACCCAUUUCUAAAACUACCCGUAGAGAGCUGUAAUGUCCCUUUGGUAAUCAGUGUUUUAAAUGUUCAUAGUUACCCAAGCCCUAAAUCACGAUGAAGUGCGAAGCUCCACGUAACUGUGUUAUGCACAAGGCCGAAUGGGGAUGUAGAAUAAGGAUUUUGUCAAACAUAUAAUUCGUAUUCAUAUACCUUUUAAAUUAUUUCCAUAUAAAUAUACAUAUCUUGUUCCUAAAAGAAGUUUUUUUUAGUUUUUCUUACUCUAAAUUAAAAGAAUCGAAUGAGAAGCAAAUAGUAGUUAGGGGCCUACUUGGCAUUUCAAAGAAAAACUUUAUUUUGAAACUAAAAGGUCUCUUCUUUUCACAUGUUUUAUAUUUGGUGUAGAGCUUGGAGUAUGCUCAGAUUCAAACAUGCAACUCCAAGAAUGGCUUUUAUUUUGGAAUUGGGUUGUACAGCCUCCAUUACUGCCCGUGUGGUAUGCCAGCCUGAUCAAUAGCCUGAUGAGGCAUGUGUGGCCUGCACUGCCCAGCCCCACCAUUUUCAACCUAAUUAGCAGCUGCUCAAAGAUGGGAAACAGGUGCAGAUCCAGGGCCAGACCAGGGAAGUCUGCCUGUAAUUAACAAGGAAAAAAGGGUCAGAUAUUGGGAAGAAUAUCAAAUCGGCCCACUGGGGUUAGCAUGCUGGCCUCAAAGGCAUAGUCACCUGAGAUCUUAAGCAUGCUAAUGUAAAUUAUGCAAGCUUUCAAACAACGUGUCUGCAUAAUCAGUUGGCAGAGAGGAAAAUGAUUUUUUCUUUCUUUCUUUCUUUCUUUUUUUUUUUCAAUAGAGAAGGGAAAAGGGCAUCUACAAACUUAUUUUUUUCUCACCAUGUUGUGGACUUUCUCACCAUGUAGUGACAUUUCCUGAGAGGCAAUCAUGAGUCCUUAGAAGAAGCUGUUAAGCAAUUACAACUCUUCUAGAAAUAAGUGAAGUUUGGAGGAGAAGCUAAUAAUCAGGUUGUUGAGAGAAUUAUGUACUAACAGGUAAUUGAAAGAAGACACAUUAUGCACACGUGGUUAUGUAUAAUAAAUUUAUUUUGGUCAUUGGCAACUUUCUCAAUUACUCCAUAAAGUGAAGCCCAUUUAAGAUAAGCAAGGACUUCCCAAGGGCCACGUAAAUUUGAAGAAAGCUAAAAACCAAAUUUUUGAGCAAAAAAACGAAGGACAAGUCCACAUGCCGUGUUCUGAUUCUGGCUUUAAUAGUCAAUGCUUUCAGUACCAAGGAAUUGGUUCUAUUCCAAGUCAUGGAGCUUUUUCAUGGACUUUAGGCUGAGAAGACUUUACACCCUGUCCUUUUUAGCAUUUAGCCUCCCAGUAAACUGUCACCUACAUGGUGCCAGAUUUCCUAGGCUAGAAGGGAGUUUUAUAUUUCUGGUUGAGCAAUUGGUGGCAAUUUCAUUCAACCUAGUGAAAUUAACAUGGGAAAAACAACCCCUAAACCUUAGAUACUUAGCAAAGGCUUAUUUCUUACUGUCAGUGCAUGUCUUGUGGAUUAAGUAUGGCUCCCUAUUGACUUCAUUAAAAUAUUAAGUGGAAGGAACUGACUUUCUCUGGGACGUGGCUAUCUUUGUGACAGAGAGGAUACAACAUGGCAGAACCUUGGGAGUGGUUUUCAUCCCACUUACGUACCACUUGAUUUCCAAUGAUGUCAGUGAGGUGGGAUAUAUAAUCCUCUCUUGAGGAGGGAUAGUAAAUACUUUGGGUAAUAAUAAAAUCAACUACAGUGAUUUGGACUAAAUCUGUAUACAUUUUUAGAAAGGUAGUCCUUACUGUGGCGUGAAUACAAGUACCGAUGGGUCUAAAACAGUGAAGUUUGUAAAAUCAGAGUCAGAGAAAAUGCUACUAGCUGCCUUAUUUUUGUUUUCAAAAAUGCACCAUUUUUGUUUUCAAAUAUGGAUAAAGUGUCCAGGUACUUUAUCAUUUUCUUUUGUACACUCAUAGCAACCUUGGAAUCUUGGAGUUAUCCCUGUUUUAUCAAAACUGUGGCUCAGAGACUUUCAGUGAUUUACUCAAAUCUGUUCGGCUAACAAAGUUGCAGCAUGGGGAUUCCAACCCAGCUCUGUCAUAGAAUGCCCUCUUCUGAAUGCACCACAUUGCUUCAGAAGAUGUGGCAGGUCUGGCAGGUACCUUAUCUCAUGGGCUCAUAACACAAUCUGUUGCAUCUGUCACAUUGUGAUUGUGAGAUUCUUGGGGGCAUAAGAGGGAACCUGUGCUGUCUGGAGAGCAUCAGCCAGUAACUCUGGGCUCAGUGCAGUGUGCUUGAGUACUAAGCACAGAACACACACUUUCAGGAUUGAAGUCAAGAUGACUGAAGUCUUUCUAGGGUCCCUUUACUUAAAUAUCUUUGUAUUAGGGUUCCUCAAUAUUGCAUUGUGGAUUUUUUUUUUUUUUUUUGCACUGAAUAGUCUUUUGCUCUGUGUGUGUGUAGCAGGGCUGUUGAGAAGAAUCUCUGGCCUCUACUCAUUAGAUGCCCNNNNNUAACAACUUUCCCUUAAUUGUGAAAACUAAAUUGUCUCCUGACAUUGCCAAAUGUCUUUGAUGUGUGUGUGUGUGCAUGUGUACAAAAACACCCCUAGUUAUAGGAACAACUACUUUACACCCAAAUGAUAAAUUUGGUACAGAAUUACUGUAUAUGGAUACUGAACUCUAUUUUAUAUGAACUCUAAUCUUCUUGUAUUAUAUAAUAAUUAUCCAUUCUUUAAACAACAUUAAGUGAUCACUAACUAUAUUCAGGUACUUUGCUACUUUGGAUGGGGGAGGAGUUGCUAUGGUAAUCAGUAAGACCACUCAGGUCUUCACUAGAUGAUAUGCUUUGUAAUUCUGCAUCUAUAAAGAAGCUAAGAAAGAGAGAAAAGUUGGAUUGAAGUUCUUUACGUGGACAAGAAAAGACCGAGGGUUUUUAAAAAUAUAUCAAAUACAGCAAAGAAUUUUGAGUAGGAUUUGAUAGGAAAAAUGCAGGAAAGAAAAUAAUGCAGUUAGCUAUCCCUCUCUCUCUUCAGGAUCAACUCUGACCACCUAUUUUUGAGGGUCAUCCCAAAGCCUAAAAUAUCUUUAAAUAAAUCUCUUGCUCUCGACAGGCUCAGGGAUUGAUAAUGCUAAAUCUAGAAAGAACCUUAGCCUCAUCUAAACCUUGGGGCUGAGACCUGCCAGGAAAGAUGGUAAGGUGAAUCAAAAAGUCUCUUCUUAAUCUUAGGAAGAUAAUGAAGAAGAAAAGAAGGAAGAGAAGGAGAAUAAGGAAAAAUGCAGGAAGGAGAGGAAAAUGAGGGACUUAGAAUGUGAUAUAGCAGGAAGAUCAGAAAAUUUAGACAAAGUUGAGGUUCAGACUAUGAGACCUUAGGCCAGUUGUGCAUUAGAUGUUAUAUCAUCUCUAGAAUGGGAGGAAGAAUUAUUGCCUUCCACAUGGGUUACUGUAAGAAUUAGAUAUGCCAUAUUUCCUCUUGAGACACAUUUGAACAUUUUAAAUUGACAUGCACAUGUAAUGUGCUUUUUGUUAGUCUCCUCCCAAUUUUGCUACCUAUUAUUAUCAUGGAAGGCUGGAAGGAAACUAGACUUUCUGACUGGAAAACUGCAGUUUACCUAUAAGUUUUAUGUACCUAUUUGGAAGUCAGGUCAAGGAGCUUUGGGAAAGGUGAGGAGGAGAUGAAGUGGGUUCCUAUUAAAAAGGACCUACGUUGGGGGUGCCUGGGUGGCUCAUUUGGUUAAGCAUCUAACUCUUGAUUUUGGCUCAGGUCAUGAUCUCAUGGUUUCUGAGUUCAAGCCUUGAAACAGGCUCUGCGCUGACAGUGAGGAACCUCCUUGGAUUUCUCUCUCUGCCCCUCCCCUGCUUGCAUGUUCUCUCUCUGAAGAUAAAUAAAUAAACCUAAAAAACCCCCAAUAAAUAUAAAAAGACCUACAUUGGCUAAAGAAUGGAAUCAAUGAUGGAAAGAGAAGACGUAGUUUGAAGCAAUCAAUUAGCAGGGUUUAAACAAAUAAACAAAAGAGAAGCCAUUAUACAAAUUAAGACCAUUUAGCUUCAGAAGAAUGUCUGAUUACUGACCAUGACAAAAAGCCAGGAAGAUGGGGCACAUUUCUGUUUGAGUGCCCUCCAGUUCUGUUAAUAGACCAUGUAUGGUGGCUAUCAGAACUUCACUCUCAGUGUCCACCUUUUUCUUGUUGAAUUCCACUGAAAAUUUUAUGUCUACUGGCAUUAUAAAUGACUUGGAUGUCUUAGUGUUUCAUCAUUUAGUUAUGAUUCUAAUUAUAUCUUAAAUAAGAAUGUGCUGGAACUUGUUUUAGUUGGAGACCAAGGCCCAUGAAACAUUAAGACCCCUAUUUUGAUUGCAUUACUUCGCAUGUAGGAACAGCUUAGUGAAUAUCAGUUGAUUGAGACAUUGAUUCUACACAAAUUGAAGUAAAGUUCCAUAUAUGGUUAAGGCUCUCUUUGAAGUCUAAAUUUCCUGUUGUGAUGCUUGUUUUUAAGUGCAAGACAUUAUUUUUAACUACAAGACAUUCAAAUUUAAUAGUUGGGUGAACAAGGAAAUAAGCCAUUUUAUCUCUAUUUAACACAUGAAAAAACUUAAGUCUAGACAGUACAGUGUUUUAUUUAAAGUCACAUGGAAAGUAAAUUUAAGCCGGUACUCUGUUUCUAGGAAAUCACGAAUUACCCAACCACAGCCACUUUCUCAGCCUUAAUCUAACAAACACCAGGCUAAAACAUGUCCCCUGUAGGACUGAAAUGAUUACCUAGGUGCCCUACAUCACAGUGCAUAUUUUUAAUACUGGGAGAAAAUGGCUAUAUCUUAUAAAUUACAAGGAAAUAGAGUAGCAUCAUUAGAUAUUUCAGCCAAGUUCAACAGCUGGCCUCAAUUCUUCUUUUAAAAUGCAGAGCCUCAAAAUAGACAGACUAAGAUUUAUAAAAAUAGAUCUGUCUGUCACUUCUAAUUUUACAUUUUGCAAACAAGUUGUGCUUCAAUGAAAAUUUGCAGAUAGAUUGAGCAUCUGGCAAUAGAAAGAUUGUCAGGAUUUCUGUGGUUUGGAUUCAGACUACAAAGGAUAAUUGGUAAAGAUAAUCUUUUGUUUGAAUCGCCUAAAUGAUUUUACCUCACUAACCCUGACAACAGAUGGUGAGUAUAGUUAUUAUCAACUCAUUUUUAUGAGAGGGAGGCCACUGAAGAGCCAAAGCACUGGAUCCCCCCUUGCUGCUGAAGCCAUGUAUCAUUGUGGAAUAAGGUCCAGCCUGGGUUCGCAAGCCUAGCUUUGUCACUAACUGGCUUUGUGAUCCUUGACACAUCUCUAAUAGUUGGAGCUUCCUGUGCUGAGCUGUACUACAACAGAGUAGAUUAGACCUCCCUACUCAAAGUGUGGUCCAUGGACCGGCAACAUUAGCAUCACUGGAAGCUGGUUAGAACUUAGACUCUCAGGCCUCACUGUAGACCUUGGGAAUCAGAAUGCACAUUCGAAAUAGUUCCCAGGUGACUUCUAUAAAUGUUGCAGUUCAAGAACCCCUGGGCUUAAGGCUCUUAUGGCUUCUUCUAGUUGAAACACUAUUAUUUUGAGCACAGGGAUGGUGGGGACUGUCCUACAAGCCCUAAUAGAGCCCUUGGCAUAGAGUGCAUUAUGGGAUGAAUAAACAAAUGAGGAGAAAGGUGUUCUAACCCAGCCAACUUCAAAGACAAGUCAUUUUGACCAACAAGGCCUUGAAAAUCUCAGAAAGCUCCUUUUGUAAGUUGCGCCAAUUGUUCCCCCACAUAGAAGCAUGAGAACCCUGUAUUCUUAUAUCCAUUUCUUCCUUUUAAACAAAAUGAUCUUACUUCCACAUUAAAAAAAGAGUUGCCUCUCACCUCUCUCUGCACUUAGCUGAUUCUAAGCGGUACAAACACCAAACCAAUCUGUCCUUUUCCUUGAAGCUGCUUUCUUUCCCUUUCUCAGUCCACCUGCUCAGGCAUCACAUUACUGCCAGCCCAUUUGCACCAUCUGCUCAUUUAAGUGUCCGUUGAUGGGAGGACAGAGGACACCUGGUGACCGUGAAGUCGGCCCAAUACACUGAAGGAAAUCAGCAAAGUGGCAAAAAGGCAUGAAAUAAAACAGACCUUGGGAAUCCAGAGGGUAGAGUUUCAGAGGAAGGAGGGAUGAGCAAAAUGGGUUGAGCUUCUGAGGCCCUGGGCAGUCUUUUAAUUUCCUGACCUUUUGCUCUGUGAGCACUGCUCUGUGAAAGGAGAGAGAUUCCUAAGGAAGCAAGAACACAUUUAUUUUCUGCUGAACAGCUGCUUCCUGCAAAGCAAAUCGUACAUGGUGAGCCUGUUCUGGGUACCUGUUGGAGUGAAGAUUAUUAAAUGUCUACAAGGCCACCUGUAUGUCUAAGCUGCUAGCUAGGUCAUUGCUUCUAAUUCUGCAAAGCAUCCGUAGUCAACUGUUUAUCAUUUCUGAAAGCAGAUUCAGAUGGAAAGACCUAGCUAUAACCUGCAGAAAUAUGGCCAGAGGGCUACUCUGGAAGUUUGGGCCUCAGAGAACCACACAGAGGGCCCCAGGCCAAAGUUAGGACACACCAUCCUAGAUGUACUCCUAGGAGCCUCAACGGUCAAAUGUCUCCUCAGCCCAGAGUUACUUAAAACCAACUGUCACACAUUUAGGUCAUGGUUUCAAUUCUUAAUAGAAAGUGACUGUUUUGUUUCUCCUCAGCUGGUAGUAUGCAAGUUCAUUAAAAGCAUUAGUAGUGGUGGGCAUGAGGAUCUGAACCUUAACAGAAUUGCUUCAGAAUUCACUGCAAAUAGUUAAUCAGAGCCAUUUUUACAAAAGAAGUGUAGUGAUUAAGAGAGUCAUCUCUGGGAAUAGAAUCCUGACUUAAUAAUGUACCUGUGUGACUAUGGGUGAAUUCAUGUUUUUCUCAGUUUUCUUGUCCAUAAAAUGGGAUGAUGAUAGUAACCCACCUCACAGCAUUGUUGUAAAGACUGCAUGUACCAUAUAAAGAAAUAGAAUCUGGCAUUCAGUUAACUGCUACACUGUUUGCUAUUAUUGGGGAAGAGAGAUUGUUCUGAAACUUGUUUUCUCUUGUCUUUUUUACCCACAGAAGGAAGAAGCUAAUUACGGAAACUGUUAGGACUCGCAUUUUGCAUGGAUUCCAGGUGAUAAACCUCUUCCACCUUUCCACUUCUUGCCAAGCCUUGUUUCCCAUUACCUUAUUAUUUGACUCCUAGCUCUGUCAGAGAAAAUAAGAAAGAAAUCUAUCUAAUGAUUCUUUCCUGUAGUGUCUUCCUUGUCAGCAUCUGCUCAAUCACUAGUAGAUAUUGACGUAUUGAAGGUUCCCUCAAGCUUGUUCAAACAGGGAAUUAACUCUAAUUCUCAGCGAUGAGAGGGGGCUUAGUUGGAGCCAAAGUAUCUUGCUGGCCUUAAAACUAAGUCCGGACCCUCACAAUGGGGUAAGUCAAGAGUCUCAAACUCAAAUGCCCACAGGGGCCUGAGAGCAAAGUGCUAUCAGCCUCUCUUCUAUUGCUCACUUUAGACAAAGGCAGGCAGAUAAUUGUGCAAGAGCAGGAUCAACAGCCAUUCACACCAGAUCUUAGUUUGGGAGAAAUUAACAAGCGGUGAGGCCUGUGGAGAAAUGGCAUCCAUAUGAGCUAAAGAGGGAAGCUGCUCUCAGUUCACGUGAGCCCAAUGUUGCUCGAUUUUCUGAUCUUUAAAGAGAAGAAGCCCUCAAGUGUGAUUUUUUUUUCAAGUGAAAUCUCCAGAUUUGUUAUCUGCUGAAAAUUGCAGAUGUCAGAACAUGGAGGGAGACAAAUAAAGCGUGUUUAUGAGUGGAAUCUAAUCUGUAGGCUUCAAUUUUGGGUUAAGUUAUGUGCACUUAGAUCCUUCUCUGUGCCAGCCAGUAUGUUAUACAGAAUGCUUAAUGUGCCUGGUUGAGGGCUGGGUGCUGUAGGGAGAGGGGAAAAGCUUCAUCUUGGUCAGGAGAUAUGAGUCUCAUGAAUGAGGGAUUUUUUUGACUUUUUCCUCUAACUUUUGAUUUUGAAAUAAUUUCAGAUACACAGAAAAUUUGAAAAGUAGUACAAAGACUUUCCAUGUAUAAUUCACCUACAGUCUCUAAAUAUGGCUAAUAUUUUAUCAUAUUUACUUUCUCAUUGUCUUGUUCUUUUUUUUUUUUUUUGAGAGAGAGAGAGAGAGAGAGAGAGAGAGAGAAAAGAACGAGUGGGGGAGGGGCAGAGACUCUUAACCAGGCUCCAUGCUUGGAGCCCAAUGCAAGGAUCAAUCCCAUGAUCCUGGUAUCAUGACUUGAAUCAAAAUCAAGAGUCAGACACUUCACCAACUGAGCCACCUGUGCCCCAUCUUUGGCUUGUUCUUGAUCUCUAUUCCUUUCUUCUUUUCUGGGUGUAUCUUUUUCUAUGUGUGUGUAUGUGUGUGUGCACGUGCCUGAAAAAUUUGCGAGUAAGUUGAAGAAUUAGUGUCCUUUUACUUCCAAAUGGUUUAGUGUAUUUUCUAAAAGCAAGAAUAUCUUCUGACAUACCACAGUAUAAUAGAUCAAGAAAUUAACAUUAAUGUACAUCUAUACAGAUCUGAUCUAUAAAGAUCGUUCAAAUUUCAUGCCACAGUGUCUUUAUAGCAAAAGAAAAAUUUCAGUCCCAGAAUCCAAAAGUGUCCAUAUUGCUUCUUUAUAUUCUUGUUUGUUGGCUGAGGUGGGGGUGGGGAGGCAGUUUGUCUUUCAUCAGAAAAGACAAAUCUCUCUUGUGUUUUAUGACAUUAAUAUUUUAGAAGACUACAGGCCAUUCCUCAAUAAUUUGGAAGAGUAGAGAUUACCUUUCAUUUUGGGUUUGUUUAGUAUUUCCCAACGAUUAGAUUCAGAUCAUGUAUUUUUGUCAGGAAUACCAAGAAGUGAUGUUGAGUCCUUCUCAACAUGAGAAAGACACAAUGCAAGUAUUUGGGGGAACACUGUCCAUUUGGUUUCUUUUGUUUGUUAAAAUUUUAUUUUAGAGAGAGUGCUAGCAGGGAAGAGGUUCAGAGGGACAGAGAGAGAAUCUUAAGCAGGCUCCACAUUCAGCAUGGAGCCUGAUGUGGGGCUCAAUCCUACAACCCUGGGAUCAUGACUGGAGCUGAAAUCAAGUGUCGGAUGCACAAUCGACUGAGCCACCCAGGUGCUCCAGAAGACUGUCCAUUUGUUUUGGGAAGAGAAGUAUUAACUGUGCAAGUACUUGCCUUUCAAAUUGGCAUUUUGCUAUUGUUUUUGUUAUUUUAGCCUUGUUAUUAAGAUCCUAUUCAAAUUCAUUCAGUCUACAUAAAGGUUUCUCCUCUUGCUCCUCUUCUCCCACUCUACAUUUGUUUUCAUGAUGAAAUAUCCAGAUUCUUUGGGUCCAUUUGGUAUUGAGAUUAUAUGCAAACCUGUGAAGUUUGAUGAAUUGGUAGCUGAAAGGAUAGCCAAAAAAAGCAGACAGACUCACUAUUGAAUUUGGUAACAGGAGCCUUUCCCACUACUUGGGCCCCCAGAGACUUUAUAUAUGAAGCAAGAAGCAGACUGUGGGUUAAAUGGAGUGUAGACAUGCCUACCUACUUCCUCUUCACUUUAACAAAAGAAAUAAUUCCCUGCAUUUAUAUAAUUUUUGAAAAAUUCUCAAAAAUUUAUCACAUUUGUUAUCUCCUGUUUAUAAGAGAAAACAGUAGACAGGUAAAGAUUUAAAAAUACUAGCAGGAGACAGUCCCGCCCUGGAUUCCUAGUUUUGUUCCUUGGGACAGUCAUUCUGUGGAAAUGCCUUAUGAAAUCCCCAAAUUUGAGCAGCAUCAGAGAGCAGCAGAAAGGCACAGGCUUUUGAACUAACAGGUUUUAGUUGGAGCUUCAGAUUUACUGUCCAGUAUUUGUGGAAUCCUAGACAAUUUGCUCUCUGCAGCUCAGCUUCCUCAUUUGUAAAAUGGAGGAUUAUCUUGCCAGACUCUCACAAGAAUUAACAAGAUAAACAAAAGGAAAACAUUUAACUCAGUGUACUUGGUAGAUAGUACAGUGCAAUAAAUGUGGAUUUUCUUUCAUAUUCCUUUUUAUCUAGGCACGUUCAAGGGUUUACUAAUUCCUUCCUUGUUACAAAGUCCAUUGGGAGGAAUUUCAGUAUCUAGUAAUACUAACAAAGAUUUGGUAAAAAAGAGGCACAUAAUUUUAUUUAUUUUUAUUUUUAUAUGUUUAUUUAUUUUUGAGAGAGAGAGAGAGAGCAUAUGAGCCGGAGAGGGGCACAGAGAGAGGGAAAUAGAGGAGCCGAAGGAGGCUCUGGUGCUGUCAGUGCAAAGCCCCACUUGGGGCUCAAACCCAUAAACCAUGAGAUCAUGACCUGAGCUGAGGUUGGAUACUCAACCACCUGAGCCACUGAGGUGCCCCUGGAAUUUUAAAUAAUUUUAACAACCUGACAUGUUGGACAUAUGCACACUAUCCUUACAGUCCUAAAAUCAUAAAAGCAAAUAUCAAUGAUUGGUAAGUUUUAUAUGAAUAUGAUGCAUUUAACCACAAUAUUUGCAGAAUCAAUUUGGCAGUCACAAAUAGGAAGCCUCUGGAUCUUGGUUCUAUGUAGAAAUGCCCUUUUUGUAAUUUAAACAGUUCAUUACAAUUGGAACUCAAGCAUAUGUGUGACAAAGUAGGUGACAAAGUCUUUCAUGUAUUGAAAGAGAUUAUCAGGAACUGAAGGAACAUGGUCCUACAUAGAGGAAAUUGCCACUCUUUCAGUUGUUGAAUGUGGAAUGACAGUGUGCAUGGAAGCCCUGGCUUCGGGUUCAGCGGCUUACAGAUUCACUUGUGUUCACUUUAGUUUUUUUUUUUUUUUUUUUUUUAAUGUUUAUUUAUUUUUGAGAGAGAGAGAGAGUGAGAGAGCCAGAGAGUGAGUGGGGGUGGGGGUGGGGGAGGGGCAGGGACAGGGAAACCCAGAAUCCGAAGCAGGGUCCAGGCUCUGAACUGUCAGCACAGAGCCAGAUGCAGGGCUCGAACCCACAAACCGUGAGAUCAUGAUCUAAGCCAAAGUUGAUUGCUUAACCAACUGAGCCACCCAGGCACCCCUCACUUUAUAUUUUUCCAGGCAUAUGACAUCAUAGUCCAAGUAAAUGUAGAACAAUCUUGAAUUUCUUUUCUCUAACUUUUAUAGGAAGUUACCUUGUUAUAAAGCUAUUUUUGCUUUCCUUCUAUAUUUGUAAGGGAAUAAGUCAUCAGAAACGGUAGGGAGGAUGGAGGCUACAAAUGGGAGCAUUGGGUACUUCCUAGUUGAAGAGAAAGAACAAUAGUGACAUCAUCCACAUUUUUUUUUUUUAACACUGCUCAUAUUCAGGAUCAACAUAUGACUGAUGAUCCAAACUGGGUUACUUGAGAGAAAGAGGGUAUUAUUAGUAAUUUUACUGAGACAAAACAAGUAAACAGACUAACUGAGCCAAACCAGGGCAUGCUAUCCUUGAGGACUCCCGUCAGGAAUUAAAAUUACCAGAUAGGUUAAGUUUCAUAGAAUGGCUAAGUAAAUAAAACUGCAGAUGGGCAGUAAUUCCCCUUACUGCUACCAUCGCUCUCUGUCCAGUGCCCAUCUUUUCCAGGCUGUUUAGGGUACUCCAUUGCAGACAUCUCCCCACGAUUCAGACUUUAACUGGCUUUUCUAGAAGAAUGUAUGUAUUUGGUACCCCCCCCCCAUUCUCUUGACUCAUUUCAGUGUACUGAAAAUUUAUCUUAGAGACUCCUUCACAAUAAGGUGUUUAUUUCUGGUGGACUUAGUGCGGUGGCCUUUUAGAACAGAACUCACGGUCAUAAACAACAUGGGAAAUCUGGCACUAAAAUAAUUGGAAAGUGACUAUUUUUGUUUUAGGGAGAGGGGUUGUUUGUUUGUUUUACCAUGAAGGCAGAAGUCUUCUCCCCUUCACUUUACAAUCCUGUGUACUUGUGAAGCAUGGGCAUCUGUAGCCUUUUCAUGUGCCUUUACUCAAUUGUCCCUCCCCACAGGAGGAGCAGGUAGUCUAUGUAGGGUGGCUUAGUCACGGAGCACAGGCUUCCCAUUCUAAAGAGGAGUACAAAUGAGAUCUGGAGAGGCAAAGUGAGAUGCUCAGUGUCACAGCAAAAAAAAUUAUUUCUGACGUGCAUAGAUUUGGGUCCAGUUGAUGGAGGAGUCACAGGGACUUCUGAAUUAAUAAUAGGGGUACUAUAAUAAUAAUAAUAAUAGCCAAAGCAUAUGGUGCUCACCAUGUACAGGCAUUGUUCUAAGAGCCUAAUGCCUAUUAGCACUUAUACCUAACAUAUUAAUCAAUAUUUAAAUUUUUUCCCUAAUGGUAAGUGCAAAAUUUAGACUUUUUUCCUUCAUGGGGAAUAGAAUUAAUUGUUUGCAGCACAUUAGCUCUGUUUUGUUUUAUUUGCAAAGAAAGCUUUGGGUAGAUAGUUUCCUCAUGUAACUUAGUGCUAUUAGCCUUUUGCUUUUACAUUAGAUGAAUAUUUUUCAGCACACAUCUUGCUGCUUUCGGUUCAAGGCUGAAUGUGGCUUUGUCUCGCAAUGUUUAUAUUUGUGCUGAAGUAGUGUGGACUCAUAUGAUUAGGUAAGGUUUGUUGCUCGAGGCAAUAUUAUGCAAUUGCUUAAAAUCUUACUCCGUUCCUAUGGUUGAUGGUCUUCAGUGGCAUUUAACUCCUGUUUUGUGUUUAGUUGUAUUCAAGUACUUUAGGACAGGAGUUUAGUUAGCUUCCUGGGCUGGACUUUCUGCCUGAUAUUAUUAUUUAAGCUACAUUUCAGAUAUAGUGAGGGAGGCAGGGAGGGGAAGGUAAAAAGAAAAAGGAAGGGAAAAACAUGGGACACAUUGUCAUUCAUUACCCAUUAAAUGUUUAGGAAGUAUUGUUUUCCUCAGUAUGAACUAGAGAUACAAUUAGCCUGAAGGGUAUCACUUUUUUAUUUUUAUUUUUUAAUGUUUAUUUAUUUUUGAGAGAGAGAGAGAGGCAGAGAGAGAGAAAGAGAGAGAGAGAGCACAAGCAGGAGAGGGGCAGAGAGAGAGAGAGACACAGAAUCUGAAGCAGGCUCCAGGCUCCAAGCUGUGGGCAAAGAGCCAGAUGUGGGGCUCAAACUCAUGAACUGUGAGAUCUUGAUCUGAACCAAAGUAGGAUGCUUAACUGACUGAACCACCCAGGCAGUCUUAUAAGGCAUCACUUUCUAUAUAAAUCCAAGUAAAGGCUUGUUAUGAGUGUUGGAGUGAUGUGUGGUUGGCUAUAGGCUCUUCACUGUCCAGUUCAGGUUGCAGUGAUUUUUCUUGGAGUUCUAGCCACUGAGUUGGGCACUUAGUUAAUGCUCCAUAUAUAAUGGAAUGGAGGGAUUAAGACUUAAGAAGACAACUGAAAUAUGGUAGAAUAUUAGGAAGGGGUGGUUUUGUCAUAUUGAAAGAUGCCAGGACAGGCUUUACUGUAGAUAAAAAAAAAAAAAAAAAAAAAAAGAAAUAUUGAUAAUUAGUUAUGGUAGGUGCUGAGCCAGAAGACCCAAGUACCAACCCCAAGUGAGGACUCCCCCACCACUGGAAGACAGCAAAGAUCAGAACACAGCCAACCGUUAAGUAGGAGCCCACAGACCUCUCUACCCACUGCCUCAUGUAGGCUUCAGAUCCCUGCAGAGAACUCAACACACAAGGCACUGGUCAGAAGAGUAGGCUACUCAGAGAAAGAAGAAAUGCAGCAAGAUCAGUGUCUGUAAUAUGGCUAACAGGUCUCUCUGAUGGCCGCUCAAGGUAGUGGACUGUACAUAACACUCUGAUGUUGCUGGCAAAGACCCGGUUCUCUUCCUCUGGAGGCAGAUGGACUAGUUGGACUGGCCGGGUUCUUUAUGACCCACAAGCUUAUGUAGUACAAGGACAUUCAUGUGUAUUGAGUUGUAUUGGGUUGUAAUGGAUUGUACUGAGUUGUACUGGGUUGAGUACCCAGAACAGAGGAAAAGUUUCUCCUAAUUAGGAAGAAGAAUAUGGGGCUCCGUGACAGCUCUCACCAAGCUUCCACAUAGGUGAAUGUUUCAGGUCCAGGAUGCUGAUGGGGCAAGUCUAUUGCAGGGUAGCUGUGUCCCCAACAGUAAGGAAGAGACAGAGGGGAGUGAAGGAUCAAACUAGAAAUGUACUCCUUGAAAAUGAAAACUAUUUCUCUCUGUCCCUCCCCUCAAUUUUAUGAAUGGCAGACAUUACUAAUCAGUCAUGAGGGUGUUUCCAAGUGAAUUGGGAUACAGUCAGAAUCCUUUUGCUCUUUUCUUCAGAAUCCUUAACAAUCAUUUCAGGUGGGCAUUGUCAACUAUAGGGAGUUAGUGUAUGAUUUAAAAUCUGUUUAUUAAAAGACUAAAGAUCUGAUCUUAUGAAAUUAAAGACAUGUCAACUUUGAGGAAGGAAGAGAGUGGAAGACAGCUAUCUGUAUUGAAGCAGGUCUGUGAAAUGCGGUCAGAAGAAGAAGAGAAGAUCCCAGUAGGGGAGAAAUGGAUUGUACAAACUCAACUGGGUUGGCAUGGGUGGAUGAAGGAAUGAAUGAAUGAAUAAAUAAUGAGAGGUACAUUUGAAUUAGUCAGAAUGUCUGUAUUCCCCUCAUGGCAUUUUUUUCAUUUUUAAACAACCUUGGGCAAGCCCCAUAUGUCAGAUAUUUCCUAGCAAAACAAAGAUCGGAAGUGUGGCAAUAUCCUGAUAAUUCAGGCAAAACCUCCACUUCUGUUUAGAGUACAGAAAAUACCACUGGGAAAGAGAAUUAUAAAUAAAAACAUGUUUUUCUUUUAUAACAGCAUGUCAUUAUCAUCUUUAUGAAUUUAUAUGACAUCUUUUACUUAGGAAAGUAAAUGGAAUUCCAUUAAUGUUUAGAAAUGAUUACUAAAGAACUAUCCAGUGUAGGAUGGCAUUGAAAUCCAAUACUCAUGUGAGGAGACUUGAGCUCUUGUUCCUGAACAAUUAAGCUGAACUCCCUGUCAGUCAUAUUUUGACUAAAGCAUUCCAAUAAGAAGUGUAAAAUUUUGUAAAUUGUAUCUUGAAGACCAAAAUAGGCAGCUAACAGAGAAUGCCUUCAUUUUGUAUUUUUCUUAAGUUAUUUGGGGUUAUGUUCAUAUAGCUUUUAACCAAAUAAUCUUGGUUUACUUAGUGAUAUGGGGCUCAUAAUUUUAGUUCUCUGCUCGCUGCUGUAGAUGACCUGUGCAUCUUUACUUCCUUGUGAACUGUUCAAUGUAAAUUAAGAAGAAAUUAUAUUAUGUGCCUUUUAGUUGUCAAAAACUAAAAAUAUGUAAAAUUCUACAACCAAAGCAUCCCCUGGUAACAUUUUGGUGAUAUAUACCUUUUCAAAAAACACAGCAGAGAUUAUUUUUAUGCAUUAAUUUGUAAAAUGGCUUUGUAUUCAGUAUGUUAUGUGAUAAAUACCUUUUUUCCAUAUCAUUAAAUUUACUUUUACCUAAAACAUAGAUGCAUUAUUUUUCAGGGUUGCAUGGUGUUUUAUUAUGUGAGUUUAACACAAAUUACUUAACCGAUUCUUAUUUUUGGAUAUAAUGUUUAUUCCCUGAAGCUAAGGAUGGAAGCUGGUAUCCAUCCUUCAUACUUCAUUGGGAAUAAACCUUGGAAGUGCUAUUGUAGGGAACAAGGAUGUGCACAGUGUUGAAACUUCCACUGUAGCUUAGUGAUUGGCUUUCAGAAAGGUUGUAGGUGUUUUCACCUUGAAUUGCGAGUUGCAUGUGAAAGUUGGAGAAGCCUUGGUGUGUUCUUUUUUCUUUAUUUUUUGUCUCUGCCAAUCUGGUAAGUUUUGCUACUGUAUCUCAUUUUAAUUUAAUAUUUUAAAUCUCAGUGGUGAGUUGAACACUUAUCAGCCAUUUGUGUUACUUGAUUUGUGCAUUGCCUAUACAGGCUUUUACAAUUUUUUUCCUGAUGUGUUGUCUUUCUCCUUGAUUAAAAAAAAGGUAACUAUUAAGCAUACAAACCCAUGGGACUGUUUGAAUUUCAUAAUUUUAAUAGGCUUCAAAAUAUUCUAUAUCAGGAUUUUGAAUUGUAAGCGAGAAUCCACACUCAUUCCUACUUUCUUAAACCAUUCUCACCACAAUGACCAUUAGCAAAAAAAUAAUACUGAACUUGGCAGAAAUUGUUCUGAACCAUCCUCUUAAUGGUCUUUAAUAGUAAUGAACUAAAUUGUAACUGAGCAGAGAAUAAAACUCAGUCCAUUCCAAAGUAAAAUAGAAAAUUGAAUCAAUUAUGUAUACUUUUCAGCUAAUAGCAAGGUCAUUUUUUCUUCAUUUUCUAAAUAUUUUAGGCUAAAGUAGAUUUGUCUCGUGGAGUUUUUUUUUUUGGGAGGGGGAGUGGGGCUGAUUCGCCAGAUAACUUCUUCAAUUCUGCAUUGCUUAAUAAUGCUGGUGUGGACAUAGCCAGAGUGUUAAUGAUCCCAGGAUGUAAACUUCAGAUGAAACAAAGAUCACAGAUCAAAGUGAUUUUGCCUUGCGGGGACUUGCAUCCAGGGUCAAAUGCAGGCUCUUGGUAGGUGAUUCGGGAAAGAUGGUCAGAAGAGGAGAUGGGUUUCAGGUUCUUCGCCAGCACUGCCGCAAAGCACUUUCUGAGUGUGACCCCCAUGCUUAAGAAUCAUCGUACUACAUCGUGAUUCUCCACCAGGCUCAAAUCUCAGAGCUUCAUCUUUGAUUCAGCUGGUACGGGGGAUGGAUAUUCAUAUCUUUAUAGACAUGUUGCCUUCCCACCCCUAAUUUUUUUUCCUCGUGGUGUUUGGUGUUAGGGUGAAGGGCGAAGGCCACAUUUGAACAUAAGUCAGGUUUUUUUAUUUUAUGUGGGGGAAAGCCGGGGGCGUUUGCAGAACUUAAAACAGAAAUCAAACCUUUAAAGGUCGACUGUAUAUGUCCUGCCACUCAUAUUCUCUUCUGGCUUCUAACUUUCCUUAGGCUUAAAAUACAUCUGGAGUUGCUGCUUCCUUUGUUCUUCAGAGAGUUCAUUUCUUAUUCUUUAAAAACAUACACACACACACACAAAACAAGAAAACAAUUUUUUUUUUAAAAAGGGUAACAAACAAAGUUUUUGUUGAUCCUAAUUUCAAAGCCUUGUUGCCUGUAACUCUAUAGAACAAAACAGGGCUUGCUGUUAUCUCAAGGGGUGCCAUGCUGUACCCUAACUUGGUAGGAUUCUCAGUGGGCAGUUCCUCAGCUGAGUGGUUUGCUGACUGUAAAAUUAGGAGGAAUUGGGGCAGGAGAGAUAGACACCACAUUUUGAAAUGAAGACAGGUGAGGAAGUGCCUCUGGAAAGAACUGUAAUUUAGUACACCCAAUACAAGCAUAUCCUGGAGAUACUGUGGGUUUGGUUACAGACCACCGCAGGAGAGGAAGUAUCACAAUGAAGUGAGUCACAUGCAUUGUUUGGGUUUCUGAGUGCAUGCAAAAGUUAUGUUUAUACCUUACUGUUGUCUGUUAAAGUAUGCAAUAAUGUUAUGUCUUGGGGAAACUGGGUGGCUUAGUGUCUGACUUCAGCUCAGGUCAUGAUCUCAAGGUUCAUGUGUUCAAGCUCUGUGUCGGAUUCUUGUUUCCCUCUGUCUCUGCCCCUCUUCUGCUCAUGCUGUCUCUAUCUCUGUCUCUCUCUCUCAAAAACAAAUAAACAUAAAACAAUUUAAAUACAGUCCAAUACCCCAUGGUCCCUAUCUUCCUUUACUUCCUUAAAAAAAUAGUGUGCAAUAGUGUUAUGUUUUAAAAACAAGGUACAUACCUUAAUUUAAAAAUAUUGUUAAAAGACGCCAGUCAUCAUAUUAGCUUUCAGUGAGUUAUCACUGAUCAAAGAUCACUAUAACAUAUAAUAAUAAUGACGAAGUUUGAAAUGCUACAAGAAUUACUGAAAUGUGACACAGAGACACAAACUUACCAAAUGCUGUUGGAAAAAUGGUGUUGAUAGACUUGCUGGAGGCAGGAUUGCCUGCAUAAACCUUCAAUUUGUAAACAAAACAAAACAAAACAAAAAAACAAAAAAACAACCCCCCCCAAACCCAGUAUCUGUGAAGUGCAGUAAAGUGCAAUAAAAUAGAGUAUGCCUGUAUCUUUAAUAACACAGCUACAAAGUUUGGCAUCAAACCUGCUUCUAAUUAUACCUCUUAGUGGUUAUAUCAAUACAAAUAUUGUAGACUGAAAGUUCAUAGUUCAUUAAAGCAAUUGGUUGAGUGGUAGGAAGGCUGCUUAAGGAUUUCAGCCACAUUCAGAAUGUAUUAUAAAAAAUCAGAAUAAAUAAAUCUUUAACUUACUUCUUAUUCUACAGUAUACAGAUAGUCUUAUUUUUUAAUAGUUAUCUUACUUAAAUGUGUAAAUAACAAAGAUGUCCUAGGCUGCUGUGAGGAAAAAAAAUACUAUAACAAGGUAAGUACAUUUUCUAUAUUAAAGACACUCUAUGCUUUCAUUUUGAUGGCAAAUUUGAUUAAGUGAACAUUUUGGUAUAUUCAGUCUUAGAGAAAUGUAUAUUUCUUAUCCCUGCCCACUUAUCAGUUUUUCCUCCUCUGCUGAGAGAUUCCCAUGUCUCUCUUCUUGUCCAUCCCAUAUUCCUAAUCCUGAUCAUGGAAGUCUUGACCUUUCUCAUUAAUUCAUUCUCUAUGGCUAUAUUCUGGGAAGAGAGUAUGAGCCCAAACAGACAAGACCCCUGUCAUCCUUGAGUUUAUAAUCUAAAGAAAUCUUCCUUGAUUUUCUCUUUCUGCAACUGCUGGUGUUCCAGUUAGAGUUAUUUGCUUUCCUUUCUGUAUUUCUCUUAGUUCUUUGAAACUUAAAUCUUUAUCAUAGUUAUUUCCCUACUUUAUUGAGGUCUAAGUGUUGAUCAAUUAAAUUGUACCCCUCUUCUCCCUUGAGUUAUGAACCAAUUAAGAUCAAACAAUAAAGUGAGUGGGAUAUAAAAUGUAUUUAUUUGGAUAAAGCUCAAAAUGGGCAGUACCUUAUGGGGCCCCUGAUACUGAACUCAAAAACUAGACAAUUAACUUCUUAGUAAAAAACACCCUAGAAAAAGCAAACCCUGCCAUGUGCCAGCUCUUCUAGGUGUGGCACAAUGUGAGAGAACUUCCAGCAGAUCCCAAAACUUAUAAGGUAAAGGGACUAGGAAGAGGGGUAGCUAUCCAUGUCCAGUUUGUCUUCUCAAGCUGGACAUGAAUGAAAGAAGAGUGUGGAUUAGGCUAGAUGUGGGCUCCUUCCAUAUCUGGAGGGGGAAGAAGUGUGUUCCCUUCCCAACACACUCUGCAUAUUUUCCUACCAGUGGGUCCUUUCUGAAUUUAUUUUUUCUUCUUGCAAAGUUGCUAGUACACAAGAGGCAUUCACAAAAUAUUGAAUAAGUUAUCAGAAGAUAAACACAUUUCAUGGACUUGAUCUAAAAUGAAGAAGAAUUACAAAUUCUUCGAUUGAGUAAAUUCUAGUAUUUACUACCUUGUGAAUAGUAUAUUCUACAUCAUGUAUAUUUUCAUGAUAUUUACAAUGUCAAGAUAAGCCCUUCAAUCAUUAUAUUCAACCAUAUCCAGCCUUGUGUACAUACUGAGGUGAAAAUAUGAACAUGAGUAUCUUAAAAAGUUCUCAGUGUAUAUGGUGGCAAUAAAAACUUCAAAUCAAUGUAGGCUGAAUUAUAUGAAAAAGGUCUGAGAAGACCUCACUGUGACUCAAAGAGCUUUUUAGAAAUCUUGAAACCUGAUAGCUUCUUGAAUUGAAACCUGGGAUGUGGUAGAAAGGAGGAGAAAUGUAGAAGAGAAAUUCAGGAGAUAGGGAAACUUCAGCAACUUAGCUUAAGAAACUCUGAUGCUAUUUCAGCCAUACAUUUUAAGUAUUCUUAAUUAAUCUAUGUCCCCAUCCACCACCUUGUGAUGUCAGUCUUUGUUGAUAAUAGAACAUCUGCUGACUUGGUCAGGAAAGCAACCUUUCAUUCAAUUGGGGAUAUGGUCUGAUUUUCCUAACAGCAAAGUUUGCCUUAGGGUUUACCAUUAAUUAAUUGUGUCUAAAUAUUAACUGACAUCCAUUCUAGGGUGUGAGCAAAACUCCCCUCCAGGGCACGUCCUCCAUGGAAAAUUUAACAUUUCCAUUAUGAAAGCCAAGAGGAUGAAAUACUUUUAGAAUGUGGCCGUUGAGUGUAAAGGAGGAGGCAAACAUCUCAUACCAACUGAGGAAGGAGAACAGAAAGAGUAAGAGAAAUGGCUCCAGGGAAGGGCUGGUUAGAGAACAGAUUCAUGCCAACUUUAAAAAAAAAAAAAAAAAAAAAAAAAAAGAAAAGAAAAGAAAAGAAAAGAAAAGAAUCAAAAGAAGGAAGGCAGAUUUGCUGAGAAAUCUUCCUGUAUUAGAGCUACAGAGUCCAAGUUGCCAGGGAGUUGUGAUGGACAGGAAGAAGAGCUUUUAUGAGAACUUCACCUUGGAAAUGGUUUCCUUCCAUAGGGGAGAUGUUUGUCUGCAAGAAUAACUAAGAGCUGAUGGUCUUCGGUCAUUUAGAAGAAUUAUAUCAAGUCUGUUGUCCUUUAAUUUCUAGAGAACUGACUUUAGUUUGAGAUCCAAUUACAAACUCAUGUUCAAGAUCUAAAUAAUGUGUUAGAUCUGAUGCUAUAAUUUCAUACUCCUCACAAGGAAUGAUUUUGUCCUGAGGAAAUCAUUCAAGCAGGAUCUUUUCCCCUUUUGGUCAUCUCUGUAAACUGAGAUCCUCUGUGUCAACAUAACUGCACUUAAAAUUUUUUUAGCCAGAAAGAUCAGAGCAUACCGAUAAAUAACUUCACUCUGCUUCAGAAUAUUCUCUGUAUACCAAUUUAUCUCGGUAGACAUUGUGCUUACCUGGGAAAAUAGCUAUCUAAACAGGACACUAGAUUUCUUACCUGGACUGAGAGCACAUUUAUAAGGACAACAAUCAGCUCAUCAAGACUUGCUUCAAGACCCUUCCUAUUAUGUCACGAACUUUGUCGAGUCUAAGCUAAGACCUCUUGAAAGAUCCAUCUUCAAUCAUUUGACCCUAGAUCCCCAAAUUUUACAAACACCCUUUAAUUUCUUCCUUCUUUUCAGAAGCAUUUAGGACUCCACCAAAGUAGUGUUUUCCCAUACUACAGUAAGUUUAAUAUACUCACCUUUGUUUGAUCCACAGCACUUGUUGGUCUUAGAAAUAACUGAGGAUCUACCUAAUUUGUAGGUAGAAGCAUCCAUAUGGACACUAAACACUCAGGAUAUCAUCCAGAUAUUCAAUUUUAGUGUAGAGUAAAUUUGGCAUCAGAGUUGUCAGUGAAAUUGGGGAGUGACUCAGUGAAGAGACAAAGGAGGUGCUGUCCUUUAAGAAGAGCCUCAGGAGAGCAGGUUUUGAGACAUUAAAAGAAAAUUAAUGGUAUGUGAGGACUGGAAACCAGUAACCUGUUUUUUCUCUUGACUAUGUGUAAUGCCCAUGCUUUGUGAAAGAAUGAGAUUCUCCCUCAGAUUUUGAAGGAGGCAUCCAGGUUUUGUGUAGGAUCCAACAGUGGAAAGAAUGUGGUAAAUACCUAUCUUAUUCCAUAUNUCAGGAGAGCAGGUUUUGAGACAUUAAAAGAAAAUUAAUGGUAUGUGAGGACUGGAAACCAGUAACCUGUUUUUUCUCUUGACUAUGUGUAAUGCCCAUGCUUUGUGAAAGAAUGAGAGUCUCCCUCAGAUUUUGAAGGAGGCAUCCAGGUUUUGUGUAGGAUCCAACAGUGGAAAGAAUGUGGUAAAUACCUAUCUUAUUCCAUAUUCUAUGAGGGACCCAGAUGUAUUAGGAGGAAGUUUUCAGAGAAACAACAACCAAAUAGUGAGUCCUUCUUAAAAAGUGAGGAUAGAAUAAGAUUUGGCAAUAGUAACUCAGAAACUGGACCUUUUUAGGACUUGGAACUCUUUUAUUUCUGAAAAUGUAUUAUAGACUUCCAAUUCUCUGAUGACAUGCCAUAUAUUUCCAGCUGUCUCAAUUCAUUCGUCUCAUUACAUCUUAUAUUUUGUGUGGUUAAUAUCUUAAGUUUUUGUUUGUUUGAUCAACUCUCUGCAGUCUUGCAUUAUUUUAUUUUUGACUUAGGAUCAUUGCUUCUAAUGCUUACCAAAUUUCUCAACUCCGUUCUCUUUUAUCAUUCCAAAAAUCCAUUCCUAGAUGGAUCCUACUGACCACCUCUCCAACUUCUCUGUUUGGAUGGAGUGCUAAGUUUUCUGAGUAUUGCUGGAGAAUAACCUUCAAAUAUAAAUACAUGGUCUCCAAUAUCUGUUGGGCCCUUGUCACUGCCUAAGAAGUUCUCUAUAGGUUCUUGAAGCACUGCCUCACUAAUUUCCCACAGCUAAAUUUUGAAAUCUUCCCUGUUCUCCAAAGGGCACGGAUCCUUCUGCCUUCUUUUUGCUUUCAACACUGCUAAAGAAACAAAACCACACCACCACCACCACUAACAAAAAAUGCAUCAACAACAGUAAAAAUAACCAUGUAGGGGAGUUUCUUAACGUCUUCAACUUACAGUAAUUAUUUUUUAGAGUUAUAUUUGACAUACAACACUGUGUAAGUUUAAGGUGUACAACAUAUUGACUUGAUACAUUUAUAUUGUAGUCUGAUUGCCAUUGUUGUUAGUAGUAUCUCUAUACCAUCACAUAAUUAACAUUCCUUCUAGUGUUGGGAACAGUUAAGAUCUAGUCUCUUAGCAAGUUUGAUGUUUAUAAUACAGUUUUGUUUUCUAUAAUCACUAUACUGUGUAUUAGGUCUCCAGAACAUAUUUAUCUACUAGUUAGAUAUUCCCCUAAACAGACCCUCCCGUUCUUCCACCUGCCCCCCCCGCACUGUCCCUGACAGUUAUAUUUACCUAUAUUUAUCUUGUCUUCAUCAUGUGAAAUAAUGGAAAAUGUGUAUAUUCCUGAGACUGACCCCCUCAUGAAUGUUCUAACUCUAAUCCGUUCAUACCUUUUCAGGUGUUUGGUCCAUCUAUGACCUUAUUCCUGUGUCUCCAGUUUCUCCUAUAUUGCUCCUUUUGAGUCAGUCUUUAAAUAUGCUCAAUUGUUUUCAAUUUUGAAAAAGAAAAGGUAUCCUUCUGCAACCUAUGCUCUUGUCUACUUGCUACUCCCUUUUCCUCCCUUCUGUCACUCAUUAUGUUUUUGAGCUGUACUUGCCAUCUUUACAUGCCAGUCUUCCACUCACUUCUCAACCUGCCUUCUAGCUCUUCCUUCUGAAAUGCUACUAAAACGGGUCUGGCAAAAGUCACCAAUGAGCUUUUCAUGACUUCAGUCACUAGGAGUUUUUCAUCUGGAUUUCUUUUGUUUUACCUGCAGGGUUUUAUGUUAUUGAACAAGGAAAUUCUCAGAAAAGAGUGAAGAUAGACAUUACGGGCAAGGGGUCAUGCCAUAAACAAGGAAAGGUUCAUGGAAUUAAGGGAGACAGUGAAAAGAUAUUUUGGCCAGAGCACAAAUUUUCUGUAGAAUACAAGGAGAGGGGAGGAAGGUAUGUUGGUAUUAGAUCAUUGGAAGAGCCCCUGAAUACCAUGCCAAGGAACUCAGCUAGUAUUCCACAGUGAUCAAGGAUUCUCUUUUCAAACUAUUGUAAAAGAAAACAAUACAUGGUUAGGAGAUAUCCGUUGUCAUUUAUCUGCCACUGUGUUUCAACCCAGGUGACUCAGGCUUACUAAUGCUUAUAAGUCAUGGGCAGUUUAGGUAAGGGAAACAUAAGGAAUACUUUUGCUUUGAGUUUGAGGCUGGGUAAAAAUUUCAGUGAAAUCCAGCUGAAGAUACAGGACUAGCCCUGGAAAAAGGACAGGUCAGACAUGCUGAUUAGGGAGUUAUUUCUGGAGAAGUGAGUGUUGAAGUAUUCACCAAGAUCUCUGUUGACACAAGCAACUCUUAUUAGAUAGACCCUUCCUUCCUUUCAAUUUGCUUUUUUUUGUUUUUGUUUUUUUGGCACUCAGAGAAUUCCUUGCAGUACAUUUGUACAAAGUUCCAUUUUAUCCUACAUUUAAAACUGUUGUCAUUCAUAGAUGAUACCGUUUUUGUUACACUGAUAGGUCCUUUAGUGACUGGUGCAUAAGGCAUGUUUUUCCUUUUGACAGUUGGCUUACAAUUUUUUUUUUCUGUAUAUGCUGAAUUGCUUUCUUGCUCUUACAAAUAUAUUCAACAUCACAGUUCUUCCACAUGACAGGCAGAGAAGGCCCUGGCAGAUUCCAACCUCAGGAAGAAAUUAUGUCUGUUUCUAUAGUAUUAUCAACAGAUCCACGUAUGUAUGUCAGGAGACACCAUUGCACUCACAGUGCACUUCCAUUAAAUGAAAGGCAUACGAUGUCAGAUUCUUUGAUGUCAUUUUAACCAACUGGAUCAUUGUGUUUUAACUUAAUUGUUAAAGAGUGGAUUAAAAAUUGGAUUCUAUAUGCUUCUUAUAUGAUUCCAUAAAUAUGUUUUAAAGUAAAAUGUAGGGGGCACCUGGGUGGCUCAGUCAGUUGAGCUUUGGACUUUUGAUUUCAGCUCAGGUCAUGAUCCCAGGGUUGUGGGAUCAAGCCCCAUAUCAGGCUCCACACUGAGCAUGGAGCUUGCUUGGGAUUCUCCCUCUCUUUUUCUCUCCCUGUGCUCCUCUUCCCUGCUCUCUCUCUCUCCCACUUUCUCUAACAAAAAAAAAUAAAAUACAGUAAAAUGUAAAGGUUGAUGAUUGUAUUUGAUUAUUAACUGUGAAGUUUGGGAUCUAUAAACAGACAAUUGUAUGGUUCUAAGUAUUAAUGACCAAAUAUCAAGUUUCUGAUGAUGUAAGUAUACAAGUAGAUAAAAACUAGAAUGUUCAAAAUAGUCAAUAAAGUCUGCAACAGUUUCUAAUCUAUUUUUGUUGUGUUUUAUGCAGAGAUACUGAUCCUCCUUAGGUGCUCUGUGAUAUCUAUGAUUCAAAUUCGUCAUGAUUACAGUGCACUAGAUUUGUCACUGUUGUUUCUUUCUGGAAAUGUUGUAUUUGUUAAAAAGUCUUUCAAUAUUCAUUCUGAGAGACUUGUUUAAAUUUGCCCAGUGUAAUGUGUGUAUACAUACACAUAAAUAUAUAUAAUAUAUAUAAUAUUAUGUUCAGCAUCUAUUUAAUAUCCUUCAAAUGUCAAUUACUUCAAGGUUUUUGAGAGUAGGGCUGGGCCUUUCUCAGCAUCUUUCCUCUUUGUACAGUGCUUUGUACAUAGUGGUUGUACAGUUGUUUUUUGUAUUUGUAUUCUAUUCCAGUGGAAUUCAGUUCCCCCUAUUUUAUUCCCUCUUCUCUAUUACCUAUUGAUGUUUUCUGUGUAUAUAUCUGUUUGCUAAAUUCUGUACCUAGACUUUAGAUACUCGAUAUUGUCACAAUAUAAUUGUUAUAUUAUUAUUUCAAUUUGGGGAGGGAAAAAGACAGCUGCAUAAUGUCACCUUUAGUUGCAUUAAGACAAAUCCUAAUGAUCCACUUUGCUCAAAGGCCAGGAAAUUUUCACACUGGGAUGGGAAGCAAAUGAUCUCCAGCUCUCAGCAAUCAUUUCAGCAUAGCCAUAUCAUACCUGUCUAGUAAAGAACACUUUAGUUUCUGAAUAGAUAGAAUUGUUCUAGCUGUGUGAUUAUAGGCCCCUACUAUCCCAGUAUCUCAGAUCAAAUGCUCUUUUUGGAUCAUUGUACUGGUAUUUCAGGGGAGGGUCCAUUUUUUCCCCCUGAAAGGGGAUUUGUUGGAGUGGGAAGAUUUAUUAGACAGAAGGUCUAUAGAGCAGAGUGUGUUCCCCAGUCCAGCAGUGUCUUCAUCACCAGGGAGCUUGUCAAAAUAACAGUUCUCUGGUCCCAUCCCAGGCCUAUGGGAUGAGAAGUUCUGGGGGUGGAGCCAGCAGUCUGUGUUUUAAUAAGCCUUCCAGGUAAUUCUGAUGCACAGAAAAGUUUGAGAGCUGCUGGUCUAGAGAAUGGUUGGUCACUGAAAGAGGUCAUUCAAUUUUGAGAAUGUGUGACUUAGAGGACUUGUUCCUAUUUUCAUUCCUGCCCUGAUUCAGUUUACAACUUUGGGUCUGAGGUUUCCCAUCUAUAAUACAAGGGGUUAUCGUUGCAAGGUCAUAGUUAAUAUGUCUUACUAACUCUCAGCUCUGACAGUGUGGCUGCCUUCCUAAGGAGGAAGUUUUCUCCAGUUAGUCUUAGGGCUGCAAUGUAAUAAAUAUCUGGUUUCCCUUUCAGUCUCCUGACUUGGUAUUUGAAGUAAGAUUAACCUAAAUGAAACAUGGUAACUUUAUAACUGGAAGCUUGAUUUAUUCUUAAACUUCAGUGACCUUUUAUGGUGAGAGACCUGCUGUAAUUCUUAGCCCUGUGUCAACAUACUUGGUGAGAUGGUAGGACCGAUUUCUUGUUUCAACCUGCUAACCCAAGAUGUUCUAGCAGAUAAGAUGACUGGGUGCUAGUAUUUCUCAUAAAAUUCAUCUCUUAUUUUCCUUUUUCAUAUAUAUAUAUAUAUAUAUAUAUAUAUUAUAUAAUAUAUAUAUAUUAACAGAGAAAAAAGGGUGGGAGUAUCUAGAGUAGAGAAUUGCUGUCUUAUAAAAUCAGCAUAUUACAUAUUAAAGUUUAUAGUCUAUAAUUUUCUUAAUGUCUUUAUUUUAUAUUUGAGAGAGAGAUAGACAGAGUAUGAGUGGGUGAGGGGCAGGGAGAGUUGGAGACACAGAAUCUGAAAGAGGCUCCAGGCUCUGAGCUGUCAGCACAGAGCCUGACGUGGGGCUCACACUCACAGAUGGUGAGAUCAUAACCUGAGCCGAAGUCAGAUGAUUAACCGGCUGAGCCACCCAGGUGCCCCUAAAGUUUAUAGUCUAGAUGUGAGUGCCUAAAAUGAGUUCUAAUGGAUAAAUGCAAAGUUUUACAGCAGCUCUAAAACAAAUACAGCUAGUCACCUAGGUUAAAAACUUGGAAUCUUGAAAUAGUUCAUCUCUCUUUUUUAUACCAAUGGUCAUUAUAUGUUGUCCUAUCGAAUAAUUUUUCAUUUACAGUUUGAAUUCGUAAUUUUGUCUAGAUUUUCCACACUGCUGCCAUUGACCUCAGAGUCCCUAUGGGAGGUUUUCUAAUGAACACCUCUACUACAACAAUAGCUUCUUAGUGGCAUUUGGCAACAUGGGCCUCAAACCUUAACAUGAGACAUGAACUCGACUCUAAAAAGGAGACAUUUCCAAUAAGCUAUUUUUGCCUAGUGAGAUUUAAGUUUUAAUUAAUAAAUGUCAUACAUUUUACUGAAUAAACAGAAAUAAAUUGUUUAUUCUUCCUCAGAUGCUGCCUAUACAGGAUGAAUCUAAUUCCAGAGCUCACUUUAGUGGAGAUUUUAAUUGACUCUUUCCAAAUUAUACUAAUAGCCUAUACGAAUCCUUGACUUCAGUGUCUCAGACUGUCUGUCUGUCAGUCUGGCACUUGUUCCAAAAAAAAUAUUUUGUUUGGAAAAAAAAAAGUCUGAGACCCAAAAUAGAACAGGACUGAUAAAAUUGUGUUCCAGUUUGUGUAAAUGAUCUAACCUCCUUUUAGUCACCUGGGUCUGGAAUGGCUGUUUUAGCAAAUUUCUUACUCCAUCACCUUGUUAAAAAUACAGACGGUUGUAUAACUUUGUCUAAGCUCAUGCAUUAUUGAGCUGAUAAAUCAUAGUGGCUUUGAAAGAGCCAAUAUGCUCCAGCUGCCUCUCAUGCAAAUUAACUGCAUGUGCUAAAAUUCCUUAUGGAAAUUUCAAUGGCUAAAAAUAUUAUACACAAUUAAAACCCAAUGUUAUUUUUGCUUUUCCCCUACAAUAUUUUCUCAGUUAGUAGACAUUUUAAGAGGUUUUCAAUUGUGAUAACUUCUGGAUUUUGUUUUAUUUUAAAGGCAAAACCUACACCCCCCCACACACAAAUAUAAUAUAAUAUAUAUAUGUAUGUGUGUAUACAUAUUCUCAUUAUUAGCAGUAAUUAUGUUCUAUAAGUCACUACAAACACUGAAUUAGCAAAUACUGAACCAUUGCUCCUAGGGGAAAUAACAGGGUUAGGUUCCUGUGAGCCUCUGCUCACAUUUGGUGAACUAAUCAAUACCUAACUUUAUUUUAUGUGAUUCUGUUUAAAGACAUUUUAUGUAAUAUCUAUUGUUGAUUUAUUGACAUGGAAUGUGGCCAAUGGUACUAUAACUCANAGCGGGGGAGGGGCAGAGAGAGGGAGACACAGAAUCCAAAGCAGGCUCCAGGCUCUGAGCUGUCAGCACAGAGCCUGACGUGGGGCUCACACUCACAGAUGGUGAGAUCAUAACCUGAGCCGAAGUCAGAUGAUUAACCGGCUGAGCCACCCAGGUGCCCCUAAAGUUUAUAGUCUAGAUGUGAGUGCCUAAAAUGAGUUCUAACGGAUAAAUGCAAAGUUUUACAGCAGCUCUAAAACAAAUACAGCUAGUCACCUAGGUUAAAAACUUGGAAUCUUGAAAUAGUUCAUCUCUCUUUUUUAUACCAAUGGUCAUUAUAUGUUGUCCUAUCGAAUAAUUUUUCAUUUACAGUUUGAAUUCGUAAUUUUGUCUAGAUUUUCCACACUGCUGCCAUUGACCUCAGAGUCCCUAUGGGAGGUUUUCUAAUGAACACCUCUACUACAACAAUAGCUUCUUAGUGGCAUUUGGCAACAUGGGCCUCAAACCUUAACAUGAGACAUAAAUUCGACUCUAAAAAGGAGACAUUUCCAAUAAGCUAUUUUUGCCUAGUGAGAUUUAAGUUUUAAUUAAUAAAUGUCAUACAUUUUACUGAAUAAACAGAAAUAAAUUGUUUAUUCUUCCUCAGAUGCUGCCUAUACAGGAUGAAUCUAAUUCCAGAGCUCACUUUAGUGGAGAUUUUAAUUGACUCUUUCCAAAUUAUACUAAUAGCCUAUACGAAUCCUUGACUUCAGUGUCUCAGACUGUCUGUCUGUCAGUCUGGCACUUGUUCCAAAAAAAAUAUUUUGUUUGGAAAAAAAAAAAAGUCUGAGACCCAAAAUAGAACAGGACUGAUAAAAUUGUGUUCCAGUUUGUGUAAAUGAUCUAACCUCCUUUUAGUCACCUGGGUCUGGAAUGGCUGUUUUAGCAAAUUUCUUACUCCAUCACCUUGUUAAAAAUACAGACGGUUGUAUAACUUUGUCUAAGCUCAUGCAUUAUUGAGCUGAUAAAUCAUAGUGGCUUUGAAAGAGCCAAUAUGCUCCAGCUGCCUCUCAUGCAAAUUAACUGCAUGUGCUAAAAUUCCUUAUGGAAAUUUCAAUGGCUAAAAAUAUUAUACACAAUUAAAACCCAAUGUUAUUUUUGCUUUUCCCCUACAAUAUUUUCUCAGUUAGUAGACAUUUUAAGAGGUUUUCAAUUGUGAUAACUUCUGGAUUUUGUUUUAUUUUAAAGGCAAAACCUACACCCCCCCACACACAAAUAUAAUAUAAUAUAUAUAUGUAUGUGUGUAUACAUAUUCUCAUUAUUAGCAGUAAUUAUGUUCUAUAAGUCACUACAAACACUGAAUUAGCAAAUACUGAACCAUUGCUCCUAGGGGAAAUAACAGGGUUAGGUUCCUGUGAGCCUCUGCUCACAUUUGGUGAACUAAUCAAUACCUAACUUUAUUUUAUGUGAUUCUGUUUAAAGACAUUUUAUGUAAUAUCUAUUGUUGAUUUAUUGACAUGGAAUGUGGCCAAUGGUACUAUAACUCAUGUCUGAAUGAAGCUCCUCUAAUACAUAUGUUUUAUCCAUGGGGACUAUCACAGGCUCCUUGUGCUUAGGAACACCAGAUAACUCUUCAGUGCUAUGGUUGAGGGCCAUUUUAAACAGUGAAAUCCCCCCAACAAGCACAAAAAUGCAAAAAAAAAAAAUGUGGCAGUAAAUAUACUAUGAACAGGACACUUGUUUGCAGUCUGAGUGCUAAAACAAGAAAGCAGGCUGGGUGAGUCAGAAGAUUCAAAAUUGCUGUCACUGUGCCAUGUUUGCAAAUGACCAUGAAUGCAGUUAUGAGAACCGAUUGAUUUUGGGGUUACAAAUACAUUUUAGCAAGUAGGCACAUUUGUAAAUAUGAGAUCUAUGAAAAAUGAUCAAUUAUUUGAUAAUUAGAUGCAAAUGGAAUAUGUUAAAAAUUUAGAACUGUAAACUCAAAAUAAUAACAAUAAGUCUCAAGUAUGUUCCUACAAGUUUCUAAGUGCUCCAUUCUGAGAGUUCCUAUUCAAUGAAAUUGAAUUUAUCACAUAUUCUGACCAAUGUUGUCUUUGCUACUUUUUUCUGCUAUAUACAUAGCUCAUUAGUUUGAUGACCAAGAUUGGUUAUUUUUCCUUUGUUCUUUGAUUGAUUAGUUGUAUCUGGUUAGACAGUGCCAACAUUCAAAAGACAUUGGAUGAUCUCAUUGAACCACAGUUUAUUAGUCACCUGUGAUUUUUUUAUAUGAAUUGAAUUUUUAUAUUUUAUAAGUAGAUUUAUUUUUUUCUCUUCAACCUAUUAACCAGUCCCAUUGUCCUAUUGACCUGAAGUUACUUGUCUACUUUGAGCUUCCUUUCUUUGUCUCCAAAUGCAACCUGUAAAAGAAUAAAAACUGGAAAAAGGAAGUAACUUUCUAAUUCAUUUUAUGCAUAAGCCAGGUCCCUUUAGAUGCUUAUUAUUCAUGAUAAUAGCUAUUUUUAAUAAAAAAUAUUAUCUCUUAUUUUGAAGUUCUCCAGGUUUUCCAUGGAAGGAUAAAACCUUUGUUCCCUAUAACUUACUGUGGUGAAAAUGUACAAACACCUCAAUGUUAAUUUUAUAUCUUCAAGUAAGAAUAUAAGAAUAAGAAUAUAAAUAAAUCUAACCAAAGUGAAGUAUGUAAGUACUGAAUAUCAUAUACAUUUUCCCCCCACUUGACAAUUUCCAAGUGGAUAAAAUGUUCAGAUAUACUGAGAAAUUAUUAGCAUUCUAUAACAGAAUAUAUUUCAAGAUUGGUCGAAACUAGUUUUGUUGUUAUGGAACACUAAUUUUGUUGUUUUCUUCCAAAGAAGCUGGAUUUUGGUAUAGAUGAUACAUUUUUCAUUGACAAAUGCAGUAUCUAGAAUGUAACCUAUUUAAGAAUGUUCUGUGUGAAUUUGAGAAGAGCAUUUUCUAAGCUCCAUAGACCAAGCAGAGUAUUAACAAUGCAGUACUUAUGGUGUCAUGUUUAUUAACGCCUCGAUAGGAGGGACAGACAUGAAGCAAGUAUAGAUGUAAUUCAUUCUUCAUACUAUCUUCGUACUGUAACAAACCAACAGGAUGAAAAUAUUUGUAUAAGUGAUGUGCUUUGUCUGAUGUAUACUUUUAAAAUUGCCUUGGAAGCCCCCAGAUUUUUCAAAAUAUUUCCUUUUGUUACAUUUUUAGGUAAGGCAAAUACCUUUUCUGUGCUUAUGUGAUAAACUUGCCCUAUGUUUGCCUAGACCUAGAUCACUUGUCAGUAUGAAAGCAAUGUAAUGGUGUUUAUGAAUUAAAUGAGUUCCUCAGGGACAAAAGAACCACAAGGAAUUCAUAAUAAUUAUGUCACGACUGGAAGAACAUUGGGAGACAUUUUGCCUAACCUAUGCAUCUCUCAAAAGAGGAAACAGAGGUACAUUUUAACUAGAAAUCAGAAAGAACGUGCACACCAGCAAAAUAUUUGCCUCUUCCUUUUCCAGUUUUUGUUUAGGUUGAAACCAAAUCUUUCAUAUUCACAUAAGCUAGCAUCAUAAGGAAAUCAGGGGAAUCUCAAUGGUGGUACAUCUAUAUCCCUUCUGAGCAUUCACAGUACUCCAGGGUUGGGGAAAAAAAAGAAUAGUAUUUCUGAUGAGACAAGCCAGGAAGUGAUCCUCCUGGGGUUGCUGAUUCCCAAGAGAGGCAGAUUAACAUUCCAGAGAAGAAAGUGGCUAUGUGGCUCACACAGCAAGAGUGUUAGACUUGGCUCCCAGGCUACAGCCAGAGAGACAGAGAGAGAAUAACAAUACAUUUUAGGAAUAAUGACACAGCUUUUAUAAAUAUGUUCAUUUAAGGUCAGCCAAAUAAUGUAGUUUUUUUUGUUUGUUUGUUUGCUUUUUGGUUCUGUUUUAUAGAGUCCUGACUCUAUACCUCUUAAGUUAAUGUUAAAAAGCUCUGGACACAUUAAAUUUUUCCCAUGAUUGACGACAUUCAUUUUAAGGAUUUGAAUUCAGAAAGACACAAAGAAACUUGCCCCCAGUCCUGUGAAAUAAGAUCAUUUAUCAGCUCUGCUUUAUUUGCAAAAGAAGGUUCAGUUGCCCUUUAUAUUAUUGUUAGAGCUCAAGACAAUGUUUCUUUACUUAUGAGCAGAUGUUUGAAAUCCUCCAGGAGGUUUCUAUAAGACUAUGGAAAUGAACUUGGCAUGGGUACUGGGCUCCCAGGUGGAGCGGUGCACAUGAGCCUCCUUAGAAGUGUUAGAUCAAGGCUAGUCCGGGAGAGCAACAGAGCCUAGCCACCAAAAGCCGAGCGCUUUGGUGAGUGACAGGUACAGGCUCCUUCUGAAGCAUGAAAAGGAAUGCUAAAUGAUCUCCCUGACAGAAUAAAUCUUCUGUUUGUUUGGUCUGGACCAGAUGUGCUACAGGCUGAUGUGGAAAUGUCUGCUCAUGCCAAUUUCACUUUAAAUCACAAUUUGGCAGGCCGGGUAGUUUUGAAAGUUGCAGUCCAUUUAGCACUUUAAACAGAAAUGUUUUCUAAUGGUCUUUCCAGUUAAUUUGCAAAUCCAUACCAGGGCCCAAAUAGGGCUGUAAGAAGCUGUUCUCUAGAGAGGUGGGUCAUUUGAUCAAAGAAUUCUGUCUGGAGAUUGAAUGGGAAAUAUGGCUUUAUUUCCUGUGCUCAACUGAAUAAUCUCUAAGUAUGGACAGAGUAGUUCUGUGUGUCCAGCACUGUGCUGAGAGCAUUACCACACAUUUGUCUCUUAUUGCUGUUUCACAUGCAAGUUGCUUUAGUAUUGUAAAAACAGGAGUAAAAUGCUGAUUACCAGCUUCCAAAUGUUCUGAACAUUUCUCAAAAUCUUCAGUUAGGAAAGACCUAAAAAGACUCACUCUUCUCAACAUAUAUCAUGUACUUUGAAUCUAUGGGCGCUCUAAGUUCCAUCACAGAUGUGGCCUGUAAAGAAAUCUAUGAGGAAUUUAGAAGUUUAGAGAUAUAAAAGAUUCUCCUUGGAGAAGAGAAAUUGUGUUUUGAAUUACUUGAAAGUAUCAUGAUCUUACCUUCAUGUUUCUUCAUGGAAGUGAUUUUCAGAGCUCCAGUUAGUGAACAGACAUUUACAUUAGUAUUCACAAUCUCAUGAUGGUAGGAAUCUUGCUGUUUUUAUUAAUUUCUGUAUCCUAAGUGCCUGGCAAGAAGCCUGGUACACAGUAUCUGCUUGAUAAAAUUUUUUUUUCUUUUUUUAUGAAAUUUAUUGACAAAUUGGUUUCCAUACAACACCCAGUGCUCAUCCCAAAAGGUGCCCUCCUCAAUACCCAUCACCCACCCUCCCCUCCCUCCCACCCCCCAUCAACCCUCAGUUUGUUCUCAGUUUUUAACAGUCUCUUAUGCUUUGGCUCUCUCCCACUCUAACCUCUUUUUUUUUUUUUUUUUUUUUUUCCCCCCCCCCCCCCCCCNACACUCUCCAGUUCCAUCCACGUUGCUACAAAAGGCCAUAUUUCAUUUUUUCUCAUUGCCACGUAGUAUUCCAUUGUGUAUAUAAACCACAAUUUCUUUAUCCAUUCAUCAGUUGAUGGACAUUUAGGCUCUUUCCAUAAUUUGGCUAUUGUUGAGAGUGCUGCUAUGAACAUUGGGGUACAAGUGCCCCUAUGCAUCAGUACUCCUGUAUCCCUUGGAUAAAUUCCUAGCAGUGCUAUUGCUGGGUCAUAGGGUAGGUCUAUUUUUAAUUUUCUGAGGAACCUCCACACUGCUUUCCAGAGUGGCUGCACCAAUUUGCAUUCCCACCAACAGUGCAAGAGGGUUCCCGUUUCUCCACAUCCUCUCCAGCAUCUAUAGUCUCCUGAUUUGUUCAUUUUGGCCACUCUGACUGGCGUGAGGUGAUACCUGAGUGUGGUUUUGAUUUGUAUUUCCCUGAUAAGGAGCGACGCUGAACAUCUUUUCAUGUGCCUGUUGGCCAUCUGGAUGUCUUCUUUAGAGAAGUGUCUAUUCAUGUUUUCUGCCCAUUUCUUCACUGGGUUAUUUGUUUUUCGGGUGUGGAGUUUGGUGAGCUCUUUAUAGAUUUUAGAUACUAGCCCUUUGUCCGAUAUGUCAUUUGCAAAUAGAUAAAAUUUUGUUGAAUGAAUUAAUUCAGAUACUUGAAUGUACUUUUAUUGUUCAGUUGGUGAUUAGAGAGUUUGUUACCAAAACUCCAGAAAGAAUAUUCAUUUCUGUGGAGUUAGAUGUAAAACUUCUGCUCUUAUCAAUAUUUCUUGAUUAAAACAUCUCUGAAGACUUCCCAUCAAUAAUGGGAAAUGAACAUGAUAUUUGUCAUUGGGUCUUGGGACAAUGAAUCUGUGGUUCCAUUGUAAAAUUUUAAUUUGGACUCAGUCUUAUGAAGAAUUAUAUUAAAAAGUUAUCAUUUGUUUUUUAUCAACCUCUACCAUCUCUGUGAAGAGUACUCACAGAAUACUAAUGAUUAAAGUAAAUUUAACAUUUUGCUAUAGAGACACUGUUUAUAUAGAUAUAAAGACAUCCUCACCUUCAGAAAUACAGGAGAGGUGUUUUAGUUUUGGUUUUGGUUUUAAUAUUCAUCUCAAAUGAAAAUACCUUUCUAGUCAAGACCAAAAACCUAGAGGUCUUAUAAAAAAAAAGAAUUUAAAUUAAAAUACAGAAACCAUAACUUCUUCCUGUUAAAAAAAUAAAUGAAAAAAGUUAAAAUACAAAUUGCAAAGUAGAGGAAUAUUGUAACAUAUUUGAAAGCUCUGCUUUAAAAUCUUUCUAAGUCAAUGAAAAAAUAUAUAUAAAGCAAAAGGCACUCAAGCUCAUAUUUAAUGAGAGUAAGAUUAAUUAAAUCUCUGUCAAAAUAUCAUGUUUUCACUUGAUCUACUGAUAGACACCAAAAUGUUUGAUAAUAUACUGAAUAUAAGGAGUGAAGAAAUAGGUACUCUCAUGCAUUAUUGCUGGAGGUAUAAAUUGCUAUAUCCUAUCUCAAGAGAAAUUUCAAAAUAGACCUUAAAGUCAAGAUUAAAAUCACUUGACCUAACAGCUCCACAUCAGAGAAUUUAUCUUAUGGGUAUACCUGUACUUAUGUCUAAAAGUGCAUGUUCAAGGAUAAUCAAGAAAACUUCAUUAAUAUUUUUUGUAGUAGCCAAAUACUAAAAAUAAUCUACUGAUAUAUUAGUGGGAGUAAACUAGUUAAAUGUGCUAUGCCACACCCAUAUUAUAGGAUGGUUUGAGCCAUUAAAAAAUGUAACUUUUCCAUAUGUUCUAAAAUGAACCAGGUUUGUUUAAAAAUGAAUCAAUAGCAUUUAAAAUGCUGGUUUCUAUUCUUCAUUAGCUCUGUGUAUUUAAAAAUAUACUUUUUACGAAUGAAAUCUUGCCAUUUGCAACUAUGUGGAUGGAACUAGAGUGUAUUAUGCUAAGCAAAAUUAGUCAAAGACACAUAUAUGACUUCACUCAUAUGAGGACUUUAAGAUACAAAACAGAUGAACAUAAGGGAAGGAAAGCAAAAAUAAUAUAAAAACAGGGAGGGGGACAAAACAGAAAAGACUCUUAAAUAUAGAGAACAAACAGAGGGUUGCUGGAGGGGUUGUGUGGGGGGGCGGUGGGGUAAAUGGUUAAGAGGCAUUAAGGAAUCUACUGUUGAAAUCAUUGUUGUACUGUAUGCUGACUAACUUGGAUGUAAGUUAAAAAAUAAAUAAACAAAUUAUAAAAUUUCAAAAAAAAUCAAAACAUAAAAAUACCUUUUUAAUAUAUUUGUAGUAUUCAGAAAUAUUGGAGAAUCUGUGUGUGUGUGUGUGUGUGUGUGUGUGUGUGUGUGUGUGUAUGAUGUUAUGUGUAUCAUGGAAAAGUUAGUAAUGCCUAAUUAAACUUCACUUAACUGUCUCAUAAAGCAAUCUGUAAUAUAGCCCUAACUUUUAGUCACAUUUACACACAUUAGAAUUUGUCCAGAGAUUUUCAUUGAUAUGGUGUUUUAUCUUCCAGACCAUAGGGAGAAUAUGUUAAAGUUUUUUCCUGUGUGCGAAACUUUUGGGGCCAUUAAAGUGCCAUUUUGUAAAAUGACUGUUCCAGUGCAAUAAAUGUUGCCCUGGGAACUUGAAAAAGUUUAUUAUCCUCCUAAAAAAAUGCAUAUUUUAUUUUUUAGUCACUGCAGGAAUGAACCUCAUAAACUGGAUGAGUUUAAUGGGCUCACACUGAGCUUAAAUGGUGGUAUCCACUUUUUCAAUGCCUUUUAUCUGCACAUUGGAGGUGCCAGCCCCCACGAGAUUCUCCACAAUGCUGAGCUCCACUAACUGCUUGGCUGAUACAAUUACCCUCUGAAGGAGAAAGGAUACCUGUAAAGCUGAGGUGCCACUCAGUACCUGAACAAUUGCGUGCUGAUGUUAAAAAAGUAAAUUAUUGUCAAUCACACAAACACAAAUAUUGAAAAUGAAAUUGGAGAUGGAAGAAAUGCAAUCCUGGAAGCCCCCUUUUUCUUCUUAAUUUGUCUAUGCAGUGAAUAACCUAGUGCUGUAUACAGAUGCAGGGAAGUGUUCUUGUUGUGGAGUGUAAUCCUAAGAGUGGUCGCUGUGAUUAGUUAAUGCUGUAUGACUGAGUCUUCCGGCAGUUGUGUAGGAUGCAUUAGUAAAUUAAUGUACAUGGGUUGGUAACCUGGUGAAUGAGGUGCCAAGCUUCUCCUUGUUUUAGGUCAUGUGGGAAGGAAGGAAGUCAAAAAGUAUGGAUGAGGAGAGAGUCUGAAGUUUUAAUUGUGGAAAUUGGCAUUUUGUUUGGAAUGAUUAGAGAGAGAUGAUUUAGAAAUAAGGGUGGCAAUGACCUGUGUAUAUGUAUUUAAAACAUGUGUCUGUGUUUAAUGUAGCAUUUGUCAAAGAUAGGUUGCCAAGUUUUACUCACUCAUUUGCAUGGUUUCUCACCAUGGUUUCAAGCAUCCUUAGAAGAUUUGUGGAUGGACUUCAGGAUGACAGUGAACUUCUAGAAUUGAACAGGAGCUUUUUCUUCUAAGUUCAUUUUUCCCCCAUCACAGAGCCUAUACAAUUCCUCAGAUUCUCAAGGAGGUGAAUGUAGCUGAUGAUAUACAUAGAUCUAGUUUGUUGACAUGCACAAAAAUAUUCAAGCUACUAUAUAUCCUAGCAAACUCUUCAGAGAAGUCUAACAAAUCUGUAGAGGUACAUAGCUAAGGGGAGUGUGAAAAGAAACAGGCCCAGAAGAUUUUAGGAAGCCUCCAGAGCUGUACUUACAUAACUUCCUGGUUAUAGAAGGCAAAAGUGAUGCUCAUCACUGUUAACAAGAUACAAGUGAAUACAUCCACCUUUCUAAGCUACAGAUGCUGCACCCUAAUAGAGUAUGUCUAAAUAUAUGUAUCGGCACUCAAAAAAAAAUGAAAUAUUGCUAUUUGCAACUACAUGGAUGGAAUAAAGGGUAUUAUGCUAAGCGAAAUUAGUCGGAGAAAGAUAAAUAUCAUAUGACUUCACUCAUAUGAGGACUUUAAGAUACAAAACAGAUGAACAUAAGGGAAGGGAAGCAAAGAUAAUAUAAACACAGGGGAGGGGAAAAACAUAAGACACUCUUAAAUAUGGAGAACAAACAGAGGGUUACUUGGAUGGGUUGUGGGGGGGGAAUAGGCUAAAUGGGUCAGGGGCAUUAAGGAAUCUACUGAAAUCAUUGUUGCACUAUAUGCUAACUAACUUGGAUGUAAACUAAAAAACUAAAAGAAAGAAAGAAAGAAAGAAAGAAAGAGAGAGAGAGAGAAAGAAAGAGAAAGAAAGAAAGAAAGAAAGAAAGAAAGAAAGAAAGAAAGAAAGAAAGAAAGAAAGAAAGAAAGAAAGAAAUGCAACGUAUUUAUCCUUGUGAACAGUUCACUGAGGCUUUUCUGGUCUGGAAAUGAAUAGUUCACUGAGGCCUUUCUGGUCUGGAAACAUUCUUUUUUUUUAAAUUUUGUUUUUUAGUGUUUAUUUAUUAUUUUGAGAGAGAGAGAGAGAGAGAGAGAGAGAGAGAGAGAGAAUGAGAAUGUGAGCUGGAGAGGGGCAGAGAGAGAGGGAGACACAGAAUCUGAAGCAGGCUCCAGGCUCCGCGCUAUCAGCACAGAGCCCGACUCAGGGCUCAAACUUACAAACCAUGAGAUCAUGACCUGAGCCAAAGUCAGAUGCUUAACUGACUGAGCCACCCAGGCGCCCCUGGAAACAUUCUUUAUGGGAUCCCUUCAUUAAGCUGCCCCCAAAUUUGUGAUGAUAAAAUGUUGAAACAUUGUCAUUGUUCUAGUGUUAAAGCUUCUAUUUUUGUUGCUUUUCUUUUUCAGUAAAAAUGAGGGGUUGAAUAUUUGGUGCUGCAAAUUCACAUAUCCGUCAUUUCCUUGAAAAUGCUAAGAAGAAUAUAUGGGAAUUCAUUGCAUGCAAGAUUCAUUAUUUGUUCCACAAGCAUUUGCAGAAUGCUUAGCAUGUACCAGCAACCAGAUUUGUUGUUGGGAGUGCAAAGGUGAACAUAAUCUCUGUCUCUGUGAAGCUUGCAGAUUAAUGGAGCUGGGGGCUGGAAGAGACAGAACAAUAAGCUUUUAAUAAGCUCAUGAAUGUCUCCUGUUUUAUAUCAAACUUUCCUAUCAAUCCCAUAUUUGAGAUUGGAAUAUAAAUACUUCUGGCAGCUCUGUGUUAAGUUAGUGGGUAUUUCAGUGAUUUGCAACCUUUGGUGCCCAGCAGAUCCCCUUGCAGCAUUUUAAAUACAGUUGCCUGGGGCUGCACUCAGACCUUCUGAAUCAAUAAUCCUGGGGUUGGGGUCCUAGUGUGUACAUUUUGAAGAGCUCUCCAGUGCUUCUGAUGAGUCAUAGAUUGAGGCCCUCUGAAGUUUUAUUACAUUUUUAUUAUCUGAUCAGAAGUAUGGCUGUAUCACAAGAGUACUUAGAAAGAAAGUCAGGCCCAUUACUAGGAACCACAUACCAGUUAGGCUUUAUCCUUGCCCAGUGCCCAUAAGUCCUGUUGACAUUUUAACCUUAGGCAUGGAGUAGUCUUGCACGUUUGGUAGUUAUGUUGCUAAACUUUGUUUUUCUAAGCUGAUUAUAUUGCACUUGGUUACCAGAAUCCCGUUUACUCCAAAGGGAAGAUAAACUAUGUCAACUGUUCGAAAGUCAUUAAAAUAUACCUCGAGGAAUAGUUAAGUCCUUAUGGAAAACCCUGACACCUGUUGUCUUUUACAGCAAUCCCAAGCCUACCUCAUACAUUUUCUUUAUUUUUUUCUCUCGUUCUUGGGAGAUGAUUUCCAUGAAAAUGAGAUCUUUAUUUCUUGAGAGUUCAUCUGUUCCUGCUGCUCAGAGGGAAAAAAAAAUGCUUAAAAUUUAAGCUCGAUGAGUUGCAUUAGAAUGCGUCUCAGAGUUUUCCGCAAGGAUCAGUAGCUUUUUGUGGUCUAUCAGGAAUUCAAGCCCUGCUGCCUACCAGCUGCUGUUGGGAUGAAGGUUUGCUGGUGUCGUUUUCAUGUGGACAUGACGUUCUCAAGAGCGGCAAUUCCAGCUCCCGUGACUGCAGUAAGGGAGAAGGCUGCAUUUUCUUCAGUCUGCGCUCUUAAACUUUACCCUCCCUGUAAUCUGGUCAUGCUGGAGUCUGACAGCAGCUUUUCCUCAGAGCAUUAAGUUCCAGAUGAUGGACAUAAUACUUUAUAAACUAGAAUUUCUUUUCAUAAUUCUUUUUUUGUGUGUCACUUUCCCCUUUAUUUUAUAUCUCUUUCUAACUACAAAGUAAGUACCAAUGCAAGGAAAUGUAACAGAACUUUUAUAAUUAGGCACUAUCCUGGGUUGGCAUUUGCAGAUAGAUGGAUCAACAAAUGUUUUCUCUUUCAACUAGCUGUUUUCUUUUUGUUUUCAGUAUGCUAGUGGCUGAAAAAACUUUGUGCUGUUGUUUCAACUUAGAGUGUGAUAGGAAGGGAGGAAAAAAGUGCUAUGCUUAUGUAACAUUGUGAUUUAUUGCCUUUGGAUUUGCAUAGAAUUGGUGAUUAAUUUCUUUAACAGAGACUCAUGGGAUUCUAAAAGCUACAUAUAGCAAAUUGCAUUUUAAUAGAAUUUCCAAUAUGAGAGGAGUUAAUGCGCAUACCAAAAAACAAAAACAAAAACAAAAUAAUAUAGUUCUAUCUUUAACAUCCCCUAAAUAAUCAUGUUCUUGAUCUAUAUGGAAUUUAUAAUAAAAUGUUAUCAAAAACUGAAGCCAUGCAUUCAGAUUAAUCUAUUAAUUUUCUCUAAUUGGUUACAGAAAAUAAUACAAUGAAACUAUAUGUUCUGUUUUACAACUUUAUUAGUGAGAAAAAAAAUCCAUUUCUUCAAUUCAUAUAGUAAGGGUCCUGAGACAAGUUGGAAAGAAGUUCCUAAGAAAGCUCUUGUUUUUUGGAACCAUCCUGAAUUUCCUUUUUGCAACAUUUAUUUUUUUACUAUAUAGUAGCUUACGCUGAUGGUUACCUACUCCAGAGCCAUCUCCUCUGUCUUCUCCCACUGGCCAAACACAACAACUAGGGAGAGAGCUGGAAAAUACCAGAUACUGACUUUCUGAAUUUCCUUCCAGCUAAAAAAGACCACGUGAGCUAGAACUUGUCUGUGAUGCAUGAAGGAAAUUAUGCUGGAGUUUUCUGGAAGAAUAUUCCUCCUUGAUAAAGGGAAAAAGGUAAGGUAUAUGAAUGGGAGCCUUUGUCUUCCCUGGUUGGUUUUGUACACACCUUGUGUAAGGAUGUAAUACUUAGAACAGCUGCAUGCUUUCUGCAACCAAGAGGAGAAAUCAUUGACUUCUUGAGUGUAGCAGAGCAGAUGGAUAGACGAUCCUGGGUAUUUGAUAACAUAUGGAGUCACUGAAUCAAUCCUGAAACUGUCAAUAUUUUUGUUAUAUGAGUUGGUAAUAAAUACCCACUCUUAUAUUGGUAUGAGUAUUUUUUACUUUGGUAUUCCACACCUUUCAAUGAAAAGUAUUUUGUUUUAGUUUUUUAAUAUAUAUAUUUUUAAAGUUUAUUCAUUUAUUAUUUCUGUUAGGGAGAGAGAGAGUGAGAGCAUCACAAGCAGGAGAGGGACAGAAUCCCGCACAAGCAGGAGAGAGAGAGAGGGAGACACAGAAUCUGAAGCAGGCUCCAGGCUCUGAGCUGUCAGCACAGAGCCCAAUACAGGGCUUGAACUCACAAACGGUGAUAUCAUGACCUGAGCUGAAAUUGGGUGCUCUUAACCGACUGAGCCACCCAGGCACCCCUCAAUGAAAAGUAUUUUAAUAGAUAACUUGGCAAAUGCUAAAAGACUUACAAAGGACAUUAGAUCUGCAUAUUUAAGAGAAGUCUCAAGAUUCAGAAAUUGUCUAGUUUUAUUUAAUCGAUAAGAAAAUUAGAUAAGCUAUGAAGGAAAAGUCAGUUGAUAGACGGCAUUUCUGCAACCAAGGACAACAAUUGCAGUACAAAAAUGGAUUAGAAGCCUGUACCAAUGAAACUGAGGUGAGAAUGAAUGCACAUCAAGUGGUACUCAGAAAAGCCAGAAUCCCAAUAUUAAAGAUCAAGGGGAAGUGACAAGUUAGACACUUAAUGGAAAAUCCAAAUUGAGGUCCAUGUACUCUUUUAGGAAACUAAGCCUCUUAUAAUUUUUUGUCGAGCUUACUGAACUGGAAAAAGAAAGAAAAUCAAGUAAAAACAAGGGAUACUUUAUACAUUACAUGGGUGGGCCAUGCAAUUCAGUUUGAAAAAGUGUUAAGCUUUUAAAGUUUUUGAAAGUUUUCAAAUAAAAGUGAUUUAUCAAAGGCAUGAUGCUUUUAACAUAAGUAUGGAAAUCAGGGGAAGUAUUUGACCAAAAUUGAAUUGGAAACCUACAUAACAAUACAUGUAUUUGAAACAAGUAUAUCUGUGGAUACUGAUAGAAUUAUAUGUGGGUCUGCCAAUAGGCAAGUAGAACUUGACACUAGACAGAGUAACUCAGGAGAGAAAAACCUACACAAACUGAAUGGAAUAUAAGGCCUUCAGUGAAGGGGAAAGGCAUUAGUUAGCAUACAAUCUAAGCUGCUAUAAGGGAGAUACAAAAAUACAGUAGCUUACAUUAAACAAUUUAGAAGUGUAUUUCUCUCUCACAUGACAGAGUUAGGUAGUCUAAGCCUGGUAGAGUCAUUGUCCUUCUAAAAACAUGGCUUCCAUCCCUGGAUCCAGGUCUUGCGAAGGGAACAUAGAGAAGACAAAGGAAGUUCAUUUCUUUAAAGGGUACAACCUGGAAGGGACAAACAUUAAUUCUGUUCAUAUCUCCCUGACAGAACAAAAUCACAUGGCCGCACUUAGUUGCAAGCGGUGUUGGGAAUUCUCUGUAGCUAAGGGGCAUGUUCCUUUAUAAAACUCAAUAGCACUCUUCUUAAUGGAAUGGAGAAUGAACAUUGCAAGACAAUAGACAAUAGUCAUUUCUGAUCCAGGAAGAGUCACAGUGUAGGAAGGGAUAGUGGGGCUGUAGAGUCUUAGCUUUUAACCCCGAUGUUCACCUUGUCUUUGGGGAAAUUUUCCUGACUGAAUCUGUGAUGCAAAAUCUGUGAUUUUGGAACUAGCCUUAAUCAAGUACACCUCCUUUUUAAUGCUCUAGCACCAAUGUAGAUCCCAAUGUUACCAGACUGGAACAUUUGUGUCUUUAUUUUAGUAAUUAAAAAAAAGUUACCGAAGUAAUACAAAAAUAAUUCCCACACAUGGUUACAAAAGAUCAUAUAGGGUGUAACUUAUAAGGAAAAGCAUAAGGUUCUUGCUCCAUAGUGGCCUUUGGAACAGUGGACGCCUUUUCAAUUCCUUUGUCUUCCCACAGGUAUAUAUCCAUAUUGCAAAACAUUAUUGUGUCUAUGAGCUUUAGAUUAUUAAUUUUAGACAUAUGUUGAGUCUUAACUCACUUAACAGUAAUGGCAUACCUCUCACUCAAUAUAAUUAUGUUAAAAUUUUAGUUCCUUUACUCAUUGUCUUUGUAAUUUUAAGUAAUAUGCUUACAUCUUCAUUUCUUAUUUGGUAAAUUAUAGACGGUAUUCCUUGGUUCUCUACUUUGAAGGUGAAGAUAGUAGCACUUGUAAACAUUUCCUUCCUCUUUCAUCUACCAUUCUAACCCAAACUUUUGUCCACUUUAUUCUUACAUGUCAAGGUUGAUUAUGUUAAAUUGUAUUCAUAAACCAAAAUUAAGUAUCUUAUGAUUUGUUAUAGGUUGUUUCUAAAAGUUGAAAAAUCAAUGAAUAUUGUUUAUAUUAUUAUGACUAGUGCAGAGGAAAUAGGUUAGCAUUGGGUUUGUAUGCUAUCCUUCCUACUCUGGGGACACAAUGAUGGAGAAGGGAAAAGUGGAGGGGGUCAGAGGGGAGAAAGGGAGAAGUAACCCAUUCUGAAGGGAAACUUAGAAUUUAUAGAUUUAUGACCCAUGGCUUAUUGGAAAAUGUUAAUGUUGGAUGUGUCAUGAUCAGAGUAUAAGAAGGAGUCAUUUUAUGAUGGAAAGGGCUCCCUUUGAGUAAGUGAUGCAUUACUCUGAGAUCUUAUAUGUUAAAUCUGGGCCAGGACAUGUCCUAACAUUGUUGGGAAGGACCUGGGAAAACUUUUUGGUGGUUGCAGACUUCUCCAUGCACCUCUGUGUCUUACAGUUAUCUAUAUUCUUUCAAUUAACACUACAUUUAAUACUAGAUAAGAUCUCCCUGUUCCUUGAGAGUCUGAUUUGACAAUCCAACAAUGUUUAUUCUUAUCUGUUUCUUAAUGAUGACUACAAAAGCAAAAAUUGUGCCAUGAAUAUAUUUUCUUUUUCAUUCAGCCUUUUUUCCCUUAGAGUUUCUAUAUGCCUAGUUUUUUAUUCUAUUAUUAUAUUUGAAUAUAUGUGUUUGAGUAUAAUAGUAUAUAUUAUUAUAUUUCAGAGUAUCAUUACAUUUUUAUCAUGCCCUCAUUUCUCUUAUUAAGAGAUGCCUUAUUAAGAAAUGUUGAAUGGAAAGCAUUUUCUGAGUCCUUACAUAUUAAAGGUAUCUGUAUUGAUUUUUCACAUUUGAUUGAUCCAUUGGCUGCUAUAGAAUUCUAAUAAAAGAUAACUUUCCCUCAUUAUUGUGAAGUUAUCAUCACACAGCUUUUGAAUUUGAUGUUUACAAGUGUGAGCACAUGAAUGUAUGUUAGCACAUCCCCUUAGUAUAUUUCACAAAUGAUUUUAAUUUUAUUAUUUACUUAUUUACUUAAUUUUAAGUUUAUUUUAUUUUUAUUUUUAGAGAGAGAGAGAGAGAGAGCAAACAAGCAGGGGAGAGAGAGGGACAGAAGGAAAGAGAGAGAGAGGGGGGUAGAGAGAGAAUCUUAAUCAGGCUCCAGGCUCAGCACAGAGCCCCACACGAGCCUUGAUCCCAUGACCCUGGGAUCAUGACCUGAGCCAAAUUCAAGAGUCAGACACUCAACUGACUGAGCCACCCAGGUGCUCCAAAUGAUUUUAUUUUGAAAAGAGCUUUGGUUUUCAUUAACUCUUUAAAAAAAUUCUUUUUAAGUUUAUUUAUUUAUUUUGAGAGAGAGAGAGAAUGCACAAGCAGGGGAGGGGCAGAGAGAGGAAGAGAGAAUCCCCACCAGCCUCCACACCAUCAGCACAGAGUCUCACAUGGGGCUUGAACCCACAACUGUGAAAUCAUGACCUGAACAGAAACCAAGAGUCUGGCACUUAACUGACUAGCCACCCAGGCACCCCCAUUAGCUCUUUUAAAAGUUGGCCCAGAAUUGCCUGGAGUCAUCUGAAGUUAAGCAAGUCAUUUCACCUCUAACAUCUCAGAUUUUUCAUCUAAAAUUGGGGACUGGAAAAGUUUCCUUCCCAGUUUUAUAAAUGAUGAUAAUGAUAAAUACUAUUUUUUUUUCCCAAAGAGUUUUGUUAUCUAUCUUUUAUUGUUCUAACACUCCUUCAUGAAUACUGGAAUAGUAGGUAAGACCAUUUUUGUUAUUCCCAUUUUAUUAAUGAAGAAACUGAAGUAAAAAAACCAUUAAAUAACCUGCUAAAGGUAAAAAUGGCUUUGUUUUAUUUAAAAUACUAUGUUAAAAGUUUGAAAGAUGUUCAAAUCAUAACUUGGCUUAAAAUGAAGUGUUCUAUGUUAAUCUUUUGCCAAAAGUAUUCUCUUAACAUUUUCCCCUAAGGACUUUCCCCUUGUAUCAUAAAACAAAAAUCAUGCUCUCUAUCUACUAAAGAGGUUUUAAAAAUUUUGAUCCAUUGGUACAUUUAUGAGCAUGAAAUAUGUGAGCAAAACACACACACACACACACACACACAUACAUACAUGCACACGCACACACAUACCACCAGCAAACAGGAUUUUACUGAGCAGUACAGAUAAAGGGAAGAUAAAUAUUUUGUAUCUUUGGUACAUGAGAGUGGGCUUAAAAUUAUACUUAAAUUUUUUUGUUGUAAUAAUUUAAUGUCAUAGGACAUUUGAAGAGACAUUUUUUUGUGUGUUUACCUAUGCAUAGCUAUAGAAGACUGGUUACUUCAUUCCUAGCAAAGAAAAGAGAUCAUUAAACACCACAGUUUUUGUUUUUGUUUUUUAAAUGAGCUAAAACUUAAUUAGAUCCAACAUUACUAGGCACUGAAGAGAACAUAGAUUUAAUCCCUGCAUGUGAGCUUAAAGAUAGGAGUAAACAAGUCUGUAAAGAGGGAAAAUGAGAAUCAUCUUCUAUUCCUUUUAAUAAUGAACUUUUUGAUUUUUUUUAUGGUAAGUCAUGUAUAUUAUAGACAAUUUGAGAAUACAAAAGAUAAGACAAAACAAUAUGUCACCCAGUGAUAUAGUUAAUAUAUGGCAUGCUUACUUUUUUUCUUUUGUCAAAAUUCACUUUUAUUAGUAGAAAAUAAGCAUUUAUUCCACUUUCAAAGUUGUUAAAGUUCCUAAUAAAAAAUUAAUUUAAAAUGAUAACUUAAAAAUCCUGUUUUGACUAAGACAGUGAAACUGUAGAUUAAAAAAUGUAUUCAGCUCUAUUUACUCAUAGGUAUUUCAGAAUUUAUCCUUAAAAAUUUCUGGUACUUUCCUGUCUGUAAAGUAUCAGAAUCAUUGACCUACAUGAGAUAGCUUCUCUGGGACAUUCAAUAAGUGAAGCAGCCUUCAUAAAAGGAAUCAAUGUUUGUUCAACAUGGUGACUUGGAUUGUACAACGAUCCCCUCCUACCAUUUUUUUACCCUCCCACCAUUUUAGUUCAAGAAGAAUCUGCUUCUAACUACUGAGGUAUGAGGAGUUGGGCUGUUAUUUGCUUUUAGAAUUGGUCUUUCUGGCUAAUAACAGUAACUCUGGCACUGAUGCUAUUGGUCCUUAAUGUGUCAAUUUUAGGAAAUUCUGUAAAUAGUUUGGAUUUUGUUCCAUUCAUUCAGAAAUUUUUAAAAAAGGAACAACUCAGAUAAAAUAAAAAUAAAUCAAUCAGUAAAAAUAUAUGUGCCCAGUAACAGUGUUUGUUUUUAAAAUAUUGAAAUACUUCCUUACCUUUCACCUAGAUAUCUGUUUUUUAGAGAUUCUUGAAUGUCCCACACUGCCCUAGAAACCCUGGCCCUUUGUUUCUUUCUAUCUAUGCCUCACUAUUCUGCAGUUCAUGGACUGAUGCUUCAUACCUGGAGCAGCAUUAUUCUUAAGUAAUUCUUAAUGUCUUAACUCGUUCACAAAAUGCUCUUUAUAUCUUCCAAAUGGAAUGAAUAUUUCACUCAUUCCUACUAAUCCUUUCCACUUUGCCUUCUGGAUUUCCUGAGAUAUGAUUUAAAAACAAAAAAAAAAUCCACUUCAUCAUGAAUUCCUUGGAACAUUCCCUUCAUCUUGCCUUUUUUCUGAAGAUUCUGUUUCCUUGCCACCUCUCACAUGGAGAUUGGUUUUUCUUUCACAUCCUAAGUACAUCAGAAGGCUAAGAGUUUGGAAAAACAUCAUCCUCACUACUUGUUUCUUCUUCCUUCUUUUCUACUCCUUUGAUACUUUUUUUUUUUUAAUUUGAGGUUUAAUUGGUAAUAGUUUGCUAAUGGCCUUGCCUUCUUCAGUGGUGUCAUCUACUAGCUCCCUGGUCAUUCAUUUCAUUUGUGUUCUUGGCUCAGUCAUCUCCUCUUCUAGUUCCUGAUCAUUCUCAUUGGCUUCAAUAUCCAAGAGAUGAACAAUCCAACCCACUGGCCUGGGCCACUGAGAUUGGACUUUGUUGGCACCAGCAGCACCCCAUCUCUGAAUAUUGAUUUCAAUCCCCCUACUUUCUUCUGCCUCUUAUCCUUCCAGCCAUUUUGAUUUACUGUCCACUACUGCCAAUAUCCUAUAACCUCAUGGAUCCACCAGUCCCACUGAUUCCACCACUCUUCUUUUCACACCUUCCUCUCUUCACUUGUCUCUUUGUCCAGCUGAAAUGUUGCUCCCUCAUGAUAUUCACUAACUUGAACAUUUUUUCACCUCUAAUUUUAAUUUUCCCUUCGUUGGUGCUCACCAGUGAAUUCCAACCUGAAUUGAACCAAACAUUUACCUUCUCCGUGCCUCAAGAAAACAGAAAAUUCCUAGAGAGACUCAUACAUUUGAGCUGAUAAUAUUCAUUUUAUAUUAGCUUAUUUUCAGAAACCUCACAGGAUCAUUCAAUAAUUUCCUGUAAUCCUACUGUUUAUCCAGAAUGUUGUAUUUCUUACUUGCUGCAUAUACUAUUUUAUUCCUUCUUUAGUCUCCUUGGUCAUCACACAUCUCUUCUGUUCAUUCUUAUCACAAACUGUGUGCCAUACUUUCUGGGAAAAAGGAAGCCAUUCAGUGGGAACCCCUUUAUUUUCUACCACAGAAUCCACAAACCUCAUGUGUCCUCACACAUUUCCUCAUUCCUCUCUCUUGUUCCUUACAUUAGGGAAGCUUUUCCUUUCAAAGAUAGGUCUUUCCUCUUUGUUCUGCAGUCCAUCUGCUUUUAUAUACUUCAGGGUUCUGCAUGCUCAGCUUUUCCUGUCUGCUGCAUAACUAGUCUCUUCCUGUCUCUGGAUCAUUUCUAUCAAAUGUAAAGCUACUCUAGCAACUUCCAUUUUACAAAAACAAAAAUGCUACGUUUUCAUUUCUACUGCAUUUUUUCAUUUCUUGAGUUGUUAUUUGAUUCUUAAAUAUCAGUCUUUUUUCUUUUCUUUUAAUAUUUUUUAAUGUUUAUUCAUUUUUGAGAGAGAGAGAGAGAGAGAGAGACAGAGCAUGAAUGGGGGAGGGGCAGAGAGAGAGGGAGACACAGAAUCUGAAGCAGUCUCCAGGCUCUGAGCUGUCAGCACAGAGCCUGACAUGUAGCUUGAACUCACAGAUCAUGAGAUCAUGACCUGAGCCGAAGCCGGAUGCUUAACCGACUGAGCCACCCAGAUGUCCAAGUAUUUUUUCUUAAUUAACCUGUUUUCUGGAUUUUAUUCCUUCCUUUAGCUUUUUGAACAGUUUAAAGUUCCUUUUAGAUUGCUCUGGUUGUACAGAAUCAUUUAUGUAAUUAUGCAAGUUCCUUUUGCCUGCCAAGACAAUUGCCCAAUUCUGAAUGGGUUUUAUUUCUGUGUCUCAGCUCAAGGUUUCAAGUUCUACACUGUAUGAGAUUGCAGACAGAUCCCAUAUAGACUUGUGGGCAAAGUCUGAAUGCUCAUCUCUCAUGUCUCUUUCCACUCAUGAUUUGAGACAAGCAGUAAGAUGCUCUAGUCCUAUGCCAAGGAAUAGAGAUUUCCUGUGCAUUCUCAGUAGAUUACCCCUAAAAAACAAAGCAAAAUAAACUUAGCUACAUUCUGAGUUCCCUCCCCCCAGAUGGACUCCUAUUCUUGGUAGAAGUGAAGUAAUUGUCAAGGGUCAAACUUGGUUUUGCUUAUCUAUAGUCUGUCCAUCAUGGAAAGAUAACCACUCUUUAAAGGUCAGUUUUCAUGUGCUAUCCCCAGAGCAGCCUAAGAGGGCUCCACUCCAGACCAACAAGAUAAGAAUUUACAUUUUAACAAGAUCCCCUGGUAAUUCAUAUGUACUUUGAGGCCUCUGAGGCUAAAUUCCAAGAGAUCCAUGAAAAAUAAAAUUUAAGUUUUAGAAAAAUUUCUCUAUUCAUCUGAUUAUAAGUGAAAUAGUCUGUAAUAGUCACAUUAUGAUGAAGGCAAGAGAUAACAGUAUCCUUUCUUUCUGAUCUAAAAUACACAAAUUAAAUGGGGAGGAUGAACUAUAACAGUUCUAAUAGAAGAAUAAAAUUACCUUUUGAUAUUGCCAUGUUCUGGUUGAUAAUACUCUAUUCACUGUAUACUUUUGUGGUGUUCUUGAAGUUUCCCUACUUUUGGAGAAGUGGCUCGUGGGAGCCAAUCCUUUUUUCCUUAGGGUGUUUUGUAGAUCCUCACUGUUUCUGUGGCAGAUCUUGUUCUUCAUAUCUUUAGAGAUGAUUUUCUCUAUCAUGGGAUAGAUAUAUAUUUUUAACGGGGUAAAAUACCAUCAAAAUGUGACCAGUCACCUGGGCAAACGGUGUGCCAUUUUAGAAAGGAAUGCAGCUCUUGAGACAAAUUAUGACUAAUGUUAUAAAUGCUAAACCCAAGCAAAACUAUAGUUGGGUCUUCUCCUAGGAAGAAAGUUUGGCAACUGAACCAGAGCGGCCCUCUCAAUGUUUUCCUUUAAGAGAGAAAAAGGAGGCUAAACUGUUUUAAAAUCUUAAAUAGGAGAAAAAGAGUUUUCCUGAAAUCCAAGUUUUUUUUUUUGUUUUUUUUUCAACGUUUAUUUAUUUUUGGGACAGAGAGAGACAGAGCAUGAACGGGGGAGGGGCAGAGAGAGAGGGAGACACAGAAUCGGAAACAGGCUCCAGGCUCUGAGCCAUCAGCCCAGAGCCUGACUCGGGGCUCGAACUCCCGGACCGCGAGAUCGAACUGAAAUCCAAGUUUCUUUAGGGUAUAUACUAUUAAAGCAUGAAAAAUUCAUGCAUAAAAAUUUUAACUUUCAGAUCUCAUAUACCUAUAAUGCAAUGUUAUUAAUAAUAAUUAAUGAUGAACAUUUAUUGAGAUUGUUGCACUAUGUACUUAAUAUGACUAUAAUGCUUGAUUUUCACCUAUCAGGUAGGCACUAUUCUUUUCAUCAUUAUAUGGAGUCAGAAACAGAGGCCCAGAAGCUAACUCAUUCAUUGUCUCUGUUGGUAAGGAGUGUAGUUGAACUAUGAACUCAGGUGAUAUGAUUUUAGAACUUGGGAUUAGAACCCCUGUGUUAUACCAGAGGGUUUUUUUUUUAGCAGAUACACACAAGGGACAUAUUUCCCAGACUUGCCUAUAGGCAUCACCCAGGAAAGUUGUUCAAAAUAUUCCUUUCUGGGUCCCUCCCUUGAGGUGGAUGCCAGUAAUCUGUAAAUUUAAGUAGCUUCUUGAGUAAUUCUUAUCAGGAAUGAUUGGGAAAACAUGCUCAAGGGAUCAUGAAAAAAAUGCAAAUAUGUGAGCAAUUUAAAAUCAACUAAAAUCAGGUUCUUUCUCUUUUUCAUAAUAUAAGGAGGGAAGGAAGCUCAGAGACCCACUAGGGAGAGUUUCCUGGGAAGGAAGGCAUAUUUAACUAAAAAUAAUCAUUAUAUAUGUUAAAAUAUUAGAGACAGUUUGAUAAUAGAGGAGAGUCUGGUUGCUGGACUUCUACUGUACCUCCUUCUUUGUAAUAUCUACCAAGAAUUUUGUCACUGAUCAUAGUCAGAUAAGGGGUAGACAUUCACAAGGGUAAACUCCUAUCUAAAUGGUCAAGUAGAAUAUUCUUUUUCCCAUGAAGUUUCUUAUGAUAAUCUAUUAUAUAUUCAGGAAUCAUGGAUUUUAGAACACUUGCACCUGAUAAAAAGAGAAAAUAAUACUAUAUCAAUAAAGUACAACAUUCCUGUAAUUCAAAUGUACUUUCUACACAGAGAAAAUCAAUAUUGCUCCAGGAAAGGUUUUAGGUAUAUGGCUAACUGAAAUUUCUCAAGGUGAGAAUUUUUUUGAAGAGUCAAUAUUUGAAAGAAAUGGAAUGCCAUGAUUAAGCAAUCCCAAAAUCCAAAAGGUGGAACAUUCUACAGGAGAACUAUCUUAUGUCUUGAAAGCAUGAAAAGAAACAAACCAAAAAGAGUGAGGCUGUUGUAGAUUAUAAGAGACUAAACAGAUAUAAUAAAAUGCAGUGUGAAAAUCUAGACUGGAUCCUGGUUCUGCUCAAAAGAAAACAGUUACAAAAUUAAAAUUUGGAGAAUUGGAGAAAUUAAAAUAUGGACUAAAUAUUAAAUGUUAUUAUAGAAUAACUUAAUUUUCUUAGGUCAAAGUGACUUUUGGUUCUUUAGGAGAUGUGUGCUAAAAUAUUUAAGGAUAAAGUGCCAUCCAUAAUUUUUCAGCUUUUAAAUGGUAUAGAUAUAUGUAUACACACACAUACAGAUAUAUACAUAUGUAUACACAUACAAACAUGUAUAUACAUACAAACAUAGCAGCACAGAUAGGGAGAGGGAGAGAAAAUAUGGUAGAGUAUUCUGUCAGCUAUACUUUUUCCUAUUGAAAGAAACAAGAACUCUUUAGAGAUAUGGGUGAUUCUAAGUCUGAAGUAGAAAUGUACAAGAUGAACCUCGAUAUUUUAUUGCAGCAGAUACCAAAGGGAACUGUCAAAGACUACUAGCUUUGUGUAAAAAGACUCAAGAGACAACUUGAAAGGUUUCCUCUGGCCAAACAUGGGACAAUUUGAGUAUAAAUAAGGGUAAUAACUUCGAUAGAAUUAAGUACAUCAAAUAUGUUUCAAUCUAUGAGUUUUUAGUAUAUAUUAAUGAAGAAACAGUCAUCAUUUAAAGGAUGGACUAAUUUGAAAGGUAAUAAAACAAAGGAUAGAAUAUUUAUUUUGCCUUUUAUAUACAUACAACUGUACUACUGCACAAGUAAAUGGUAGAUAAGGGGACAUUGCUUUUAUAGAAGUUUAUUAUCUAAUAAAUGAAGAAAUAGAACUAAAAUAUCAGUGUUUUAUAACUCCUAAUGAAUUAAUGGAUCUGUGUACUGCACAUAAAUGGUCGUUAACAUCCAUCAUAAGAAGAGAGACAACUAGUGGGUACAAGCCCCCAAUGGAGCAACAUACCAGCUACUAGGAAAUACCCAAAGAUAUCACUCCUGAAUCUAAGUGUUUAGGUCCAACUACAAAUUCACAAGAAAUACAGAAAUCAGGGGAACAUAUUUAAAUUUUUUUUUUCAACGUUUAUUUAUUUUUGGGACAGAGAGAGACAGAGCAUGAACGGGGGAGGGGCAGAGAGAGAGGGAGACACAGAACCGGAAACAGGCUCCAGGCUCUGAGCCAUCAGCCCAGAGCCCGACGCGGGGCUCGAACUCACGGACAGCGAGAUCGUGACCUGGCUGAAGUCGGACGCUUAACCGACUGCGCCACCCAGGCGCCCCUGAGGGAACAUAUUUAAAAACAAACACAAGAAAAGCUUCACAGGAUGCACUCAGAAAAAUCCAGAUUGUAGAAAAAUCUACAAAAUGAGUACCUAAUUUUGUCAACAAAUAGAAUAUAAAUGAGAUGGAGAAAGAAAAUCAUAGACUAAAGGAGGCUUAAUAGAUUAAUAUUUAAUUGCCAUAUGUGGGCCUUAUUUGGAUCCCGCUUCAAACCAACAAGUGAUUAAAAAAUAUUUAUAAUAUGAUGCAACUUUUGAGCAUUCAUGGGAUAUUUGAAGUUAUUAAGCCAUUUUUUUUUUAGGUAUUAUCAUGCUUUUGUGGAUAUAUGGUUUCCAUUUUGAGCAGAGUUUUUCUCUUUUAGAGAAACAUGAAAGUAACUACAGAAGAAGUGGCACAAGGUGUAGGAUAUGUUCUAUAAAAAUAUGGAGAGGGAGUAAAAGUAGAAGCAGCAAGGCUUGCUAUGAUAAUGUUUAAAUCUUUUGAAAAUAAGAAUUUUAUUGAUACUCUGUCUAUUUUUAUAUUGAGUGGCUAGAAUUUAGCUUGUAAUGAGAGAGCAAAAAUCUUCCCGGCCAUUCAUUUGGUUGAGUUGACAGGCACAAAUGUUAGCUGCAGAGUUAAUAAGGAGUUUUUCUCUUCAGGACCUGGCUGUGGCUGUUCUUUUUCUUCAAGAAAAAGCAAAACAACUAUGAAAUUGUUACUAUUGUAAUCUGCAUUUUACAGAAUGAGGAAACUCAGACAGAGGGGGAUAAAGGCAAUUGUCCAAGUUAUACUCCAAUUUGCAGUGGAGACAGGUUCCAUAUCCAGGUACUCUGUAUUUAAGGCUCUGUGCUUAACCAUGCUGAUGUAUAUCGCUGGGCUGAGAUUUUCACUGGGGUGUUGUGACCUAGCAUGGUUGUCAAAGUUUUCUUCAUAUGGAUCUUACAAGGAACUUCAUGGCUUAUUUGAUGGGUGCAGAUUCAAAAUUAGGUGUAGGCCAAGGAAAAAGGUCAUAUGACAGGGUUAUGCCUCUAGAGUCCCAAGACUUAUGAGUUGAAUCCAUUUUGAUAUAUGGAAACAUGUACCAAAUAGAUAUAAGUAUGAAUUUUGGAGAUGGUAGGGAUGAGUAAUCAUGUUAUUGUUUCUUUUAUCCAUAUGCAAAAUUGGGAAUGAAAAUAUUUCCUUUAGUGUUAGAGAAAUGCUAUUUCCAAGAAGUGAGAGUCGAGAAAAUAUUUUCCCAUUGCAUUGGCCCUAGUAAAAUUGGUAUCUUCAAGCAAGAUAACUGACUGAUCAGAAUGAAUCUAAAAAGAAUCCCAGCUUAUUAAAAACCUUCCCUAUGCUAAUGUGUUUAGAUAUUAGAAACAAAUUGAUUACAUCUCUAAUAUAGAAAAGAAAGAAAACUGAUAUCCUCUAGGAAUCAUCAGGGAGAAUUUAAUAAGCUGCCUUAAAUCACUCAACCUACAACAUAUCUAAAAUGUUAAUUAAGCAACUUUUUUUUUUUUUUUUUUUUUAUCCUCACCUCUGCUCUGCUGGCUUUAGUAAAAGCCUGUCUGCCAGCAUAACUCUCUACAGGUAACUCCAAUUCUGUUUGAAGUUGGUGAUCUGGGUUUGGCUCAUAACAUUCACAGUAGAUUUACCUGAAAGAUCAAUAAAAGCAUGUUCAAAGCUAGAUUGGCUUCAUAGAGCUCAGGAUUUUUAUUAAUUCAUAUAAACUUCCUAAAACUUUCACCGUAAAGAAAAAAGAAGGAAACUUGAGAAUAUUCACAUCGUAAGAAAUUGAAUUGGUAUCAUGGAGUUUCAGAAUUGGUUUGGAGUCCGUGAAUCCCCUCACAUGUCAGAAUUUGUGGAAGCACCAAAUGCUGUCUUUCUUAAAUCUUCUAGGAGGUCCUAGAAUUGUCAAUCACAUCAAAAAGAGCUUGAUAAGCACCAAUCUCUUUGUCGUGGAUGCUGUGCAAGGUUAGUAACAUGGAUUUUGCCCUUUGUGAACAGAUGCCACCGAUCUCAGUAGACUAUGCAUAUCUAGGUGUUAACUGUAUGCUUGACUAAUUCUGUAAAGGACUUGUAAAGACUGUAAUAAAGAAGUUGACUCAGUUAAAGAAGGUAUAUAGGUUUUAUAUGGACAAUGAGAGGAGGCUGUGUCCUCGUACUUGGGAAAAGAAGGGUCAGGUAACAUUUUAGGAGGCAUCUAGUAAUAGAGUAAAAUAAAGCAUGGCUUUUUAGAGCCAAAUAACAAUCUAAGUUAAAGAGUUCUGCACAAUUUGCUAAACUCUUUGAACUUCAGUUUCUGUUAGUUAAGGAUAAGAAAAAAUAAUUGUUAUUUAAAGGAAGUAAUCUGUUUUCUCAUUUAAAGAAUUAAGGAUUUUGAAGGACUAUUUUGAAAUAAUAGCUCAUGAAUUAUAAUUAUAUAUUUUGAAAUGUGGGGUGAUAGAAGGAAGGAUAUUUAUUACAUAUUCUGGGGUUUGGAGAGGCUUUCAUGGAAAUAGCAUCACUUUUAUAGCUUUGUGUUCAAUAUAAGGGUUCCUGGCCAAGAAAAGUGGGGAGUUUCAGCUACAGAGAAUGGAGGGGGAUAAUUGAUGUGUACUUUGACUGGCAUUUAUCACUUUCUGGAAGAGUGAUCUCAUGUAAGGACAAUUAUUUUCUUUUUGUUGGGAGAGGUAAUAUUCCUGCUUUUUCAAAUUUAGGUUUUUUUUUUUUUUUUUUUUUUUUAAGACUGUAUGGUUUGACUAAGAGUGUAAAAUUAGGACCUAGAAACUAAUCAACCAGCAGAGAAGCUUUGAUCUUUAAAAUGCUGGAAUUAUCUUUAAUCAGAGGAGAUUUAAAUUGGCUAAAUAGUGGGAUUAGGGCAAAAUUAUCAUCAUUUUGUGCACUAAAAUGUUGAUUCUUUUUCUACUAAUGAAAACAUUUCUAUGAAUAAGAAUACAGUCUUCUUUUUUAAGGAAAUGAUCUAUUGCUUUCUAAUUGGUUCAGUUUUAAAAAUGAUUUUACUUUUUAGCACAGCUUUACUAUCAGUAUCUACCAUAGUGAAAUAUAAAUGUUGACAUAAGAUUUAUUAUACUCACCAAUGUUUUAACUCUUCUCUCCAAUAGCAUACUGCCAGUAAUUUAUGUGAGGAAGUUUUAUCACAACUAUUUUUACCUCUAGAAAAACAUGUUGGUAUCUGAGCAUGAAUUUCACCUUUUAUUCUAUGGGAUCCCUAUAAGGGACUCUAUGGAAGAUUGAUUUGAAAUUUAUUUUUUAUAUAUGUUUUAUAAGCUGUAACAAAAGCAAUAUAUAUACUCAACAUUGAUAUAUAACAUACUUGACUACCAGAUUAACCAAAUUUGCACUGAUCAUGGAAAUCAGUGUCCUGAAACAUGCGUAUAUUUGGACAUCUUGUAAAUGGGUCAUUGGUCUUUUAUUCAUUUAUAAAUAUCACUGAUUGAGUUUCAGCUAGGUUUUUAAAAAAGUUUUUAAAAAUAUUUAUUCUUGAGAGAGAGACAGAGUGCUAGCAGGGGAGGGCAGAGUGAGAGAGAGAGAGACAGAGAGAGAAAGAGAGAGAGAGAGACACACACAACCAGAAUCUGAAGCAGGCUCCAGGCUCCAAGCUGUCAGCACAGAGUCUGACACGGGGCUUGAACCCACAAUCUGUGAGAUCAUGACCUAAGCCAAAGUCGAGUACUUAACUGACUGAGCCACCCACGUGCCCCCAGUUUCAGUUAGGUUUUAUAGGAGCUGGAUAUGUGUAUUGGUUUCCUUAAUUUCAGUGCAGUUUGUUCACAAAUUGUCCCCUGUACACAAGGACAGGGGAAACUGAAGAAAAAGGCAGGCCACUUUAGAUUGGUAGUUUUAAGAGGUAAGUGUUGGAGGAGGUCAUUGAGAGAACGUGACCACCAGAUGACCCCAGAGCUGGACCUGAGUGAUCAGAGGCUCUUUUACUCCCUCCCCCCAUCCUUAGAAUGUGCAUUUCAUUUGCUUUUCCCACUCCCAGAAGCUGCCCCAAGGACAUAGUCUUGAGAUCGUAAUGUGAUGUUGAGACAUCUGGGUGGUAUAUGUGGCUGAGCCCGGUUAAAGCCUCUGUUUAGGGGCACCUGGAUGGCUCAGUAGGUAAGCAACCGACUUCAGCUCAGGUCAUGGUCUCACGAUUUGUGAGUUUGAGCCCCACAUCGGACUCUGCUGUCAGCACGGAGCCUGCUUCAGACCUUCUGUCUGCUUCUCUCUCUCUCUCUCUCUCUCAAAAACAAAUAAACACUAAAAAAAAUUAAAGCCUCUGUUUAAACAUUUAUGAUUCUGGUGGAAAGGUGUGGAGAUCUACUCCUCUUGUGGCGGCUCAAGACAAGCCUCAUUUGUAAGUUCUCUUGUUUAUUUCUUUUUUUAAAAUUUAUUUUUGAGAGAGAGACGGGGGCAGGGCUCAAACUCACAAACCGUGAGAUCAUGACCUGAGCUGCAGUUGGACACUUAACUGACUGAGCCACCCAGGCACCCUGUUUUCUCUUUCUUCUGUGUCUCCCUGUCCUCUGUUUAUAAAUUAUCUUUUCUCUUUCUUCUGUGUCUCCCUGCCUUCUGUGCAACAUGGGCCAGUUUGAGAUUAUUCUCGGGAAGCUUCUGGAGGAGGUUUUGAACCAACAACAAGGAAACUUAACUGGGUUCAGUCGUGUGUACUGUCCCGAAAAUCUCAACAAAACAUUACUACCUCAAGGCUCUACCCUUGUGGCAGCUUCUCCAGGUGGGUUGUGGGGAGGCAAGCGGAACACACGUUUUAAGGAUAAGGGAGGUGUGUGAGGAAGCUCCAAUUGCCUGGAUCCAGUUCCUGAGCCAACUGACAGUUACAUCCUCUUGGUGAUCUCCAACAGGUAGAAAACUUUUUGUCUAUUUACUUGAUUAUUUAAUUUAUCCUUUUAUUUUUUUUUAUUUUUUUUUAAAUUUUUUUUUUAUUUUAUAUAUGAAAUUUAUUGUCAAAUUGGUUUCCAUACAACACCCAGUGCUCAUCCCAAAAGGUGCCCUCCUCAAUACCCAUCACCCACCCUCCCCUCCCUCCCACCCCCCAUCAACCCUCUGGAAAGCAGUGUGGAGGUUCCUCAGAAAAUUAAAAAUAGACCUACCCUAUGACCCAGCAAUAGCACUGCUAGGAAUUUAUCCAAGGGAUACAGGAGUACUAAUUUAUCCUUUUAAACUCAUGUUGCUAUUCAUCUCUCAGGUGACAAACAACUCCUUAAUUUAUUAUUAAUUCAUUCAUUUAUUCAUUAGAUAUUUACUGAGAAACUUCUUUGUGCUAGAUUUCUAGAAUUGCAAUAGUAUACAAAAUAGUGUCCCUACUCUUACAGAACUUACAGCUAGCAGGAGAGACUUUAAUAAGCACAGAAGCAAGUAAUUACACACUGAGGAAUGCUUGCUAUAAAGGAAAAAAAAAGAUUAGCAUUAAGAGAGUAUAAUGGACUACUUAAUUUAGAAAGGAGGGUCAGGGGAGACCCUCUUUAUAAAGGAGAGUUUAGACUGUGACAUGGAAGUUGAUAAAGAAUUAGGUAAAAAAAAGUCUCUGCACAGGUCCUGAGAGGGAACACUCUUGGACCUUUGGGGGACUUAAAGAAGGCCAGCAUGUCUGGUGAAGUAGGUGAGGGUGAAUGAGGAACAAGAUGGUAAAGAAGUAAUAGGGCCAGAUGAUGAAAGGUCUCAAAGGUAAAGGAAAGGAGGUUAGAUCAGUGAGAAUCCCUUUAGGAGUUUGAGUAGGAGAGUGAUAGUAUAUUUAAGGAUUACUUUCAUAAUAUGGAGAAUGGAUUGGAGGUAGACAGGAAUGGUAUGAGGCAGACCUGAUAUGAGGGUAGUAUGAGUCCAGUUUGAUGGUGACCUACACCAGGAUGGUGAUAGUGGAAGUGGAGAGAACUGGGCAGAUUUAAGAUCUAAUCUGAGAAUGAAAUGGCUAUAACUUGAUAAUGCAUAGGAGUAUGCAAAGGGGAGGAAAGUGUCAAGUAUAGCUCCUGGGUUUCUGGUAUGAGCACCUGGAUAGUCAGAGAUAGAGAACACUGGAGAAGGUCAUUUUGUGGAGAAAGAGGGAAGAAUUCAAUUCUGAACAUUUUAAACUUAAGAUGCUUGAGAGUCAUCUGAGCCGAAGUAUCAAAUAAGGAGAUCAGUCUAGAUCUUAGAAGGAAGUUUUGAGAAUUGCAAAUACAUUCUGGAGUUAUUGGUGGGUGAGGGGUAUAUGAAGAUGAGGGGGUGGGGCAGAAUUAUCUUUUGGACACAGAAUUUGUGGUUUAAAAAGUUGUAUUUCCAUCUUUAUAUACCUUACAUCUAAGUAUCUGCAUCCAAAUGUUCAUGGCAAAUAGGCUUUGUUAAACUGUGUUACUUAAAGGGAAAUGGUUACAAUAAUUAUUGCUGUCAAAUGUCAUUUGCUUGGGGUAACUGGGUGGCUCAGUGAGUUAAGUGGCCGGCUCUUGAUUUUGGCUCAGGUCAUGAUGUCACAGUUUGUGAGUUUGAGUCCUACAUUGUGGAUUCUCUCUCGCACACACACACACUCUCUGCCCCUCCCCUGCUUGCUCUCUCUAUCUCUCAAAAUAAAUAAAUAAUCUUAAAAAAAAAAGUCAUUUGCCUGAGUCAGAUCUGAGUCAAGGAAGAUAGAACACUCUGGCCGGUUUUCCUAUAUGCCCCCUGAGGCUUUUGUGUGUAUCCAAAAUGUAAACAUACAGUUCCAAGGACUAGGAAGGGAUUCUUUUAAAGAGUGACAUCUAUAAAUUAGGUGAUAGUAAAAAUUAUUUUGUUAGGUUAUGUUAUUUUCUUUACUUUUCAAAAAUCCAAGAUGGCUUAUCCAGACAAGUGUGAGCAAGAGAUUAAGUCUACGUCCCUUCCCACUUGUAGCAUGGUGCUAGUUGCAAUUAGGACUUGCCGUCUUCAGAGAACAUCAAACAGCUUUUGCCUUGUUUUGAUUCUCCUCCUAAAACUUUAAUAUCAUGCAGGGUUGUCACUUGAAGCAUAUCACAAGGUGAGAAACCGUGUAUCACAAAUAUUUGUAGCUGUUCCUUGGCUCAGCAAAGUAUCUCACAAAAUGUUUUGGAAAUAAUGUUGGUUUGUUUUUUUGGGUUUGUUGUUUUGCUUUGGAGACCCAUGCACCUCAUGGGGGAUGAAAAGGUACUUUUUACAAACAAAAAUGACUUUACUUUUUUUUUUUACUUAAAACAGUAUCUUUCGGGUAAAUAUUUAGAUUCAUUUGAGUAACCUGUCAGUCAGUUCAAAGCUAACACAUACUGAGGGUUUUUCUUCUCUAAGGGAAACUUCCUUUCCUGUCCUCCUCCCCCAGAAUGGUGUCUGGUGCAGGGAAAUGUUAAUUCACCAUGAUUCCAUCGGCAUGCACCUAUGUACAUCUUUGCUCUCUUCUUUGGCCUCAGGUAUGGUGCUGCCAGUUUGGAAUGGUUGGUUUGGUCUUGUCUCUGGACUUCUGGAACUGGUAUUCAGUGGUAGGUGGCUGAUGUCACUCACUUCUUUUGGACAUUGCUCCAACCUUUGUUACUAAAGCACGUGGCCACUGUCUUAAUCUCUGGUUGUAAGGUUUCUGAGAGCUAGCUUGUGAUCCAUCUUGAUCCAGGACGUGUUUUAGGACUCUGAUUCUCCGAGAGCCUCCAUGCCCCUCUUUAGGCUACUACUUCUACAUCACUCUGGAGUCUCAAGAUCCUGCAAGGCUCUGAGCAACCACCUAAGGAACUACCUCACUUAUUUGUAAGUUCCCACCUGCUGCCAUGUUGACUGUAGCAUCAUGCCUCCUUCCUGCCUUCUCAAAGAUGUUUGCUGCCUUCUGUAUGCCAUGUUCAGGUAGGGUACAUUAUUCAUGGCUUCAGAUUUUCCUUAGAUCUACUUGGAUGCUUUCACAUCCCCAACAUCCAUUUCCCUUACAGAUGCUCAUGACUGACCUCUUGCCUUAGCUUUCUUCUAUGUUUUUCAUAUCUCCACCAGACACAGAAUGGCUCUUAUCUGCUUUGUCAACUCUUUCACAUUUACUCUCCAGUUCUUUGGUAGUUUCCUGCUUAGUUUUUUUUUUUUUUUUUUUUUUUUUAAGAAAUUGCCAAACUGGUUUCCAAAGGGGCUAUACUAUUUUACAUCCCCAUCAGCAAAGUAUCCUAUUCUCAUUCUACUCUGCUGAUGGCAACUCUAAAUACAGAUUCUGUAAAAGUGGGGUUCUGCUCCAAGUUUGUUUAUUAACUAAUUAUAAAGAAUUUAUCAAUGACACCAAUUUUCCAACUCCUGUUUUCCUCAUUUACACAGUGGACGUGAAGAGAAGUACUGUAUCAUUUGGCUUUUGAUUAUACAGUGAGAUGAUAUAUCUAAAGUAUAUGCCAUUUGGGAAAGACUCAUGUUUAAGUGGGAUUUUAUGCUUCAAAAAGCUUUUGAGAGUUUAUUAUCUCACUUAAUUAAAGUACAAGAGUGAUACACAAUUGAAAAAAAUAUAUGUAUCUUUAUGAGUUACACAAAGUGAAAAUCAUUGAGAAAUGGUAUAAAUCUAACAUUAAAAAAUAAAAUUAUGUCAAACUAUCUCAUAAUUUGCUUCAUAUAUUUAAAGUAAACUCAUUUUGAGAUGAUUAUAUAUUUUUAUUAAAUUAAAAAAAUGUUUAUUAGUUUUUGAGAGACAAAGAAAGAGAGUGUGAGCUGGGGAGGGACAGAGGAUCUGAAGUGGGCUCUGUGCUAAACAGCAGUGAGCCCGAUGAGAGGCUCAAAUCCAUAAACUGUGAGAUCAUGACCUGAGCUGAAGUUGGACACCUAACCACCUGAGCCACCCAGGCGCCCUGAGAUAAUUAUAGAUUCACAUGCACUUGUGAGAAAUAAUAGAGAGACAUCCAUGUACCCUUUGCCCAUUUUUCCCCUAUGGUAAUAUCCUGCAAAACUAUAUAGUACAAUAUCACAAAUAGUGUAUUGACAUUUCUACCGUCAAGAAGCAAAACAUUUCUAUUAUCAUGAGGAUCUAUCAUGUUGGUUUUUUUAUGGUCACACCUGCUUUACCCUCACCAAUUCCCCUCCUCAUCUUUAACCCCUGGCGACCACUAAUGUAUCUCUUUGGCUACAAUUUUGUCAUUUCAAGAGUAUUCUACAGAUGGACUCCUACAGUAUGCAGCCUUUGGGAUUAGCUUUUUCUCUAGCUAUUCAUCCAAGUUACUGUGUGUUUCAAUAACUCAUUCUUUUUUAUUGUUGAAAAGUAUUCCGUGGGAUGGAGGUAUCACAGUUUGUUUAAAUUUCCUCCACUGAAGGACAUCUGAGUUGGUUCUGGUUUUUUGGCUAUUAGUCAUAAACCUACGCUGAACAUUUGUGAACAGCUUUUUGUGUGAAGGUAACUUUUCACGUCUUUGGAGUAAAUGCCCAGGAGUAUAAUUCCUGGGUUCUAUGGGAGUUGCACAUACAUGCACGUGUAUAUUUGAAAGAAACUGCCACAGUGUUUUCCAGAGUAGCUGUAUCAUUUUAACUUCCACCAGCAAUUUGUUAUGGAACUGGUUUAUUUCUAUCCUCACCAGCAUUUGGUAUUGUCACUAUUUUUUAUUUUAGACAUUCUGAUGGGUGUGUAGUAAUAUUCCAUAUGUUUUAAAUUUGCAUUUCCCUGAUGGCUAAUGAAAACAAAUGUCUUCAGAUCUUCUGUGAAAUGUCUGUUCAUAUCUUUUGCCCAUUUUCUAAUUGUAUUUUUAUUUUUAUAUAUAUAGAGUCCUUUGUUGGCUAUGUGAUUUGCAAAUCUUUUCUGUCGGUCCUUUCAUCUUCUUAAAAUGGUCUUUCACAGAACAAAGUUUAAGGUUUUGAUGAAAUCCAGUUUAUUUAUCGGUAGUUUUCUUUUAUGGAUUGUGCUUUUGGCAUCAAGUCUAAGAAAUCUUUGCCUAUCUGUGGAUGUCAACGACUUUCUUCUAUAGUUUCCCCUAAAAGUUAAUAAUUUUUUUGCAUUUUAUUUAUUUUUGAUAGACAGAGACAGAGCACAAGUGGGGGAGGAGCAGAGAGAGACAGAGACACAGAAUCCAAAGCAGGCUCCAGUCUCUGAGCUGUCAGCCCAGAGCCUGACAUAGGGCUUGGACUCACGAACCGCGAGAUCAUGACCUGAGCCGAAGUCGGAGGCUUAACCGACUGAGCCACCCAGGCGCCCCUAAAAGUUAAUAAUUUUAAUCUUACCUUUAAGUCUGUGAUCCAUUUUGAACUAUUUUUUAUGUAAGAUGUGAUAUUUAGGUAGACAUUCUCCUUUUUUUUUCUUCCCCCCCCCCCCCCCAUGAAUGUUCAGUUGCUCCAGCACUGUUUGUUGAGAGAGAUAUUUUUCCUAUUGCAUUGGUUUUGCACCUUUGUCAAACCUCAGCUGGGCGCAUUUGUGUGGCCCUGUCUCUGCAUUCUCCAUUCUGUUCCAUUGAACAGUGUGCCUGUCCCUUCACCAGUAUCACAGUUUUGAUUAGAGCAGCUAUACAGGAAGUCUUGAAGUCAGGUAGUUUGAUUCCUCUUACUUUAUUCUUCUUUUUUCUUUUCUUUUCUUUUCUUUUCUUUUUUAACUUUUAUUUAUUUUUGAGACAGAGAGAGACAGAGCAUGAACAGGGGAGGGGCAGAGAGAGAGGGAGACACAGAAUCUGAAACAGGCUCCAGACUUUGAGCAGUCAGCACAGAGCCUGACACGGGGCUCGAACUCACGGACCGUGAGAUCAUGACCUGAGCUGAAGUCGGACGCUUAACCGACCAAGCCACCCAGGCGCCCCUAUUCUUCUUUUUUUCAAAAUUCUUUUACCAUUAAGUUUCCUUUGCCUUUCCAUAUCCUUCUUUUUGAAACUUAAUUAUUUUUAGAGCAGUUUAGAAUUCACAGACAGCAAACCUAAAGUACAGAGAUUUCCCAUAUAUGCUGUGCUCUACACACACAGAGCCUCCCGUAUCAUCCACAUCCCCCACCAGAACGGUAUGCUUGUUACCACGGAUGAGGCUGCACUGACGCAUCAUAAUCACCCAGUCUGUAGUUUACCUUACGGUUCGCUGUUGGUUUGGUCAACUGUGUAACAGGUUUGGACAUGUAUCUAUCAUUAUGGUAUGAGAGUACUUUCAUGGUCCUCCAAUUCCUUUGUGUUCCACCUAUUCAUCCCUCCCCUCUCCCAAACCCCUGGCAACCCCUGAUGUUCUCACUGUCUUCCUGGUUUUGCCUUUUCCAGAAUGUUAUUUAGUUGGAAUCAUAGCAUAUAACUUUCUCAGCUUGACUUCUUUCAUUAGUAAUAUGCCACUCCUGUUUUGCUUUGAUUAGUGUUUGCAUAAUUUAUCUUCUCCCUGUCUUUUACUUUCAACUUACCUUCUUGUGUACACAUAGAAUUGGCUGAUGCUUUUAGUCCAUUCUGCCAGUCUCUGUCUUUUAGUGGGGAUACUCAGGCAAUUUACAUUUAAUAUAGUUGUUGAUAUGUUAGGGCUCAAAAGUUGGUUUCACCUUCAUUCCUGACAGAUAUUUUCUCUAAAUAUAAAAUUCUGAGUUCACAGUUGUUGUUUUUUCUUUGAGUACUUGAAAAAUAUACACUUGUUUCUGGCCUCUGUGAUGUCAGAUGAAAAAUCUACUGUUAUUCAAAUUGUUUCCCCCCCUAAAAUGAAGGUGUUAUUUCUCUCUCACUGCUUUUAAGAUAUUUUCUUUGCCCUUAGUUUUGAGAAGUUUGAUUGUGAUGUGUUUUGGUGUGGAUUUCUUUGGGCUGCUCCCAUUUGGGGUUUGCUUAGUUGAAUCUGUAACUUUAUAUCUUUUGCCAAAUUUUGGAAAUUUACAGCCAUUAUUUCUCUGAGUACUUCUUUACCUGCCCUCUUUGGACUCCAAUGACACAGAUGUUAGAUCUUUUAUUAUACUCCCACGAGUGCAUGAAGCUCUGCUUUUUUUUAAAGUGUAUUUUCUUUGUUGUUCAGAUUGGUUUAUUUUUUAUUUUUAUGUCUUAUCUUCAAGAUCGCUGAUUCUUUUCUCUGUCCCUUCAAUGCUGCUAUUAAGUCCAUCCAUUGAGUUGUUUUCUAAAAUUCCAGCUCUUGUAUUUUUCAGUUCUAAUAUUUCCGUUUGGUUCUUCUAUCUUUCCCUUCUCUCUCUUUUUAACUUGAGACUUUGUAUUUUUUGUUCCACACAUGUUCAUAAUGGCUUGUCCAAGCCUUUUCUUGAUGGUUGUUUUAAAUCUUUAUCAAAUAUAUCUUAUACCUCCUUCAUCUUGAUUUUGGCAUCUAUUGAUUAUCUUUUUACGUUUAAGUUGAGAUCUUCUUGGUUCUUGGUAUGAUGAAUAACUUUUAUUUGACACGUGGACAGUUAGAAUAUUAUAAGACUCUGGUCUUAAUUCAACCUUUUGUUUUAGCUACCUCCCAGUCACACUGCUCUGGCAGGGGAAUGACAGGGGUGCUGCCAUGGUAUUGAUAUUUAAGAAUGGACCUCCAGUUUCUCCACUAGGCUUCCUUUGACACAGAUGGAGAGGGACCAGGGGAGGGCUCCUCAGUGUUCCUGGGUAGGCUGAGUUUCUGUUUGCCUUACUGGCCCUCUACUGCUAACCAUCCUGACUGAGAAAGAUAGGAAUGCCUCUUAUUACAUAUUACUCAUCACAUAGCCCUGCUGAUAUCACAGAGGGUUGGCUCAUUACUGCUGGGUGGUGGUGAAAAUCUUGACUCUUUGCUAGGCCCCUGACACCACUCAGCCAUGGAGAAUGGAGUGUCUGAUUAAUAUUGGAUGAGAGUGGAAGUCUGGGAUGCCCACUUGGUCUCCACUAAAACUGAGGGGGGUGUCUCCUUACUGGCUCAGUGUGAAUGGAAGUCCCAGCUCCCUGCUCAGUCUUCUGUGACAUCACCUUAUUGGGGUAGUAUGUGUGUGUGCUGGGGGGAGCUUUGGUAUACCUCAGAUAGCCUGGUGAGGGUAAAAGUCUACAUUCUCCACUUGUCCUUUGCUCGCCUUGGUGUAAGUGGGGCCACAGGGUUUUUUUUUUUUUCCUGUGGUAUUUAGGUGCAGUAAUGUGGUUGAUGUCUAAAAGUUUUCUGUUCUGAUAGGCUUCCCUCUUCCUGCUCCUUUGGCUAGAGAGAGACUGCUUGUGUUUUGUUUUGGUUUUUGAUCUGCAUCCUUUGGCAUUUUUCAAGUAUCAGCAUCUUUGGCUCUAAGUCUGGGAUAUAAGAGAUAAAAAGAAAACAGGUCUCAUCACCUUGUCUUUUUGGGGGUUCUGAAGUCCCUAGGUAGUCUUAAUCUUCCCAUCUUUCAGAGUCUUCUUUUUCAUUUCAUUUUUAUUUUAUUUUAUUUUAUUUUUUAAAAAAAUUUAAUGUUGAUUUAUUUUUGAGAGAGAGAGACAGAGCGUGCCUAGGGGAGGGGCAGAGAGAGAGGGAGACACAGAAUUUGAAGCAGGCUCCAGGCUCUGAGCUGUCAGCACCGAGCCUGACAUGGGGCUUGAACUCGCAGACCAUGAGAUCAUGACCUGAGCUGAAGUCAGAUGCUCAACUGGGAGCCACCUAGGCACCCCUUCUUUUUUAUUUUAAUAUAUGUAAUGUAGAGAGGUUUUAGCUGUACUUAGUAGGAGGAAUGUGUAUGUCUACUCUAUCUUCCUGGAAGGAGAUGUUUGAUUUUUUUUUUUUUUUUAAGAAAAGAAAUAUUGUAAUUUGAAAUUUUCCUGUGAAUCUUCCCUGGUUCCAUUCCUCUCUCUUUCUUUGGUUUUUAAUUUUUCUUUAUUUAUGUGUUUUUGUACAGUAGCUAUCCUAUAGGGAUUUUUACAACUUGAUUUGUUUAUUUGCUCAAAAAUAUUUUUUGAAAACCACACAUGUAAAUAACAGACUCUAAGUUCAUUAAGAUUGGUGGCCACUUGGAGUUUAGGGUGAUAAGAAACUGUUCAAAGCUGGGUUGACACAUACAUCUCAGAGAAAUGGGCUAUGAGUGUGCCAUUUGCGGUCAGGAAAUAGCUGUGACAUUAAUGAGUAGUAGCUGCUGGCAGAAGGAGAGGCCGUGCCUGGUAGGUGUAGGAGAUAUUUGGAUACUUUCCCAGGACUGUGCUGUCAGACCCAUGGUACCACCACUGGACUAUGACAUGGGUGUGUAGAACAAUCGCACAUCUUUCUUGACCUCAUGAAGUGUUCUAAAUGCAGGCUGCAAGACCCUGGCAAAUGUGUGUACUGAGUAGGGGAAGGCAUAGGCUUUCCUCUAGACGGUCUCACCAACUGACUAUGACAGAGAGGCUGGGCUUAGCCCUUCAAUUAAAUGUCCCAAGUUGCAAUGGCUCUUUUACAAAACUAUUAGCAAGUAUUUCCUUAGGGGUGGUUAUAUAAUAUGAUUUAAAAAUAUACAAAUAGGGGCACCUGGGUGGUUCAGUCGAUUGGGCAACUUCGGCUCAGGUCAUCAUCUUGCCGUUUGUGGGUUCCAGCCCUGCAUCAGGCUCUGUUCUGACAGCUUGGAGCCUGGAGCCCUCUUCAUAUUCUGUGUCUCCCUCUCUCUCUGCCCCUCCCCUGCUCAUACUCUGUCUCUCUCUGUCUCUCAAAAAUGAAUAAACAUUAAAACAAAAUAAAAAAAAAUACCUAAUAUGCCUAAAUGCUGAUUGAUGUAUGUGACUAGGGUCUUUUGAAUUCUUUGACUUUUCUGGGCUUUUCUUUGGUAUUCCAGAGGCCAGUUUGGACUGAACUGGAAGAUGGUAAGAUAUUCUUGGCUUUCUCGGACACUCAAUGACAUUUAAAGACUACUGGGGCUUAGCUUUGUGCAUAUCUCAACUAAUUAAUACCAAACAAUAAUUGUAGGGCUUUGGUCUAGAGAAUUCUAAUCAGCCUUGAAGCCAAUGAACCAUUAAAAAGAUUUCUACAUUGAAGCCCACUUCACAAAUGAGAGUUGUAUUUUUUCCGUGUGAGGCUUAUUCCCAGACAUCUUUGGGAUCUUAAGCAUCAUGAUUUUUCAUGACAAACUUUCAUUAGGUUGGGGAGAUAUUACAAUAAUAAUCUUUUUAUUAUAAUCUUAUUUAUAUUUUUCUAUUCCCUUAUUUCUAUAAUUGAUGGCUAGGGAUUCUUUACUGUUUUUCUUCUUUUCUUUCAUUUUAUGUUUUUUUUUUUAACCAAGAUUACAUUUAUGUACCUUUGAGCAAAAAUAUUUGAGCCACAUGACUGAGCUAACAUUACAUUUAGAAGUUAUUUUAUUAGGCUGCAUUUUAAUUUUAUUCCAUUUGUCCUCAUUAAACAACUGUUUGCCCCCUCAGGCAUUUUAGUGCUAACUUUCUGACUCUAUAUUGGUUCCCAGGCUGUAAAAGUUGAAGCUUAUUUGAAUUUUUUGCCUAGGACUCUUUUAAAAAUACACAUAAAAAAACAACUUGAGAUAUUCUAAAUGUUUUGUAUGUAUACCUGCUUUGGUAACAUAUUUGUUUUACACCCAAGGGAUAAUAUCCUUAAAUGAUAAUAGUAGCAUCUGAGUAAAUAAUUUUCUCUAAAAGGGAUGGAUGUGUGUAUGUGUGUGUGUGUGUUCCUAAAAAGGAUAUGUGUGUAUAUACAUUUAUGUUUAUACACAUGAAUGUGUAGAUAUAGAUAUCUAUCUAUAUAGUUGACUCUGGAACUAUUAAUAUGGGUUUGAACUGCAUGGGUCCACUGUUACACAGAUUUUUCUAUAAAUACAGUACUGUAAAUAUAUUUUCUCUUCCUUAUGAUUUUCUUUUUUUAAAAAACGUUUAUUUAUUCUGAGAGAGAGAGAGUAGGGAGGGGAAGAGAGAGAAGUAGAGAAAGAGAAUUCCAAGCAGGCUCUGCACUGUCAGUGUAGAGCCUGAUGCAGGGCUUGAACUGACUAACCCAUGAGAUCAUGACCUGAACCAAAAUCAAGAGUUGGACACUCAACUGACUGAGCCAUCCUGGUGCCCCAUGAUUUUCUUGUAUUUUUUCUCUAGCUUAUUUUUAUUGUAAGAAUACAGUAUAUAACAAAAUAUGUAUUUAGUAAUCAACUGUUUAUGUUAUUGGUAAGACUUAGUAGUUAGGCUUUUAGUAGUAAAGUUUUGGGUGAGUCCAAAAUUAUAUGCAGCUUUUUCUACUGGUGGUGGGGGGAUUGGUGCCCCUAACCCUUGCGUUGUUCGAAGGUCAACUGUAUGUAUUUAUGUGUAUGCAGUGUAUAAAUUUACAGUGUGUAGAUUCUGCCUAGGACUACAUGAAGCCAAUGGGUCCCUGUGGUGUUCAAACUCCAUCCUUAGACACCAUUUUCUCCCCCCUGCCAUUCCUCUGCCCCUUCCAUUCACUCUUCCCCCUCUGCAGUACUUCACUGGAGGAACAGGAAGGAACAGGAAAUAGGGAUGAAGAGCUGGAGAGAGAGGUUGUGGGCCAUUCUCAUAAUCUUUUCUGAACAGUCCACAUUUUCCACCAUGCUGGAGUUGUAUUUUUCCACUGCUCUUUUCUACUCUUCUCUGGGUUGGGGGUAGUGGUGGUGGUGGUGAGAAAUGAAUCUAGAUACCUGGUUCUUGCCAGCUUAAAAUUAUAUUGUUACAAAUUCUCAUUGUAUAGAAGUCCUUAAAUCUCUGUGGACUUUUUUUUUUUUUUAAAGUAGGCUUCAUGCUAAGCACAGAGCCCAAUGUGGGGCUUGAACUCACAACUCUGAGAUCAAGAACUGAGCUGAGAUCAAGAGUCAGAUGCUUAACUGACUCAGCCACCCAGGCGCCCCUCUGUGGACUUUUUGUUAAGGGAUUUAACAGUUGCUUUAAAUUAAGAGAUUGAUUUUCGUCUUUAGGGUACUUUUCUAGAUUUAAAUAUGUAAUUUAUCUUUUAUUUUUUCCUCUUUUUAUCAACAUCUUGGUACCUUAACUGCUUUAUAAUUUCCUUCCUCGGGUUUCUUCCUCUUCCCAAUCUUUUUGCCCUCUGAAACUAUUGUGGCAGAGAUCAAGUUCAGAACUAUAUAAAUAGCUGAAAAGAGUUUUCUUUUUUUAUGUUUAUUAUUUAUUUUGAGAGAGAGCAUGAGCAUGAGUGGGGGAGGGGUAGAGAGAGAGAAUUCCAAGCAGGCUCCAUGCUGUUAGUGCAUAGCCCAAUGUGGGGCUUGAUCCCAUGAACUUUGAGAUCAUGACCUGAGCCGAGAUCAAGAGUUGGAUACUUAACUGACUGAGCCACCCAGGUGCUCCUGAAAAGAGUUUUUCAAUAGCAAAGGAAAAUAAUUUCCUUUUUGUUGUUCAAACUAUUCAAAAUUCUUACUUUGUUUUCUGUAUUAGCGCCAUAUUCAUGGUAUGUUCAUUUGAAUUAUUUUUGUACAUUUUCUUUUUACUUAACUGGAAAGAAUUUUAGUCAGUGGGAACAACAAUUUCAUUUACUAUAUCCACACAUAUCAAAACUUCCUCUUCCAAUGAAAUCAGUUACUUGCCCGAGCAAAAAAAAACACUAUAUGAUCAUGAAUUUUAUACCUUGUUGUAAUAACUUCAUUUUUAUAUUUGUUGGUGGCUACUGAAUUUUGAUUUUGGAAUAUCCUACUAAUUAAGACAAUUUUCAUAGUGUAAUAAAAAAAAUUCUCAGCCAUAUGAUUAAGUAAAGAAAAGAAUGUAAAGUAACCCUACUGAAUAUGUGUGUGUUGGGCACGCACUAGAAGUAACACAGGUGUGAACUCUUAACCAUAGGUAGGUCCUGAAGAAUGUAAAAAGCUGAAUAACUGCUUAAUUGUUCUUAAGUGAUUAAAAUACAGUGUUGUGGGGCACCUGUGUGGCUCAUUUGAUUAAACUUCCAACUCUUGAUUUUGGCUCAAGUCAUGAUCUCAGUGUUCAUGAGUUUGAGCCCUGCAUGGGGCUUUGUGCUGACAGCACUGAGCCUGCAUGGGACUCUCUCUUUUCUUCUCUCUCUGCCCUUCCCCGUGGUUGCACUGUCUCUCCCUCCCUCCCUCUCUUUCUCUCUCUCUCUCUCUCUNNNNNNNUAUAUAUAUAUAUAUAAAUUAGUGUUGCCUAGGGAUGAAGAAUACCUUAAUCAAGGUUUAGGACUUUUAUUGAUCCAACACUUUAAACAUUUGGAACCCCAUCAUAGACAGUAUUAUAAUGAUAAUGUGAUAAUGGUAAAAAUGUUGUGAAUUUCAUGGACAAGCAGGCUGAUUUAACAGAAAGACUCCUCAUAGCUUUUUUCUGUUAUAAUUAUGUGACCUUGGGAUCGUCUUGAACAAGUUGUGAACGUCUAGUGCUCAUCUCUAAAAUGGGGAAGCAGUAGAUGGCACAGUGAAGUUGUACAUUGGUUGCUUUCUUACCUACAUGACAAAGAUCACAACUCAAAGUAACUGUUGGGAUAUUCUUUAAAUUUGCUAUUACUGUCACCAAAUAAAUUGGUUUAUGCCUCUCUUUGAAGUAGAAGAGAGAGAAUUUGGCUCUUCGAUAAUUUAUUGGAAGUGUCUUAAUACAGUUCAUAUACGGAACAAAAGCCAUGCCUACAUAAGAAAAAUGGCAGUAGGAAAAGAACUGUGUUUCUCUGUUUCUGUGUGUGGGGGGGGGGACACCUCUUUAUUAUGUAUUAGGAAAAGAAGCUAAGUAUGUUACACAAACUGGGUUCAUGUCCUAGCUCUGCCACAUACCGGUGUCAUUUAACCUCACAUUUCCUUGCCUCAAAACAAUGGUGUUAAUGCCUGCCCUGCCUAAUUCAUGGUAACAGCAUGAAGAUUAAUUUACAUUCAUUUCCUCUUUUAACUCACACUGCACAAGAUCACUUGGAGGUGCAGGAACCUACGGGUUACUCUCCCAUGUGAAACAGUGCUUUGCAUGGCUUGUAGAUUUUAAGAUUGCAUUUAUCAGUUACACAUUUUUGAAAAUUUGCUGUAUCCUUCAGAACAUCCUAUUUGCCAUAUUACUUCCAACUCUAGGCUCCAUUUCUUUUUCUUAAACAAGUGAAAUAUGCAUAAAAAUGUGAGGAUGCUUACAGUUUGUUCCAGAAUGAUAUUUUGAUGCAUAGUACUGGAAACAUAAAACCGACUUGGUUGGGACUAAUAAAAUUUCAUGUUUUUUCCCUUAUUCACAAAUGUUAAUGAUCCUUUCAAAAAAAAAUCUCAGUUUUACAAGAUAAAAAUGGAUAGUUUAAUGUCAUCUUAUUCCAAUCCUUGUUUUUGAACAUUUCAGUAUUUGUUAAACUGAAGUGUCUGUCGGUAAAUAAUAUUCACUCAUACUUCUUGCUUUUUCUUUUUAAUGUUUUGAAAAAUUUGACUCUGAUGGAAAAAUACUGAUUAACUAUUCCAAAACUAUUUUGAUCAUAUUCCAAGACCCAAGUGGUGCAUGAAUAAGUUCUUUAAGUUUUAUAUUUUAAAAAUAAUUGGAUCUUUCUAAUCCUAGGUGUCCAUGUCCCAUGUGUUAGCUGGCACAGAACUAAGUAAAUAACCCUUUUUUGUAUUUGCAUUUUAAUUUCCCCUUAACGGUUUUGCAAUCUAUGUUUUCAUACAGAGAAUAUGUCUGCAUUAUAAAUAGAUGUCACUUGAGCUGUCAUUUCAAAGAUCUAUGAUAGGAUUCUGAAAGUCUAGAGACAAUGUUUAAAGUGGCAAAUUUAGUUAGAGUUUUUGAAACAUUUUUUUUAACUGUGCCCCUUAAGAUGAAACAUUAUAUAACCCCUAAUUGAUAUCAUAACUUGUGGUGUACUACUUAUUAAUAUGAAUUACAUGCAUGCAUCAGUUUGAUUUAAAGUUUACAAGAUAGUUUUUAAACAAAAUUAUACAUACAGCAUAAAACCGGAUUGUCACCACACUCCCCUUUGAUUUUGUGCAUUCAUAAUACAUACAUACAUAAUGUUUCAUAAAUACAUUCUAUCAGUACAGAUAGAGUUUUCCCAAAUACAUGUCAUUCUUCUAAUAAAAGCUAAAGACAUUUUAUAUAAUCCAAAGGAUACAUCAUAUAAGUGAAAUAAGCCUUGAAUUAACUGUGACUUUGGUGGAUUUUUUCGUUGAAUUAUAUCUUUUUGUAAAUUUUGUUUUAAAAAUGAUACUACAUUGUUCCUGUUCCUUGCUGAAGUAUACUUUGCAGUGGGAAAUAUUAUAAACUAAACACUUCCCAUCUGGCCCUGCCAGGGUGAAUGUUUCCCUCACAGCCUUGACUUGCAGUCGAAGCUGAUGUGAGAGUAUGUCAUGGUUGUUUUGACAGUCCGGUCAUCCUAAUCCAGGGAUCCGAUCCCUAUGGUUUGUCAAUUAUCCUGCUAACCCUACAGCGAGAGCAACACUCAAGGCACUGAACUGUCAACCAAUAACCAAGAAAUAAUGUCAGGAGCCAGAGAGGCAGGAAUGAGAGAGGGAUGCUUUUGACAACAGAAGUCUGUAUCAUUCAACAUUUAUUUUAUUUGUGGGAGCUCGUAACAAAUUAAUUAUGGGAAUCACAUGAUGAAAUGUCAUCCAUUGCUUUGGACAUUCUUUUGUGUCUAAAUUUAAAAAGCAAGGGUUUGGCUGCUUGUAUAAGUUUUCCUAGCAUAGGGUUCUGGAACAUAACUCUAUAUAGAAAAUGGCUAGAUCACCUGAACUUAAUUUGAUUGUUAGUGAGUUUUGUUUUCUCACCUGCUUCAUGUUUACUGUAAGGUCUUUUAGGAAAAAAAAUAUAAUGCGCCUGGGGAUUAUGUGUGUGCUCAUGGAAAUAAUUUUGAAAGUUACUAGGAGUCCCAUUAAUAUGGAAAUGAACAUAAAUAUGGGGUGUGAAAUUGUGCCUUAUGUAUCACAAAAAUGCAUACAAAUCCAAGAAUUUCAAAGGGAAACGUAUUUUUGAACAAUUCUUGAUCAUUAAUAGUUUAAAAAAAGAAAUAAAAGGGACUUUUAAGUGACAAUGGUAUCUAUCUUAAAAUGAGAAAAUGAUAAUGAGGCUGUAAAUCUGUAACUGCUCUUCAAUAGGGCCCGGUGGAACUCUUGAGUGGCAUCAGCCAAAGUCUACAUGGCUUUUGAUUCUGCUCUAGUUUGCAGUCUUUGUUUUAUGCAUGUAUCAGUUCAAAUAUCUGUGUAUGUAUCAAUUCAAAUAUUAUGCGUACAUAAACUAAGUGGCAGACCAUGAUUAACCAACGCGAGCCUGGGAUCAAUUUUCAAAUACAUGUUUUAUUGCUGUAUCCAAAUGAGACUUUUUACCUGUAUGUCUUUACUUAGGAAAAUAUUGAAGGAGUCAAAAUUCCUGCUUCAUAAAGUGCAAAAAGUUUGAAAUUUAAAUACAUUUUGUGAAAUUCCAAUAAAUAUUCAUACUGGCUCUUGGGAUUUAAUGACUACAGAACUUAUUUUUCCUGGUUUGAAAAUUAUAAAGUUACUUAUAAAAUCAUGCUUAUUUUGGACAGUUCCCAAAAAUAAAGAAGAAAGAAAAACACAAACAUAAUGUAGACAUCCAUAUGUAUAUUCGUUUAGAAUAUAUAUAUCAGAAAAAAGAUCAUAUUAUAUCGGUAAAGUUGUACCCAACUUUUUUUUAUUUAAUGCAUAUGUUCCCAUAUUAUAAAAAAAUUAUUUGAAAAUAAAAUUUGACACUGUUAUAUUUUAAUAUAUGAAUAUAGCAUAAUUCCCUUAAGUAAGUCUCUAAUGUUGAGUUUCAUCUUAGUUAAAUUGGAAAUGAUAUAAAGUGAUUGCAAGGGAUAACUCUUAUUUCUGAUUUAGUUUAGACUUAUUUCUGAUUUUCAUUUUAGGAUGAGUUUGUUUCAGGUAAAAUUAUAAGUCAAGGAGUAUCAAUAAGUUUGAUCAUCUGGGAGGACUUCAAAUCUUAUUUAAAGUUAAUGAUUAGCUCUUAAAAAAAAAAAAAAAAAGAGGCUCCUGGCUGGCUCAGUGGGUGGAGCAUGUGGCUUUUGAUUUCCCAUUGUGAGUUUGAACCACCUUCUGGGUGGAGAGACUACUUAAAAAUAAAAUAAGGAGGGCACCUGUUGGGAUGAGCGCUGGUCGUUGUAUGGAAACCAAUUUGACAAUGAAUUUCAUAUUAUAAAUAAAUAAAUAAAUAAGCAAGCAAAAAAAUAAAAUCCUUAAAAAAAUUAAAAAAAUAAAGUUAAUAAUUAGCAUUAGAAAUUUCCAUAGCUCCUUAAUAUACUGUUAAUUUCUUCUUUUUAGGCUACUGCAGGUGUAGUUGAUUAGUAAUUAUUAGUUAUUUGUUAGGUUUUCUGAUAAAAUAGAAACAAGUCAUGGCUGAAGAAUAGCAUUGGGGACAUUAGAAGAAAUAUUUAUAUUUUUUUAAAGUUUAUUUUUAUUUAGGGGCACCUGGGUGGCUCAGUGAGUUAACAGGCAACUUUGGCCCAGGUCAUGAUCUAAGGGUUCAUCAGUUCAAGCUCCAUAUGGGGCUCUACGCUGACCACUCGGAGCCUGGAAACCUGCUUCAGAUUCUGUGUCUUCCUUUCUGUCUGUCCCUCCCCUUCUCAUGCUCUCUUGCUCUCUCUCAAAAAUAAAUAAACAUUAAAAAAAUGUUUCUUAAAAGUUUAUUUUUAUUUAUUUUGAGAGAGAUAGAGAGCAAGUGAGGGAGGGGCAGAGAGAGAGGGAGACAGAAUCCAAAGUAGGCUCUGUCAGCACAGAACCUGAUGCUGAGCUCCAACUCAUAAACCAUAUCAUGACCCCAGCUGAAGUCCAGGAGUCAUGUGACGCUUAACCCACUGAGCCACCCAGGCGCCUCAGAAAUAUUUAUGUUUUAAUCUAGGUAUUAUUUCUCUGUGCUAGUGGCUUAAUCAAAAAUUAAUAUGGUGGAUGGCAGAUUCCACGUUUGUGGGUUCAGAUUCCACUGUUACUUCAUGUAAAAUAUACUAUAUUCUCAGACUACUUAACCUCUGUGCUUUAAUUUCUCCUUCUGUAAAAUGAAGGAUUGCCCAAAUGAUUGCCCACCUCUUUGAGUUGUGGAGAGGAUUCAAUUAGGAAAUGUGCAUCAUCUCCUUCAUGCAGUGCCUGGCACAUAGAGAGCCUCCAGUGAAUGUCAGCUGCUGCUAUUACUGGAAUACAGCCAUUAGCAAAUAAAAAUGUAUUCAGAUUUAACAAGCAUUGCAUUUCUUGUGAGGAAGUCAAGAAUAGCAAAUAUUUUCAUUAGGUACAUAAUACCUGGUUAAAAAAGCUUUUCUUUGUAGCAAUACAAACUUUUUUUUUUUUUUUUUUAGAAAAGUACAAUGUAAUAUAGUAGCAAUUAUUCUUGCCUGCUGGGAGCAGCAGAGAAGAGAGAUCCUAGUAAGUGUCUUUGUGUUAUGUGUUCUAUGUCUUAUUAGCUCCACGUGUAAGGAUGCUACAUUGGUAUUAUGUAAUGUAGUCCAGAGCUGCUUCAACUUUAAUGAGUCAUUUGGGGAUCUUACUAAAAGGCAGAUUCCGUAAGUCUAGGCUAGGUCCUGAGAUUCUGUAUUUCUGGCAGAUCUCAGGUAAUGCUGAUGGUCCAAUAGGUACAUUGAGUAACAAGGAUUUAGAAUAAAAAAUGAUGUUAGUGAAGUUUGAUAGUGAGUUUUUAAAUUCAAAAGAAAAAUGUUGCAUAUUAUAAACUUGAGUCCUCUCAGUGUCUUGCAAAAGUGGGAAGUUAACACAGUUAUAUAAAACUAAUAUCCUCAAACAAUUGGCAGUGGGGGAGAAGAACAGCAUUAAAAAAAAAAAAAAAGAAAAGAAAACCAAAACUCUCCAUCCACUGAUCUUUGGCUGUCUGCAAAUACCAAAUGAAUAUUUGGUGCCAGGCUGGGUUUUGUUUUUUCUUCCUCUCUGGCUGCUUCUCAAUGUCACUGCCCUCACACAAUGGUGUGGUUUCUUUCAGCUGGCCUCCACCAAGACACAGAAGCAGUAAUCACAUCGUAUCAAUAUUGUUUAAUAAUGACCAUGAUGAGGACACACACAUUCCUCACAUCAGAAUCUUUGCUCUGACUGCUUUUGGCCCACUAUCCUCACCUGAUUAUUACAGAGUAGGUAUGCAGCCCGGAGGUGUAUAGAAUAUUGCACAACUUUUCCAAAUAUUCUGUGAACAUCCUUUACUCAAAGACUUAGAAAAUCCUAUUAACACAAAUAUGGAUCAUUUAUAGCAUAGAAUUUGUGUGCAUUAAAAAACAGUACGAAAACUUAUGGUAGACCACCUCUGUCUGUGUUCCUAUACCCCAGGGAUAUUAUUUCACAUUAUUGUGCCUUUAAAAGUAAUUUCAAGGAGAAAAUAUGAAAGCUAUUGGGAGUGAAAAGAACAAGAGAAGAAACCCAGGGAGGCACCAUGAUAGGAAAAUUGAUACAAGUCAAAAUACUUAGUUUCUAAUCCUUGCUUUGCCAUUCACAUCCUUGGCCAGGCUUUAUCUCUGUGGGCCUCCUCAGUUUCUCAUUUGCAAAAUGAAACAGACUGAACAGCCUCCAAACGCUGGCUUUCUAUGAUUGUAUGAUUGAAUUAUUCUUUUCUUCUGAGACUUUUACCCUAAUUCAUAGGCGGCCAGUUGACUAUUUUGCGUGGUAGAGCCUUCCCUAGCCCUGGAUCCUAUGGUAGUCUCCAUCUGUGACCAGCACUGUCAGUCAUUCUGUGAUUAUUUUCACUGUUCUGCAGAGUCAAAGGCCUACCCUAGAGAUGGAGUUUCAUUUGAAAUACAGUUGAGUGUACCUGAUGCUAAAAAACGUGUUACCCCACGUGCAAUGGGGUAAGUCUCUGAGAGAAUUUACCCCCUGAAUUUAGGGUAUCAAUGAGGCAGUGUAAACCACCAGAACAGCGACUUGACAAUUUGUCACUCAACUUCAGCAAAACUAUAGAGGAACAGCACAAUGAAUUAAUGAAUAGCAACAAAUCCCCAUGACAACAUGUUAGUUCAUUAAAAUUUUAUCAGCAUUCUUCCUAAGGAAAGUGUGCCUUCUGUUCUAUGUUGAGUUUCUUCAACAUUGUUUUACAGCCAAUUCACAGCAUUCUGGUGCUUCAAAAUUAGUUCCUGUGGAGAGUGAGAUACACAUAGACUCUAUAUUGUGUCACACAUGGGUCUCCUGGGUGUCACGAUGAAAUAUUGCCUGCAUUUUUGUGUAUCUUAUGGCUUAAACAUUAACAAGCAUUUCCCCACUGCCUUUUUUUGAGAGUAGGUUAAUUAGCUGAAAAUCCAUCUUUGUGUUAAUUUUUAGCAAAUGUAUUAAAUUGCAUUUCAUAAAUAUUUUUCUAAUACUCAACAAAAAAAGCAUCAAAUUGUAUGUGGUGGUGGUGGUGGGGGGAUAGCAGAACAUUUUUCCUUCCUGCCACAGUGGCAUUUUCCCUCUGGUUUUGGAAUACACAAAGUAACACAUGAGCCUGGAUAAUUUCCUUGUAUUCUUUUUCUCUCUUUGAAAAUGUUUUUAUGUAUAAUCCAGAUGCCAGUGGUCUGGGUGUUCCCCUAUCUUCCAGCAUAGGAAGGGAUAUAUUUCCCUUUUAUAAUUAAAAAAAUCUCAUAACCCCAUCCUAUAAACAAUAGGGAAUGCAGCACAAUUCUCAAUAUUUUCUAGGGCUUUGAGGUGAUUAUAUUCUGUCUAUUUAAUUUCUGCUAUGAGUUCUACUGAAUUCCUAAUUUCACGCAUGUCUCUCCUUUUAUAAAAGUAUCUAAAUGGACACCUAUACAGAAGUCAGCCUUUCUUUACUUUAUUGACCACAAAUUGAGGAUUACGGCAAUUUAGCAACCUCUUUAUUUACCUCCACAAAUUGAUGAUUAUGUAUUGCUGAAGAAUGUGAAUUUAGAACAUUCAUCAAUAUAUAUAUGACCAUCAUGAAAUCUGUUUUUUUUUUGGCACAGAAAUUGAAGGAAUGAUUUUUUCACAUGUCAUUAAGUGGGUUUACAUUGGACUUAAUUAUGAAUUUGUGAAUCUGUGUAACCUUUGUAUUAUAAAUUUUAGAGAAGUAUCUCAAAUAAAAUCACAGAAAUCUGUGAUUGACCUUGACCUAAAAAUCAUUUUCUACCAUAUGCUAAAAAUAAACAGACAUUUACACCAAAAUUUGUGUAUAAGGAUAUUAAUGACAAUAUUGUUUAUAAUAAGAAAAAUGGACCUAAUCUAAAUAUCUGAUAAAAGUUAGUUAAUAUAAUUUGUUACAUUCCUAAAUUGGAUACUAGUCUGUCAUUAAAACUAAUGAGAUAAAUCAUGAUUUCCUGACAUAGGGAAUUAUUCAUAAUAUAUUGGUAAAUUAUAGGAAAGUAUAACAUGAUUGUAUAUUUGUCCCAGAGUGUCAGUAAAUAUGUGAAUAUUUGUGUGAGAUAAAGUCUAUAAGACAAAACCAGAAAGUUAAUAGUAUUGACCACUAGGAUGUGGGACUCAAGGUUGAUUUUUUUUUCUUUACUCUUAUUUUCUAAUUUUUCUCUCAUGGCCACGUAAUACUUAGUAAAAUCUUAAAAAAUAAAAAAAGUGUUUAAUCAUAAAUUUUAGAAAUUUUAGAAAAACCAAUUGCAAGGCUCACUUUUUUUUUUUUUUUGAGAGAGCAAACAAAGGAGAGAGGCAGAGGGAGAGAGAGAAAGAAUCUUAAGCAGGGCUCUACACCCAGUGUGGAGACCAUCGUGGGGCUUGAUCUCAUGAAUGUGAGAUCAUGACCUGAGCUGAAAUCAAGAGCUGGACACUUAACUGAACCACCCAGGUGCCCCAAGAAUCAUUUUUAUGGGAUAAAUAAAUGCAUCAGAAUCUAUUUGCAUUAUAUAUGGCACGAUAUCUUAACAGCGCCACUAUAGGCAUUUUAGUUCAAAUAAUUCUUUGUUGUGGGAGCUGUCCUGUGUAUCAUGAGAUACUUAACAGCAUCCUUGGCAUCUACUUACCUGAUGCAGGUAGCAUCCUCCAGUUGUGACAGCCAAAAAUGUCUCCAGACAUUGCCAAAUGUCCCCUGGGUGGGAGGAGGGGCAAAACAACACCCAGUUGAGAACCACUGAUUUACAGGUAUUGAUUGAUUGAUUAUACUAUGAACCAUGAUUCUUAAUUUGUAUGUGGAACAAUUAUCUUCCCUUACAUAUUCAUUCUUCCAGUAAUAUUUCACCAUUUCAUGCCUCCAUAUUGAAGGGGAAGUUGCUUUUUCCUUUUCUCAGAGACUGAACUAGAGUAAAUUGACAAGGUGAUCCAAGGCUUGGAUCACUGAAUCUCAAAGGAUUAUCUGUCAGUGUGAUCACCAUGGCUAAUUGCUCAAAUCAGAGCCAUCACUUGUACUCCAAAUCAGAGCUUGUACUCCCAAACUCAUGGGCUCCACACCUGACAUUUACCUUAACAUAGGAGAAUGUCCAGCCAGCUCAUUCUAGAGUCCAAAAUUUAAAAAAGAUUUACUGUAAAUAUAGGUAUGUUAUUAUUUCCAAUAAUUAUACUGACUCUGAAAAAUAUAUGAUUCUUACGAUCAUGAGACAUGGCUUUGAGUUCUGAGCCUGCCACUUUCCUGUUAACGUGAAUAUGGACAAGUCUUUAACCUCUUUUAGUUAAAGUUUUGUCAUUUGGAAAUAAGGGUAAUAUUAGCAGUCCCGCUUAAUUACAUCAUUGUAAUAAAUAACAAGUGCAUUUAUAGCUUAAAAGUGCUGUGUAAACUGCCAAGGACUCCAUGCCCAUUGGGAAUUCAUUUCUCAUGAAGGUUAUUGGUAGCUGAGGUUGCUACGGCAACCUUUCUGGUUUGUAAUGUUCCGAAAGCAAUGCCCAAUAUAUACAUGGCAUGUAUUUACACCUAGAAAGCAAAUAGGGAUAAUUAAGGAAUUUCACUUGAAUUAUUUAACUGGUGUCUUCUGAAUGUCUCUGUUCCCUUUGUCAUGUUUCAGUGCUCAUAGUAGAAAUGAAAUAAGUCUCAGAUGCUGGUAGAUAUGGAAUAUAAAACUAAAGGAAAUAAGAAAGGGAGAGAAAGUAAAAUAAAGGUGAAUUCUUAAAAAUAUAUAGCAUCACAGAAAUUAGGAAACACAUGUUUGAGCUCAUUUCGAGAAUUACCAGUGUGAGAUUUCCUCUGAUAGUUGUUUUCCCUGCUUUAUUCAACCCUGUUAAAAUGAAUCAACCAAUGGGGCUUCUGCCAUAUCCCCCAGGAGCCUCUGCUACACUGUAAUAUAACUAAACAUUAGAAUAUCUUUUUCUGAUUAGCUGUCUCACAGCUUCUCUCCAAAACAUCCCCUGUGGAUUUCAGAAAAUUAUAGCAAGCUAGCAUCUGAACAAGAAUGGAAGAUAUGCCAACUCCUUUGCCUGAUAACUACUAUGCCUGCUAAGUUCAAGAUUGUACAUUGACAACUUUAAGAAAGCAAUAAUAAAAUGGAUUUUAAAACAUAUAUCAGCCAACUACUUGCUUUGACUUUCAUGUAUUCUUACUUUUCAGUUCUUCAAAGUUAAGAUAUAAGGUCAGAUUUAGAUAUGGUGCCCAAACAGAAGAGGAUAAUAAAUACUUGAGUAAAAUGUGGGAUAUAUUCAUGUAUGCAUGUGUAUGUGUGUGUGUGUGUGUGUGUGUGUGUGUGUGUGUGUGUGUGUGUGUAUUAAAUAAUCCCUGCAAAAGGACAUAGGGGUAUUAUGGUCCCAACACGACAAACCUAUGUAAACUAAUAUUACUUUGCUUUCCACCAUGUGCAAAGAAAAUGCAGCAAGUUCUCUGAUUAGCAAGAAAAACAUUUUCAAAUUAGUUUCCAAAGACAGGGAAUAAAUUUGGGAUUAACUUCUUUUGUUUAGUUUUGUUUGGUCUUCAUGGGGAGUAGCACACAUUUGAGAAAUGACCAAGGAAUAGGUUUAAGAGAGUUAACAGCCAUAAACUUAUAGGUAUACAGAUCUAGAAGGGAGUUAAUGUAAUUAACUGAGAUGUGAGAAAUGGCAUGAGAAUCCUCAAUUUGUCUGGGGAAAUGACUGGAUCCAUUUUUGAUAGUUAUUCUGUUAUUGACAGAAUAUGCACAUAAAUAUCUAAUCAUUUAGCAAGCAGAUGGAAUUGACAAUGCCAUGACCAGGAAUGAAAUAUAUGGGAAAACUGAUGUGGACUUGACUGCUUAUGCUAAUUGGAAUUUUUAAGAGUCAGUGAGAUGACCAAGGUCAAAAAGUAAGCAUAUGAAAUUGUCAAACUUGUCCCUAUUAUCAUUUAUUGUUAUUACUUUUUGCAUUUAUUGUCUGUCUUUCACACUAGACCUUAAGCUCUGUUGCGGAGCCUGCAAUAGUCUUGUUUACCAUUGUAUUCUAGAGCCUAGCAUCAUGCCUGGGGAGUGGCAUCCCUGAAAGAAUGAACAAAAGCAGAGGUUAUUCAUAAGUUCAUACAGAAAGCAACUUGGGUUUUGUCAUUGCUGUUAGUGAUUUUACCUGGAGUGAUCUCAUCAACCAAAGGAUUUAAAGGUCAUUUUGCCUCUCCCAUCAUAUAGGCUUUUAUAUUUUUUAUUUAAGGAUUUGUGAGUGGCAUUGGGUCAGGAAUAAGAAAUUAUGUCUCUCUGUUUCAGGACAGAUGGAGCUUGACUGUCAUGAAAACACCAUUCUCAUUUUGUACCAAGGCUCUGUGCUCCACAGGCAGUUAUAUAGGUAGGAUGUACUUAGAAGAAAAGGGUGUGGUGCUUUGGUGCUUCUAUGUAGGAUUAAUCCAGACUCAGCAUGAGUCUCUCUUGACCAGGAAGGGACUGUGAUGGUGGAAUGCUCUUUUACCUAUUGCACUGAGGUCUGGGUGACCAUGGGUUCACCAUGUUCUGGUGAUUGGCAUGUGGGAGGAACUGCUGUGUGCCAUGACCAGGCCAGGCUAGACUGCUAAAUCUUCUGACACCAUCCUUCACACUUUCCUGGCUUCUGGCCAGAUGCAGAGGACCUGUGAGGAAGCUGGAAUCCUGCAAGAUAGCAGAGACAUGGAGGGAUGAUUGCAUGGAAAAGAGUUCCAUUCCCAAAAAACUGCCUGGAGCUGUGACAUGAGCAAGAGAUACAUCCUUACUGAAUUAAGAGCACUAGUAAGUUAAAUGGUCAGCAUGUGAGUGAGGUUAGUGCCCUGUGUCUUACUCAAGUCCUAGUACAUGAAUUUUUUUUUUUUAUUGAAGUGAUUCUUCCUCUCAUCAUUUUUUUGUCUCAAAGUGAUUUCUGAACACAUAGUACAACGGAGGUGGGAAAUAUGGAAGAACUCCUGUCUGUGCGUUCAACUUAUGUGUGUUAAUGUAUUACCUGCUCUGAGCAGGAGGAGUAAAAUUCUCCAGAUCUGCUAUUUUAGCUCUCAGAUUGCCUCUAACUCCUAGAAGGAAGGUAGAAGGUAACUCUUCCCCCUGAUAGUCUUCAUAUGUUAGAUGAUAAAUAGCUACUAAUUAAUAAAUGAAAUUUGUAUCCAUCAGUUAAGUUGGAACUUAUCUCCUUGUGUGGUCUUCAAUUAUUUGGUGAGGAACUUUCUGCCAACUAAGGACUUCUCCCUGAGUUUGAAACUUCUUUGACUUUACCAGGAUCAUUAUUCUCCUUGCAGAACAAAGGAGAGAAAGAUGUAGUUUGUGGAAAGAGAUAAUUUGACUUCAAUAAGGCCCAUUUUUACUGCAAUAUUGCACUUGGUUAUGACUGUAGCUUUAGAAUGUCCCUCCAGGGGCACCUGGGUGGCUCAGUCAGUUAAGCAUCUGACUUGAUUUUGGCUCAGGUCAUGAUCUCACAGUUUAUUCGAGAUCAAGCCCUGAGUUAGACUCUGUGCUGACAGUGUGGAGCCUGCUUGGAAUUCUCUCUGUCCCCUCCCCUCUCUGCUUCUCCCCCACUCACGCUUUCUCUCUCUCUCAAAAUAAAUAAACACUUAAAAGUUACACUAAAAAUGCAUCUUUACUUCUUAAAAUAAGACCUUUAUUGACUUAAAUACAGUUAAUUUAUUGUUUCAUUUUUUUUCUUUAUAGUAUGCUGAAACUCUUUUCUCUUCUCUCUCUCCUUUUACCCAUUAUCUCCAAUUCCUGAUGGGAAUCCUUUUUUACUCAGUGAUAUUUAUCUAUGUUUUCUUCCAUGAUCAUACCCUUUUUAAAUAGAUUACACCUUUCCAUUAUUCAUGUCAUAUAUGUUCUUUUGUUCUUCUUUUCCUUGUCCUUACUAUAUUUUCAUAAGUCCUUAUUGUUGAUGCCUCCUGAUUCAUCCACUUAAGCUUAUAUGUAUUAUCCAGCAAUAUUUUGGUUGAGAUAUAUGGAAAAUUAAUCCAAACUGGCAUAAAUAAAGAAGAUAAUGUUACACACUAAAUAAUGGCCCUCCAAAAGAUUUCCAUAUCUCAAUUCCCAGAACUUGUGAAUUAUGUUAUCAUAUGUGGUAAAAGGGAGUUUGCAUAUGUGAUGAAGUUAAAGACCUUAAGAUGGGGGGUUACCCUAGAUUAUUAAGGUGGGUCAAGUGUAAUUGCAACAAGUGUAAUCGCAACAGUCCUUAUAAGAGGGAAGAAAGAUCAGAACCAGGAAGUAGUUGAGUGAUGUGAGGAAGGGGCCAUAAGCCAAGGAAUGUAGAUGACUUCUAGAAACUGAAAAGGCAAGGAAACAGAUUCCUCCUCUGAAGGUGGUAAAAGAAAUAAAAUCCUGCCAACUGAGGACCAUACCCUGAUUUAGACUUUUAACCUCUAGAACCAAGAGAGAAUAAAUUUGUGUUGUUUUAAGUUGCUGAGUUGUGAUAAUUAUUUUCAACAAUAAGAAACUAAUAUAUGGUAUCUGUUUGCUUAUAAUUAUUGAAUGCAGUAUGUUUUGUUUUCAGUUCCUGAUGAGAGCUCCAUGUUUUCAUUUUUUCAUAAAUCUUUUAAUGAAACAUCUAUGAUUUUAAUGUAAAUAUAUUUAAAGUGAAGCAUAAACAUGUGACACAGCUGGAUCACAGAAACUUUAUGGAUUUUUAUAAUUUCCCCCAUCACUUGAUGAUGGUGUCUCACCUGUUUGCAAUUCUAUAGGAGUUUCUUUGAUCUAGUUUUCCUUUCAAAAGCAUUCAACUUCUCAUAAAAAUAACACAUAACUUUCCCCCCCUUACGUUUCAUUAGUGUAUUCAAUAUUUAAUGAUUACAAUAAAUUUGAGAAGAAACACUGAUGGCUCUUGAUAAUAAAUUGUUAAACUAGACAGACCACAUUUGGUGUGUAUGGUUGUGAGUUCACUAUGUUUUAUUGAAGGCAUGAAGAGUAUUAGUUAAAACAGAAAGUUGAUUAAAUACAGAUCAGUUAAGAGAACUCAUAUCAUAGUUCCAUUGGCCUGUCUUGGCUUCUACAUCCAUCCUUGACAUAAUCACCCUGGCCGAAGGAAGAUUGCAGAUAACAUCAGAUGGUACCCCCAAAGUGUUUCUCUUGAGCUCUUCACAUCCCCCCUACUAUUAAAGCUGAAUAAGCCAUAUAUUUGAAUUUCUAUUCUUUAUUGCAACUAAAGAUGGCCACAUGACCCAGUUGUAGCUAUUGAGAUGGAAGUGGUAUUCUGGGGGAUUUAUGGGAAAGGGUUCUCUCCCUGAUAAAAGGAGAGAUGAGUCAAGGCUGUGUUUCUCAUUUCACCCUGGCAUAUACUCUUCCCCCAUUUAUUGCUUAUAGGUGCAGUCAUAGGACUAUGAGGCAAAAGCUAACAAUCUUAAGGACAUCCAGCCCGAGGUUGGAAUUGUGAAGCUACUGUAAUAACCUGGAAUUGGUUUUUUAACUCUAAUUUAUCACUUUCAGUUGGUUUCCCCUUACUUUCAGAUGGAUGCUUCCUUACUGGUGGAGAAUGGAAUAAACUGAUAGGCUACAAGAGGGUUAUGUGUUCACUCCCAGAGACAGGGUGAGGUUGGGGGAGGGUCAUUUAUUCAAAGGAAAACAAAGGUGCUAUUAUUAAAAGAAAAUGGGAAAUGGAUCUUAGACAAAAACAACAGCAGUCAACCUCACAUGGGCAUCAAAAACUCCACCACUCCUAUAUGGAUCCAAAGUGAAAAUGCAAGCACUCAGUGUUGCUUCUAGACAAAACUGAAGCACUCAACUACUCUGCUUUCCUAAGCCCUGCUAAUGUUUCUUUUCCUCUCCCUUCUUUUCCUAAGAUGCUAGGCACUUGUAAAUUAGAAACCUACUUGGAGUAGGAAGAUAAGUUGACUUGAGCUAGAGUCAAAUGAAACUGUCAAAAGAAGAAUGCCAGUCACUUUAAGCAGCUGUCUGAAGUCUGCCUGCCUGUCUCCUUCCUGUAGUCUCUGUAAGACAGCUCUUGUUAAAGGCAUAUGUCAUGUCAGUCAAACACCAUAGGUGGUGUUUGGAGUUUGAGGUAUUGACAAUAGGCAUUUGCUUUUGUCUCACAUCAUCCCAUCUCAAAGGGAUGUGGUAGGUACAGAUGCCUCUUGAAAGAAAAGGGGACACAAAUGAUGGAUGAAAAACUGUCAAUGGUAGCCAGUACUACCUAUUAACUCCUGACUUUUAGAAUGGAUACUAGAUUUAAAAAAAAUGUUCCCCUUUACUUGAGCACAAGAUAAUUUUCAUGACCAAUUUUAUUAAAAUAUGUAGUUUUGCAGGUUUGUUGAAAAAUGCAUGGCUUGCAUACAUUUCAAUUCAAUGAAAGUUACUAAGAAUCUACUGGUUUUAAGUGCAUAAUUUAAGACUUUGGGAAGGGUAAUAUAAAAAUUAGAAGACAUAAAUUCCUGCCUUGUGAGUUACAAUAGGGGUGGAAGGUGGGGAAGAGGAAGGCAAGAUAAUUCCAUAAUUGUACUUCAAGGAAAUGGAUUAAGCAAUAGAGUAGAGGUACAACAUAGUAUGAAUUUUGAACUAACAUCUGGUCAUAGGGUCAGGGAGUCUUCAAUGUGAUGAUAUUUAAUGUUUUAUUUUGGAUGGACUAUGUUAAGAUAGUAACACCUGUGGGGGCACCUGGGUGGCUCAGUUGGUUAAGCGUCCAACUUCAGCUCAGGUCAUGAUCUUGCGGUCUGUGAGUUCCAGCCCCACUUCGGGCUCUGUGCUGACAGCUUAGAGCCUGGAGCCUGCUUCAGAUUCUGUGUCUCCCUCUCUCUCUGCCCCUCCCCUGCUCACCCUUUGUCUCUCUCACUCUCAAACAUGAAUACAUGUUAAAAAAAAAAAAAAAAAGACUGUAGUACCUGUGUGUUAGGUCCGGUCUUUAAUAAACUAGAAAAAAAAUUAUCCUUAUUAACUUUGGGAAAAUUAAUACCUGAGAAGUUUACCUUUAUUAACUCAAGAUUCACCUGUAGGAUGGGCAAUGUUUUAUUAGUGAUGACAUUAGCCUGAAAUAUUUUUCUUUUUUUCUAGAGAAGUGAUUAAAUUAUUACAUGAUAUAUAUUUAGGUCGAAGACUUUAAAUUGAAAACCUGAGGGUUACUGUAGGGGAGGUGGGUGGAGAGAAGGAUUAAAUGGUUUAUGGGUAUUUAAGAAGGGCACUUGUUAUGAUGAACCCUGGGUGUUUUAUGUAAGUGAUGUAUCACUAGAUUCUAGACCUGAAACUAAUGUUACACUGUAUGUUAACUAACCAGAAUUAAAAAAAAAAAAAAAAAAACUUGAAAAAAAAAGUCUUUAAGUGGGAUACAAAAAGGAAAUGGAGCGAUAGAUACUUUUAUAAAUAUGUGUACUAGCAUCUAUUUUUUUUAUAUAAAAAUGCUCUUAUAAGAUUAUAUUUAUUCCUUUUUGCCUCUGAAUUAUUUCAAAAAUUAUUUAGACACUUAACAAAAAGAAAGUAACUCAAUUUUUUAAAAGUAAAUUUAAUUUCUUGAUAUAUAUGAAUUUAAAAAAUUGAAAUAUUCUAAAAAUGGAAGGUAUUAUGUCAUGAAAUAUACCAAAAGCAGGUAAAAAAAAAAGAGGUAGAUUUUAUUGGACUUUUUUUUCACAUCUCUGUUUGCAGUGUUAAAUCAAAAUGUUUUUGAAUGUCCAUUAGGCAGACCUCCCUAUUGUGCUUCAUGAUAUCAGGAAGGUGAGGCUGAGAAAACAGGGUAGAAAGUGUUGGUCCCUUGAGGACCAAAUAGUCUACUGACAAAUAAACAAUAAAUAUUGGCUGAAGGAAUUAAUUCAGCAUGGAAUGUAUUUUCAAUAUCAUGCAAGGGACUGAUCAAGGGAUAAAUUCAAGUGAAUUCAUAAUUGCUUUGAGAAUUGGGCAAGAUAGUUGUUGUCUUUUUUUUUUUUCUUUUUGGAAAGGAUAAUUGUGUAUACUUACAUGUACAGAUCUCUUUUGAGAGAACUAAUGUUUCUCAAAUGGCAACAAUGUUUCAGGGUUUGUUUUUUUUUUUCCAAUACUCUGAUGAAAACAAAACCCACAACCUAAAGCUGAGUAGUAGACCAGGAAGAAAAGAUAAAGCAUAUACCAAUUUUAGGAAUAUUUUUGAAACUUGUUUUUCAAAAAAAUAGAAAAAAAAAAGAAAAAAGAAAAGUCAUUUAAACAGUCUGCUUUGAAAAUUUCUUUACUCAUGAUCUCUUCCUUAGCUAUUUUCUUUCCUUUCCUUUGGAUACACUGAAUAAUUGGCCUCACUCAGACACAGAUGAGGAGAGAAGGGCUGAACUUGGCUCUGACAGUAGUUAAAAAAUGUAACAAGGGCAAUGAUAUAUCAUUAUAUUCCCAGGACCACAUACACAAUCAAUGAGUGUUUACUUUGUGCUAGGCAUUAUGUUUGAUGUAAACGCACGUACACACCCGCACAUACACCGCGCGUGCACACACACACACACACACACACAUGCACUCUGUCUGUCUGUCUGUCUGUCUCUCUCUCAAUACCUAUGAUGAUACUAAAGGGCAGACACUAUUAUUCCCAGCUGAUAAAAGAAAGAGCUGAUGUAUCUGGAGGUUUAGUGAUGAGAUGCUGAAGUGGCAGUUUUACUUUAGACACUAAAGUGAUAUGUGCUGGAUCAAAGGGAGUUUUGAGACAUCCUCCAUGCAGGUGGUCUUAAAUCCCCUCUGAAUCUUAAAUCUGUCCUAAAGGUGGAGGGUCUAAAAAGCAUUGGGUCAUUGGAGAUGGCAUGGGGGAGGGGUUUUGAAGACCUCAGAGGUGUGAGUCUUAUGUCCUCCUCAAAGGGUCAGAGUUGGAGGUGUUUCCUCUCUGGAACGGGAAAAGAAUUGAUGAGUGAGGUGAAGAGGAGGCUGGAGAGAUGGUGAAGGGCAAGGUCAUGCAGACAUUCUAUUUGUCUUUGAAGGACAGAGGGAAGUUGUGAAGGAUUUUACUCAACAGGAUGGCACACUUACAGAUUCACUUUUGCUACUGUUAUUUUCUGCAGCAAAGAGUGAAAGCGAGGAGGUCAGUUGGCUGUGGUGGGUGUGGACCUGCUGAGAGCUGACGGCCUGGACCAGGAAGGGGGCAGCUGUAGUGAUAGAUUCUGUGCAUAUUUUGUGAAUAGAAUCAACAGAAUAAAUUAAUGGGGUAGAUGCAGAGGCGAGAAUAAAAAGCACAUUUUUAUGGAGCAAAUUUAAUUUAGAAGAGUAGACAAUCUCUGAAUCUUUUGGGUUCUCUGAAGCAACCUCAUUUUUAGGUUCAAUCAUACACUGAAAUCAACUUUAAUAAAGAUAUUUCAUGCCCACUUUCUAUGUAAUUAAAAAAGGAAUUUUAUUUUUGUAUUUUUUAUUUUUUUAAUUAAAAAAAAUUUUUAAUGUUUAUUUAUUUUUUAGACAGAGAGAGACAGAGCAUGAACGGGGAGGGUCAGAGAGAGAGGGAGACACAGAAUCCAAAGCAGGCUCCAGGCUCUGAGCUGUCAGCACAGAGCCCGAUGCGGGGCUCAAACUCACAGACCGUGAGAUCAUGACCUGAGCCGAAGUCGGACGCUUAACUGACUGAGCCACCCAGGCGCCCCAAAAAGGAAUUUUAAAGGAAAGUAUUUGCCUUGUGAUUCCAAAAACUACAUAUACAAGUCAGUCCUUGCUAUUUGCCAUUAGUUGCACAUAAUUUUCUUUAGGGAAAUAAAUCUGUUGAUUGUUGGAAUUGCCCACCAAACAUGACAUCCUUAUCUUUGGAAAGAUUAGAAAUGGAAUUUAGAGAGAAUAUCUUCAUGUGUAUCUUUUAGAAGUAAGAAAAACUGAGACAAGACCAAUGACACAUACAUAGUUCGUUGGUUGUCACAAAGCUCACAGAUCCAGACCCCAUCAGAUCUUUUUCUAUCAUCAUCAGAGCACAAGAUGACACUGACAAAGCUUGUCAGAUGUCAACGUCAAGAGGCCUGCAGUGGUGAGAAGCCAAGAUCAAGAAUGCUGUGGGUCAAAAUUAUGAGAAAGAGAAACAAAACGUUCAGGUUCAUAGGCUGGGAUAAGGUAAGCGCUGCCUAUUUGUAUCAUUGGACAAUAAGUUUUGGCUGCUGCAGUUGACCAAUGGGAUCCAGCUCAUUUGCUCUUUGAAUAUAACCCUUAAUUUGUUCUGCUGCUAAUUUGGCCCCACCCAUCUUUCCCCUUUUUACUUUCUUGUUAAAUUUAAACAACACUUAACUUGCGCUGAUUUGCUUUUGGUAGUAACUAAUUCAGUGCUCUGAGCCCUUCCUGAAAUUAUUAUUUCUUCCCCAUGAGACACUGCCAGAGUGCAUUUUUCUAGGGAGCACUAGUUGGCGGAUCCCUUUAUGUAGACAUAAGCAGACUUUCUACUCAUAUGUUCUCUCAUGGUAUAUUUAGCAGGAUGUAUUCUCUCAUUUUCACCUUCACAUAGAAUAAUGUAUAUAUUAAUUUAUAUUAUAAUUACUUAAUAAUGUUACAUAUUAUAGAUAGUAACAUAUAAUUAUAUAAAAUGUAUGUACUGUAAUUAUGUUACAAUUAUAUAUAUGAGUCAUAUAACUGACAUGAUUAAUUUAUCAUAACCACCAGAGAGCUGCUCAUUCUUUUUUUUUUUCAUUUUUUUUAAAUGUUUUUAUUUACUUUUGAGACAGAGAAAGACAGAGCAUGAGCAGGGGAGGGGCAGAGAGAGAGGGAGACGCAGAAUCGGAAGCGGGCUCCAGGCUCUGAGCUGUCAGCACAGAGCUCGACGCGGGGCUCGAACUCACAGACCGCGAGGUCAUGACCUGAGCCGAAGUCGGCUGCUUAACUGACUGAGCCACCCAGGCGCCCCCAGAGCUGCUCAUUCUGACUUGAUUAUUUAUUUAUUUAUUUAUUUAUUUAUUUAUUUAUUUAUUUAUUUAUUUUCGAGAGAGGGAGAGAGAGACGGAGAGAGAGAGGGAGAGAGUGUGAGCACGGGAGAGGCAGAGGAAGAGGGAGAGAGAAUCCCAAGUAGGCUCCAUGCCCAGUGCAGAGCCUGACACCGUGUUUGAUCUCACCACUGUGAGAUUGUGAUCUGAGACAAAAUCAAGAGUUGGACGCUUAACUGACUGGGCCACCCAGACGUUCUCUGACUUGAUUUUAAUUCACAGUUGGUAAUUACAAAUUACUGGCAUGCCUCAGUUCAGGAAAACCCUUUCUUCUUUCCUCCCUCUCUGCCUGCCUUCCUGUCCUUGUCCUCCUGCCUUGCUGCUUUCCUUCUGUAUUCCAUCCAGGCAUUCAACAAAUGUUGAGUUCCCUUUUUAUGCCAGGUAUUGGGCUAGGUGUCUGUGAUCUAACAGUAAAAAGACAGAUUUAGUUAUUUUCUUAGAGCUUUUACGAGUAGUAGAAAAAGAUCUACUAAACAAAGUAAUUUCAGAUAUUGAUAAGGGUUCUGAAGAAACAUCACUAAGCUAUGUUAGAGAGGGAUGGAGUAUGAUUUUACAUAGACUUCCCAGGGACAACCUCUCUAACGAACUGAUGUCUCCAUGGAAAGCUGAAGGAUAAAAAAGAACUGGUCAAAUAUACUUCAAGGGAAGUGUUUCUUUCCAUCAGAGGGAAUAGAAAGUCCAAAGGCAGCUGUACCCCAAAUGGUUUUUUGUGUGAUGUAGAAAAUGGUGUCCCUUCCUCAAGACGUUGCUAGAUAAUUACUAUAAUAAAUAGACAAAUAGGUGAAACAAGUUAAGCCUCUUAUAAUUUCAAUAUACACCUUGUACAAUUUUAUGUUGCAGCCUGAUAAUAGCCCUGACAAAAGAUGGGAAAGAAAUUCACGUAUUCAUGGUGAAUAAAAGAUGCCUCAUGAUUCGGGAUUCAACUUAACGUGAUGGAGAGAGAGACAAGAAUCAUGAUUAUGAAGGGUUUUUGUUGUUGUUGUUUAUUUAUUUUGUUUUUCCAAGCAACUCAGUAUCAGAGCAUUAAGUGUAUUUCUGCAAUUCUUUUCACUUUACUUUCAUGGUUGCAGGAUGGCUUCAGUGUCUUUCUGUGCAAUAUAUUUGAACAGUUUAUUUCAGAAGCAAGAAAUAGCAAACAGUCACGGAGAAGAAUUUUCUGUUUGACUCCUUUUUGCUCCCCCCACCCCAUUUCAUUCUUCUCCUCCAGCUUCUCUUCCUUCUUCAAUUCGGGGGGAUAAGAUUUCCCGGAAGCCCAACAGCAGACUUCAUCUUAUGCUGAUUGGCUAGAAUUGGUCACUCCUAUAUACCUCAGAUAUAUCAAGGGAUACCCAUCUAAACCUAAUACCUCCAAGACUUACCAUUCUAUUUACAAGGGAGAUAUGCAGAAUAGUGCCUACUAAAUUGUUUUGGGCUUAGAAAGGGGUCUGGAGCGGGGCGCCUGGGUGGCGCAGUCGGUUAAGCAUCCGACUUCAGCCAGGUCAUGAUCUCGCGGUCCGUGAGUUCGAGCCCUGCGUCGGGCUCUGGGUUGAUGGCUCAGAGCCUGGAGCCUGUUUCCGAUUCUGUGUCUCCCUCUCUCUCUGCCCCUCGCCCGUUCAUGCUCUGUCUCUCUCUGUCCCAAAAAUAAAAUAAAAACGUUGAAAAAAAAUUAAAAAAAAAAAAGGGGGUCUGGAGCAAUCAGAAAGCUCUAAGAGGUGUUCCUACAGCAAGUUACACCAUACAAUGUGUGUGUGUGUGUGUGUGUGUGUGUUUUACUUUACUUAUUUAUUUUGAGAGAGAGAGAGAGAGAGAGCGAGCGCAGGAGCAGGGGAGUGAGCAGCAGGGAGAGAGGGAGAGAGAGAUAAUCCCAAGCAGGUUCCAGACUGUCAGCAUGGAGCCUGAUGUGGGGCUCAAACUCAUGAACUACGAGAUCAUGAUCUGAACCAAAACCACAAAUCAGAUGCAUAACUGACUGAGCCACCCAGGUGCCCCUCUAAUGUGUGUUUUAAUGAGAUACUGCUGAAAACUGGAUGGUGAAUGUAUCAAAAGGCACAAAAGUAGAAGCAGAAAGACAAAUUAGGAGGCAUUUUCAGAAAUUCAGGUGAGAAUCCAAGGUCACUUACCCUGAGGUGGCAAUAGGAAAAAUGAGGAAAAGAGGUAAUGUAACCCCAGGAAGACAAAGCGAGCACAUAACUAUGUUUAUUUUGCAUCUCUGUCUUUUGAAUUAGAAAUGAACUCACUGCCAAACUAUUAUUAGGACAGAGAAGGGUAGACUAUUAUUACUACCUUAUUUUCCUUGUGUUUUAUGUAAUGGGAUGCUGUAAAAACAAAUCAAACCAAAUCAAAACAAGAUGGUCACUUUUCCUUUGCAUUAGAGAGAAUAACCAAGGUUUUUUAAAAGUUAUUUAUUUUUGAGAGAGAGAGAGAGAGAGAGGGAGAGGGAGAGGGAAAGAGAGAAUGAGAGGGAGGGAGGGAGGGAGAGAGAGAGAGAGAGAGAGAGAGAGAGAGAGGAAAUCUCUAGCAGGUUCUGUGCUGUCAGCACUGAGCUGGCAUGGGGCUCGAUUUCACGAACUGAACUGUGAGAUCAUGACCUGAGUCAGAUGCUUAACCAACUGAGUCACCCAGACACUCCAAUAAUUCUCAAGUUUUUAAGGAAUGUUUUCAAAAUCUUUGACUUAACUGGAGAUCAUGACAUCACCGAGUCUUAUGACCUGUCUGCUCUCUUCUCUUUUCUUGGUUCUUUUCCUUACCCAUCAUUCUCUUGCAUGCGGUAAGGCCUCUCAAAGACUCCUCACUCAGUUUUUAGAGGUGAAGUAGUUGAAACUCCUGCUCCAUCUGCUAUGACAGUGUGCAAAAGAACCAAUUCCUCAGGGAGCAUGCUCCUAUUACUCUCCCAUUGACUUUGGAGGGAUACGAGAAACUCUUUGUGUAAAAAUGGCAGCAUGCUGUAAAUCUCCACUCCCUGUGUGUCCUAACUAUCCAUGUCAAGUGUGCUGAAUUUAUUGACAAACCCCACACUGUUCUUCCUGACGGCAGUACAGAGACUUGGGAGCUACAGAUGGACAAGCUGUGUUUGGUUCUGCCUUACACAUCGGCAACAGAAUUGCCUCUUAGUUCACCUUCAUAAUCUUUAUAGUUGAUGGUGAAAACGUCUUGGUUUCAGCCACUAAGUUGAAGCCCGAAGCAUUAGCAACGUAAACAUUUUAUUUAAUGGGAUUUACAGAGAAGAGUGAAAUAGCUGUGUGGUUAUGUAAUUCUUUUAGGGUUACUUCUUUAAUUAACUAUUCAUGAGAAUAGUGAGAAAGUUUUAUGCUGUCUUUUAGAAGACAUAAUAAACAAUACAGGAAUUCCAACCUAGAUAAAGCUUCCAAAAAGCAUUCAGACCGGCCAGGAUAGAACCAGAAAAAUGAUUUCAGAGUAAAACAUUUUUGUUUAUUCUUGUUGAUAAUAUUUUAAAAUAUCUGCACUUAAUAUUUUAUUACCCAUUGGGUUUAAUGUUUUUGUUUAUUUGUUUGUUUGUUUUUUACCUUAGCUAGAAUUCACAAACAGUAUUUUAAGUGAACAACUUAAUAUGGUUUAUCAGAUAUGUAUUCUAACAUAACCCAACUUUCCUGUCAGGUGUAGAACAUUUUCCUUAUCCAGUAAAUCCUCUAGUGCUCUCUCACAGUUUCUACCCAUCCCACAUGUAGAGGUAACCUUUGUUGUGUUUUUUUAAUCAUUAUAAAUUAGUUUUGCCUGUUUUCUAACUUCAUCUGAUUCAUCUUUACUCUUUUGAGUUCAUUUUCUUUCAGCAUGAUAUUUUCAGUCAUGCACAUUAUUGUGUGUAUCAAUAGUUUACUCAUUUUUAUGAGCUGAAUGGUAUUGCACUGUAUAAAUAUAACCCAAUUUGUUUAUCCAUUCUCCUGUUGCUGAACAUUUAAGUUGUUUAAAUAUAUUUACUAUUAGAAAUAAAGCUGUAAGGAACACUCUUGUAUUGAUCUUUUGGUGGGUAUGUUUUCAUUUCUGUUGGUCAAAUACUUAAGAGUGGGAUUACUCAGUCAUGAGGUAUACAGUUAAUAUAAGAAAAUAUCAAGCCAUUUCCAAAGUAGUUAUAACAUUCACACUCCCACCCAGAGUUUUGGAGAGUUUCUGUUACCUUCCAUUCUCACCAACAUUUGGUGGUGGUAUCGAUUUUUGAGUUUUAGCCAAUCCAGCAGCUAUGAAGUGGUAUUUGGUUGCGGAUUUAAUAUUUUCAUUUCUCUAAGGAAUAAUGAUGUUGAGUCCUUUUUGUGCUUAAUAGCCAUUCACAUAUUUUCUUUUUGUGAAGUAUGUAGUCUUGACUUUUGCUCAUUUAUAUUGUAAUUUUUAAAAGAUAGUAUUUUGCAAGAGAUUUUUAUAUGUUCUGAAUAUAAGCUCUUAGAGAUAUGCAGUGAGUAUAUUUUCUCCCAGCUUGUUGUUUAAUUUUCAUUUUCUUAAUACUGUCUUUGGAUGAACAGAAGGUUCAAAUUUUGAUUAAGUCCAAAUUAUCAUUUUUUUUUCUGCUAUGGUUAGCCCAUAAAAUUCAGUACGUGAAUCUACAAGAUCUAUUUUUACCUCUAUGUAUUUAUCAGAAUAAAAUUCCAAAUUAUGUGUAAUUCACUAAACCAGAAACCUUUAUUAGCGAAAACUUUCUAUGAUACUUCACUAAUUGGAAAAAGAAGACAAACUUUUUUUAGCAUCAUGGUAGCCUCUAUUCAUAUAGAGCUACAUUCAACUACAAGCACAUAGAAAUGCUGUGUAAAAAUAUAACCAAAACAGGGGUGCCCCAGUGGCUAAGUUGGUUAAGCGUCCCAACUUUGACUCAGGUCAUGGUCUUGCAGUUUGUGGGUUCUAGCCCUGUGUUGGGCUCCAUGCUGACAGCUCAGAGCCUGGAGCCUGCCUCAGUUUAUGUGUCUCCCUCUCUCUCUGCCCCUCCCCCACUCAUGAUGUCUCUCUCUCUCUCUCUCAUUCUCUCUUUGCCUCUCUCAAAAAUAAAUAAACAUUAAUAUAUAUAUAUGUAUGUGUGUGUAUAUAUAUAUAUAUAUAUAUAUGACCAAAACAUUAAUUUCCCUGCAAAUUUAAAAGAACAGAAGGAAAAUUCCUACCUACCAAAGAGAAAAGAUAACAACCAAAAUCUCAAAGCCAUAGCAGUAAAAAUGCAAGUUGAUGCUUAACAGCUGAGUAAAAGUUUAGGGAUGCGUGUAAUGGCAGGAAAUUGGCUUUAAUAGCUACAGGUAGGGCCACGGAAGCUAUUGUAGAUGCUAUGGCUCAGGGCCUGUGCCAAGUCAUGAGAUGACACCAAACUGUACAAACUGGAAAAUGCUCUGUGAAAUGGAGACUAGAAAAGUCUACCUUUCUCAAGCUUGUUCCUGUUUGGGAGUAUGAUUGGGAAAAAGAUCUCCCACAAGGGGAAAACCAAAACAGCGAAAGAACCUAUAGCUUAAUAAUACAAAGGCGUAUUGAAAUCCAAGCUGAGAAAUUAACAUAAAAACUAGCCAUCUUCUGGUGGUGUUCCUGGACAUUUGGUGAAAGUAAAUGCAGAAUGUCUCUGUAGGGAACACUUUUCCUAAUCAGACCAAGCAGUACUUCCCACCCCCAACAAAGACAACAACAGCAAAAAUGAAAGAAAACAAACAAACAACAACAACAACAACAACAAAACUUGAUUGCAGAUUAUCUCAUACCAAAAGAUUAUCAAAUACAUUAGGAAAUAUUCCACAGGAGAAAAAGUAAGUGUCCUUACUAAACAAGAGUUAUAUUUUUCUCAAGAUUAAGAAGGUGAAACCCUAGAAAAAUGUAUGUUGUGUGUUUAAAAUGAUAAGGCAUAUAAAGAACAUAUAAGCCACACACAUAAGCCACAAUGAAAUAAGAGAACACUAUAAACAAAGAACUGGCAGAUUAAAAAAAAUCUAGAAAGGCAAUAUGCAAGAUAGAUAGAUUAAUCUGAAGUCUAUUAGUGUACUGAAAACCAGAUUUAAGGAAGUCCUUGGGAUUCUGGGGAAAAAAGAUUAAUAAAUGGGAUAUAUGAGAAAGACAUUAUGUAACAGUGGGUAGGGUAACAAAUUCCUACAAAUGUCCAAUAGAUUUUCCAGAAGAUGAACAUAGAAAACGGGGGGGGGGGCAAUGCUAAGAGAUAAUAUUUGAGAAUUUCCAUGAAUUACUGCGAAUCCAGAUCCCAGGACAAAGAAUACAUCCAGUCUAAAGCAGUGUAUUCAAAGACCAUUGCAUGCACCACUAGAAAUUUGAAAAACACUGAAAUACCAAGUACAGCAGAAAUUAUAAGGGCCAAUAGAAAAGAUGACUCACCUACAAAAAAAUCUUCAGCUAAAUGUACAUUUCUCUCUUACAAAGCUAAUAACCAGAACAUGAGAGAAUAGUAUAUUUAAAAUACAAAGAGAAAGUAACAUAUAAUGUGGAAAUUUUUACCCUGCAAAGCUAUUAUUUAGGACAGAAGUAAAAUAAAGAUUUAUCAAAGAUGAACAAAGACAAUUUACUGUGUAUUGAAUCUCAGCAAAAGAAGUACUAAAAAAAAUGUAUUCCUGUAAGAAGGAAAACAAAUAGAGAACACUGGACCUUGGUAGUGAUGUUGGUUAACUUUAAGUCAGUUAUACCAAUUAAGAAUAGAAAUAUUAAAUAUAUGUUCUAAAUCAACAGAAGGAAAAAAGGGCAAUAGCAAAAAUUUGUUUCAUCUCAUACAAGGCAGGAAAGAAAAAUAGGCAAAGAAAUUAUAGAAAAGAGAAAGCAUAAAAUGGUUAAAUAUAAAUCCAAAUCCAUCAAAAAUCACAAGAAAUAAACAGAUGAAACACAUAUUUAAAAACAGAUUGUCAGAUAAAUAAAAAACCCCAAGUAUCAUUUUUGUAACUUUAGAAGACACAAAAAGUUACAUGAUUUAUGGUUACCAAGAACAUCAUAGGAUAUAAAGACAUGUUUUGCCAGGAGACACAUCCUCUUCCAACUAUGAAUUAUAUCUGAGGAGACAAAAGCUGCUUCAACUAACCCUGUGAUGUUUUAUUUCCUAAAAAAAUAACAAGUCCAAGUCAAAUAGGGCGAAAUAUUAACAUUUUAAGUCCAGAGUAUGCAAAAUCCUCAGUCAUUUGAGAAGUAAUCUGUUCUGUCUAUUCUGUUCUUACUUCCUUCCAUUGAAAAUUGAACUGUGUUAGGAACAUUUUUGACAAGUGCUCAAACAAAACAAAAUUUCUCAUUAAUGUGGAAUUAAGUAGAAGUUAAAUUAACCAUAGCUUUGCAUUUCUUAAAGAUUCAGACUUUUGUUGGAAUUUGCUGUAAAUAUGAGUGGAUUAGAUAUGGGUCUUGCCCUCAUCCAAUGUAUUUAUUUCUGCCAAUAAAAAUUCCUAUGAAAUACGAGAUGAAGAUAAAAUAUACAUGAGAGAACAUAUUUUUUUUCUGUAAGUCUAAAUGCCCAACUCACAUUUGCUAUUUUUAAAAUUUCUUUUAAGUCUUUGGGAUUUUCUGUAUGACAGUGAUUUCCUAUUUUUAAUAAUACUAUGACUUUGCACAGAGACCCUUGAAAAGAAAGUUCCACUGCACUUCUUUAUUAGACAAAUUAUCCCCAUGGCCAAUACAGCUGUGAGAUGUGUCCUUGGACUUUGAGAGGUAUUUGGAUAAUCAUUCUGUCAAUUGAGGCUUUGAUAACCUCCCAUGUACUGCACAGCCGGUUGUGUAAGAGUGGUAUAAGGUGUUAAAAUGUUACCUUGUCCUACACAUCUGGUCUCUCUGUACUACAGACUUGGGUUUUCAGGGAUAUAUUUGUCCAAGAAAGUCAGGCACUGGGCAAACUGACUCAUGACAGCCAAACCCACUAAUGGGUUUGGAAACAUACUCUCUUCCCACAAAGAAAAGAAAGAAAUUCAAAUGAAAGAGGAGGCUGCUUAAUGAGUAUGUGAGGUUAGAUCUGGAAAGGAGGGAGGGAGGAAGGGAAGAUGAGAGGGAGAGAGUGGGGGAGAGAGAAAGAGAGAGAGCAAGAGCGAGAGAGCACCAUCAUGUAUUAGAUGAGUAUACAUCUGAUUUUGGCACAUAUGCGACCUAUGCUGCAAAUGGACUAUCCUCCUUUUACUUGCUUUUGUUACCUCAUUUGUGUCUAAAUGUGUUUAUCAUUGCUGAUGUAUUUUAAGGAGUUUAGAUUUGGGAUAUGGAAGAAAGUCUGGGAUUAGGAUAAAGGUAUCCGAGGAGUUUAUAUAAGAGUGUAUAGUAAAGUUGUGGAAAUGAGAAGACCAUGAAAGAAAAUCUGAAAAGUAGACUUGGAAGAGUUGAUAUAGGAAGGAAUCUGGGUAUAGUCUGCAUUAUUUUAGGGGUGCCUGGGUGGCUCAGUUGGUUAAGCGUCCAACUCUUGAUUUUGGCUCAGGUCAUGAUCUCAUGAUUUUUGAGAUGGAGCCCCUCAUCAGGCUCUGUACUGACAGCAUGAAGCCUGCUUGGGAUUCUCUCUCUCCCUCUCUUUCUUCCCCUCCCCUGCUCAUGCUGUCUCUCUCUCAAAAUAAGUAAACUAACAUUCCCACCCCCCCCCCCCCCCAAAAAAAGAAAAACUGGGGCGCCUGCCUGCGUGGCUCAGUCAGUUAAGCAUCCGAGUUGAUCUCAGCUCAGGUCAUGAUUUCAGUUUGUGAGUUGUGUCGAUGCAGAGCCUCCUUGGGAUUCUCCCUCUCUCUCUGCCCCUCCCCUGCUCAUGUGUGGUCUCUCUCGGUCUCUCUCAAAAUAAAAAAACAAACUUUAAAAAAAGAAAAACUGAAAAGUAGACUUAGAAGAGUUGAUAUAAGAGGAAAUCUGGGUAUAGACAGCAUUAUUUCUGAUGAAGACAUGGGUGCCUCUUCCUUCUUGUGUUGUGGAUGCUUCAUACCAUGUAGUUACCUUUGAAGGUGAAGACCUUCUGUUGUGUCCCAUUAGAAGGUUAUUCUUCGUACUUUCUAAAAUUAUAGCAUAUGUGUCAGGAACAGUAUAGUGAACUCUACAAACCCUAGACAAACCCCAGAUCUUUGGGGUUUAAUACAAUAAAGUUUCUUGGUCUCAUUCGGAGUCCAACACUGAUGUCUAUGGUUGACAGACAGGUCUUUGCUGAGCAGUGAUUAAGGUCUCCAGGCUCCUUCCAUCUUGUGGUUUUGCCAUUUCAACUUCUGUCUUUCAUGACCACUCUGCUUCUCUGCCUCAUGUCAGAGGGUGGAGGAUGGGGACUGUGCAUGAGAAGACUUAUGAGCAGGUUUGGAAGUGGCGUAUAUUAUUUCUAUCCUGGCCAUAGCACCUGUAAAGGAGGCUGCAGUAGGUGGUCUUACUGUGAGCUUGACAAGAAGACAAAACUCUCUUGGAAGAAUCUCCCAAAUUUUCAAGUAAGCAUUCCUGUGUCCUCAUUGAUGUCUGAUAUUUUAUUAAGCAACCCUUUCAAUGGGUUCUUACGUUUGUUGCCAUAUAAAUAAGAGAAGUAGGAAUUUGGGACAUUGAUGGAUAUGUAUCCUUUACUAUAAAUUAUUGCAUUUCAAUUUGUGAGUCAUAACUUAUUAGCAGAUUUGAAAACAAUUUAAUGUCAAGUUGCGACCUGCACUUGAAAAAGAUGCAAAAGGAGGGGCGCCUGGGUGGCUCAGUCAGUUAAGUGGCCAACUCCGUAUUUCAGCUCGCGUCACGAUCUCAUGGUUUGUGAGAUCAAGCCCUGCGAUGGACUUUGAAUUGACAGCCCAGACCCUGCUUGGGAUUCACUCUCUCCCUCUCUCUCCCCCUCUCGCUCUCGCUCUCUCUCUCUCUCUCUCUCUCUCUCUCUCCGUCUCUCUCUCUCUCUCAAAAAUAAAUAAACAUUUUUUAAAAAGAUGAAAAACGAUAGAAUGGAAUAAAAAAGUUCACAGUACAUUACAUAAUGUACAAGUAAGAAUUGUUUUAUAUAACUUUUGUUACAAUUAUAUAUUAUAAAAAUAUAUAAUAUUUGUAUUUAUAUAUAUAUAAUACAUAAUUGUAUAUUAUAUAUACUAAUAUAUCAUUAAAACAAAAGUUAUAUGUUUCUAUCUAUACAAAUGUAUGUGGGUUAUUAAGUCUGCUGUAACACAAAUUUCUUCCUAUACAGAUACAAAUUUCCUUGCACAAAAAAAUGUGCAGUAAUAUUAUAGCCAGUUUAUGGCCCUUUUCAUACAAGAUAUUACUUAAGGCGGACAUGGGAGAUAAGAUAAAGCUAUCCGAUUUCGCAAUUUUGCUUAGGGUUGUACAGGGUAAGUGAAAGGAUGCCCAUUUAAGUUCCAGUAUCACCUGCAUUUUCUUUUUCCUGUAAAUAACAGUACCAGGAUAGGACAUUUUUGAAAUAUCCUAAGAAAUUGUCACAUCUCUACACAAGGCUAAGGAUGAGUUGGUGGCAGAAUUACAAACUUAACUCUCAAUCUGUUUGCCUUCUGUCAGUUUUAGACAGAUAAUUUUUUUUAAUCGUUGUUUCAAGAAGUAUCAAUAUACAUGCAUAGUAUCAGUCCUGUCAUCUAAAGUUCUUUAUAUAAGCAGGUGGUUUCGGACCUUGCCUGCAGCAAUAGCCUUUGAUCAUUUAGGGGCUACUGAUGUACCCUAGGCAGCUCCAGUUAAACAGUUAUUUGUAGUCAUUUAGAUAUACACCUUUAUACUGUAUCUUUAAUCUUUUUGCACUUGUAAUAGGCUCACAGUGAGAGAAUAUUUGAAAAGAUUUUUCCCCCACAGUUAUACUUCACCUUUUUCUUUCUGGGGACAUACGUAGUGGUUUUUUUGCUGUAUGAAUGUAAUUGAGAUUAUACAUAAGCAUGAAUAUUUGAUAAAUACAAUUAGAGACAAGCCUAGUAAAAUCAUUUGAGAUGGUUUCUACUAGAAGCUAAAGGCAACUGUUUCUAUUUGGAUGUAACUUUUGAACCUAAGAUCUGGAGUUCCUCAGGAAUCCCAGAGUAAUAAAGAUAUCUGUUUCCCUCCAUAUAUGAUUUACGAAAAAUGGAAUAUAGUGUAUGAAGUGGUUAAGGAGGAGGAGAACACAAAACCAAAGGACUGGUCAGUUUGAUCCCUACUGUUUUCACAUAAAGACUCAUAUAUUCCCAGUUUGUAGGGAUCGACAGCCACAAACCCAGAGAUGCCACAACAAAUCCCAUGUAGUACAUGAAUGUGUGGUACAGCUCACGUUCAUGCUGGUGGGAGGAUGCGGGAUGAGUUCACCAAGAAACUUCUAGUCAGACGGCUACAUGAACUGGGAGGAAAAUGUAUCAAUAUUGGUCACAAGGAGGACUGUUCUUGAAUCUUGGCUCUGCCAUUUCUUCUAGCUACUACUAUAGACCAAUUAUUUGGCUUUUCUAUGAAUAACUUUCCUACUUGUACAACCAGAAUGAUAAUACUGUAUCAGUCAGAAGUGUUUAUUGUCAGUGACAGAGCUCAGAUCAGCUUAAACAGAAAUACAGGUUUUGUUUUUGUUUUUUGGCUCAGCUAAUAGAAAACCCAGAGGCAUACCAGCAUCAGAGGAGCUGCUUGAUUUAGGGUCAUAAGUCUUUUCAUGGUUAGGGGUAGGGGUAGUUUCCAGCUCUCUUUCUCUGCAUUACUCAGUUUUGCUGUUAUCUUCUUUUGAAUUUGGAUAUCAUACAAAUUGUAUUAACAGCAGCAAAAGUGACUGAAAAGCAUCCAAGUUAUACAAUCCCAGACUAAACAACACAGAAAAGAGGGUAUUUGAAAAAAUAAUUCCCACAGGAGAGUAGAAACCCAACUAGAACUUUCCUAUCAAAGGCUCUUCUUGCAAUAAAUGUGAUCACAUGACAGCCUUUGAAUGGCCACAUGAGUGGGAUACACUAUUAGGGUCUGACCCAGAAACUGAAGGUCAGUCUAUCCCACAGGUAAAUUCUGGCUGAGAAGUGGUUCUUCUGAAAGAAAUUCAGGUUUGGUUUAGAGGAAAAAUGCUGGGGAGGCUGGCAUCUGCUGGUUGUCACUUGACUACCCCACAUCCAUAUACAUUCCUCUUCCCAUGAAGGGAUGCCGAGGCCUAUGUCAGAUGUGCUUGAUCCAUCUGCCCUCCAGGGAGACCAUCCAGACCCGCACCCCUGAGUGGGCUUGGUGGUUCAGCACUAGCCUGUCUUCUGGAGGGCCUGCUGUGUGCCUGGCUCUCGGCCAACUCCUGGGAACCACCCUCGGGGGUUCUCCCUCUGUUACUAAUGAGUGAGACCGUUUUGUACACCUGGGGCACCCAGCCAUGCUUUAGCAACUUGUUAAGACAGCGUGUGCAGACAUCUGGUGGAUACUGGUUUCCUUCUAGGGCUCUUCGUUUCAGAAAUCAUGGCAGGGAAGUGAGCCGACAUACCCAGUCCCCGAUAAAAGUCCUGUUCUCCGAGGCAAGAGGACCUCCUUGGUCAGAAAUACUUGGCUUGUGCCACAAUUCUUUCUUGGAGGAACAGUGCACCCUGUGUGAUUCCUUGAAGGAGGGCUUUGGAAACCUGUGUGUAGGGGUGCAUGGGUGGCUCCAUCUGGUUAAGCGUCCGACUCUUGAUUUCAGCUCAGGUCAUGACCUCACAGUUCAUGAGAUCAAGCCCCAUAUGGAGCUCUGAGCUGACAGCAUGCAGCCUGCUUGGGAUAAUUUCUUUCUCUGCCCCUCCCCCACUUGUGCCCACACACUCUCUCUCUUUCUCUUUCUCAAAAAUAAAUAAAUAAAUAAAUAAACUUAAAAAAAGAAGAAAAAAAGAAAAAAGAAACCUGUACCUAGCUCCUGACAGGCUCCAUUCAAAGGUCUUGUCUCCCUUGCUGAUCUUGCUUUGUUUCCUUUUACUGUAAUAAACAUUAGUUCUGGGUUUUGUGAGUCCUUCUAGGGAAUCAUUAAAGGUGUGUGUGGUUGUACUACUUCCAAAAAAGUCACGUCUUACCAUCCAGAUCCAAAACUAGGGUUCUCUAGGUUAGUGGUAGGCAAACAUGUAUAUAUAAAUUUAUGCCAGAUCUUAAAUACAUUUGCAGGUAAUAACACUGUGACAAUUACCUAGCUGUGUGAGCUGUUGUAGUGCAGCUGUAGAUAAUUCAUAAACAAAUGAGUGUGGCUGUUUCAGUACAAUUUUAUUUAUAAUGCAAGCAGUGGGAGAAGGUGUGGGCAGAUCUGGUACACACACUGUAGUUUCUUGACUGCUACUCUAGUAGUGGGCCAUAUUCUCGACUUUGUUCAAAUCUAACUUUCUGUAGUGUGAUGAUCUGACCAAAUUUAGCUUGGAAGCUUAACUUCUUACAAUGCAAUCAAUAUAAAAUGGAGGAUAAUGCAUAAAAAUAUGUAUAUUAAUCAUAGUCUGUGACAUGCAUGUUUCUUGCUAGGCCUGCACAGCAUAGACUCCUUGAUCUGGGAGUAAAUUCUCAAUGAGCUCGCUGGUGUUUCUAAACCCGCCAAGAAGUAUCUCUCUCUCUCUCUCUUUUUAAUUUUAUAUAUUUUUAAAUUUACAUCCAAUUAGUUAGCAUAUAGUGCAACCAGCAAUCCUCUGUUUGUUCUCCAUAUUUAAGAGUCUCUUAUGUUUUGUCUCCCUCCCUGUUUUUAUAUUAUUUUUGCUUUCCUUCCCUUAUGUUAAUCUGUUUUGUCCCUUAAAGUCCUCAUAUGAGUGAAGUCAUAGGAUAUUUGUCUUUCUCUGACUGACUAAUUUUGCUUAGCAUAAUACCCUCCAGUUCCAUCCAUGUAGUUGCAAAUGGCAAGAUUUCCUUCUUUUUGAUUGCCAAGUAAUACUGCGUUGUAUAUAUAUAUAUACCACAUCUUCUUUACCCAUUCAUCCAUCGAUGGACAUUUGGGCUCUUUCCAUUCUUUGGCUAUUGUUGAUAGUGCUGCUAUAAACAUGGGCAUGCAUAUGUCCCUUCGAAACAGCACACCUGUAUCCUUGGAUAAGUACCUAGUAGUCAAAUUGCUGGGUCAUAGGGUAGUUCUAUUUUUAGUUUUUGAGGAACCUCCAUACUGGUUCCCAGAGUGGCUGCACCAGUUUGCAUUCCCACCAGCAGUGCUAAAGAGAUCCUCUUUCUCCGCAUCCUCGGCAACAUCUGUUGUUGCCUGAAUUGUUAAUGUUAGCCCUUCUGGCAGGUGUGAGGUGGUAUCUCAUUGUGGCUUUUAUUUGUAUUUGCCUGAUGAUGAGUGAUGUUGAGCAUUUUUUCCAUGUGUCUGUUGGCCAUCUGGAUGUCUUCUUUGGAGAGGUGUCUAUUCAUGUCUUUUGACCAUUUCUUCACUGGACUAUUUGUUUUUUGGGUGUUGAGUUUGAGAAGUUCUUUAUAGAUUUUGGAUACUAACCCUUUACCUGAUAUGUCGUUUGCAAAUAUCUUCUCCCAUUCUGUCAGUUGCCUUUUAGUUUUGCUGAUGGUUUCCUUCGCUUUGCAGAAGCUUUUUAUUUUGAUGAGGUCCCAAUAGUUCAUUUUUGCUUUUGUUUCCCUUGCCUCUGGAGAUGUGUUGAGUAAGAAGUUGUUGCGACCGAGGUCAAAGAGGUUUUCGCCUGCUUUCUCCUCGAGGAUUUUGAUGGCUUCCUGUCUUAUGUUUAGGCCUUUCAUCCAUUUUGAGUUUAUUUUUGUGUAUGGUGUAAGGAAGUGGUCUAGUUCCAUUUUCCUGCAUGUUGCUGUCCAGUUUUCCCAACACCAUUUGCUAAAGGGACUGUCUUUAUUCCUUUGGAUACUCUUUCCUGCUUUGUCAAAGAUUAGUUGGCUAUGAGUUUGUGGGUUCAUUUCUGGGUUCUCUAUUCUGUUCUAUUGAUCUGAGUGUCUGUUUUUGUGCCAGUACCAUACUGUCUUGAUGAUUACAGCUUUAUAAUACAGCUUGAAGUCCGGGAUUGUACUGCCUACUGCUUUGAUUUCUUAAUUUUUUUUAAUGUUUAUUUAUUUCUGAGACAGAAAGAGACAGAGCAUGAGUGUGGGAGGGGCAGACAGAGAGGGAGACACAGAAUCAGAAGCAGGCUCCAGGUUUUGAGCUGUCAGCACAGAGCCAGACACGGGGCUUGAACUCACAACCCGUGAGACCAUGACCUGAGCUGAAGUCCGCCGCUCAACCGACUGAGCCACCCAGGCGGCCUUUGAUUUUCUUUUUCAACAUUGCUUUGGCUAUUCGGGGUCUUUCUGGUUCCAUACAAAUUUUAGGAUUGUUUGUUUUAACUCUGUGAAGAAUGCUGGUGUUAUUUUGAUAGGGAUUGUACUGAAUAUGUAGAUUGAUUUGGGGAGUAUUGACAUUUUAACAAUAUUUGUUCUUCCUAUCCAGGAGCAUGGGAUCUUUCCAUUUUUUUUGUGUCUUCUUCAAUUUCAUUCAUAACCUUUCUAUAGUUUUCAAUGUAUCGGUUUUUCACCUCUUUGGUUAGAUUUAUUCCUAAGUAUUUUAUGGUUUUUGUGCAAUUAUAAAUGGGAUUGAUUCCUUGAUUUUUCUUUCUGUUGCUUCAUUGUUGGUGUAUAGAAAUGCAACCGAUUUCUGUGCAUUGAUUUUAUAACCAGUGACUUUGCUGAAUUCAUGGAUCAGUUCUAGCAGUUUUUUGGUGGAAUCUUUUGGGUUUUCCCUAUAGAGUAUCAUGUCACCUGCAAUGAGUGAAAGUUUGACUUCCUCCUGGCCAAUUUGGAUGCCUUUUAUUUCUUUGUGUUGUUUGAUUGCUGAGGAUAAGACUUCCAAUACUAUGUUGGACAACAGUGGUGAGACUGGACAUCCCUGUCUUGUUCCUGACCUUAGGAGGAAAGCUCUCAGUUUUUCCCCAUUGAGGAUGAUAUUUGUGUUGGGUCUUUCAUGUAUGGCUUUUAUGAUCUUGAGGUCUGGUCCUUCCAUCCCUACUUUCUUGAGGGUUUUUAUCAAGAAAGGAUGCUGUAUUUUGUCAAAUGCUUUUUCUGCAUCUAUUGAGAAGACCAUGUGGUUCUUGUCCUUUCUUUUAAUGAUGUGAUUAAUCACGUUGAAUGUUUUACAGAUAUUGAACCAGCCCUGCAUCCCAGGUAUAAAUCCCACUUGGUCAUGGUGAAUAAUUCUUUUUAAUGUAUUAUUGGAUACGGCUGGGUAAUAUCUUGUUGAGGAUUUUUGCGUCUGUGUUCAUCAGGGAAAUUGGUCUAUAGUUCUCCUUUUUAGUGGGGUCUAUGUCUGGUUUUGGAAUCAAGGUAAUGCUGGCUUCACAGAAAGAGUAUGGAAGUUUUCAUUCUAUUUCUAGUUUUUGGAACAGCUUCAAGAGAAUAGGUGUCAACUCUACCUUAAAUGUUUGGUAGAAUUCCCCUGGAAAGCCAUCUGGCCCUAGACUCUUGUUUUUUGGGAGAUUUCUGACUACUGAUUCAAUUUCCUUACUGGUAAUGGAUCUGUUCAAAUUUUCUAUUUCUUCCUGUUCCAGUUUUGGUAGUGUAUAUGUUUCUAGGAAUUUGUCUAUUUUUUCCAGAUUGCCCAUUUUAUUGCAUAUAAUUGCUCAUAAUAUUCUCUUAUUAUUGUUUUUAUUUCUGCUGUGUUGGUUGUGAUCUCUCCUCUUUCAUUCUUGAUUUUAUUUAUUUGGGUCCUUUCCUUUUUCUUUUUGAUCAAACUGGUUAGUGGUUUAUCAAUUUUGUUAAUGCUUUCAAAGAACCAGCUUCUGGUUUCAUUGAUCUGUUCUACUGUUUUUUUUUNNNNNNNNNNNNNNNNNNNNNNNNNNNNNNNNNNNNNNNNNNNNNNNNNNNNNNNNNNNNNNNNNNNNNNNNNNNNNNNNNNNNNNNNNNNNNNNNNNNNNNNNNNNNNNNNNNNNNNNNNNNNNNNNNNNNNNNNNNNNNNNNNNNNNNNNNNNNNNNNNNNNNNNNNNNNNNNNNNNNNNNNNNNNNNNNNNNNNNNNNNNNNNNNNNNNNNNNNNNNNNNNNNNNNNNNNNNNNNNNNNNNNNNNNNNNNNNNNNNNNNNNNNNNNNNNNNNNNNNNNNNNNNNNNNNNNNNNNNNNNNNNNNNNNNNNNNNNNNNNNNNNNNNNNNNNNNNNNNNNNNNNNNNNNNNNNNNNNNNNNNNNNNNNNNNNNNNNNNNNNNNNNNNNNNNNNNNNNNNNNNNNNNNNNNNNNNNNNNNNNNNNNNNNNNNNNNNNNNNNNNNNNNNNNNNNNNNNNNNNNNNNNNNNNNNNNNNNNNNNNNNNNNNNNNNNNNNNNNNNNNNNNNNNNNNNNNNNNNNNNNNNNNNNNNNNNNNNNNNNNNNNNNNNNNNNNNNNNNNNNNNNNNNNNNNNNNNNNNNNNNNNNNNNNNNNNNNNNNNNNNNNNNNNNNNNNNNNNNNNNNNNNNNNNNNNNNNNNNNNNNNNNNNNNNNNNNNNNNNNNNNNNNNNNNNNNNNNNNNNNNNNNNNNNNNNNNNNNNNNNNNNNNNNNNNNNNNNNNNNNNNNNNNNNNNNNNNNNNNNNNNNNNNNNNNNNNNNNNNNNNNNNNNNNNNNNNNNNNNNNNNNNNNNNNNNNNNNNNNNNNNNNNNNNNNNNNNNNNNNNNNNNNNNNNNNNNNNNNNNNNNNNNNNNNNNNNNNNNNNNNNNNNNNNNNNNNNNNNNNNNNNNNNNNNNNNNNNNNNNNNNNNNNNNNNNNNNNNNNNNNNNNNNNNNNNNNNNNNNNNNNNNNNNNNNNNNNNNNNNNNNNNNNNNNNNNNNNNNNNNNNNNNNNNNNNNNNNNNNNNNNNNNNNNNNNNNNNNNNNNNNNNNNNNNNNNNNNNNNNNNNNNNNNNNNNNNNNNNNNNNNNNNNNNNNNNNNNNNNNNNNNNNNNNNNNNNNNNNNNNNNNNNNNNNNNNNNNNNNNNNNNNNNNNNNNNNNNNNNNNNNNNNNNNNNNNNNNNNNNNNNNNNNNNNNNNNNNNNNNNNNNNNNNNNNNNNNNNNNNNNNNNNNNNNNNNNNNNNNNNNNNNNNNNNNNNNNNNNNNNNNNNNNNNNNNNNNNNNNNNNNNNNNNNNNNNNNNNNNNNNNNNNNNNNNNNNNNNNNNNNNNNNNNNNNNNNNNNNNNNNNNNNNNNNNNNNNNNNNNNNNNNNNNNNNNNNNNNNNNNNNNNNNNNNNNNNNNNNNNNNNNNNNNNNNNNNNNNNNNNNNNNNNNNNNNNNNNNNNNNCAAAAUGAAAUGAUGGAAGUAAAAUAGAGUUUGAAAAAAAUUACACAAAAGUAAAAAAUAUAGUAGAAAAAAUUUAAAAAUAUUUUAUUUCAUAUAGAAAAUAAAAGUGAAUUUUUUCCCUUUCUGUAUUAAAAAAAAAUAAAAGAAACGAUAAAGAAAAAAAAGGAAGAAAGAAAGAAAAUUGAAUAGAUAUACUGGCUAACACACUGAAAUAUGACUGAAAUUACUUCCUUUUCCCCUAGAAGUCAAACUAUUAAGCACUUUAUAGUCCAUAAACUAAGCUGGCAGUGAGACUUGUGUUCUUGAAGAGCAAGGUUGGCCCAGUUGGGUGGGGCUUAGUGUAAUGGCUCUGUUCUCCACUAGAUGGUGCUGCUAGCCUACUGGGGUGGAUUGUUUUGGUGCUUGUCGUGCGUAUGUGCAUGCGCGGGAGUGGUGAAAAUGGCGUUACCCAGGUACCCAGUCUCUAGUAUUGGAACUCUGUUCUUCCCAAUCAGCAAUCACACCCCCAUCCUUCGUCUUCGGCUUUGUCCGCUCCCCGCUUCCACACUGUCUGUGACCAAGCCCCCGGCAGCACCUCCCUUCUGAGUUUUGUUUCAGAUGCAGCUGCGUUCCCUGGCUCCUUACUUCUGAGGAACUGCGGUUUUGAUCUGUUCUGCCCCUCUGUGGAGGGUCUCACUGAGCGAUGAGCCAAAUGUCGGCUGCACCCAGGGACGCUUGCUGGGCCCUGCUGCUGCCGGUGCCCCUAGACUGCAGCCGGGUGCCAGCCCGCCCCAGAAAAAGUUUGCGAGACAGUGUAGCAGCAGUGUUUCAGGGAUUAUGGAAAAUCACAACACACAUCUGGCACCAGGCUUCACCCCCCAAUGACCUUGUUCCAGCACCAGUGAAUGUGGCUGUUCUCUGGGGUCUGCUAGGCCCAGGUGGCCUCACAGCCUCUACAAAAUGCCCUUCCAGCAGUGGAACGGCUUCUCCCAUGUGCCCCAAGAACCUCCCAGACCCCACUCUCCUCCUGGGGAUUCACCCUUCCCACCAGAGCACCGCCAGGUAUUGAGCUGCAGACUUUCAGACUAUGUGCUCCCCUUGUUUACAGUCUUAAUGGAAUUUAAACCCUCUCCUUUCUCCUUUCUCCUUAGUUCAGUUCCUGCGGCUGUUUCCAAUUUUCCACUUUCUCUCCAGCUGCUUUUGGGGAGGGGUGCUUUUCCCGAAUCCUCCCCUGUCUCUGUUCUCUCUCUGCACACAAAAGCGGCUCCCUGCCCUCCGCGGCUUCUGUCUCCCCAAGUUCACCUCUCCGUGCCACAUACCUGUUGAGUUCUGUGGUUCAGGUUGUGCAGAUUGUUGUGUUAAUCCUCAGAUCAGUUUUCUAGGUGUGCAGGAUGGUUUAGUGUUGGUCUGGCUGUAUUUCAUGGACUCGAGACACACAGAAAACUUGCAUGCUGUUCUGCCAUCUUGGCUCCUCCCCGGAAGUAUCUCUCUUAACCAUUGUCACUGUGAUCACCUCUUGUGUAGGCAUUUGAGUGGUAUUUACCUUUAGAGCUUCACACGGCACCCCUUGGGGGUACAGCCAUCAACAUCCUUAAUUUCUCACUAAUUGGUUGCAGGUUUGUCUUCAAACUAUUUCCUUCAUACUUUAAUUGAAUUUUAAGCAGGCUUUAAACUCCUUUUAUUAAACAUCAAAGGAUAGUGAACAAAACCAGAAAUGUUAUUAGAUAAUGGCCUUUGAGCAUAUAACCUGGCAUCAGUUUAUUUACCAGAAAUAGGUGUUUGUUUAAUGCCCUUUCCCUGUUCUCUUUUUGGGAGCAAUUCAGAGCAAUAGGUUGAUAGUUGGGGGGUGGGGGGGUCAUUUAUUUGCAUCUUUGCAAUGAAAGGGGAUGGUCCCUUUUGUAUUUAGAAAUGAACAAGAGUUUUCUUGGGAGGUGCCUAGGCAUUAGGAUUUGUUUAAGGCCCCAAUCUUACUUAUCACAUGCUAAUAUCUCUUCCCUAUGAUUUUUAUUGCAACUGAUUUUAGCUUGGGCUGAUAAUUCGGUUUUUUUCCACCAGUUGCAAAGUAAACUUCCAGUCAAUUUUGAUUGCUUGGAGUAGACCAAAACAAUCACUCAGAGAUCUGUGAAUCUUUUUUUCUGGACCACAUUAUUGUCUUUUCUAUAGAUACUUACAGAAGAGUGCUUUGGUCUUUUCAUCAAUAAAAUGGAGAUAAUAAUUGUAGCUGUGUUGUUAGUAGGAUGUAAUGGGAAGUUGCUCAUAUCAGAGGGCUAAAAGCUAUCAGCAGAAGGUAGGAAGGGGAAGGGACAGGGAAAGUCUGUGUUUUGUUUUGCACAACCAGAAAUUCCCACCCUAAAGCCUUCUAGGUGUUUCACCUGAUACCCCUGGCUAGGUAUUUCACUUGGUAGCCCCUUUUUUGAGCCAGUUUGAGCUGGUUCGGAGCUGAGGAUCUGCAUACAAGCCCCCCAAGUUCAUCCGAAGUUACCUUUAGCUCGUUAUAAUACUAAAGUCAGGGUUUUCCACGAUUUUUUUUUGAAUAUACGAUAUAUGCCCUAGCAUGUUGACAUGCUAGGCAUGCACAAUUGAACCAAAGUAUCUAUUACCAAAGUAAUAGAAUAUGUAUAAGUUCCUUAAUGUGUAUGCAAGUUCCUGGUCCCCAACACCAAUACACUGAAUAAAAGCCUUCUUUACCAACUCCAAGGGGAGACAGUGUUUUGAGAGCGAUCUCCCUGUCUCCUUACUUGUAACAAGUAAUGAAAGUUUGUUGCUUUCAGUAGUUUCUUAGGUUGUGUUUGAUUUAAUGCACCCCAAGAGGAAAACUCCUUGAAUCUGGUUACAGUGUCUUCAGUUAUUAUGAGUGUUAAAUGAGCUAAUAGAAGUAAACUGUUAGAAAAAUGCCUGGUGCAUAGUAAAUUGUUAAUAUAUGAUGGCCAAAAAAAAAAAAAAAAGGUCAUAAGCAGCCAACACACUCGUAUCUUGAAUAUUUCCUACUGAAUCCUUCAGUGCUUCAGCCUCAGUAGAUACAUGGUCUGAGCAUAAAGCUCCAACAGCUGCCAGUUUUCAUAUAGCAAAGGGUGCCAGUUUCUUAGCUCUAGUAACAGGAUCUUCAUUACUUUUUUCCCUACUUCAAUUUAGCCAGUGCUGUCUGUUAAAAUUCUCUUUUGAUACCCCAUUCCUGGUUCUCAACUCUAUAUGAUUAAGAAUCAUUUCCAAAAGGUGGAAAAUACAAAUCAAAAUGGCUUAUCCAAAAACAAAGAGCUGAGGAUUCUGUUAGCUCACAGAGAAGUUCAAGGGAAACAAAAGCUGUUGCUUAAUCUAGAGGUUCCUGAUAUCAUCAGAGCUUCAGUUAUAUAUUUCUCAAUGAGUUCCUUGGCUCUACUCUUCUUCAUUGAUCAGUGACAUUUUUAGGUUGUCUUCCAUCCAGUUGUUAAGAUAGUUAAAUGGCUAAGAGAAGUUAGAUCCUCCCCUACACUCACGACGCUAUCCAGAAUUUAGACCCAUGCUGGUUGCGACUGCCUGUUAAAAGCAUGAACUGACACGUAUUAAAAAUUUUAAGAGUUUAUUUGAGGAAAAAUUAAUUUGCAUUAGGCAGCACCAAACCAGAAGUGGUCAGGAGUGCUGAACAGGUGAGAGCCCAGGGAGACACUUUUAUAAAGAAAAGGUGGGAGCGAAAUAAGGAAGUUAUUGAUUGGCUAUAGCUUAAUGCCUAGUUGGUUAUUUAUGAUUGGUUGUCCUUAGAGUUUCAAUUUCAUAGCCUUGAAAUUUAUGGCUUUAGAUUUUAGUUUUUUACAUAGGCUCCUAGGGCAUUACAGCCACCUCAGUCUAAUGGCCAUCUUGUUUAUUUAUUUAACACUCAAAGAAGAGGGGAGGCUCCUUAUGAGGGCAUAAGCUCUUCACUUACUCAACUAUUGUGCAAGAUAGAGAUUCCAUCUAUCUUGUUGACUGUGUGUGACAGCUCUAGCAUACUGGAUGCAAAAACUCCAUUCCCAUUCGCGUGUAAUAUACUUUCCUUUGUUUUUGAGACUGGGAAGUUUAAGACAGUUUCUGGACCCCAUUUCAGAUGAUACAUUUCUGUCAACAGAGCCACUGAUGUAAGAUUUGCAAGGUAGGAAGAAGCCAGUCUCCACUUUUUGCUUCAUCUAGUUCUGUAGGUAAGCACAAUUGUGGAGAUUUUGUUUGUUUGCUCUUUCUUCAUCAAUGUUGUUAGAGUUUCCAGAAUUCAGUUUUUGUCUCAGGAGUGUCAAGAAACAGGAAAUGGGGUUUGAAUUUUAGUUGAGGUGAUGUGAUCUUGGGGCCAACAGCCUGGAAAUGAUACUGGAGUUAGCAAUUGAACGAGUAGCUUUCUGCUUACCCAGCUUUCUGGUAACAAGGUAAGUAACUAUGUUAGGACGGUUCUUUUAUAGUGAAUUUUCUGAGAAUGAUUUCUAAAGACUGAGACUUGGUUUGGCUUCUUCAGCUCCUCCAAUGAUUUUGUAAGCACCCUCUAUGUAAUGCCUUUCUGCUUAAACUGUCUAGAAUAGUUUCUGUUGUCUGCACCUGAAUCCAUGCCCUGCUGUAUUCGAAGUGCCUAGAAUGAUAGUUGGCAUAUUGUAUGUAAACACAAAUUACUUAUCACCUGGCUGAUUUUUCUUCCAGAAACCUCUACCACCAAACUUCUUGUUUUUUAUUGAGUGAAAUUAGUACCGAUAAGAUACCAGUUAUGGGCUGAAAUAUUAGGAUCAGGUGAUGGGCUACACUGAGCACUGGAAUGGAGGGUCGAGUAUAGUUAACCAUAUGGCUGAGACUGAAGGAACAAAAAUUCCCUAAAACAAUCUAGUUGUUUUCAAAGAGUAGGAAAUAGCACCUGGGGAGGCAAACAAUGAAUAUGUAGUAGAAAGGCCUACCUUAAAAUAUUGUUUAAACAUUUUAUUUAUUUUUGAGAGAGAGAGAGAGAGAGAGAGAGAGAGAACAAGUGGAGAGAGGGGCAGAGACAGACAGAAACCAAAGGAGGCUCCAGGCUCUGAGCUGUCAGCACAGACCCUGAUGCGGGGCUCAAACUAACGAACUGCGAGAUCAUGACCUGAGCCGAAGUCGAACACUUAACCACCUGAGCCACCCAGGCUCCCCAGAAUGGCCUACUUUUAAAGAAUUGUGUGCAUCCCAAAAGCACCACAUAUGGGAUAUUGGGAGCACAGUAAAAAUGAAUUGUUUGAGACAAUUGUAUAUACACCCUCUCUCCGCAUCAGUUACUCAUCCCAUCUCCAGUAGUAUCAGAAUCUCAAGUUUUAGUCUGAGGACAUUGCUCCUCAAGUUCUCUAGCAGCUAGGUAUAAACCAGUGACUAAGUUAUGGGCAAUGAGAUGUAAGCAAAAGUUUUGUGUGUGACUUCUAAGAGAGUUCCUUACUGGGGAAGAGGCAAAUAUCAUUUUCACCCUUCUACUUUUUCACUUUGCUGGCUUAUAACACAGAUGUGAUGGUUGGAGUUCUGGCAGCUAUUUUGGACUAGGAGGUGACCUUGAUGAUGUAAUGGAAGAAGAAGGUCUUGAUCUCAUUAUAAUUAAUAAGCCAUCAUAGCAAUUCUGGAUAGUUGAUUUCCAAAAUCAUUUUUUGAGGGAUAGAAAAUCUAUUUUGUUUAAUCCAGUGCUGUUUUAAAGGCUUUCUAUCUAAUGCAGAUGAAUCUGAUCAUAUCUAAUACAGAUAUAUUCAGGUCUUAAGGGAUGGGGAUGUGACUUUAAAUUCUGUAAGAGAAGGCACCUUAUAGACUUAUGAAAGAAAAUAGAAAUGGAAAAAUUGGACAAAAUCAGAAUAAGCAGUGAAGAAUGUAGGGCAAUUUUCUCAGCGUCAAAUGUUAAAAUCAUCUUGUUGCUGAUAUUUAUCUUUAAAACUUUCUGUACAGCAUCUGAGUCUUCUUCCAUUUUUUGAGUGUAAUAUAUUGUGAUCUUGGCUACUAGAUCAAUCAGACCACUCAGUAAUCAGACCACUCACUCUGGAACUUAAAUCAAAAGCAAAUGAUGCCAGGGAGGGAGAGCAGUAGAAAGUCCUUGGAUGUGCCAGGGGAAAGUGUUGACACACAGCAUCCAGUGUCAACAAUAUGGGACAGUGAGAUGUAGGGUUGAGAAAUUAGUGGUGAUAGCAACAGGGUUACUCUUUGCAGACGUUCUUUGGUUGGAUUUUGGCUGUAGUUUUGUGAAAAUUAACCAAAGGAAACCUCAUUUAAAAUGCAGCCAGGAGGCCAGCAGGGGGAGCUCUCUUACCCCACCACUUGUCAAAGACCACAGAAACUUUAGCUACUUUACUUUACUUACUUUACUUUAGAUACUUUAGCUACUACUUUACCAUCCCAGCAGGAAGAAGAAAGUUUUUCUCUUCCCAUGACAACAGCCCAACCAAUAAGAGCCUAUCACAACUCAGCCAACGAAAAACCACUAUACUUUGGACUCUCUGUUUACUCCUGUUUAAAGCAGCCACUCGGAUUCCACUGCCCCCUUCUUUUUUAAGGAAGCCUCACUUUCAUUUGUUCCCGAACUUGCCUAUUGUUUUGCCUUUACUUGCAUUUCCUGUAUUGCAGUUCUUUGGUCUUCCCAAAUAAAUCCAUUUUUGCUGGUAACAUGCCUGGCAGUUUUAUUGUUAAGGUUAACAGUUCUGGCUGUGUUCUGCUGCUUGGUUCUUGGUCUUCUCCAGUCUUCCUUAUCUGCAGUUUGGGUUUGCAUGGCUUCAGUUACCUACGGUCCACGGCAGUCUGGGCAGUUAGUCUUCCUUCUGAAGCAUUGUCAGAAAGUCAAUAGUAGUCUAACGCUGUGUUGCAAUGCCUGCAUCCUUUACUUCAUCUCAUUGCGUAGGUAUUUUAUUACCUCACAUCAUUACAAGAAGCAGGGUGAGUACAAUACAAUAAGACAUUUUCAGAGAGAGAGAAACUAUAUUCACAUAACUUUUAUUGAGUCUAUGUUACAACUGUUCUAUUUUUAUUUUUCAUUAUUGUCAUUAUCUCUUACUGUGUCUAAUGUUUAAGUUAAACUUUAUCGUAGGUUUGUAUGUAUAGGAAAAAAGUAGUACAUGCAGAGUUCGGUUCUAUCUUCGGUUUCAGGCAUCCAUUGGUGGGGGGAUCUCAGAACAUAUCCCCCAUGCAUAAGGGGAGAUUACUGUAAUUCAAAUCUGGGAGCUCCCCAACACCUUUUUAAAAAUCCUUUUACUUGCUUACAUUAGCCAGAGUCAGUUUGUGUUGAUUGCUAAAGUGAACUCUGUCUGAUACUCAUCUUCUAAUAAUCAUGCAGGAUGUAAUGCUGCAAUGACAAGCUUUGAUUUAAAUAAGAAAUUUCAACCUGUCUUUUUUCCGAAUUGAUUUUAAAUAACAUCCAUAUGUUUCUCCAGGGGCGAGAAGUCUUAGGAGCCUCUUUGAUUAGUCUUUUUGCCUUUCUAAAUUCAUGUUUCAAAACCAAUUCAUUUAAACUUGAAAAAGAUGAAUUUGGAUUGAAAUAAUGAACCCAUAUGUUUCAAAUGGAUUUUGAAUUUACCAAGAAAAAGACUCCCUAAAUCCACACUUGAUAAAUACUCACUGAAACCUAUUACAAAUGUGACUUUAUUUAAUGUGUAAUAAAGUAAUGCACAAUGAAUGGGACAUAGUUUCUGUGUUCAGGGAUGUCGUUGUUUCCAAGAUCUUGCCCAUUUUUCAAGGAAACUUCUAUUAAGUGCCUGGCUCAUAGUAGGUCCUUAAUAAACAGUUAUUGAUAAUUGAAUUCGAUAAGAAUAAUAGGAUAACUUUCAUGGAAUUCUGUUUAUGUAAAACUCUUGCCCCUUAGACGGAAAUAAUUUAGCAGCAGGAGGGUCAAUAGUAGUGGAAAAUGAUAUAUAAGCUGUGUAAUUUUUUAUGCUGAUUAACAUGAGGGCUAGUAGAUAUUUUAAACACAACACAAUUCUGCUUUCUGUUUGCAGUUUAUUUAACAUUUCAGUGUUCAUUUCCAAGCACACAAAACUUCCUUUUUGCUGCUAUCAUCAAUGAACAUUUUCUAAACAGGCAGAUGGAUCUUAUCAGGUGUGCAUUCAGAAUUUUCACCAUGCUGUAUUUCAUCCCUUGAAGUACAAUGCUUCCUGACCAUAUUAAGGAAGAGAUAUUAUUACUGUUUAUUUACUUUUAUGCUUAAUAUCCCUCUGCCACUGAUGGUUUGUUACGUAGAUUAAAAUUUGUCCUUAUUUUCUUUGAGAAGUAUAGAUUACCCAUGUUUAUAGUAAAAUAUCCUCAAAUAUCACAAAAUGAAAUUUGGAAAUCACUGGCUUCAGAGUUUUGUUCCUGAACAAUCACCAGCUUUUUACAUUUUUGUUUUAUCUUACAUUCUUUUUGACAAAACUGCUUUCAUUCCCUCCCCUCCCUCAUUGUCACAAAAGAAAUUCUCUACUUUUUUGCUGUGUUCACUUGUCUGUGUUCCCUCCCAGACCGGAGCUUCUCAAGGUCAGGGCUGCUGGCACUUUUCUUCUUUCAGUAACACUGUCACCUUGCCUGGAAUAUAUAGGUAGCAUAAUAGCCACUCAACGAAAGUCUAUUGUAGAGAUGCAAGAGAUAGAGAUGGACUGGAAGCUUUUUACAUGUGAGAUAGUGCACUUAAGUGGAAAAAGCACAGACUUUGGGGUCAGAAACAUCGUUUCAAAUGAUUUCUCUAUUCCUUGUGUAAUAAGUUAUACUACUUUAUUAUUUACAUAAUAAGUAAUAUUACUGGCUCUUAUACUGUCUGUGUCCUCAGUUACAAAGAAAAGAUGAGUUGUUGAGAAGAGUAAGAGGAAUAAUUGUGUAACUUAGUUCCCUGACAGAUGUAUGGUAGGCACCAGUAAUAUUGCCCCCCUCCUCCUUUUUUUACUGGCAUUAAUACUAGGGAGUAUUAAGCAUAUUAUUUUACUUUAGUAGUGAAAGCAUGGGGAAAGUGGUUGGGAAAACGGAGUUUAGGUGUUCAUUUUGACCUUGAGUAAGUUUGUAUAAGAUCUCUAAACUCUCUGGGUCUUUGUUUCUUCCAUCUUAAAAGGAAAAUAACAUCUAUCAAAGGAUAGAAGGUAAUAAAAUAAACAAGAAAAAAGGCCUUAAAAUUUUAGCAACCAUGGACAUAAAAGGUGUUACCCUCUUUGUUUCUUUUAAUUGUGCAUAGCACAAUAUAUUGCCAUUUGUUACAAUUAAAAAUAAAUGUUCUUAGGUACAGGUACUUAUUUUGAGGCUAAGAAGAUAUUACUAGAAUGUCCCCCAAGGGCUCACAGAAAAUGUUGAUUUAGACAUAAUGAUUACAUUGAAAAGUAAUCUUAUGGAAGAAAGUACUCUGGUUAAAGAAGAGAUUUUGAACAUGAUUGAACUAGAAGAUUUUGGACAGAUUGAAAAGAGAGCUAAGACAGGUGGUGAGGAAUGGGUUUUGGAAUAUCAGAUGUGAAAUGACAAGGACAGGAACAGAGAUUUAACUGUGGGGGGAAAAGUACUAGAAACAUAUAAUUGAUUUUCCAAAGGAAAACUGUUCAGCUUGUCUUUGUGUGUAGAAUUUUGCAAUAUGGUCUUUUAUACAUAGCUAACCCCUGACUAAUAAAGCAGGGAGCAACUUGUUUAUUAUUUUUCUUCAUCUGGUAAUAAACCUGUUGUCUUAUUUUGCUCUAUUGCAGUCAAGCUCUCAAAGUUCUCCUUCCAAUUCUUCACUGCCACUCUUCAAGAAAUUCUUUUUACUGUUUCAAACGAGAAAAAUAUGUAAAUGUUUGAAGAGGAAACCUUUAUCUGAAAGAAGACUAUCAGCAACCCUUCAUUAGAAUUUUCUUUUAGAAAUAAAAAUUCAGGCAGAGAAAUAUUCAAAGAGAACUAAAAGUUCCAAUUUGUGGUGUCUACACCCUCAGCACUUAAAUAUCUGCCAUCCACAUUGCCAGUUUUAGAGGAAAAUGCAGGCUGUUAGGAUUAUCAGUAAACACGCUAUUUCAUUCAUAUGGAUCAUUUUGAAAAAUGGACAUUGGCUUCUUGGUUUCUGUCCUGGGAACUCCUUCUGCCCUCGUCCUAAAGUUUGGAACUUGCCAUGGGUUUUCCUACAGCCCUAGAUUUCCUGGUCAUGAUCUGUCUUAGAGAUAUUGGCCAUUCUCACAUCCAUAAACUUUACUAAAGACUGCCAAAUUGAUGGUGCUAAUCUGAAGUUCUACGGUUUCAUCUCCUAUUCGUUUACAAACUAGAUACCUCUACCUGGAUGCCUUAUGGGCACUUCAAUCUCAGUAUUUCUAAAUUGUUUCCUCUUAUAACUUUUCCUUCCUCCUGUACUCUCUUAUUUGAUAGUAUUACUUUCUAUCCAGCAGCCACACAAGAAAUCAGGAAGUUGCUACUGACCCCCCCCUCGUGGAUACCAUACCACCCUUCUUACAUGGAAUCUUGCGAAUUUCCCCACCUAAACAGCUCUGGGAUAGGUUCUGUUCUCUUUGUCCUUAUAAUGCUCUUUGGGUUAACCCUCAUCCUCUCAUGCAGUUGAUUUUUACCUCAUCUGCCCCUCUCCAGGCAUAUCCUGCUGUGAUUCAUUCUUCAUCCUGCCACCAGAGUGAUCUCUUAAAAACUCACAUUUGACCAUGCCACCUAUUGGUGUAUAAUCCUUCAAUGGAGAACUAACUCUGACAGGGCAAAUAUCAAACUCUUUAAUGUAGCAUAUAAGCAACCCUGUAAUUUGGCACCUGCCAUCUUCACCCCCCACUCUUUCCCCUAUUGUCCCUUGUCUACAAUGCCAUUACACUCUCUUAACCAACCUGCCUUUGCAGAAUUCCUGCUAAUGUUAGGAGAGUCCAUUCAGGCACCCUUCUUUAGGAAGUCUUCCUGGACUCUCCUACUUGCUCUUACAGUGAUCCUCAGAAAAUGCCUCACUCUGAGCUUUUGUAACAGUUUUGCAUUUGUCUGUCAUCGCCCUCACCAUACUGCAUUUUGAUUAUAUCUUUGUGCCAGCUUCCAGGCUAUGUUGUGGGUGACUUGAGGACAGGAACCAAGGCUUGUUCUUCUUUAUAUCCAACAUGCUUAACACAGAGUUUGUACAGAAUAGUAACAAAAAUUAUCUUUUCAGUGAAUGAAAAAAUAUAUAGACAUGCAAUGAAGUUAUAAAGAGAGGAACGCUAUCUUUAAUAACAUUUGUCUAUGCCUUAUAUUUUGUUCUUCAUUCCUCAGUUUUACUAAUAUUAUAACCAAUAAGUCUCAGUGAACAAAAUCAUAGGUGAAGAGGGAAAGAAAAGAUACUGGGUCUUCCAGGUUGAAGAGUCAUUUUCUUGCAUUUCUCUCCAUUUCUAGAUCUAAACUCUAACUAGAUCUCUGAAAUUUAAACCUAAGUUAGAGUAAUUUGGAAGAUAAUGUAUAUCUGUUUAAACCUCUCAUUUUAAUAGUUUUACCACUGUUUAAACAGUUCAAAAAUCACUGUUAAAAUCUGUAUAAAAUAUUUAGGCCACAAUCAUUUGAAGACAAUUCUGAUCUACUCUUUGGAUGUGAUUAUAGAUGGCCUUAUUGCCUUUCCAUAUUUUUUGCUUUGGUUUAUUUAUUUUUUCUUCCAGAGAGUUAAUUUGCUGUAGUUAAUCUUAUAGUUACUAAUAAAACUAAGUUUAAGUCCUUUAUUUAAGCAUAAUAUAUUUUAAUGAAAUAAACUCAAAUAUUAAAAUAAGUAGUCAGAUGCCACCUUCUGGCUCUUGAAGAAAAGGAGAAAGAAAAUCAAUAGUUGUACACAAAUUGGUAUAUUGAAGGUGACUCUCAGUUCCUUCAGGUUGAUUUGUUCCCCACCCCUAAACACAUAUGGCAUAUCAUGCUGUAUCUUCAGGCUGUGUCAGCCACACAUAGUAUAGCAAUGGUAAGGAAGAAACACAAAAUGCAAGACUUUGAUCUUCAAAGUUACCUAAUUUCCCUUUGCUCAAAAGCAGUUGUUAGAGCUACAGAUUUAAAAAGUCUUCUAAAGAAAUGUAAAUGGCCGUCUGUGCAACUUCAGUCUCAGGCAGAAAUCUAGAGACCCAGGAAAUAUUGUCACCAUAAAUCCAAGUGGCAACAAAGCCCACAGAGGGAAAAGUGAAUCAUGUUUCUUUGGUGACUAGAAAUUAAGCUGGUGGAUUUCCCCCACUUCUAAAGGUGGGUUCCCCAAACCCCUACCUUCAGGAAAGUGAUCAAAAGUGAAUUCUAUCAGGUAAUAGAAGAGUUAUUUUUGAAACUGUGCUUUAUAUAUUCUCAUCAGAUUGAUGAUAUGGCUGAACCAUUAAUAAAGCUUGUUAGUAAAAUGGGUUUUUGAUGAUUAGGGAACAACUGUGAUAUCGGGGGUUUGUUUUUGUUGUUGUUUUUUGUGUUUCACAUGUGUCUGUGGUUGUCAUAGUUGAUUUUCUGGAAAAAUAAUAUAAAACUCAGGACAUGUAAAAUCUUGCUGGUGGGAAAUUUCCCAAGAAUUUGAAAAACAAUUUCAAAGAGCCCUCAGGUGCUUUACUGUUAAAUGGUAGAAAUGUAAAGUCAACAACCUUUUGUUUGGCAAAUCAUCUUCAUGAAUUUCUGAGUAUGCAAAUGUGAGUGAAACAUUAUUUGGGGUGUUGGAAUGGAGAGCUUAAUUGCUCUGCACAAGAAAUGAACCAGAACAGUAAGUUGGAGGCUGUCUGGUAGAGAUAGGAGCAGGAUGUAGAAAGUUAUAUUCAAAGUUGGCCAUGAUUAAUGAGAAAUUACUCAUGGGAGGAAAUGCCCAGUAGAAUGUAGAAUGAUGUCUGAUAACCAAUUUUAAGAUUUUAAAAAUAUUGCUUAUGUAAUUAUCGCAGCUUGUUGCCAAAAACCUUCAGUAAAUUAGGCUGUACAGGUACGGUCUUGUAUUAGGCAUAUUUUGGAGAAAUGAGAGAAACCAGGAGAAUGUUGUCUGUGAUUUGAAGUAAUGCAGAAGAGGAACAAGAUAAAGUGAAACUAAACUUUUGAAUGACACAAGAAAAAGAAACCAGUGGUAACUAGAAAAAACCAGGAAAUCGAGAAAGUCCUUAGACAUUAGCUAGUUGGGUUAAAGUCUUUUUACGGAAAGGUUAAAUGACAAGUUAAGCCCAGACAGUGGGAUAACUUUCAGUUUGGGGUAACUCUAUGGAAGCCUGUUGUCUCACAUAAACAAAUCCUUAAAAAUGUUUCAUGUAAUGAGUGAAUUCCAUGGCGUUCAUAAUAGUAACAUCCAGUGAAGCCUAGACAGAGGAAAGAUAUUAUCCACUUGGAUUUGUAGUUUGUUCUAUAUAGCAUAUGUGCUUUAAGCAUAAUUUCUUUACUUUUAAAAUUUUAAAUCCUGAAUUUUUGUUUAUGGUAUCACUUUUGAAUAGAAUUUAAUUGGGUUAUGCACUUAUAUAAAUCAAUGGCUUACAGACAUUUCUGUUUGCAGAAUUUGUUUUCUCACAAAACCUUAAAUGGGAAAAAAAUAAGUUUACAAAGACAAGCAAAUAGAAAUACUGUAGCUGAAGUAAAGGGUAGGUGUCACGUUAUGGGUGAAAUUAUAUCACCCUUGUCACCCUUGACCCUUGUCAUCCUAUGGUUUUAAAUUUGCUCAGAAUAAUAACCUCAUCAGACAGUGCUUUUUUUUUUCUUAAGUUUAUUUAUUUGAGAGACAAUGAGAGAGAAAGGGAGCACGUGCACAUGUGUGGGGGAGGGGCAGAGAGAGAGAGGGAGAGAGAGAAUCUCAAGCAGACUCUGGACUGUCACCACAGAACCUCAUGUGGGGCUUUAUCCCAUAAACCAUGAGAUCAUGACCCGAGUUGAAACCAAGACUCAGAUGCUUAAUUGACUGAGCCACCCAAGUGCCCCAUUAUCAGACAACUACUGACAUAAUUCACCAUAUUAUAUCUCUUUUGUAUUUGCUUUCUGGAGUGUUAAAAAUUAUUUUGCCAUUUGUUUGUCUUUCCUUUGACAGACUUUCUAUACCCUAUUUAAUUUGUACCCUUGGUCUUUUUUGCUUCUGUUGGGGAGGAAGACCUUCCUCUGCCCUUCAAGGUCCUUCUAGCUAGACUUAGAAUCAGAUUGCCAUGAGACAGAUUAACAGGAGAAAAUCAAAUUUAAUAGUGUACAUAUGGAGAAUCCACACAGACAUGAUGAAAUUUUAAAGACAAUGAGCUAACAUGAAGCUUAUGAGAGGUGAGAAGAGGAGUAGGGUCUAAGGAUACAAAGAAGAGGAAGGCCAUUAGUAGAGGGUGAAAGGAAAUGUUUUGAAAAACAAAGGUUUCACCCUAUUGUGAAGUUAAGUUUCUUAGGUAAAGGGGAGUCUGUUAAUGGUUCUCUUCCUGGUAUGGGCUCUCCUUUCCAAGUUUAGGCAGUUGAGGACCAGGAAGAGAGCUUUUCUUGCAUCUGAUGAGUUUUGAUUACUUUUAACUAAAAAUAAUGUUCAUGCCAUAGUGGCCCAUGUUGGGUCAGGCUGCCCUUGGCCACUUUCCACCAACCCUUUAAUGAUUCCCAAAUUAUAACUGAACCAGUGUCAUCUGUCUUCCUCUAUGCUCUUCUGAAUAUUCCCCUUGUUUCUUCCUAUAUGUUUUUCAGUUUGUCUGUGCUGUGUCCCCAUUUCUCAUUUUACUCUGCUUUCUGAAUUCCUAUAAGUUACUCAAAAUUCCUUUGCCAUUUGCUUUUCCCAUAAUGACUAACUUCCCAUAGCUGCCCCAUGAGGGAAGGCUAUUUAGUCAUUCAUUUUUUUAAGUGAAAUGACUCUAACUUUAUUUUGUUUUUUGAGAGAGAGAGAGAGAGAGAGAGAGAAUGAGUGGGGGAGGGGGCAGAGGGAGAGAACGAGGGAGAAUCUUAAGCAGGCUCCACAUUUGGCAUAGAGCCCACUGCAGGGCUCGGUCCUAUGACCUUGGGAUCAUGACCUGAGCUGAGAUCAAGAAUCAGAUGCUUAACUGACUGAGCCACCCAGGCACCCCUCAGUCAUUCAUAUAAUAAACACUUUUGGAAGAGCUUCUUAUGUGCUAAACCUAGUUUCAAGCAAUUCAGAAGUUACCUGUAAAAACAUAUCAUGGAAAUAAACACAAUGAGUUAAAUCUAAAUACAGAAAAAUAAAAUAUGAACUACAUUUCCAGUAUAGAAUCCUUCACUGAAGCCUAAAUGUUGUAGAAAGUCAAGGUGAACUACAUGCCAGUGCAGACUAGAGUUAACUAAGGAAAAAUUCACACAGUUAGAAGGAAUACUGAACAAUGGAAUCAGCAUUAAUUUACUAAGAGCAAAAUGUGCCCAUCUAUCUCAUGUCACAAUUUUAUCAGGGUUACUGGAAUGAGGAGUCCAAAAAAUGAUGUCAACAUAGUGUACUUGGUAUUUUGAAAGUAUUUUACAAAAUACCUAACAAUUUUCUUAUAGAUUAGAUAAAACAUAAAAUGUAUAUGAUUACAACUAGGCGGACUUAUUAAAUGACAGAACCAAAUGAUAUGGAUGAUGGGUUUAUAUAACACAUAAGGCGAGUUUCAUGGCCAUACCCAAACAUUCUCCUCUCUUCCCUUUUGUAUUUAUCAUUUUAGUUAUUUAAUCAGAUGGCCACGUGUAAAGCAAGUUUAUUAGGUGGGAAGAUAACACAAAUCUAGGAAGACCCCCUAACCCCAAUGGUAUGAAAAUCCUGGAGUAAUGGAUCAGAUACAAAACAAUGAAUAUCGAUUAUUAUAAUGGUCUAUACUAUUGACUCUAGUUCGCUGCCAAAAUAGUGGAUGAGAGUAAGGGGCUCAGCAGCAGCAAAGUGUAAAAAAGACAUGGGGUUUCCACAUUUCACUGAAUACAGGAUGUGUCAGGAUUAUAAGGGGCUGCCAAAGCAUGGUUAAUUCUGCUUAUUGUUAUGGGCUGAGUUGUGUCCCCGCAAAUUUAUAUGUUGAGACCCUAACCUCCAUUGUAAUGAUAUUUGGAGAUGUGACCUUUGGGAAGUUAGGUUUAGAUGAGGUCGUGAGAGUGUGGCUCUUGUGGUAGGACUAGUGCCCUUAUAAGAAGAGAUAUCAGAAUGCUUGCUCUUUCUUUCUGCUCAUAUGUGAGGACACAGUGAGAAGUGCUAUCUGAAAGCUACAAAGACAAUGCUCACCAGAACCCGUCUGUGUUGGCACCCUGAUCUUGGACUUCCAGCUUCCAGAACUCUGAGAAAAUUAAUUUCUGUUGCUCUAGCCCCCCAAUCUGUGGUAUUUAUCUUUCAUGGCACUUUGAGGCGAUAAAUAUGUCCAUCUUGCAUGAGUAGGAUUCCUUGAUCUUUAAAGAAAUGUAUUCAUUUUUUGAAAGCCUCUGAUUACAUUCAAUAAGUUCAGUUUAUUUUAUUUUAUUAUUUAUUUAUUUUAUUUAUAUUUAUUAUUUUAUUAAAAUAGUUAUUUCAUUAUGAUUUUUUUAAAGUUUAUUUUGCGAGAAAGAGAGAGUAAGCAGGGGAGGGACAGAAAGAGAGGGAGAGAGGGAACCCUAAGCAGACUGACAGCGGGAGCCUGAUGCAGGACUCAAACUUAUGAACCAUGAGAUCAUGACAAGAGCUGAAUUCAAGAGUUGGAUGCUUAACUUACUGAGCCACCCAGGCACCCCUGUUCUUUUUAUUUAAAUAUAAUUUCAGUUGUUCUUGGCACAUAAUGUCCUUUUGAGAUUGAGCCCCUCAGAAGACUAAUUCUAUGGCAGGCUUGCCCUCAGACUUAUACUCCAGAGAGGAGUAUAUAUAUAUAUAUAUAUAUAUAUAUAUAUAUAUAUACACACACACAUAUAUAUAUAUGCAUGCAUAUAUACACACACACAUAUAUAUGCAUAUACACACAUAUACAUAUACAUGUAUGUGUCUGUAUAUGUAUCUAUAUCUAUAUCAUCUAUAUAUAAUUUUUUUAAUGUUUGAGAGAGAGAGAGAGAGAGACAGUGUGAGUGGGGGAGGGGCAGAGAGAGAGGGAGACACAGAAUAUAAGUUUUAUUAACUAUAAAUAGCAUAAAUGUGUUUUCCAGUACAUAUUAGACCUGCACAUUUAGAUCAAAUUAUUUGGUUUGACCUGUGUCCUUUGAAAGUAUAUGUUCUCAGGGCGCCUGGGUGGCUCAGUCUGUUAAGCAUCUGACUUCAGCUCAGGUUAUGACCUUACGGCUCAUGGGUUCAAGUCCAGCUCCAGACUCUGUGCUGACAGCUCAGAGCCUGGGCCUGCUUCAGAUUCUAAUGCCAUGAAAUUGAACAUAUGCAUAUCUUAAGUAGCCACAAUAAAAUAGGUAUUGGAGCUGGAAGUUGAAGACAGAAUUGCAUAUGGAAAAAAUAGGGAGGUUUACAUGGCUACAGGGUCAAUUAUAUGAUUCAAAUUUGAGACCUACAUGGUAAAAAUUCAAUUUUUUUUUGUUUGCUAUACACACUUGGACUAUGACUAAUUUAUCACACCUCGUGAACUAAAUAAGUUGAAGAACUUAGUCUGAAAUCUAUUAUCAUAUUCAUUUCUUUAACACGUGUGAAAAUAUCGCUGAUGGCACUCCCAUGAAUUUCUGUGAAUUCCCUUUUUUAGUACUUUAGUAAGGAAGUGUGAAAGAAACCAUGGCCAAAUUAACGCUAAAACAUUUCCAUAGGCUACAAAAAAAUCUGCCUAGAAACCAGGCUUGGAGGAGAAACAAGAAGUCCAAUGUGAACUUUUGGUUAUUGUUGAGUGUUUUUGUUUUUCUCAAUGUGGGCCUGCGAAAAAGAGGUGAGAAGCAGUGCUGAGCCGUGGUCUCUAAGGAAAUCCUUUGCCUCCCGCUGUCUUGGAACUGGAGUGUGGUGAAUUGCUGGAGGUGAUACACAACAUAUGGAAGAGGGAUGGAUGUGGUGAGACAGACAUAAUUUAUCUGUCUUUCUCAUUUCUCUGCUAUUUUCCCACUCCUUCCUAUUUAUAAAUACUGUUAAAUUUCAUCUACUUUUCCCUCUCUUUCAUUUUGUAUUUGAUAACGUUGACUUCUAAUCCUUAUUAAUUCUGAUUUGAUUUUCAAACUUAGUUUGCUUUUGUGGAAAGAGAAACAGAAACCAACUGGCUCACUAAAACCCGUGAAAAUGGCAUAAAGAGUAAUACAAAGGGAUGGUAGGAUCUAGACUGCACGCAAAUAACCUAAAGAGAGCAAGAGAUGAAGGGAGAGGAAAGAAAAAGAAUCAAGGUAGAGGGCUUUCUCACCAGAUUUAAUUUCCAACAGUGUUUUGCAUUUCCCAUUCAAGAUCUAAGAGUAAAUGUGUAAGUGGGCAUUUUAGGAUAUAUGAAGACACACACACACAAAGGUUUCCUUUGGUGUAUUCUCCGAAACCUCUAUUCCACCAUAGGGAAUUUGACCCAAAGUACAUCUGACCCACACGACAGGUGAGCUGUAGAAUUUCUGCAAGGACUCUCAUAGAGAGGCGGAAGGUUAAUUUCCCCAGUACCUUAAGGAACCUCUGGUCACUGGCCACAAAACCAAUAGUUUAGUCAAUGUUGGACCUUCUUACCCUAAAUUCAAAUAUUUCUGUACCUGACUCCUUUGAUGCUUAAAAGACAUGUACCAUUUUUCUUUAAGGAAAGCCAAGAUAUGAAACAUUUAGUUUUUAUGUAAUAGGUAUAUAGGGACUAAGUUUUUAAAAGAUAUUUUGAGUCGCAGAAAAAUUGCAAAGAAUUCCUAAAUAUACUUUACUGAGGUUCCCCAAAUGCAAACAUACAUACACACACUUUUAUCCCUGAAAUGUGUAAGAAUAAUUUGCAGAGUGUCUCUUUACUCAUUAGGAUGUAACUUUUGCUCAGAUUUAUUCAUAUGAACGGCAAGGUUAUUUAACAUACAUGACAAAUUGAUAAACAAAGUUUGUAAACAAUUAUUUUGUAUAUAGGCUGUCAGGGACAUUUCUGUUGUGAAGUACAAGUGUAUUUUAUGUCUAUUUUAUUUUAAAUAAGCAAACACAGCUAACAAUAUUUGCAUAAUAACUAUGUGGAUAAAUUUAGAAGGUACAAAAUGUGAUUUAAUACCAUUUCUUGAAUGCCUGCUAUAAGCUAGGCACUCUACAAGGUGUGUGUGUGUGUUUGUGUGUGUGUAUCAACAAUGUGUCUAACAACAAUGUCUUAAGGAAGGUCUUAUUAUCCUCAUUUUGCAUUUAAAGAAACUGUACCUCAAAGAAAUUAAGUAACUUGCAUAUAGUUAUACAACUAGUAAAUACUGGAACUGUAAUUUUCAGAAAGCAUCUUUUUGAUAGAGUAUAUUUUAUAAAAAAACAAAGCCUAGUUUAUUGUUAGUCUUCAUCUUCCCACAAAUGAAGCCAGCCAAUUGCAAAUUUCAACACAAGUCUCUUGAAGAUGGCUUGAGAUGAACUUUAAUUUCUGUCAGUAAUUCAUUACUAAGUUAUAUCAACUGAUGCUUGGAGAAGUUAAGUAAAUGUCUCAAGGUCACACAAUAUCUGAAUGCUGGAAUUGGUGGGAUAUUCUGGAGAAAUGGUCUUGGCCCAUUAUGUUUCUGGAGGCAGUUGAAAAAUGGCUUUCUUGUCUUACAUAAUAAUUGUGUAUUCAUGAUUUUGAAAUUAUAUGUUGAGUCAGCUUUGAAAAUUUGUAUUUUUUCUGGAAAUUUAACUGUGGUUUUGAUAUUUUAAAUUUCAUUUAACAUGUUACUUUUAUAUUUUAUUGGAACAACCAGAGAAUUUUCAGUUGUUUCUCUGUGUUUGUUGAAUAUUCUUUUUCUUCUUUUGUUUAUGAACUUGGAUCUUUUACUUUAAAAUCAAUUUAUGUUGUUGGUCUUUUCUAAGAAUAAGUUCUUGAAUUUAUUUAUCACUGUACAUUUUUCUUUUCCUAAUUAAGUUUUUUUGCUUUUAUCUUUAUUUUUCUAGCUUCUUGAAUCAAACUUCACCAAUUAGAUUUUAACUGCCAAAUCCAAUGUGUUUUCCUUAGUUCCCAUGCUACUUGAUCUCUCUGUAGUAUUUAAUGUUUUUGGACAGAACUUUCUUCUUAAAAUAACUUUCUCCCAUAGAUUUUUUAACUCCAUAGUCCUUUUUCUCUCCUUACUUCUCAGUCUACUUUUCAUUUUCAUCAUUAGCUCAUCUUCUUCCUAUUUUCAAAUGAAAAUCCCCCCAAAUGUAGCUCUUGGUUCUGAACUCUUCCCUCUACUCUUGAGAUGACAACAACCUCUUGGACUUCAGCCACCAUUUUCAAGAAUAUGACCUUUAACAACCUUAUUGAAAUAUAAUUUAUACACCCUAACAUUCAUUCAUUGUAAAUGUACAAUUCAGUGAUUUUUAGUAAAUUUAUAGAAUUGUGCAAUCAUUGCCACAAUCCAGUUUUAGUACAUUUCCAUCACCCCAAAAAGUGCUCUUUUGCCCAUCUGUGGUUAAUUCCUGCUCCCACCCACAGUUCAAGGCAAAAACUGACCUGCUUUGUAUUUGUAUAAACUUACCUGUUUUGGGCAUUUUGUAUAAAUGGAAUCAGGCAAUCAGGGAGCCCUUUGUGUUUGCUUCAUUCACUUUGAAUAAUGUUUUUGAGGUUCAUCCAUGUACGGAUUGUUUGUUUGUUUCUCUUAUUGAGUAGUAUUUCAUUAUACAGGUGUCCCAUUUGUUUAUCUACUAGCCAGUCGAUGGACAUUUUGGGUUUUCCAGUUUUGGCUUAUUGUGAAUAAUUUAGCUAUAAGCAUUCAAAUCUUUGUGUGGGAAUAUGUUUUCAUUUUUCUUGGAUAGCUUUCUACAUGUGGAAUGGUAAGUUUUUGUUUUGCUUUUGAAGAAAAUUCCCAACUGUUUUCCAAGUGGCUGCUCCAUUUUACAUUCCCACAGCAGUUCAGUAGAGAUCCAGUUUGAACACAUCUUCACCAAUAUAUAGUUUUUCUCUCUUUUACUGUAGUCAUCCCCAUGGGUGUGAAGUAUCUUAUUUUGCUUUUAUGUAUGUAAUUUUUUUUUAACUUAGUACCAUCAAUCCUGGCCUGCUCUUAAAGGUCUAGGUACAUAUUUCUAGAAGCUUACUACUAUUUCCACUUGGAUAUUUCACAGUCACCUUAAUUUUAACAUGGGAAAAAACUAAACCUCUCUAUUGACUCCCUAAUAUUGGUUUACGUUUAGAGGUCCCUCUUCUUUAAAAAUAGUAGCAUUUUCUUUCCCAGUUUUAAACUUUUCAAAUCAUCCUCUAUGCUUCUUCUCCUGAGCUCCUUGUAUUUAAUUAGCCAGCAAAUUCUACAAAUUAUUUCUUAAUGUCAUCUAUAACAUUUUCUUCCUAUUUUCAUUACUUCAACUCCAGUCUAAGCUUUUUCUGAAAAGGUAUAUAAACAUUUUGCUCAUUGUAUUUCCACUGCUCUCUAUUUUGGAACUAUCAAGAUAUAGUAGCUUUUAUUAUUUUAUUUUAUUUUGGCCACAUCCCAUUAGGGACUCAAAAUUAAUUUAGUGUGUUACUCUUUAGUGUUAACUCUAUAGGGCUCCAACCCAACUUUUCCAUCUGAAUAAAUUCUUCAACUCCAGUUAUAGGGAGACUCCUCUGAACAUGUCUGUGCCUUUCAACCUGGAGGCUUUAGUAAAAACUACAUCUUACCCAUCUUAUUUGGAAUUAUCUUUCUUUGCCUGUCUGUCUUUUCACCAAUCUUUAGCAACAACUGAAGUCUCACUGUAUGAGUGAAGGGUUUACUAUCUGCCCAUACUUAUAUAAGCUAAUCCAGUGUGUUAAUUCCAUCUAUUCAUUUAUUUUUUGAAUACUUUGAGAACUUACUGGGAGCCAGGUUUUGUGCUAGGUGCUGAAAUGCGCCUAUUGCUAUAGCAGUAGAGCUGGAGACAGGAUAUUUUAAUAAAAAAACAAGGAGAGGCACAAAGCCCAGCUUGAGUUAGGCUGGGCAUAGGUGAUAAUGGGAGCAAAGACACAGAGGUAAGAAAUAGCCUGGUGUGAUUGGAAGUUACCAGCAGAAAGGGUCUACUGACACGUGGUAUCAGCAGAGAUUGGUGAACAUGAAUCUAGAGAAGAAUUUAGAGACCAAGGCAUGAACUGUCUUGUUUCUGGUGCUAACAGUUCAGACUCUAUGCUGUGGAUAGUGUGACCACACAGGACUUUAAACAGGGGAGUACAAUGGUCAGUCUUGUGUUUUAUGCCAUUCAUUUUGUCAAGUAUGUGAAGGACGACUUUGAUCAGGACAAGACUGUUGGAAGGGGAGCAGAAGGUGUUAUUUCUGUGAUGAGGUAGUGAAUACUUAAGCUAGAUGGCAGUCAUGGUGAUAAAGAGAACAGAUGACUAAAUGGUGAACAUUUUGUAGAUGUAAUUGGCUGGACUUAGUAGAUGUUUGAAUGUGGAAGGGAGAGAGAUGGAGAGAAAGAGUUGAAAAUAACUCCCAGAUUUCUGGCUUUUCUCGACAUACUAGUGGUGACACCAAAUUAGCCUAUUUUGUAUACCACUCAUGAAUCACUUAAUACUUUGUAGUGUACCUUUUAAUGGCUGUGAUAGCUAUCUUUCUACACCACUGAUCAAAGUAUUUGAGGGCAGAAUCUAGCUUCUAAAUGUUUUGCAAAAAUGAAAAUUCUUUGCUCUAUGAAGAAUAGUGCCUGCUCAUGUUUUUAAGUUAAGAAAUUGGAGAAAAAAGUAAAAAAAAUCCUUUCAGUAUCACCUCAAAAAUAUUACCACCUAAAGGAACACUGGAACAGAACUAGGAUUCAAUGCAAAAUGUGUUAAAACUUUCUCUUUUAACUCAUCAUAUUAUCAUGUAGACAUUUGUGAGUUUGAUUUAUAUAAUGAGUUGUAAUUUUGCCUAUAGCAUGUUAUUGUACAGAUGAACUAUAAGCUUGAAUCAAUGUUAUCAUUGGGAAUAAGUAGUAUGUUUCUAAAUUUCAAUAGAACAAUCCAUGCUGGAAAGAAAAAAACAGCCUUCCAUAUAUAUUUAACCUUGACUAUUAGUCUCAUGUCUCCAUUUCCUAAGAAUAAAGUCCCCAAAUACUACAUAAUGUAAGGAUUCUUUCUUACCUGGACUCUGACUUUCUCUCCAGUCUUGUCUCUAGUUAGUUCUCAAGGAGCAUCACUUUGUGGCAAUACCAACUGUUUGCAACUCAAAACAAAUUAUGCUAGGUCAUGACUUUAAGCCUCUGACAUAUUCUUUCCCUGCUAGGAAUGCCCUUACCCUACUGAAUUUCUCCUCAGUCUAAAGAUCAACCCAAGAUUAUCUUUCCCUAAUUCUUGUAAAGAGAGUUGACCAUCUUCUGAUUUCUGCUGUGCACAUUCCUGUUAAAAUUCCUACCGCCCUGUAUUGUAAAUUGUGGUUUUCGUGUCUACAUUCCUUCCACACUAGAUCCUUUUUGUAUUUGGGACUUUUUGUAUUUAGGGACUGUGUUUCAAUUAGUUUCUAAUCCUAGAUUCUGUUUUAGCACAUAAAUAAGACUCAGUUCAUGAUUAUUUAAUUCAGUUGACAUUGAAACAUUUCCAAUGAUCCAAUACCUUAGAUGGCCAAACCUAAUUUAAAGACUGAGGAAUUUAGAAAUCCUCCUGAAAGCAAUAGUGAACCUCUAAAAACAUUUGCCUUAUCCACAUUGCCUGAAUUGUUUUGAUAUGGACUUCUAUAGACUUUGAUAUGGAUUCUAUAGACUUCAUUAUAAUGUAAAGUAAGAUGAGAUGUAACCUAAGAGAGUUUUAAAAGAUCUCUUGAUGCUCUUCAUGUUUAAUUUGAAGGAAAAGUUAAAAAACAACAACAACAACAAUAAAACCCCCCCACAUAAACCUUCAGUGAGUCCUUGCUGGUUAUCUCAAGGAGGAGCAAGCAAAUCACAGCAGAAGUGGGAAACACAUUUUUCUCCAUUUUGACAGCCAAGUAGGGAGGAGUGAGAGACAGAAGCCAGAGAUCGGUUAUAUAAAUAAUUAAAGAACAUUGUUGCAUGCACCCAAAAUGUAAGUUGAAUUUGCAAAAUUUUGCCAAUGUGUAGAUAUAUUUCUUAAUUAUUUUGGAAGCAAUAAAAAAAUUCUUAAAUUUUUUAAUGCAAAUUAAACCCUUAGUUUCUUUUUAAAACGUGUAUAAUUUUUCUGUAGCAAUCUCCAACCCGGAAAUCUCUAUACAAGUUAAAAUGUCUCUUCAACUAAUGUCCUAGCCAGUGCCUUUUAAGAGAAGUCUGUAGGUCAUAGAGAUAUUUUUAUUGCAUAAUUUCUAAUUAAUAAGACAUGGAUAGGGGCGCCAGGGUGGCGCAGUCGGUUAAGCGUCCGACUUCAGCCGGGUCACGAUCUCGCGGUCCGUGAGUUCGAGCCCCGCGUCAGGCUCUGGGCUGAUGGCUCGGAGCCUGGAGCCUGUUUCCGAUUCUGUGUCUCCCUCUCUCUCUCUGCCCCUCCCCCGUUCAUGCUCUGUCUCUCUCUGUCCCAAAAAUAAAUAAACGUUGAAAAAAAAAUUAAAAAAAAAAAAAGACAUGGAUAUUUGAGAUGGUACGUUAAACACCCGAUUUGUAAAGUUCUUCAGUCCUUAGAAAAUUAACUGUCAUUCAACUAGUUCUGCCUGUUUCAGCCAGGACACUUUUUGACUGCAAGUUACAGUGAGCAAAGUUUUGGCUCACAUAACUGGAAAAUUCAGGGGUGCAGCUGGAGUCAGCUUAGUCUAGAUCAAGCUAUUCAGAGGGUGUCUGCAAAACUCACACUGUGUCUUUCUUCAGCAUAAAUCCUCUUUGCAAGUGAGCCAAUGACCACUAUCUUUGGCAAAAAUAUCAAGAAGAUUUUGUUGGGCUUAGUUUGGCUCACUGUGUUUGGUCAACUGGAUUUUUCUGAUGGGUCAGUGUGUCAUCGUUGCCCCUGGAGUGAGAGAAGGAUCAGUCUUGCCUGAACCAUGCAGAGUAGGCUUUCUACAGACAAAAAGUUCUCUAGUACUAGACAAAGUAGGGGGGGAGGGGUCCUGGAGAGACAAAAUCAAGAGAUGACAGCUAUAGUCAUUUCUGCCACUAUAGGAAGUUGAAGUAGAAAAUGAAUACCAUUUUUUUCCUGGCAAGUGAAAUACGGGUCAUUUAUAACAUUACACAUCAACUAUUUGGCCUUAGUUUUUAGUACCUAGGAAUAUGGAGCUUAUGGGACCACAGUUGAGCCUGAACUCCUGGAUUUGCUACUAUAUUUGCUACAUUACAAUAUGUUACCAAUAUAUUUGCCAAAUUACACACCCAGGGAGAUUCCAAGACCUGAUCUUGACACAUAUUCCCAGAGAAUCUACAUUAAACAUGCCUUUGAAAUACAGGGUUUUCAGAACGUGAAAAAGGUUUCUCUCUCUCUUUUUUAAGUGUUUAUUUAUUUUUGAGAGAGAGAGAGGGAAUGUAAGUGGGGAAGGGGCAGAGAGAGAGAGAGAGAGAGAGAGAGAGACAGAAUCUGAAGCAGGCUCCAGGCUUGGAGUUGUCAGCAAAGAACCCCACUUGGGGCCCGAACUCCCAAACCUCGAGAUCAUGACCUGAGCUGAAGUCAGAUGCUUAACCGACUGAGCCACUCAGGCAACCGGAACAUGGUCUCUUCUAUUGGGUCAUCUGUAAAACCUUUUCUGAAUGACAGAAAAAACUUUGUGAAACAUAAAUUUUACUAGAUAUAAAUUUCUAUAAAUUUUAUUAGAAUGGAAAGUAUAAUGUGUACCCUGACCAGCCUCCUGGAAACAUAAAUGUGCUAAUAAAUGGGAACGUGAAUUUGUUAGGCUUGAGCUCUAUAAAAAAACUUUUAUAAUAUCAAUGUAUCAAUCUGUUUUCUGUUGAUCCCUUUAUUGUAUACUACUUUAUUCAUAGUCUCCAAUUUUCACUUUCGUAAAGCUAAACAAUUGGUAAAAUAAAUCUAAUUAGUAUUUAUUAAUUUUUGUCUAGUAUAAAAAAAUCUAUUCCCAGGGCGCCUGGGUUGCUCAGUCGGUUGGGUGUCCAACUUCGGCUCAGGUCAUGAUCUCACAGUCCGUGAGUUCGAGCCCCGCGUCGGGCUCUGUGCUGACAGCUUGGAGCCUGGAGCCUGCUUCAGAUUCCGUGUCUCCCUCUCUCUCUGACCCCUCCCCCAUUCAUGCUCUGUCUCACUCUUUCUCAAAAAUAAAUAAACAUUAAAAAAAAUAAAAAAAAUCUGUUCCCUAGGUUUUUAGGGAUAAUCUAAAUGACAAUGGAAUAUGGUAACAAUCAUUAGGAAUUAAAGAUACUAUUUAAAAAAAUUUAGUUUCUCCUUAGAGCUCACUUUAGUUACUAUAUUUCUAAUAUACUAAACUAGAUAUUUUAUCUUCAGAAUAAAAUUUUACAACACUGUGUCCACAAGUAUAUCAUAUCAGUACAUCAUCAUCAUCAUUUUCAGUAUCCACCACAUUCAUUUUGCACACUGAAUAUUUAAAAUGUGCUCAAAAUAUUAUAUUAAUUUCAUACCUUAUAAGAACUGCAUAAAGCAGUAAAUAAAGCAAAAAAAAAAGUACUUAGGGCUAAGGUUGAACCCUAGUCAUAAAUGUUAAAUGGGAUAACCUAUAUGAAAAUGACUAGCUCACGGACGGGAACUUUUGUAGAUGUGCAAAGUAAUUUUCUUCCCCUUUGCAAUUCUUAUUUUCCUUUCCUUUUUCUUGUCCUUCUCUCUUUUCAUCUUUUCCACCCCUCCUUGUUUUUCCAUUUUUUCAUCCUUCCUUAUAAUUUCUUGCUUCUGAAGGGGAGCAUAAUUUGCCACCCAAAAUAUAUCUCUUUGUAAUAAGGAUAAUCUUGAGUUGGUUAUUAUUAUUAUUUUUUCAUUAUUUAAUAAUUGAAGUAUAGUUGGCAUUGAGUUGGUUAUAUAUAGUUUUUAAAGUUUAUUUAUUUAUUUAUUUUGAGAGAGGGAGAAAGAGAGCGUGGGUAGAGGGAGAGAGAUACAGGGAGGGUCAGAAAGAGAGGAAGAGAAAGAAUCCCAAGCACUGACGGUGCUGAGCCUGACUCAGGGCUUCAAACUCAUGAACUGUGAGAUCAUGAUACGAGGUUAAAUCUGAGUCAGAUGCUUAACCAACUGAGUCACUCAAGCACCUUAAGAAAGAGUACACACAAAAAACGCUCUGAAAAUGGAGUAGAAGUUACCCUUUUAUAAGAGACAUUUACAUUUAUAAGGAAAAUCCCCAUUUGUGUGUCCCUCUCUAUACCAAGAAGAGAAGUUUGACUCAAAAUCUCUAGAAACUAUUAUCAAUGGAGAAAGCAGAGACUUAAAUCUGCAUUAAUAACCUUACCCUCUUUUACUGUGCUUUACUUAGAAACCUCCCAUAAAUGGUUACCUACCCCCAAAUAUCUUCUUUUGUCUUUAGCUGGAGAUGGUAUUUAAAGUGGUGGAUUGGGCCAUUUUGGGGAGUCACUCAGUUUCCCUGGGUCAUUCUUAUGUAUAAGGGAGGAAUAUGUGUUAUGAAACCUCUGUUUUUCUCCUGUCUUUUAUUACAGGGGCUAUUGCUAAGAACCUAGAAGUGUAGAGGGAAAAUUAUUUUUCUUUCCCCAUAUUUCUCUCAGAUUAUCCUUCUUCUCUGUCUUGUUCUUAAGCUCCAUGUAACUCCUUUGAAAGCUUCAAGCUCAAAUCCUUCCAGGUUUAAGUCCAGUAGGUAAGACUCUGUGGAAGUUCUUCCCACACAUUCUGUAAUUCACUGUGGACUAACGUGGCAUCUGCUCUUAAACCAACCAGUGUUUCAAGAAUUUGGGUCAGGUCGUGCAGGAGUGGAAAUGUGUGGAGAGAAUGUGUGGAAAACGAGGUAGAAUAUUUUCCCUAAGGGAAACUUUGGGUCCUUUUACCAGAAGAAAAUGAUUGGAUGCUGGAUCAUCAAAACCUAACAAACAUUCACUACAUUUUUUUUCCUUUAAGGAAGUUCACAAUUUAGUUGCAGUGACAAAAUAUCUAAUGUAUAUAUGUGGUGAAAAUAAUGUAACUGAACCCAGGUUUAUGCCCAGCACACAGCAAAGGCAAUCACUGAGACAUCAGUAAGUAGCAGGGAAGAGUUUACUCUGAGAAGUAACUAAAUAAGAGACUGGAGGGCAGGCAACAAAUCCACUUUCCCAAAGGGUUGAGGUUGGGCAUAUUUAAGAAUAAGGGAUUUAAGGAUAAGAAUGUCAUAGUGUACAUAUGCUCAUUGGAUAUAGAAAAAAAGGAGGUUCCUCCUUUCUGAUCAUGUACAUUCAAAAAUCAUGUGUCUUCAUGGGCACACGUUCAAAAAUUGGCGAUGCAAGUGAGAGAGAUCUUGGGUUGUGUUAUCACAGGGUUUAAUUUCAUUCACUCUUGGUCCCUUCUGCACAGUUGCAAGAAUUCUUCCCAGUUUGCUCCAGUCCUAGCGAGUCUGCAAAACAGGCUUAUGAAUCAAUCCGGUUAGCCAGAGUUUUCUUAAUGCAGAAUGGUCAAGCACUUAACUUAAUGUGUUGGCUUUAAUAACUAAUAAGAAAUGUCAAGUGUAAUUGCUAACUGAUAAAUAAAUUCAUCUUUAUGAUGAUUUCUGUAGAGAGACAGUAUCUGUUAUGGUUAUAAACAUAGUCUAGAGCCAGAGACUCUGGGUUUAAUUCCAAAUCUACCACUUGAUAAGCUUAAAUUCUUAAAUUCUCUAUACCACAGUGUUCACAUAUAUUCUAGUAACAGUAUCUACCUUAUAUGGCCUUGAGUUAAUGCCUCUAAAGCACAUAGAACCUUGCUGACAUAAUAAACAAAGAGAAGAGUUAGCUACUAUUUUUAUUAUUUGAAAGGACAUCUAUUUCAGCUUGAGAAGACUAAGACAGUUUAGCUGAGAGAAAUGGGAAGAUCAUUCCAAGUAGAAACAGAUGGGUGGCUAAAAGUAUGAGGAAAGGCUCAUUCAUGUUCAAGGAACAAGUAUCCACAGAGAUCACAAUACAUAAACAUAAGAAUACACCUCUCAGAAUCUUUGUGAAGUGACUUUCUCACCUUGCUCCCUUUCCUUUGUGUCUUUUCACUUUAUACUCCUGUUUCUUUAGAUCACUCUCUUCCUCAUCUUUGAAGACCCAUGCUAUAAUUUACCUCUCCUAGGCAGGGAUGUAUUAUUGAAAAGAAGUCACUAUCUGAAAUUGUUGCUAGCCUAGUCACCCAGAUUUACAACUGAAGAUGUGAAAUCAACACAGGCCAAGCUAUAAUUCUUCCACUACUUCAUUGAUUUUCUCUUUCCAAGGGUCCUGGUGACUUCAUUUUUAGAUCCCAUGGAUAUUCCUCAAAUUGCUUGACUUCUUUGAGUUAUUUUAUCCUGCUAAUCACCCAGUCACUUUCUUCCAGAAGUGUUCCUUUCUUGGUGUCAUCGUGAUGUGACCUAUUGAGGCAUUCUUCCUACAUUGAUGGUCAUUCCUUCAUAGCCUACUUUCAGGAGCCUCCUCUUGUGCUCUUCACAUUACCACUCUUCAAGUUCUUUCCUGGGCCACUUUCUUUUGCCACUCUACAUAGUUCCUUGUUUUCUACUGUGACUCCAAAUACAAUUUAUGGGCUAUUGGCUCUCAGAUCUAUAUUUCCAAUACAGUUUUCUCUCCUGAGACAGAAAUCUGUGACGACGUCUGCCAACAUCUUCUAUCUGAUGUUUAAAAGGAAUUAAAAACCACAGCACACCUAAAAUGGAACUAUUUAUCUUCCCAAGAAGCCUAUUCUCUCCUCUUUUGCUCAUUACGGUCUGCCUAGAUGUCUAAUCUUACAUCAGCUUUUCACUUCAUCCUUAGCUCCUCUGUAUUACUAGCCUUCUAAAUGUCUUGGAUCUAUUCUCUUAACUACUGCAGAGCCAUAAUCUUGUCCUAUCUUUAUCCCCCUUACCUCCUACUCUAUUGCUAUCAUUGCCUCCAAAGUGGUAAAUCUGACUCCAGGCAUAUUCCUUUCUAACCUAUUAUCCACAGCUUUUUAUCCACAGCUUUUUUUUUUUUAAUUGUCUUCCUAAUGACCAAAUUUGAUUAGACCAUACCCCUGCCUGAGAUUAUUCAAUGGUCUCCUUAUUGCCUUUGAGCAAAAUUCAAAAUAUUACAGCCUUCCUGGUUUCAUCUUUAGUCCCAUUUUAUAUUACUGCCUCUAUCUUGCCCUGGUUUUAGCCACUAAACCCCUUUCUGCCCUCUGGGUUUCUUACGUGUUGUUCUCUCUCUCUCUCUCUCUCUCUCUCUCUCUCUCCCUCUCUCUCUCUCUCUCUCUCCCUCUCUCUUUCUCUCGAUUAUUUUUUUUCCUGUCUUUAGUUAAAUCAUUCUCUCUUUGACCCUCUUUAAUCCAUUGUUUCCAUUUCACUAAAUGCUCGAGAUUUUCCACAUGAUUCUGGUACCAAUUCAAUUUUGUCUCCUUUAAGAGUUCUUUGUCUUCUAAGACCAAGCACUUUGUUGUCCUGUCCUGGAAUAAUCCAUGGGGGAACCUCAGGAUUUCCCAACCAGUUGUCUUCAUCAUGGUCCCCAUUCAACUUUCAGUGUCUUUGGUAGUCUCCAUUUCAAUUAAUGAUCUUUCAUCCAGUCAGCUGUCCAUGUUAAAUUCUGGGAAUUAUCCUUGAUUCCGUCUUCUCUGUUAACAUGCAUUGUCAAUGAGCCUCCAGAUUUUCCUGAUUUUACUACCUAAAUAUUUCUCAAAUGUCAUCAUGUUUCCCUCUAUUGCUGCUCCCACUGUGUUAGUUUAGAUCCUCAUCAUUUCUGAUAUCAAUGACAAAAAUAGCUAAUACUUAUUUUUAUGGGAUGGUACUCUUCAGUGUUUUGCAUGCAUUAUUUUAGUUAAUUCUCAUGGAAAACUUCUUUGAAAUAGAGACAACUAUUUUUGCCUUUAUGUAGAUGAGAAACUGGAGAGUCAGAGAAGUUUGGCAACUUGUCUAAAGUCAUACAGCUACUCAGGGUUCAUUCCUUUUUAUAGGGGCUCUAAAAUAUAAUGGCUGAGAGUCCUUUGUUUUAUAAUGGUUACUCUUAAAGCCAGGUAGUUGUAUUUAAACUCUUCCUUGGACUUUUGUCAGAGUAUGUCACACAGCCUGCUUAAAAUCCUGUGUUCUAGAUUGAAAUCAUUAAAAACAUUUUCUAUGACUCUUCCCUGCUAACGCUGAUGCUGCCUUAAAGUGAAUUUGGGUCAAAAGAGUAGUAAUCAGACACAGUAACUACAGGCAGAACACUCUCUUGUCUCUCUUCCCUUUCUACAGUGGCGUAAGCUUCCUUAGAGCUUUGAAUCCCCAAACUCUGGAAGGGCUUUAGCAGGCUUAAUAUUUUGUUUUUCAGCCCACCUAAAGGAAAAUUCAAACAGUGCCUCCACUACAUAGCCACGCUCUCAUUUUCUACCUUAUCCUCACUAGCUCAUUAGAUGUCCACUGCUCGCCUCGGAAGCAGCUUUCCUAAUUAUGUCGGUGGCGCACAGCUUGUCUUCUUAAAGACUGCGUUUUUCACUCUGUUCGUGCCAUUUCACUGGAGAGGAAAUCUGCAUCUGCGCUCCUAUGGAAGCCAUAAGGUCACCACGUGAAAACUUGGAGGGCAAAAAAAUGUUGUCAGUAAUGAGAUCUCAGGCAUUUGGAAAGUUCACAGGGUCCUUUGUACAACACUGAAGAAUCCCUCUGUUUCCUCUGGUGCUGUUUCAUGCUAAUUUCAGAACACCAGCCAGUAUAAGGCAUCUCAACUCAAACUUCAGUUCACAGUGGAGCCUCUUUCAUCCUUUUUUACAGCGAGGCAGUUAGAUUUAUCUUGUUGAUCUGUGGAAAAAAAGGAAUAAAGAAACACAGUCACAUGAAUAUAACAGAUGGAACAAAUUGAAGGGUUUGCUCCUAUCACUUUUCUCCUUAUUAAAAGGAGAAGGGAAAACUGGUUUUCAACGGGGCACCAAUUAUUAUGAUUCUUUAAUAUUUUAAAAUUAUAUGACUUUCUAGAAACUCUAAGAGUUGCUGAUAUAGGCUGAAUAACAGUAAUAACAGAUUAAUUCUAUCACAAUUACAGGUUUUUGUCAUCACUUUGCCAUUGGUUUUUGCCUCAAGACUCCUCUGGUUACGUCUAGUGAAGGAGCAGAGAAAGCCAAAUUCACCAAUUCCCUGCUUUGUGACCUACUUGAUUGUACUACACAGAGAAAGUCACAGGGAUGGUGUAAAGGAAAUAACUGACUCUCUGACCUAGUGCUCUGUGCUGGGUUGCCACUGAAUCUUGUUUAGACUGUGACAUUUGAUUAGUGUAUGGAUAUGGUCGGGAAAUUCUGGAAUUUGCAGCCCCAUAGAGUCACCUCAUUAUAUUCCUCAUUAUAUUCCCCACUGUCCUAGUUUUCCAACGCUGUACAGUUCUACCUCUAGGAAUGUGACUUCACAGCCCAGGGAAGAAAGAACACUAGUAAACUUCAUGACAGAAUGGAUUCUAACUUCCCAGCUCCAAGAGUUUGAAUUACAGAAUCAAAGAGAUUCUAGCAAAAUUAUCUAGUCUGAUCCCCCAAAUUUAGGCUGCAGAGCAGCUAAGAGUCUUUCUCUUGCUCUUUCUUCAUUAGUCUUUUUUUUUAAAAAAGUGUUUUUUCUAUUGAGAAGUAAGUCAUAGCCUUAAAUUUGCCAGCCUUACAAGUAGGAAAGGAACAUUAAUACUAUUAUGUCCCCUAGGCUGUCAUAUAAGGUGAUCAACAAAAGAUCCUUUAUGGCUUGAGAAGUUGUUUUGUACAGUACAAAUCACCAAGUCCACUGUGCUGUGUUAUGAUUUAGUAAUUAUAUUGGUUUAAAGCACCAGAUCAUCUAUUUUUCAACUUUUUGGUGGUGUCCUACAGAUAAGGCCUUAGUAUAAGACCAUUUGUGGAAUUGUAGCAUAUGAAGCAUAUUUUAAAUAAUAGCUUGAAUAAAUGGUGAUUUUUACUUAAGAAUUAUGAUUUUGUCUAGGUUCUUAUAUAAUUACAUCAUUUCACUACUAUUGGACAAGGUUAAAUGUUAUAGGUCUCACUUUUUCUUCCUCAUACCUAACUACCUUCCCAAUUUCUCACAUUUCAGGCACAGCAUUACUUACUAUUUCUUUGGGGAAGCUUUCUCUGACUUAACCUUGAUCCCCACCCAGUCCUGUCUAUACCGUUUUACACUCAUCACAUAUUUUUCUUUCCUUUGUAGCCCUUAUCAAAAGUGUAAUUAUAUGCAAACUUACAGACUUACUGUCUGUCAGUAAUUUAAUGUGUGUCAUUCCCAGGUAAACUGUGAGCAUAACCAGAAUGGAGCUGUGUUUGUCGUGUUUGAUAUUAUAUCCUAUUGCGGUGGGCAAAUGGUAUGUACAUAUAAACAUUUACUGAAUUUAUAAAUGAUUUCCAAAGAUAUACUUAACAUUGGACCCAAUGCUUUAAGCAUAAUUUGUAACCAAAAAACUAUUAACUGUAAAAAUUUGGAGGGAAAAUUAUAAAGACUCCCUUCUGGAAGAAAAAGAUCAUGUAUAGAGGAUCAAGAAAAGAGAGUGAGAUUAACAACAGAUUCAUUAAUGAACAGCUGAGGUACUAAAAGUAAAUGCUACAAUAUUUUGAAAGUUCUGCAGGAAAAAUAUUUUACGCCUAGAAUCCUCUACCCAGUCAAAGCUGCAUCAAUUUUGAGGGUUAAAAAAAGGACAUUUUUGGAUAUUGAUGAAUUUAAGAAUUUUAUCAUUUUCAGAUUUUUUCUAUCAGGAUUACUGGAGGAUAUACUUUACUAAUCCGCAAUAACUAUACACACACAUGCACACACACACACAAGAGUAAGCCUUUCCCCUAUGCCAACAUAUUUAUCCCCAAAUCAAAAGUAAAACUGGAAAAUAAAAUCCAAGAUCUAUAUCUGGAAGGUGUUUGAGCCAGAAUUGAGCAGCUAUGGACAUACUUGGAGGGGGAAAGGAAGUUUAUAGGUAUUACCUUGAUGUUAAUAACAUUUUAAUGAGUUUGUUCAAAAGGUAGUGGUAACCAUCAUAACUUGUAAAGGAGGAGCAAAUUUCUAUACCAAUUAAGAAAGAACAUUUUGUCAGUCUAACCAUAGAGAGAAAGAGUGGGGGGAAAGCAAUAGAAAAACAAUAAAAGGUGUCAAGAUGAGUUCAAAUAUAUUGGUACUUAAAAUAUUGAAAAGAAGACACAAAGGAGAGGGUGAUCAUCUUGUUAUUGAUGCCAUUCUUUUUUUUAGAGAGAGAGUGAAAGAGAGAGAGAGAGAGAGAGAGAGAGAGAGCAUACAUAGGCACAUAAUUGGGGGAGGGACGGAGGGAGAGGGAGAGAGAAAAUCUCAAGCAGGUUCCGUGCUCACUGGGGAACCCAACGCGGGUGAGCCGAAAUCAACAUUCAGAUGCUCAACUAACUGAGCCUCCCAGGCACCCCUGGCUUUUUCUAAUGGUGGGAGAACCAGUUUUGAAUGGACUUGAGCACAUUUUAAUCUCUUUUUUCACCACUUUUUCUCCUUUGCCAAACUACUAACCCAUUAUUGUAAUUAAAAAAAAAAAAAUGAUGGGGGCUCCUGGGUGGCGCAGUCGGUUAAGUGUCCGACUUCAGCCAGGUCACGACCUCGCGGUCCGUGAGUUCGAGCCCUGCGUCAGGCUCUGGGCUGAUGGCUCCGAGCCUGGAGCCUGUUUCCAAUUCUGUGUCUCCCUCUCUCUCUGCCCCUCCCCCGUUCAUGCUCUGUCUCUCUCUGUCCCAAAAAAAAAAAAAAAAAAAAAAAAAUGGCAUCAAAACUGAGGCUUUUGAAUUACAAAUCACCCUCUUUGAUCAUGAGUUAGCAGCUUUUUUCGGUGUGUGUGUGUGUGUGUGUGUGUGUUUCUAGAUAUUCACAUGUAGCCAAUGAUAACAGUGAAUCAUUAAUUUACCAUAUAGAUCAUUUAGUGUAAAAAUUCAUUAUUGUGUAGUACUAAGUAUAAUUAAGAUUGAGGAUGAUAUUCAUGUUGAUUAUCACCUAUGUCAGUAGGCUACAGUAAAAAACAAACAAACAAACAAACAAACAAACAAACAAAACAAAACAGUGAGCCACAGAAGUCCAAAACCCUGACUGUAUAUAAAUUAAUAAAAGAUUUCAGUAGUGAAAAGUGUUAGGAUCAGAGUUAUGAUAGAGAUAAAUGAUCCUAAGAGCAGUGCUUUGGAAGAUUUUAAAAUAAAAAUAUAUAAUUAAAGAAAGGUGCGGAAGUUUGAAUUUGAGAUCAUUUAACACUUAAAGUGUUAAUAAAAUAAUCUUUUGAGUCUGAGUUUCACGAUUAGUUUAGAAUUUAAUUUUUGAGUUUAUGAGAAGUAACGAUAUAUUCUUUCUGCAGCCUUUUUUCCUUAUUUGACCUUCUGAUCCAUACAGGGCACAAACAAACUAUUAAGAGCUAUUUUAAAUUUAAAAAAUUUUUGAGAUAUUUCUAUAAAUUUAAAAAUAUAAAUUAGAAAAUUCUUCCUUCCAAUUCCUUUUGCCUUCGCAUUAUACUGUGAAGUGUUCAUAUUUUGCCACAUUAGCUGAAAGAGGAGUGUUGAUUUAUUCGAAUGGAAUGUGGCAAUAUUGUUUUGUAAAAGGUGCUGAUACAUGAUAGUCGCAAAAGAAAGAGAACGUUCUCCAGGGUUUUAUAUCUCCAAACUGAAGGAAGUGCAAAACUUAGUCAACUUUGGCAUGAUUUGAAUAAUUUUCACAUGCCCAUCUUCUGCAUGUGUUAUGGUGUAUCUGCUACCUUUCUGUAGAAAAAGAGAAAGGAGAGUUCAGUGCUGUUCUUGGUGUACUUGAACUGGUUUCCUCCCUCAAAUNNNNNNNNNNNNNNNNNNNNNNNNNNNNNNUUACAUGCCCAUCUUCUGCAUGUGUUAUGGUGUAUCUGCUACCUUUCUGUAGAAAAAGAGAAAGGAGAGUUCAGUGCUGUUCUUGGUGUACUUGAACUGGUUUCCUCCCUCAAAUAAACCCAGCAGGUAACAGUUGAUACAGAUGGAGAACCAAGUUUUAAUUACUGUCAAUAGCAUCGCCUUCUCCACUUUGCCAAAUGCUGCAUGUUUCUGGCAGGCCACUCGGAGAUUCUCCUCUUGGAGGCCUGCUUCUGCCUAAAUCAGUGUGCAUUCCCUUUGAUAUUCCCACAGUGUGCACAAUAUACCCUCGAACACACACUGCUCAGGGUAAUAUGUCUCUAAUGCGCUGAAAUCAAUGGGAACACAGCCUUUUUUGCCUGACAGUAUUGUCAGGGUGUAUUAUCUGGUUUAGGCUGUGGCUUCAGUUCAUAGCAGUCGUCAGUUAAAUUUCCCUUUCUGAAGCUGAGCAAAGUGUGGUAAUGUCACAGCCACAGGCGACUGCCGUUCAUAGGACGGUUACCGGAGAAGCAUAGCCUCCUGGCUUGUCACACUGUAUAUAUCUCAGGGUCUUCUCUUGCUUCCUAGUCAGAGGUUUCCAAGAAUGUUGCCUGGAGCAGUCAUGGGAUGCAAAAGAGAGAGAUUUUUGUUCUGCACUUAGCAACAUUACCACACUUCACACUCAGUUUCUGAUAAGGGAAAAUUUAACUGACUUGCUCUGAACUCCAUCUAUCAGAUAAUACACUCUGACAGGGCUGUGGAUAAAGGCUAGAAAACCUACUAAUUUAUAUUUCAUUAUCUCUGCACUUGGCUUAAUCUGUUAUCUUUUUCUAAGUGUUACAAAAAUGACAAGGAUUGCUGAACUGGAAGUGGAGAGGGGAACCCUGACCCCACAGGGGAUGCAAGAAGGCACACUAGAUAAUUCAGCAUCCUGUGUGAAGAAGCUGUAUGCUGAGGGAGAACCUUGGAGUCUGUAUCUGAGAUUGGAAGAGGCAGGGCAAUCUUGCACAGGUGAAGAGUGGAGGGGGCAUUUCUAGCAUCUGCUGCUUUGUUCUGGUCAACAGAAACCAAAAGAAGGAUAAUGGAAUUGUCAAAUAGCGAUGUGUUGGUGCCCAGGCACUUCCUCACCCCAGUCUCAGGCUUCAGAAGAAAAUCAUCUUUGUAGUACUUAGCCAUCAUUAUUGAAAAAGAUGCUUUUAAGUACUGAUGUAUGUUCAUUAGAACCAAUGAACUAACAGGGAUAUGUAGGGCUUAAUUAAUUCAGGGAGAACUCUCCUUUCUUCCAGUGUAGAGGACGGCCAGAUGUUAUAAACACUCCUUGAGGUGCUAGAAUGGGGCUUAAUUCCCAUCUGUAUGGGAAAUUAGCAGUUCAGUUCAGAAGUUCGUUACAAUAAGAAUAAACCCACAUUGGAAUUGCCCUCGCUUUGAAAAGGAAUUCUAAAAUACAGGUGCUAUAAAAUAGGGAUAAUAAGUCCCCUGGAAUUCUGAAGAAUAUUUUAAGCACUUGCUAAUAUUUAUUUGUCAGGAACUAGGUCAGACAUUGAGAAUAUGAACACUUGUUAAACUUUCUUGGAGCCUUUGCUUUUCUUUUUAAAAAAGAGCCAUGCAUUCAUCUUUGAGAGACAGUCUCCUGAUUCUCUUUUUGGUCUAUGUUGACAAGAAGCAUACAAAUAGGAGGCUGGGUAAAUGCAUACAGAUUUCAGUUCAAGGUUAUCUCACUCUGUAAGUUAUUCUGAGAGGAAUUCUAAGUCUCUUGGGGCAUGUGCAAAGUGGAACAUUAUGAGCUGUGUGUCUUUGUUCUCAGAGUGACCAAACUGCACUUCUUAGUAUGUAGUAAUGAUUCCUACGCUCAGAGCUUCUGCCUUCACAUCUGUAAAGUGGAGGGGUAAGGAGGAGGAAGAAGAUAUGGUCUAACCAUAUUUUAGGGAUGCAAAGUACCAUAAAGGAAGUUAUUAUAAUCACAGAAUUUUAGAGCUAAAAGGAACCAUGGAGAUAUUUAGAGGAAAAGAACCAAACUAGGAGUGAAACAUAUCUGGAUUCAAUCCUAGCUCUGCCAUUGACUCACUGCAUGUCACCGGGCAGAUACUUUCCCCUGAGGUCCCGGGGACAUCUUCUAUAAGAUGAGAAUAUGUGAAUAGUUUAUCCCUGAGAGUCCUUUCUGCUUUAAUUCCUUACCAUGGUAUCUACAGAAAUGGAAACAUGCCAGGGUUACACAGGUAAUUAAUGAGGCAACCAGUACCAGAUUAUUGGAUUUUUUUACUCUCUAGUGUUUCCUUCCUUCCUUCCUUCCUUCCUUCCUUCCUUCCUUCCUUCCUUCCUCUAUCCCUCCCUCCCUCCCUCCAUCUCUCCCUCCCUUCUUUCCAUCCUUCCAUCCUUCCUUCCUCUUUGUGAUCUGUUUUUGUUUUCUAAGUUCCUUCAAAUUCUUGAAAGAGUACCUUAAAGAUUCAAUGUCAGGUUAGUGGUCAUCAUAAAUAAAUGCUAGUUAUUAUAGAGUAGCUUCUGAUGGAUUCUUUAUUUAGACUUUAAGGCUAUGAAGCAGGUACUGAAACAAUCUGUAGACAUUUCAAAUCACGGUACUGCAGUGCUUAUUUAAAAUCCAAGAAUACCUCCAUGUGAUCUUUAAAAUAUGUCUUUCCCUAAUGAUGCACUCCAAAUAACCAUGUAAAGGUAAUGUCAGCUCCCAGGUUUUUCUGUUCACACAGAUGUGGUGCUCUGAUUUUAGGGCUUGCUGUAAAGCUACUGGAUAAGCUCUCAGAAAUCUGGCAAACUACUUCUGACACAGCCAGCUGAGACUCGCCUAGUUGUUUUGGCACCUUCUCCAGGAAACUCCUAUAGUUACCCCCAAGGGAGGUGGUGGGGAGGACCUCAUCAUUUUUUUUUUUUUCCACCUCCUACACACAGCCAAUUUUUGUUCCAGGGGGGUGUGUGUGUGUGUAUCCUUGAAUGCAGAUUGGGAAAUGGCCUUACUUCUGUCUUAUAGCUGCCAUUUCUAUUAAGUGCUGCUACUUUGCUGUGCGUAACCUUCUCUUUCUCUGGGGAGCCAUCCUGUCAACAUCAGUUAAUAAAGUAGACCCUGCAAUUUAUCAUUUAACUUUCAAGGUAACACACAAUUUUGAGGUGCUGAUGAAAGCCAUGUAAUAUUAUUUGGGAACAUCUCUCCAUUCCUGAUGUGUUUCUUUUCUGUGAAAGGAGAGCUUUGUAACUGCAAGUCUCUCUCCAACUCACUGUUCAUUUUAUACUUGAGAGAUGAGGAGGAUUGUUGGGCUGGUAGUAUUGGGAGCAAGAGCUGGGCUUGUGUGGGUCUGCUCCAUCUUUCUUUUUUCUCUUUCCCUUUUUUUCCCCGGAGUUGGGAGUGGGAAUACGUAGUCAGCUUGGGCCCAAUCUUGCCUGUGCCCUACAUGAACAAUUCUUCCUUAAUUCUGGGAUUCACUUAUGAGGCCAUUGGGAUUUCACACUAAAGGUCACUCUCCAUUCUUGCCCUUGUCUGUAAUAAUAGUGUCUUUGUCUUUCAUAUUAUUCAGACCUUGGGUAGCAAAGAGGGGGGUUAGUUGUUGGAACCCUCUUGGAGAAACUAUCUCCAACACAAAAAAAUAUUAAAAAGAUGGAUUAUCUUACCUAAGUGAACCUUAGGGACCUAAGAUAGGAACUUAUCUUACCUUAGGGACCAUCUACUAAGUGCUUAGGCAUGUUGUUAGUCACUGAAAAAAUAAAGACGAAUUAGGCAUUGCCCCCUUUUUUAAAAAAUUCCAGAGUGUAAUGGGGGAGAUUUAUAGNNNNNNNNNNNNNNNNNNNNNNNNNNNNNNNNNNNNNNNNNNNNNNNNNNNNNNNNNNNNNNNNNNNNNNNNNNNNNNNNNNNNNNNNNNNNNNNNNNNNNNNNNNNNNNNNNNNNNNNNNNNNNNNNNNNNNNNNNNNNNNNNNNNNNNNNNNNNNNNNNNNNNNNNNNNNNNNNNNNNNNNNNNNNNNNNNNNNNNNNNNNNNNNNNNNNNNNNNNNNNNNNNNNNNNNNNNNNNNNNNNNNNNNNNNNNNNNNNNNNNNNNNNNNNNNNNNNNNNNNNNNNNNNNNNNNNNNNNNNNNNNNNNNNNNNNNNNNNNNNNNNNNNNNNNNNNNNNNNNNNNNNNNNNNNNNNNNNNNNNNNNNNNNNNNNNNNNNNNNNNNNNNNNNNNNNNNNNNNNNNNNNGGCAAAAUAGCCUCAUUUUUCUAAUUUACAAAGUAGAAGUCACAGCAGCCACUUUGUAGGGUUUUUGUAAUGAUUAGAGUUUAAUGAAUUUAAGUCCUUGGCUUGAAGUAAAUGAAUAAUUAAAAAAUGGUAAAUUAUUAUUUAUAUUCUGGCAAACAUCUGCUUUUGGUUUGAGUAAUUUCUUGAGUCCGAAGCUUGUAAAAAUCUGUGUCUUUUGCAUAAGGAAAUAAUGUAUACCUUUUAAUCCAUUAUUGUUGUUGAUAUUCUGUAAUCACAGUUGAACAUGAUUAAAAUGUAGAUAGGAGUAGAUUAUAUUGGAGUUAAGUUUAGAAGAUGGAGUAAAAUGAGGAAAAGAUAGAAAAAAGGGGAAUGUUAAUUUAUAGAUAGUUAAUAGUCAGUUUUAAGACUUCUUAAGAGUAGACUUCUUAAAGAGUAGAUUCUAUUUAGACAAAUGUUUAUCAUUUAAGUGACUAUGCUUAUUGACUGGGAGCAAGUUAUAUUUGCAUCUGAAAUUUUUUUUUUAAUUUUUUUUUUCAACAUUUAUUUAUUUUUGGGACAGAGAGAGACAGAGCAUGAAUGGGGGAGGAGCAGAGAGAGAGGGAGACACAGAAUCGGAAACAGGCUCCAGGCUCUGAGCCAUCAGCCCAGAGCCCGACGCGGGGCUCGAACUCACGGACCGCGAGAUCGUGACCUGGCUGAAGUCGGACGCUUAACCGACUGCGCCACCCAGGCGCCCCUGCAUCUGAAAUUUUUAGCAAAAAUUAUUACCUUCUUUAUUUCUAUUUGAAAAAUCCUACGCAAUACUAGGAGUUACAGAAACAAGUGUUAUCAUAUCAACUAUCAUUCCUAGUAGACAAAAUUUUCUCUAUGUCAUGGAAUCCAAGGGAGGAUUUAUUCUUUGAGUGGCACAAUUCAAUUUUAGAAACAAUAAUAUAAAUUACUAAACAAUAGUUGGAAGAUUGUAUGCAUUGUACAUGAUUCAUGGUAAAUCAUAUGCUGUGUUCCUAUGUUUCUAGUUCUUAUUCUUAAACUAGAUUAACAUGGGGGUGAAAAAGGAGAGAGAGAGAGAGAGAAAGAGAGAGAUACAGAAUAUAAGAUUUUAACUCUGCCAUAAUACUCUCUUACUCUCUGCUUUCUGCCUUCUCUAACUUGCAAAAUUAAGUAGCAUUUUCUUUUGGAUCUCUUCACAUUCAUUCCUUAUUUUUAGAUUAGCCCAGAGAAAGGAGAAAUUAAAUUUGAUUUCUGGUUAGGCUGAUUAUCUGUAGACAAAAGUUCUUAUCCAUGGACCCUGAUGAAAUCAUAUCCCAUUCACUGCACUCCAUUGCACAGAUAUGCGAGUACUGCUAUCUUUAGCGGUAUGUAUGGUGAGGGUGGCUCUAAGCAAGUGUCUGGUCCUAGGGAACAACCCCAUGUACUCAUUCAGAGCCAGUGAAUUGCAUAUGACGUGUUGCAUUUUUAGUCACCACCUCUCUGCUUUCAUGCCUUCUCUGACUUUCUAGAGACGAUUUAGUUAAGCACAUACUGUGCUGAAGUAUGGGUCACCCCUACUAUGUGAAGCCAACAGUGUACUCCUCAAAGAGCCUGCUAUAGUAAAUCCCCUGCAAGUUCAUAGUUCAAGGAAUAUAGCACUCUAUAGAAUAAAGAGUUAUUGAAGUACUAGAAAAGCUGGAUGCAUUUAAUUCAGAGUUUUUAUUUUCUAGAGCAUGCACACACGUGCAUACAUGGUAAGUCCUGCCCUGCCACACUUUAGAUCUCUGGUUAUCCAUUCAUAUGCAACCCAUCUAAUAAUAUUGUAAACAUGCAUGUGUGCAUGUGGGCAUGUCCCUCCUCCCCUACAGACAUUCUCUUCUCUCCUUUUCCCAACAGGGAGGGGUCACAAUUGCUCCAGCUUCCACUAGGCAUUGGUUCUAAAUUUUUCUAUUUAUUUUAGUAUAGUUGGGCAAGGCAAGUUAUACAGACAACAUAUGUCUAUACUGUGAAAACAGUCCCCAAAUCUUAGAAGCUUAACCAAGAGUUAUGUUUUACUCAUGCCCAUUAUAUGCUACUGGGGGAUUCUACUCCAUUCAUACGUUCAAGAGACACACUGAUGAAAGUAAUGCCAGUUCAACCUGCAGCUUCAGCAGUCGCCUGAAGUGGGAAGAGAAAGAGUGGGUGGAGUUUCUCUUCUAUGUUUCACCUUCUAAGUGACACAUAUCAGAGUUCCCACUCACUACCAUUGGCUAGAACUAGUCAUGUGACCCCACCUAACUUCAAGAGGGAUGGGAAGAGUGAUUUACUGGGUAACAAGAAGGAGAGGGAAACCAGAUGUUCAUGUGUGCUGGUGAUGUCUACCACACAAGACCAGCAAAAUGACUGGCCGUCUUUGGUUGAGCUUUGAAAGACAAAACUACCUUGGUGACAUCUCCAUUAUCCUUGAAGUUUUAUUUAAAUUGUUUUUAAAUGGUGUUUUAAUUUUAUCAUUAUUAUUCUUUUUACUUUUGAGAGAGCACAGUGGGGGAAGGACAGAGAAGAUGGACAGAGGAUCUGAAGUGGGCUGUGCACAGCCUUAUGUGGGGCUUGAACUCAUGAACUGUGAGAUCAUGACCUGACCUGAAGUUGGACGCUCAACCUAGUGAGCUACCCAGGUGCCCUCCAUCAUCCUGGAAGUUUUAAAACUUCACUCAUGUCAGGACUUCCGCAGCUUGUCAAAUUCAGAGAAAGUCACCCACAUUGACUAAGUUAAAAAGAGACUGAAGGGUAAAUUAUCUUUAUCAUCAUGAUAGCCAAAAACAAAAACACAAAACCCAAACAAAAAUACACUAAUAUACACUAAAUAUACACUAAAAUACUUGCUACCAAAUCUUAUGGUUUCUCCAUACAGUAGAUACUAGUAUAUACAGGAGGGGAGGGGGAACUGUGGCUUAGUUAGAAUAUGCAACUUUCCUAGGUCUUUCUAACUGCCUGGGUCACUUUUUUUUGGGACCAUAUCAUUUUUGCCUAUCCUUUAAAGCAAUCCUUUUCCAAUAUUUGAGUAACUGAAAGCUGAGUUACUGAACAGAAGGUUACUUCUUUAGUAAAAAUAGAAUCCAAGCAAAAUGAGGUUAAAACUCAUAAAUUCCCAACCCCACUGUGAUGAGGUCUGGUGAGUCAUUCAUACCCCUCAGCAGGGUAUACAUAUCUCUCAAAUGACUAUAUCCAUAGCUGCCUUACACAGCAAUGCUCUCUUUCUCUCUCCCUCCCCUUCUUCCUUCCUUCCCUCCUCUCUCAAUAUUGAAUUACUAUAGCCUUAUGAUCACAUUUUUCCCUCUUUGAGUAUCUUUUAUAUCCCAUGCUAGUGAUAAAGAUAAUCCAAGCAGUUGAUUAGAUUUAGGCUUAUUAAUUUACCAUUACAUUCUAGUUCUGUCUUCCUGGACACUUUUUUUAAUGUUUAUUUUUGAAAGAGAGAGAGAGAUACAGCAUGAGCGGUAAAAGGGCAGAGAGAGAGGGAGACACAGAAUCUGAAGUGGGCUCCAAGCUCUGAGAUGUCAGCACAGAGCCUGACAUGGGGUUCGAACUUACGAGCUGUGAGAUCAUGGCCUGAGCUGAAGUUGGACACUUAACCGACUCAGCCACCCAAGAGCCCCUUCCUAGACACUUGUAUUAGAAUUCUGGGUACCCAUCUAAGACCUUUGCAAAGAUAAAGAUAUCCAUACAUGAUGGACUGAUAAACAUCUAUGAAUUUAUUAUAUGUGCCUGGCAUUAUUGUAAAUGCUACUUGUAUAUUAGUGGGAGAAAAAGAAAGACAUAGUUCAUAUUCUAAUAUGGGAAGAUAGGUAAGAAACAAAAUAAAUCAUGUGAUGUGGCAAAUAUUGAUAAACAAAGCAGGCACUGGAGGGGCAUGUAAUAUGAGAGAAGGCUUCACUUGAGAAGGUGGUAUCUGCCCUCAACCUGAUGGAUGUGAAGAAGCAGAUUAUGAGGAAGAAAAAGGGAAGAAUUUCGUAUACAAAGGGAACAGCAAACAGACCUUCUGGUAGAAGCAGAACUUGAGAGCAUCACAGAGUAAGUAGUGUCCUCAGAGGAGUUCAAGCUUCAGGUAGACCAGGGCUCUUAGUCUCAGACCAAUUUACAUUUUGAGUCAAAUAAUUAUUUGUUGUGGGAAAUGAUACUGUUCACUGUAAGAUGUUUAGCAAUAUUCUUGGCCUUUACCCACCAGGUGCUAGUAGCAUCUAUGCGGCUGUGAGAAUAAAAAAUAUCUCUAGACAUUGACAAACAUUUCCUGGGGGAGCAAAACCGCUCCUGUUUACUGAGUUAGAAUGAAAAGGUAAAGGGUGCACAAAACUCUAUCUAUCUAUUUAUCUACCUAUCCAUUCAUCACCUCUUGCCCUACUACCUAACUUAAAAAAGAAAAAGUUCGGGGUGCCUGGGUGGCUCAGUCGGUUAAGCGGCCGACUUUGGCUCAGGUCGUGAUCUCGCAGUCCGUGAGUUCGAGCCCCGUGUCGGGCUCUGUGCUGACCACUCAGAGCCUGGAGCCUGUUUCGGAUUCUGUGUCUCCCUCUCUCUCUGACCCUCCCCCGUUCAUGCUCUGUCUCUCUGUCUCAAAAAUAAAUAAACGUUAAAAAAAAUUAAAAAAAAAAAAAAAGAAAAAGUUCUGCCUAGUAAAGAAGAUUCCAUGUUGCCCUGUUUCUCACCAGCAUCCAUGAGGUGGAAUGGUGACUGCCUUCUCUCAUAUCAUUAGUUGCUGGAAACUCGGGGCUUGAGGUACUCAACCAUCUCUAGAUUGACUUUCCUGUUAGCCUGUUGAGACUUGCCAAGGAAAUAUUACAAGACAUUUCUCCAACACAAGAAACUCUGGAAUGCCUCUUUGGGGGCAUCUCUGGUAGGUAUUACUUCCAGGUCUUCCAGGCACCCAAGUGGCUUAUAGUUCAAAGCACUUUCCUUCAGGUCAGAUAUCCCAUUUAUAUUAGACCUGUUAACUGUCAGAGACUGGCCUUAUUGCUUGCAUUUCUAACCUCACGAUUGCCUCCUUGGAUUCCUUACAUUUUAUUGCCCAAAGCAAUAUUGUAGAAAGUUUUCGACUGCCUGGUCUUCACUCAUCAUUCACCAUUUAAACAAGAUCAUAAUAUGAUCGACUGCUAUCAAUUUGCCUUUAGUUCAUGAUGUUCUAAGGAUACUGGCUGAUUAGGUGUCCAGUGAUUCAUUGAUUGUCAAAUCUCAGGGUUGGUUCUCCGCUUUGGAUGUUGUUUGAUUCAUCUUGCCAGCAUAUCAAUCCACUGUCCUUCCUGGGAGAUUAUCCUCUUUGAUUGGGUUUGAAUAUGGUUUUAUGUUUGAUUGGUUUUCAUCUUCUUUUCUAAAAGUAUUCCCUUUAUUUAUAAAGGGAAGAUCUUAUCAGAAAGACAAAAUGAAUCGGUGAUGCACUAUGGCUUCAUCCUCAUGUGUGCUUAAUGCUCUCUUCAUGUGUUUCCAUUAAGAAAUCACUGAGAUUUACAGAUUUAUUCUUCUAUCAAAUACACUUUCAAGUAACAUGGACAGAGACAUUAAGUCCUUACUAUGUACAGUCAUUCAAAAAAUGUCUUCAGAUAUUUUACCUGCCUUCUUGAAGAUUUGCACUUGGUUUGUAUUUUAUUCAAAGUAUGUUUAUAAGUAGGGAAACUGUUUGAAUCAAACUUUUUUUUUUUUAAUUUUUUUUCAACGUUUAUUUAUUUUUGGGACAGAGAGAGACAGAGCAUGAACGGGCGAGGGGCAGAGAGAGAGGGAGACACAGAAUCGGAAACAGGCUCCAGGCUCUGAGCCAUCAGCCCAGAGCCUGACGCGGGGCUCGAACUCACAGAACGCGAGAUUGUGACCUGGCUGAAGUCGGACGCUUAACCGACUGCGCCACCCAGGCGCCCCUGAAUCAAACUUUCUAUGAAGCAUAUUUAGCACUGUUCCAUCACUUUCUCCUCUGGUAAAAAGUUAUUAUAGAUCUCUACCCAUUGUCAUGUAGCAUGUGUGGGAAGAAUAUAGGUCUGUGCCUCACUGACUUUGUACUUGACCACGUGGUAUAAAGAUGAUAUAUUUCACUCAGUGGUCAUAUCUGAGAUGAAGAUUUAACAGGCACCUGCAGUUUUCUCCCAGAUCUUUUGGUUCUUUCCCUUGGACACAAGAAUGGACACAUCACACUUAAGGGUUGUUGCUUUAGCCUGAAGAUGACCCUGAAGCAGACCCAAACUCAGUUGUCAUCGUGGGGCAGAACUAUAGCUGUGGGCUCACAUCUACUGACUUGUCACAUGAAAAGAAAUAAUUUUUGGAAGUCACUUAGCAUUAUUUUUGUAGGCAUAACCUAAAGAGAAGUGAGGAAUUCACACUCCCUUGUGACAGAAUAAAGACAAGACUCAAAAGUCCUAUAAAAUAAUUUAGAAAGUCUUGUAGUCUGCCUGUGCAAUAGACCAGAUCAUAAGCUAUCAAGAAAUUAAAGCCACGGUUAAUCAAAUGGAUUGACUUUAUAUCUUAAUUGUGGGUAAUGAUUAUUUCCCCUCAAUUAUGAAUAAACAAAGCAUUUUGUCUUCUAUUAGAUAUCCAACUACCUUUAUAUGUUGAUUGUGUAUCAUUUGCUGAUUGCCUAUUGUGUAUGGAAAUAAACUUUUUAUGUGUUAAGACUUUUGAAAAAAAUAUCUGUUUGGAUGGGAAAAUUGCAGAUUCAAAGGAAUGACCUAGAAAGCACAGAGUAGACAUGGUUUUCCUGUUGAAUAAUGCUUACUUAUUCAUUUGUUUGUUUUAAUAUAUGACCAUUCAUUGAGCACUUAACAUGAGUGAAGUAUGUUACUAAAGUAAUGUCCUUUGUUGGACAUUACCUUGUUGGAGCCUCAUAAUACUUGUGGAAGCUUGUUUCUAAUUUUAUACAUUUUCUAAAGAGAAAACUAGUUUUGCAAGACCAAGGAUCUCACCCAGUUUUUAAAUUUUUUUUUUAAUUUUUAAAUAUUUACAUCCAAAUUAGUUAGCAUAUAGUGCAACAGUGAUUUCAGGAGUAGAUUCCUUAGUGCCCCUUCCCCAUUUAGCCCAUCCCCCCUCCCACAACCCCUCCAGUAACCCUCAGUAUGUUCUCUAUAUUUAUGAGUCUCUUCUGUUUUGUCCCCCUCCCUGUAUUUAUAUUAUUUUUGUUUCCCUUCCCUCAUGUUCAUCUGUUUUGUCUCUUAAAGUCCUCAUAUGAAUGAAGUCAUAUGAUUUUUGUCUUUCACUGACUAAUUUCACUUAGCAUAAUACUCUCCAGUUCCAUCCGUGUGCAAAUGGCAAGAUUUCAUUCUUUUUGAUUGCCAAGUAAUACUCCAUUGUGUAUAUACCACAUCUUCUUUAUUCAUUCAUCCAUCGAUGGGCAUUUGGGCUCUUUCCAUACUUUGGCUAUUGUUGAUAGUGCUGCUAUAAACAUGGGGGUGCAUAUGUCCCUUUGAAAUAGCUCACCUGUAUCCCAUGGAUAAAUGCUUAGUAGUGAAGUUGCUGGGUCGUAGGGUAGUUCUACACCCAGUUUUAUAAAAUUAAAGUAUUUAAGUCAGAAAGGAGUUAUAUAUUUUCUUCAGUUUUAGAGCCCAGAAUUCUUUUUUUUUAAUUUUUUAAAUGUUUUUAUUUAUUUUUGAGGCAGAGAGAGACAGAGCAUGAGCAGGGGAGGGGCAGAGAAAGUGGGAGACACAGAAUCUGAAGCAGGCUCCAGGUUCUGAGUUGUCAGCAUAGAGCUCAACAUGAAGCUUGAACUCACUGCAAAAUCAUGACCUGAGCCAAAGUCGGAUGCUUCACCUACUGAGUCGCUCAGGCAUCCCUGGGUCUCUGAUAUCUCAGUCUGUAGGCAAUUGUACUAACAACAACAACCAUCUGGAAUUAAACAGCUAGAAAAAAGUCAGUAAGAAUGUGUUUGUUGAGUACCUUUGAGGGGAUUUAGAUUUAAACUAUGCAUAUUCUAAUUACGAAUGCUUCAACUGUAUCUCAGAGAUACAGUGGUCCAAUAAAAUGAAAGAAAAAAUAAAUAACUUCUUCUUGAGAAGCUAUUUUUAGAUGAGAAGAUCCUAUGGUAGGUCAAGCUCUGUAACGAGUUUUUGGUUUGAGAUAAUCCAGAAAUCCUUUAUAUUUCAUAAUGGUUGAGUGAUAUUUAGUAUUUUAAAAGGAGAAAUGUCUUCUGAUUAUUUGCCUAAGGCAAAUAUUAAUAUUAAUCUUCAUUGCCUGACCAUCAGCUAACUGAUUACGAGGAGAGUGAGCUAGAAAAGUAUCUCUGCUGAAGGGUGGGUUACAGAUAAUCAAGAAGGUGGUCAAUCUUCAAGCAUGAAUCUAAUGUUUAUGAUGCGAGUGCUAUUUGAGAUCCUAUAAAACCAGAACUCUUCUCACAGAAUAAUAAUGACUCACAAAUAUAAUUCAAUGCAUGUUUAUCUGCCUGGUUUCCACUGAAGAACCCAAACCAAAACAUUUCCUCAUUUUUAACUAGAUGACAAUCUUCGUCUUUGCCUUACUUUGGGUCCCAAGUGUUGACAUCACAAUUUGUAUAAGAAGCUAUCUUCCAGUUGUCUAGCAAAAUUUGUUUGACACCCUUUAGCUGAUAGGUACCUUUUAAUUGUUUUUUGUUCCAACAAAUGUUGACUCUUGUAUUUUGCUCCAAUCUUCUCUUUGUUUUAAUAGUCUAACAGAACAAUGUUCAAGUUUGAUAGCUGGUUUUCAGAGAGGAAACCAUCUUCUGCCUAUGGACUCCAUUUUAAGAUAAUUUCAUGAAGAAUGAAAAAUGUCCAGAAGCCAAAUGUAGUAUAUUGUUUUAUACUAUUACUAAGAUUGGAAAUACAAUUUAAUUUUAUCUAAGUUCCUAUUGUAUUAUAGAAAGAAUUUAUUAUUAGCUAAUAAGUUUGAUAGAAAACCAACAUUAUUUAAUUAUACUCAUUUGUAAUUGAAUUGUUAAAUCCUUAACACAAACCUGUAUUUUUUGCUCAACAAAAAACCUCAUAGGAUUCUCACAUAAUGAGGACAGUUCUCAGGAGAAUAAUUAUCGGUGGCUUGGCUUCCAUUUAAAUAUUUAAUACACAUCUUAAUUUUUGCUAAGUCAUUACUUAGCUCUAUUUGAUCCUUUAGAACUUCAUCCCAUUGUUCUCUAUCUGAAUUAGCUAUAAACAAGAACCUGGCAGAUAAACCCAAAGCAUCAUCUGAUUGAUGUCAGCACAGCCUGUAAAGCUUGGAAUAAUUUGGUCCUUGCCUAAUGUUUCAACAUCUUCUUACACCACUUUCUCUUAAUUUAUCUGUGCUACUCUAGCCUGCUUUCUAUUCUUAGGACCUUUGCACUCUUUAUUGCUUUAGGUAUGUUCUAACCAGCUGUUUCCUUUAAAAGGAAUGAUCUUCUCACUGGCUUUUCUCUUGUCAGGCUUAUUAUCAUCCUUCAUAGUUUCAAUGUCACCUUUUCUGAGACACCAUUCUGUUUACUCUAAUUAAAGUAGCUGUUGGAGCUUAGUAGGUUAAGUGUCCAACUCUUGAUUUUAGCUCUGGCAGUGGUCUCGUGAUUCGUGAGUUUGAGCCCCGCGUCAGGCUCCAAGCUGGCAGCCUGGAGCCUGCUUGGGAUUCUCUCUGCCCCUCCCCUGUACAUGCUGUCUCUGACGCUCUCUCAAAAUAAAUAAAUAAAACAUUAAAAGAAAACUAUAAAGUAACUAUUUCCCUUUGCUUUCUCUGCCAUUAACCUAUUUGUGUUCUUCUCUUAACACUUUGAUGGAUCUAUAAUUAUCUUCUCAUUUUAUUUGUCUGUUUCCCAUACAUUUUCUUGAUUGUAAAAUGUCAGUAUCUAGGAGCCCCAGUACAAGUGACUCAGCAAGAAUGUAAUAUUUGUAAGGACGGUCGUAACAGUCAUGUGUGUUUAGUAAUCAUGGGUAAUGGAUUUAAUCACAUGAUACAAGGCAAAGGAUAAAUCAGGCAGUGACCAUUUUAUGCAUUCUGCAGCCAGUGGGUUGAGAGUUUCACCAGGUCAGAGGAGGGCUGGGCCUCCUCAUUCUGGCUCUUAUUCUCUACAGCCCACAUGGCCUCAUCAUCAACACUGUCUAAAACUUACACCCUAAGUCUCACAUUGAAUGGACCCAAGUGACUGUAGAUUCUAAAGAUUGAAUGUCUGUGCAUGGGACCUAACAUAACCUAACCUGAAGCUUACAUGAGACAUGAUUUUUCAAUGGCAGGCCUUCCAUGAAUAUAAGAUACAUGUGAAUGAGGACUUUGUCUUUCUUUUCCGCUUACUCUCUAAAGACCAACACAAGCCUAGAGUUUAGUAGGUCGACAGUAAAAUUACUUGCAUGCAUGUCUCAAUGAAUGAAUGGACAGAAUCAAUGAAAAAGUGAAAAGCUGUGGAGCAUCCUUCUUUGGGUGUCAUGUAGAUGUAGAUUUUAACUUUCAGUAUUCAAAAGGCUAAAUUUUGUCUUACAAUGUUAAAUAAUUCUUUAUUUUGUUAACUGUGGAGCUUUUUCACCUCUUCUUACAUUCUUUCCAAGAUUCAGGCAUAUGCUUCAUCAAGAAAAGAACACUUUGCCUCAGUGGGUGGGCUGUGUGCUCUCAAAGCUAAAACUGAUGCUUUACAAGUAUUGCAAAAAAGAAAAUUAUCAGGGUAACAGGAACAGACUCAAGCAAUGCCUUCUGCCAGAUUCUCUCCAUAUUUGGCCCCUAGUAGGAGCAUGUGCCUGGGGGUGUGGAAAUGGGGAUGUCUUACAUGCAGUGGAUGUAAUGCAGCCUUUCACACAAGCACAGUGAGGAAAGGCAUUCUUAUACUUCUACUAUAUCCCUCCCAUAAACCCAAAGAGGACUUCCCUCCAUGGGUUUAAUUAAGCAAAAACACUCUGACCUGUCAGUCAGGGACUGGGUUCAUCCUAGGGCACUGACCUCCUUUUCUGAAGUGUCCCAGAUGAAGCCGCCAAGUUUCAUUCUGCUCUAAUUAAAAGUUGUGAAAAGAGGUUUUUUCUUUUUUUUUUUUUACAUUUAUUAUUUUUCUCUUGAAUAUAUUUGUAAUUUUAUUUAUUUAGGCACAUUCUUGAAUUGCCUUUGGAAACUUUGUUUCUUGAGACAGUAACUAUUCAUCAUGUGGUAAGCAUAUUUCUUAGUAUUGGAACAUUACAGUAAAAACCACGUUUCUACCAAUAGCUUAGAAUUGUAAUUCAAUACAUUUUCUUUACUUUUCCCUAUCAAAUUAAGAAUACAAUUUGCCUUCACAGAAUGUCAGAGGGAAUUCUUUGCUUCAGUGUUUCCUUCUGCUUAGACCACUGUUUCCUUCUGCUUAGGUGAUUAAUGGGUUCUUUCUGCUUAAAUCACUACUACCACCAUUAGUCAUUUUAGCUUGUGAAUAAAAUCUGUCAAUACUAAAUCAUACUUAGUGUAUGUCAUCAGCUCCUAUCCCAGCCUAUUAUGAAAUAAAGCUAGAGAGAAAGUAUUUUCCCAUGUAACUGCUCUUAUGCUGAGAAAUAUUAUCCCCAUAUUACAGCAUUAAAAACAUAAUAUAUAAAAAGGAAGUUUUCCAUGUUAGUUAAAGUUCACAUUUUUGGUGUCUUCUGUUUAACAUCUCAAGAGGUGGGAAAACAAACCAUUGACCUUCAAGAUUAUAGUUUCAAGGGGCGCCUGGGUGGCGCAGUCGGUUAAGCGUCCGACUUCAGCCAGGUCAGGAUCUUGCGGUCCGUGAGUUCGAGCCCCGCGUCAGGCUCUGGGCUGAUGGCUCAGAGCCUGGAGCCUGUUUCCGGUUCUGUGUCUCCCUCUCUCUGCCCCUCCUCCCCCGUUCAUGCUCUGUCUCUCUCUGUCCCAAAAAUAAAUAAACGUUGAAAAAAAAUUAAAAAAAAAAAAGAUUAUAGUUUCAAGCCGGAUAGUCACAGUGAUGGCUCAUAGGUGGUUGGAUAAAAGCUUAUGCACUGCUUCUUCACAUAUAAAACUUUCAGAAUAGAAGGAUUCUGAAAAGCUAAUAUGACAAACUGACAGUGACUCAUAAGGUAAAGUUUAUCAACAGUGUGUGAAAAGUGUGAAGUUACCUGAACUAGUAUCAACUUCCUGGCAGUAUCUGUUGGAGUCCAUUGGCAUAACUAUCACCUUUGCCUGCCCUUACUCUGGGGAUCAAUUAUAGCCUACCUGGACAUUUCCAGAAUGUUAGCAGAAACAGCAUUGUUUUAUGUUUUUCCUAUUGGGCCCGUGAUCUCUCAACCAGUAGCUUGUAUAUAUUAAUAUUUUUUUAUGUUUUUUUAAUCUUUGAUAAAUUGAUAGGUAACACAAAAUCUCACCCUAUCCAUAGGAUAAAUUUUGUGCACUUAUUUCAUGUGAUAGUUUCAGAUAAGUCUCUCUCUUCAGCUUUCCAGACAAGGAAUCAGUGGUCUAUAAGACUUCCAUCCUUUCAUGCACUUUGUGUAGAUUUUCAGGCUCUUACUAUUUCCCUUGUUUCCAGAUUCUUUCACUGACUGUGUUCUGGCCUAAUUAACUUUUUAUAAUCAGGACUUUGUGCUUUAUCAGCUGAAAUAAUAAAUAAGAAGUAUUCAGUUCUAAAAUGCAGGCUCUCACUAUUAUAACACACUAUCAAGUCUGUGGUUCUUCCUUAUUUUCCCAACAGUUAUGCAUUGUGUAUUAUGAUCACACUGAAUGGAGAUAAAUGUUAUAAUCAGAGAAUUUUAAAAUUAUAUGGUAAACAAGUAUUUUGAUAAACAUUUUGAUAUUUAGAAUUGUUGAAACAAAACCUCUAAAAGUUGCCCAGUCUUAAAAAAAGUAGAGAAAAGAGAAAAAAAAUCUAAAAAUGUUGUUUAUAUAAAGCUUCUCGGAAAUACUAAGUCAGUUUAAAAUGUGAGUUGUAAUGUUGAUCCUCUGGCUUCCUGUGGAGAGUCAGGAGGAAGAGUCCUUUUUAAUGUUGUGAUGAAGGAACCAGGGCAGCACAACUAAGUGAGAUGAGAGAAAUGACUAUGUAUUGAUUGGCUAACUUCAGGUAAGAAUAAAGGCAUCACCAUCAUUACCUUUGUUCAUUCCAAUUUGUACUAUUACUUGAUUUUGGUUUUGUGGACAUGGUUGGAAGAGGGAAUAUUUGGAAUCUUUGGCUAUUUAGUAUGGGGUUCUGACCCAUAUCAAAGGAAAGUAGAAAACUAUCCACACAAAGUGGGUUUCCACAAAUGACUUUAAGAUGAGAAAACCAAAAAGUAAAGAUUGAGCCUCAACAGCUGGAUGGUAAAUAUUCCAGUGAGUAGUUCUUUUCUGCUUCUUUCUUUCUUUUUCUUUCUUUCUUUCUUUCUUUCUUUCUUUCUUUCUUUCUUUCUUUCUUUCUUUCUUUCUUUCUCUUUUCCUUCCUUCCUUCCUUCCUUCCUUCCUUCCUUCCUUCCUUCCUUCCCUCCUCCCUCUUUUUAGCCAUCUGGUCCAUAAGACAGAGAGGAGGAGAGGGUUGAGCGAGAGGGCCAUUUCAGCAGGUGGCCUAUCUGGGACAGAAUGUCUGGGUCAUAUUGAGAAAAACUGAUUGGAUGUAGACCUGAAGAGACAAGAAGUGGCAGGGAAAGAAAAAGAACCAAAGUCAGGAGCAAACAAAGACAGUAGAAGGAUAGUUCCCUGGGGAAAAGUCAGAAAAUGUGAACCUAGCUUGAGUUGGAGACCUGUUCUGGUCCACCUGUGGAUAUUGAAAGCCCUGCAGAAGCUUCAUAGACCUGAAGGGUUUGAACAAAGAUUCUACUCCUACACACCUUCCUCCAAUCCUUGUCCAUGAGACACCCAUGCUGUUACAUUGGAAGCACUUGUUGCCUCUUUCCUUCAACAUCUCUCCUCAUGCUCACACUCUUUAGGGCCUCCGGGCACUACUUCAACAUUAACCUUGACUUUGUGCCUCUACUUUUAUUACUCCCCAUUUAAUUCCAAUUUAUUUGGCAUAAUGGAACUGGAAUUGCUAUUACAAACUAAGAGGACCCCUCUAAGUGGAACCAUUGCUUUAUGUUUUGACGUGGUUGCAAAAUAUUUUUCUUUAACAGUUUUCUCUCUUUCCACAUCCUGGCUUCUGGAAAUAGUUUUGUGAAGGGGUUUUCCCCCAGACUGAUGCUGUAGUUUUCAACUGGGUUUGUCCCCAGCAGGGUUUCUGUGUGGUGUCCAUGAGAAAGGUUUGAUUGCUUUACUCUAUUCUGUUAGCAAUCCCAUUCUGACAUAUAAGGGGAAACAAUUCUAAUCUGAGAAAAUAACACUGAAUAAUAAAUGUGCUGCAAUUUAGUUUUUCCUAAAAAACUCCUUGAGAGAGUGGAUCAACAGAACAUAUCUGUAUUAUCAGCAGUCUAAUUGGCCCAGGUCGAUUUAGGGUUAUGACUUCUUGCUCCAUAGUUCAGGUAGUAUGCUGUGUGUGUGUCUCAGUGUGUGGUGUGUUUAUAAAGAGCUAAAGAAAAAAAAAAGUUACUUUUUAGGAUCGCAGAAGAGCUGUUCACUCCAACUUAGAAAGACUGAUUGGUUUGCAAAUUAUGUCACAGUUUAUGAAAGGAAGAGUUUUUAAUUAUACUUUCCUGAUAUACUUGGAAUUUGUCGCCAAAAUAAGAAAGGCCAUACUAGAUCUGGAUAUGUUUGGAGGAGGAACUCAGUGUAGUGAUGAAAAUAUGGGACUUCAUUAUAGGAAUCUUGAUAUCAAAUAAAAGUUAAAGUGCCAGAAAGUAAAACCAGCAGCAAUUCAAUCAUCAUGUAAUUCAAAUUCAUAGUUUUCACACUUUUUUAUAUGUCAGACUCCGUAUAAAGGGUGAUAUAAAAAAGAAUAAGAGAUGGAUCCUGCUAUCUACAAACUAUUAACUCAUCCAAUCAAAAUUGUGGUUUAUUCUAUGCAAACCACUCUGCUAAGGGAAGGAAGACAAAUAACUCUAAUUCAUGACUGAUUAUAAUACCUUUCAAAGAAACACACUGGUAAAAAAAAGAAAUAAGAAGACCUAGAAUGUCAGAUCUGUAAUACCAAUCAAGAAAAGUAGAGUUUCUGCCCAGAGAUGAGCUAGAGUUGAAGUGAAUCAAAUAGAGCACAGAGGGUUUUAAUUUCUCAUUUUGCCAUCAUAUGUCAGGUUUAACUAUGAAUCCAGCACCAGUGAUUUAAAUACAGUGGAGAUUGCAUUGAAAUUACCCCCAAAUAUUGUGGGCUUGUAGAUUCUGGAUAGUUUCUCAUUUUAUUAUCAUGACCUUAGGAUACAGGUCCAGCUCUUCCUGAUACACCACACAUUGUAUUCUCUGAUGAUUCCUACUAUGUUUUCCUACAUAUGUGUGUCUCUAUACUACAUUGACCCUGAGCAUCAUUAUGCAUUUUCACAACUUGGGAGAGAAAAGAAAAUGCGAGUGAAUGAAAUGAAAAGCUAUGCGCAGCUCUGACUUGACGAUGGGCUUUAGUAUAAUUAUUUUCUUCUCACUUUGCCAGAGAUGUCUACAGGAAAUAAAAGCUAUUCUAUGAUAUUAUUAGUAUCAAAUUAAAAAUGCUAACAAAACCAGGUAACCAUUUACUGCAUACUUACAUGUCCUAAUCACUGUUUUGCAUGUUACAUACAUUGCUUUUUAAUCCUAUCACAGAUAGUGAGGUAAGGGGGAUUAUCAUUUUCUAGAUAAAGAACACUAGGAUUCGGAAUGAGGUUAGGCAAUUUGUCUAAAGUAGUAUAAAUAAUAAUUAGUGGAAAUUGGAAGUAAUAUUCACAUCCAAGUUUUAUGCCUUCCGUGCCUGUGAUUUACCUCUAUUUCUGAUUAUCAGUUCAGCAUUCUUAAUAACCUAGUGAUACCACCAGAAGGAACUGAGAGCUUCCCACUGAAGUCCCAUUGAGUCCAUUUGUGGUAUUCCCACUCCAUUCCUUUAGGUUCCAAUUCCCUUGUUCAGAUAAUCCUUGUUUCUGCCUUGUUUUGUGGCUCUCUUCCGUCUUUCUGCCUUCCGUAUUGAUGCUUCAUGUGGAUUCUGACUGGAUGUAUUACGGCUCUCCUCCAAGGCUCUUUUAUUUUGCAUGGUGUUUGGCUCUACCCUGGCUUCAGCCCAGUGACAGUUCUGACUCUCUGCCCCCAUCCUGAGUACUUGUGGUCUCCCCUCUGGAUCUUUUUAUUUUGUAUUUGCCUUAUUUCCUUCGUUGGCCUCUUCUCAAUAUAAGUCCAAGGAGAAACUCAGUUCUAUAGGGGGUGCCUUUUAGGCAAAGCUUCAAGUGGAAAUGUUAUUUGAGUAAAGGCCUAAAAAAUAGACCAGAAAAAAUGAAUAAUAAUUUAUAUUUUGGCUUUAAAGUUGAUGCAAUAUUGUGCAUAAAUUAUAUAAAUAAAAGUCAACAAAUUAAUGGGCUUAGAUUUUUUUUUAAAGAGAUGGUCACAGAAAUGAUUCUUUUUUUUUAAAGUUUAUUUAUUUAUUUUGAGAGAGAGAUAGAGAGGGAUGGAACAGAUAGAGAGAGAGAGCAAAGGAGAAAAAAGAAAGAAACAGAGAAUCUCAAGCAGGCUCUGCACAGAGCCCGACAUGGGGCUCCAUCUCACGGAACAUGAGAUCAUGACCUGUGUCAGAAUCAAGAGUCAGACACUUAACUAACUGAGCCACCCACGUCCCCCUAGAUUUGAGAUUCUUAUUAUUUAUUUACGCUUUGGAAAAAUUAUUCCAAUAACUACAUUGCUAGUUAUCUUUAUUGGUUGAAAGUGGCAGUCUCUAUAUUAGGAAGAAUUUUCCUGGUACAGAGCUGGGUUCAAAUAGAGAAUCACUAAGUUUUUGUUUAAUUAAAGCAUGCAUGAAUGUGAAUGUUCUCCAGAGCUCAUUCGAUGGGCUUCCCUGUCUUAUAGAGGGUGUAGUAUAGGGUUCCAGCAAGAAUUUGGAGAGGGAUUUUAAAAGGGGUAAAAAACACCAAUAAAUACAUCAUUUCUUAUCCAAUAAGCUCUGUGUGUAAUAAACAUUCUCAUUUUCUACUACUGAAAUAAAGAAAAAAGUUGUGCUGUAUAAAAGAUACCUUAUUUAACUUAGAUAUGGCCAUUAUUUAAAAAGUUGGCUGUGUUUCUAUAUAGUCUUUUAUUAACUGCAAUAUCCUCAGUUUGACUCUUUCAGAAUGAAAGCCCUAAGUCAGUGCUAUUAUUUAAUUUUUAAUUUAACCAAUGGAGUGCUUUUUACAUAGAAGAGCUUGAUGCACUAUUUUGCAUACUGGCGAUUCCCCUUUGCAAAGAGAUCUUACUUUGGUGCGAGUGAUGAACUUCGGAAGAUUGGCUAUGAAAAAAUAACUGCGAAGAUUCUAAGUAGUAUUGCUGUAUCCAGCGUAAUUAAUUUAUUUUGAUGACUUCCCAUGCUUUCUGGUGAGAACAGUGCCCCCUCUCUGCCCCCCCCCCCCCCCCCCCAUAAUGUGUCUUUAUUACAAUCUAGUAACUGCUGGGAAACUGCCUUCUCUAAAAUGCCUUUCCCUGUGGCUUAAAGUAAAGAUUUUUUUAAAUAAAUAAAUACAGUUUAUGUUGGGCAUCCACCACUUGAAGGGCUAAUGAUUAUUGACUAGCCUCCAGCAGGCAUCAGGGAGUCUUGCCUCAGGCCCUUCCAACUAGCCCCCAAACAUGCCGAAUGUUAACACAUGUUUCUGGAUUCUGGCUGGGAUUGGACACAAACAAGGCAGUCAGAAUGGACCAUUUAGUGUACAAGUCAAGAUGACAGAUCUCUGCUUAAUACAAGGAAGAGAAAAAUUCGUAUCUUAUUGAAAACGGCAGAAGAGCCCCGGGUGCUUUCACUUUGUGAUUCUGCAGCAAAAAAGUGGGUUGUGUCAAUAUAAGUCUAUGUCACCAGCUCACAGCUGCCACACUGAAUUGACCCUGUUCACAGCAGACAUAAAGGCCUUCCAUUUCCAAAUUCUCUCUAAUGCUCAUCUGUGAAUGGGAGCAGAAUGUGGAAAAAAGCCAACAAGUCUUCUUAACUAUAGUAGGAGAAGAGAGACCAAAUUGGCUUAAUGCAGCACAGAAAUCUGUGGUGUGAGUUCCACCACUGGGCAGCCAAACCAGGACUAUGUGAUCAUUUGGUGUCCUUGAAGGAGAAAGCUUUGACAACAUAAGCUUAUGCAAAUCAUUAGCCAGAAAUUGUUCAUGCCCUUCUAGAUUCUUCUGGACUGCAUAGGGCUAGAUUAAAUAGUACAGCCAUGUAUUUCAGAAAUAGAUGCUUGACAGCCUUUCUUAAAGUAGAUGCUACAGAAUUUAUGUGAAAUGUUAAUAGGAAUUCCUUGCAAAAGAGUUUCCAGCAUCAAAAUAUUUUUUUUGGAACGGCUUGGAGAAAACAGUUCAAUUGAUUUCUUCAUUUGAGGCCAUUUCAGUGACAUUUUGGGCCAAAACUAUGAAUAGCUAAGAGAGAUACUUAAAUUUUAUGGCUUAUUUGAAUGCAGAGUCCCCCCCAUUUUUUUUAAAGGAGUGGGUAUAAAGUGUUCUAUGGAACAUUCUUAAGGAAUUCUGGACUGUGAGGAGAAGCGGCUUUGAAAUUCCAUGAUCUAAGAUUUGAGUGUUUCCAAAUUAAAACAUACCUCUCACCCUUAUUUUAAGUUAAUAUGUUCAUUUCAGGAAAAGUAAAUUAGAUAUCAACUACAUGUUUGGAAUUAUGUCAAAAAUUGUGGCACAGGUUCAAAGAAUAUAACAUGGCAUAUAUUCUGCCAUGUGGAGCUCAUGAUCUGAUGACAUGUUGAGGACUUCUGCAAUAAAACAAAUAUCCUCCAGGUUAUGUAUAGGCUAUACUGCUUAUUAUUAUCAUUUUUGAAUAACAUAACCAUAAAAGAAUUCAAAGGGAAAAUUCUUAUCCUUAUAAAUUGGAGAGGACGGUACUCUAUCAUCCUCCUUGUAGACAGGACUGUAUACGAACCAUCCGAAUUUCUGUGGCUUCUAAAACUCAUUGGACUUGCUCUUUUCUCUAGGUAAUCUAGAAUUCAACUUCUCUCACAUGUUCAUCUUUAAUCAUCUGUCCUGUAUUUUGUUUGGUAAAGGCCAAGGAAGAAAAAUAUCUGUCCAAAAUUAACUAUCAUGAACUAUGUAAAUGGUUCAGAUUAUUAUGAUGUCUUCCCUAAUUGUAUAUAAAGCUAUAUGAAGAAGAGUUUGUCUCAACUUCAAUUGAAUCAUAUACAUAUACAUAUACAUAUACAUAGUUCCCAUUUGUAAACCCCAUGUAUUUACAGAUCCUGAUUAACCAUGGUGCCCAAUCCUGUCUUCAUAUGUAGUAUGAUUUAAAUACAUAUGCCUUAUUACUUAAUUUGGUUCAGAUAUUGGCAGACAAAAUUGAAAAAAAAUAGACAAAGGAGUAAGUUUUUAAAUAAUAUAAUUGAAAUAGCAAAUCAGCAAAGUACAAAAUAGGCAACAACAGAGACAGUCUAUCUCUAAAUAUGUUUCUAAUGGAAUUAAUAAAAGUUAUGACUAAAGAAAUACAGUGCCUGGCAUACUAGGUAAAAAUUAAUCUUUUUACUCUAUUAUUUCUUCUUUAUUUUUGAAAGAUUGUUGAAAGAUGGUUACUAGUUUCCCACGCCUACCCCAGGAUCUCAUAUAUGUCUUACCACUUCCUUUGUCCACCAUUGUUUCUAAAUAAAAGCCGGCUGUUCUGUUAUUGGGAGUCUUCUUCAUAUAUGAUGAGUCACUUUUUCUCUUUUCAAGAUUUUCUUUUUUCCAUUGUGUUCCAUCAUUCUAUGCUGGGUUUGAGUAUGGAUCUCUGUGUUUAUCCAGAAUUGGACUGAAUUAUUGAAUUGGAGUUUACUGAGGUUUGGAUAUGUAGACUAAUGUAUCUUUUAAUCAAAUUUGGGAAGUCUUUAUCUAUAAUUUUUUUGAAUUGUUUUCUCCUUUCUCUUUUUUCCCUCCUGGUAUUCUCAGUGCAUACUUGUUGGUAUAUUAUGGUGAAUCACACUUCUUGGAGGUCCUGUACAUAUUUCUUAGUUAUUUCUUCUCUAUGUUCUUUAUAUUGUAUGAUCUCCACUGAUCUCUAUUCAUAUUCUCCUGCAUGCUCAAAUCUACUUUUGUACUCCUAAGUGAGUUUUUCAUUUCAGUUAUUGGGCUUAAACUCCAGAAUUUCCAUUUUUAAAAUUUUUUUUCUAAUAUUUUCUUAGAUAAGAUUUUGUCAUCAAAGUUUCUAUAAUUCUUCAUAAUUUUUUUCCAUUAGUUCUUUGAGCAUAUUUAUAAUAGCUGCUUUGAAGUCUUUGGCUGGUAAGUCCAACAUCUGGUUCUUUCAGAGGCAAUUUUUAUUGCCUGAUUUUUAUUUUUCCUCUGAAUGGGUCACAUUUUCCCAUUUCUCUGUGUAUCUCGUUUUUGUUGUUGUUGCAAAUGGACAUUUUACAUAAUACAUUGUAGCUGCCAUUUGUAUAUACUGUUCUUCUCCCUCUGGAGAAUUUGUUUCUAGCAGACCUAUCUUGCAAGAAAUAUUAAAGCUCUUCAGGCUGAAAGCAAGUGACCAAACAGUACUUCAAAUAAAUCCACAUAAAAAAAAUGAAGAGCUCUGGAAAAGUUAUUAUGUAGUAAUUAUACAUUUUUUUAAACAUUUAUUUAUUUUUGAGAGACAGAGACAGAGCAUGAGUGGGGGAAGGGCAGAGAGAGAGAGACACAGAAUGCGAAGUAGGCUCCAGGCUCUGAGCUGUCUGAAAAGAGCCUGAUGCGGGACUCGAACUCACAAACGGUGAGAUCAUGACCUGAGCCGAAGUAAGGUGCUUAACUGACUGAGCCACCCAGGUGCCCCUGUAGUAAUUAUAAAAGGUACAUUAAUUCUAUUACUUCUUUUCAUUUAUUUAAAAAAAACAAUGUAAUAAAAUGUGGGGCUUAUGAUAUAUAUGAAUGUAUUAUUUUUGGAAUAACAUGACAAAAGAGGCAGGUAGCAACAAAUAAAGCUUUCUGUAGUAAGAAAAUGACACUAAAAGAAUCCAUAAAUUGAAAUUAAGAGAAGUAGAAAUGGUAAUUUCUGGUAAUUUAAUAAAUGUUAUUGCUCUACUUUCUGUUUUUAGCUGUUUGUUUAUUUAUUUAUUUAUUUAUUUAUUUAUUUAUUUAUUUAUUUUUUAACGUUUAUUUAUUUUUGAGACAGAGAGAGACAGAGCAUGAACGGGGGAGGGUCAGAGAGAGGGAGACACAGAAUCGGAAGCAGGCUCCAGGCUCUGAGCUGUCAGCACAGAGCCUGACACGGGGCUCAAACCCACGGACCACGAGAUCAUGACCUGAGCUGACCUCGGACGCUUAACCGACUGAGCCACCCAGGCGCCCCUGUUUUUAGCUUUUUAGAAAUACAUUACUGGGGCACCUGUUUUCUUAGUUGGUUAAGCAUCCAACUCUUGAUUUUGGCUCAAGUCAUGAUCUCAUGGUUUUGUGAGUUCAAACCCCAGAUCUGGCUCUGCGUUGGCAGCACAGAACAUGCUUGGGAUUCUCUUUGUCUCUCUUUCUCUCUCUCUCUCUCUCUCUCUCUCUCUCUCUCUCUCUGCCCCUCUCCUGCUCACAUGAUCUUUCUUUCUCUCAAAAUAAAUAAAUAAACUUAAAACAUUUAAAAAGGCAUUACUAUAGUACAUAAUAAUAAAAAUUUACUUUUGAAUUUUUCAUAGAUGUUGAUGCAGUGUGUAUAACAAUGAUAGCACAAAAGAGGGAAGAGAAACUAGGAAACUAGAGAAACUAAAAUUUCUAAAUCUUUCUGAAAUGAAGUUAGUGUAAAGAUAGUGUAAGUAGAUGAACAUUUUAAACACUAGAGCAACCAUCAAGAAAAUAACUCAGAAAAUAAAUAUCAUUAAUGGUCAUUAAAGUAACUAAAAUUUUACACUACCAAAUAUUCACUUAAUGUGAAAGAAAGCAGUAAAAGAAAAACAGAAACAUUUUGAUGUCUUUUUAGACAUCAGACACAUAGGAAUAAAAGCAAAAUGGCAGUGGUAAAUCCAACUAUAUAAAUAAUAACACUAACUAUAAAUGGAUUAAACAAUUCAAUUGGAAAAGAUUAUAAGACUGAUUUAAAAAAUUCAGGAUCCAGGGGCACCUGGGUGGCUCAGUCAGUUAAGCGUCUGACUUCAGCUCAGGUCAUGACCUCAUGGUUCGUGGGUUCAAGCCCCACCUUGGGCUCUGUGCUGACAGCUCAGAGCCUGGAGCCUGCUUUAGAUUCUGUGUUUCCCUCUCUCUCUGCCCCUCCCCCACUCGCAUUCUGUCUCUCUCUCUCAAAAUAAUAAAAACAUUAAAAAUUAAAAAAAAAGAAAUCAGGAUCCAGAGUCAUCUGGGUGGCUUAGUCAGUUAAGCGUCUGUCUCUUGAUUGCAGCUCAGGUCAUGAUCUCAUGGUUGGUGAGAUAGAGCGCAUGUCAGGCUCUGCCCUGACAGUAUAGAACCUGCUUGGGAUUCUCUGUCUGUUUCUCUCUCUGCCCCUCCUGUGCUUGUGCUCUCUCUCUCCCCCUCAAACUAAAUGUUAAUUAAAAAAAAUCAGGAUCCAAUCUUAUGCUGUUUACAAGAGACACACCUUAGAUUUAAACAUACAACUAAGCUGAGAGUAAAAGAAUGGGAAAAGAUACACCAUGCAAAUAGUAACCAUAAGAGUUGGAGUGCCUGUGGCAGUGUGAGAUAAAACUAAUAAUAAAAAAAACUGUUACUAGAGAUAAAAAGCGAUAUUCUAUAAGGAUAAAAGGGUUGUUUCAUAUAGCAAACAUUGUAAUUAUAAACAUAUAAGUACUUAUUAUAGCAGAAUGAUUUAUAAUAUGUAAAAGUUAUAAAUCACUUGAGUAUCCACUGAUGGAUGGGUAAGAAAAUACAGAAUCUCCAUACAAUGAAUUUUGUGUGGGGAGCAAUAAAAAAAAGAAGUACUCACAUGGAUGAGCCUUGGAAACACUGAAGUGAAAGGAGCCAGGAACAAAAUACCAUAUAUUUUAUGUGCCUACUUUCAUAUAGUUCUAUACAUUUCUAUAACAAGCAAAUAUAUAGAAGCAGGAAGUAGAUUAAUCAUUAGUUGAACUUGGAAAGGAGGGAGUGAGGAAGAGAAUGGGGAAUGCUAAUGAGUUUUCUUUAGGUGAGAUGAAAAUAUUCUAAAUUUAGAUGGUGUUGAUUGUUGCACAACUCUGUGAAUAAACAAAACCCAUCAAAUUGUACACCUAAAUGGAUAAGUUGUAUGGUAUUUUAAUUGUAUCUCAAAGCUGUUAAAAAAAAAGUGAGGCAACGGCCAUAAAUUUGCUGGUAACCAUUGAUGGAGUGUCCCACCCUGUAAUUCAGAAGAACAAGAAAAGCAAAAUAUUUAAUAAGCAAAUGCUGUAUCAUGCAUGGUUCAAUUGCUUUACACAUAUUAUUCAAUGUUUAUUCUCCUAAAACCAUAUGAAGUAGUUAUUCUGACUUCAUAUUAUUCUUACAGGUGAGGAAAUUGAAUACAAAGAUGUGUUAAAUAACUUACCCAAGGUUAUGGGAUAAUAGGGUCAGAAUCAGUAAUCAAAUUCACUCAAAUAUGCAUGCACCAUGUUAUACAGCUUUACUAAAUGUAGUACAAUUUGAUACUUUUUCACCCAUGAAAUCGACUUCCUCAUCUUUUGUGAUAAUUGCUUCAAUUUACUGAACAUUUACUAUGUACUGGGCACUAUUCAUUCACAUAUGUCCCCUUGCUCGUACUCCCAAUGACCUUAUGAAAGAGGCAUUAUUAUACACUGUUUUAGCGAUGAGCAAACUAAGGCUCAGAGAAUUUAAGGAACUCACUCAAUUGGUAAGUGAUAUAAUACACUUGAAAUGUUAGCACUCGUUUUUCUUUAACUUGACACUGGAUAAUUUUUCUAUGUAUUACUGAAAAUAGUGUUUUUGAAAUAAACUAGAAGCAUCAGUAGAGAAGUGGAAAGAAUGAAUCAUGAGAACUGGACUUUUGUCUCUUGAGCAGAGUUUCUCUUCAGGGAAUAUGGUUACUCCCUUGUGUGGGUGCUCGGCUGAAAGAAGCAAAUUAUAUAAAAUGUCUUUGAACACGAUAAAGUGUUAUAAAAUAUAAAGCAUUAUUAAUCUAAACUAGGUCAGAAUCAGUAAAUCCAUAAAGUUUUAUAACACCCUCUUUGCUCAUUAAGGUAGCAGUGUGGUUUCAAAUCAGUAAUUCACAGUGUAGUGAGAUGGUGUGGGUUGGUGUUAGAGAACAGAAUGUCAGGGUCUGAAAACUCUGAUCUGCAAACUACACCAGUGUGCAGUAUAACCUUAGGCAGGUCUCUUAACAUCUGCAUUUGCAAAAUUAUGAACAUAUUACUGACCUAUUUUAUAGAACUGUUUUUAAGAGGCUCUGAUAAAAAGUGAUUAUAAAGCACCUAUAAAGCACCUAUAAAGUAGAAUUAUAUGUAAAACUGUUUAAGCAUAGUUCAUGAAUUUUACUUAAAUAUUUAUUUCAAUAGCUAGGACUUUUUAAAUUCUAAAGUUUAAACUCUAAGUCUGAAAAUCGAUUAUUGCAAUUAAGAGAGGCUUCUAUUGUCUGACAUGGUGGCUCUAAAAGGAAUUCAGUGAUAAAGAUCUUACAAUUAACAUAUGACCAGAUAUUUUAUCGCAUUCAAAAUAAAAUAAUGGGGGAGAGCUUGCGGCCAACUCUUGGUUUUGGCUCAGGUCAUGAUCUCUCGGUUCGGUCCAUGAGAUCGAGGCCCAUGUGGGGCUCUGUGCUGACAGUGUGGAGCCUGCCUGGGAUUUUCUCUCUCUCCAUCUCUCCUGCCCCUCCCCUGCUUAGGUGUGUGAGUGCACUCUCUUUCCUUUCUCUCUGUCAGAAUAAGUAAAUAAACUUUAAAAAAAUAAAAAAUAAAAUAAAAUAAUGAAGCCAUACUUCAUAGUGACUGAUAUGUAUAUAGUGGGGUUAAAUAAAUUAUUAUGGCUUAUAGAACAUAAUUCUGAAAGAAAGUAUAUUUAGUUAUGAAUCUUUUAGUGAGAGUGGUUGAUGUGUAAGUUAUACCUUGAAAUAAAGUUUCUGCUGACUAUAAUUCAGAUGAUCUAUACUGCUAAUUGUUUUGUAUAAACAACUAUGAAAAUAAUGAUAGGUAUAAUUUAGUGGGAACUCUGUGUGAUCCAGCUACAUGCACCUUACGUAUGUUUGAUCCCCAUGUUAAUUAUAGAUAUCCAACACAUAUGGCAAAAUAUUCAGAUAAAUAUGGGUGUCCUGUAUAAGGAUAUACUUUGGUUUUUCUAAGAUAAGGCAGUGCUAUCAUCCUUUGUCAAUUUCUGUGUUUCAUCUAUUAACAUAUUCUUCUGAUGAUAAGAUGAACUUCAUUUAAUACUAUAAUAAUGGUUCUCAAAACCAGGGGCAGAGGGAGCGCCAACAGAGGGGCAGAGGGAGUGUCAGGGCAGAGCCCAACAUGGGACUCAAUCCCAGGAUCACAAGAUCAUGACUUAAGCUGAAAUCAAGAGUCCAAGGCUUAACUGAAUGAGCCACCAGGCACCCCAGAAACUGCCUUUUAAUAUGCCUUGCAAGUGAUCUUGAUGCAAGCUAAUGACAGAGAACCACUGUCACAGAGAGAAACUGAGGUUCCAGGCUUUCAUUCCUUCAUCAAGUGUUUGAAGCACCUAGUGGGUGCCAGGCACAUAGUAGUUUGGAGAGAGUGAUUUUGGUGUUCAUUUGCUCAAUUGAUUGGUCUGGCAAAAAGGAAGAUUUAAACAAGUGCCUAGGUAUGAUUAAUUUGAACUCGGUGUUUUAAGAACCAAUGGCUUACCAGGAGACAUCAAGAAAUAGUUCCAGGCAAACAUUAAGGGAAGAACUCCCAUGUUGGCAAUCAUACAGCUUCCUGGAAACACUGGUGGCUACUGGGAUGAGAGAUGAUGAAACUUUAGGGAAGGUAGACUUUCUUAACUGUAUGUCGUAUUUCAAAAAGUAGAAUUUGAAGCUGUGAAGGAGAUAUCCUCAAUCCUAGAACUCAGAGAUAAGACGUAUCAUAGUAUCAAUAACAGUAUCAUAGUGUCUUCAGCUGUAUAAACCAGACCAAUCUAUUUCCUCUUAUGCUGCUCUGGGAUGAUACAAGGCCAGACCCAUUAUAUUUUGUCUUAGUUCUGAUAGUGAUAAUAUCCGUGAAAAGUGAGAGUCACACUGUCUUCUUCAUAGGCUUGUCAAGGUCAGAUAGCGAAGGGCCUGGCUUGUAAAGGUGUGGUGGACAAUGCUGACUACCUAGUGAUAUUGAUUUUACUUUUUUAAAACAAUGGGACUCUUGAGGUUAGAGGGGCACACCUCAAUUGGCCUAAAACUGCCUUAUGUUUACACUGUGGUGGGUGUAACCAUGUUAGUGAGGUCUGGACAUAAAUUGUGGCACUUCUAUUCAUACUAUUAAAAGAAAGACAUGAGUCUGCAUUUCUGUUGGCUUUUCUCCUCCCCCCUGGACAGAAAAUGGCAAAAACAGCUGCAAAUACCUUAGAUCCAGAGCUGGAAGCUGGGUUUUGUGUGCUGCAGCACCUCCUUAUCUGCCCUAGCCUGCUCCCUCCCUUGGACUGUUCAGUGAGAGAAGUAUGAAUCCCUGUGUUGUUUAAGCCGUUGUGUUUUUAGUCUUGUUGCAGCUAAUUUAGGGUGUACCCUAAUUCAGCAUGGCCUGGGAAUCUUGUUAAUAUGUAGUUUGCAGUUCAGUAUGCCUGGGGUGGGGCCUAAGAUUAUGCAUUUCUAAUAAAUUCCUAAGUGAUGUUGAUUCUGCUGGUUCAUGGACUAUACUUGGAAUAGUAUGACCUUGAAUUUGGCAUUUAGUAAAGAUUAUUCAAUUUUUCUUUGCUCUUUGUCUGGCUUCAGUCUACUAUAAUAAAGUACCGUAGACCGGGUGGCUUAUAAGCAACAGAAAUUUGUAUCUCACAGUUGUGGUGGCUGGAAGUUCCAAAUCAAGUUUCCAGCAAGGUUUGGCUCUGGGAGGGUCUUUCUCCUGGUCGAUGACUUCUGACUUCUCAUUGUAUCCUCACAUGACGGAAAGAAAAUGAAACCUGAUUGUCUGGCCUCUUCUUGUAAGGGCACUAAUCUCAUUCAUGAGGGUUUCCACUCUCAUGAUUUAUUACCUCCUAAAGACCUUACCUCCAAAUACUAGCAUGUUGGGGAUUCGAUUUCAACUAUGAAUUUUUGAGGGAGGGGGCAUUCAGUUCAUAACACUCCCCUUUCUGAGCCCUUAUGAUGUAAGUGGCUCUUUUACAUUUCAAUUGAAUGUCACCAAAUGGUCCUCAUAGUGUAAAGAGAGGUUGCCAGAAAGCAGGAGAAGUUGUGUUGCUGGGUCCUGACUGCCUAUAAACAGUUAGUGUUCUGUGCUAGUAAAGACAACUUGGUCUACAUAGUAAUACAUAUUCCAUAACUUAUUUUAUAACUAUAAUAUAGCUUCAUGAUAGCAUUGUACUCAAACUUUGCCCAGCCAGAGCUCAAAUGUGUACUUGAGGUCAAAAGAGGGAAUGGUGGACCAUCACUGCUUCUCUCAUGCCACCCCUGACAGUAGCUCACAGCAUGCUCUUUGCUCAUGUUGGGUCUGGUAUUAGGAUCACAUGGAAAAGCACAAUAGGCGGUCUUAUCGGACUCCCUCCCAAAGAAGAAGCAUUUCCCUACUCUUCUGCAUGCCUCCCUCCUUCCACAGCCAUGUGGCUUGGCUAGAAUUGAGACUUACAUAGAAGUGAAGAGUAAAUUCAUCUUCAUUUUUAUUCCUAUGUGUACAGUUUUUUUAUGGUAACCACAACAGAGCUCUUGAAAAAUUGCUAGUGUGUUUUCAAUCUGCAAAGAAGGAAGAAAGCAGAAAGCUCUUAUUUUCUUCAUGCCCAGCUACUUCUGUGUUCUGUGGAAUUUCUCAUAGGCAAAAUGUAAGUGGGUGUCUAUGCACUAUGAUUUCAGGCGCACUUGAAAGCUCUUCUGUCAAAAAAAACCCACCUCAUUUGCACAGUGAUACUUAAAUGCCAAAAGAAUGACCUUUUUGGGGACAUAUGGGUAUUGACCUCAAGAUCAUGGUCUCUCUAAAGAUUUAUGUAUAGGAGUCUGUGUAGGUACAAAUUCACUAAAAUUAUUGGUGGUAUUUUAUAUUUCAGUGUAACCAUUCAUUCCUUUUAAGAGAAAACUCUAAGUUUUCAUUAAAUUCCUAAAGGUGUUUGUGAUUCAAAAAACUUUUUUUUUUAAUUUUUUUUUUAAUUUUUUUCAACAUUUAUUUAUUUUUGGAACAGAGAGAGACAGAGCAUGAACGGGGGAGGGGCAGAGAGAGAGGGAGACACAGAAUCGGAAGCAGGCUCCAGGCUCUGAGCCAUCAGCCCAGAGCCUGACGAGGGGCUCGAACUCACGGACCACGAGAUCGUGACCUGGCUGAAGUCGGACGCUUAACCGACUGCGCCACCCAGGCGCCCCUCAAAAAACUUUUAAGAAACAGAAGCACUUCUGCUUAAGGCACCAGGAUGUUAUUCAUCUAUAUGUUAGGAAUUAAUUUAAGAUAAUUUAUGGACAAUAACUUUUGAUGAGAAGAAAGUAUUAGAAUUUUACUUAAUGAUGAAAAUGACAGGGAAAAUAUGUGCUAGGAAGAAAAAGAUGGAGGCAUCAGUUGGAUGAUUUUGCCCAUGAAUGGAAGAGGGAAAAAAAAAAUAGACUGCUCUCUCUGUCUUGGACCCUUAAUACUUUAACCUGAACAAUUAUAACAUAACCCUAGCAUGUUUACCCCUCCAUACUUGGUUUUCUUCAAUUCAAGCCGUACAUUCAAAACUAGCAUAUCAGGAUUCAUCUGUAAAAUAUUACUUUCACUGUUGUAUUACUCUGCUCAAAAGUUCUUCUGCCACCCUUUAGCUGCUAAAUAAAAUCCAGUUACCUUAGCCUGAGAUUCAGAAUUCUCUGGUUGUUACCAAACAACACUCGCACUUUCAGCUAUUGCUCCUACCACCUCUAAAUACCUUAAGUUUUAACUAAACUUAACACUUGUCAUUUCCCAAACAACCUGUGUUUUUCCGUUUCUAUACCUUUGCCAAUAUGAAGGUUCUAUCAUCAUGUCCUCUUUUGCUAAAUCCCAACCAUCCUUAAGAUUGUUCAAAUAAUCUUUCCUGAUGUGCUAGAUUGUUCUGUUGCAGAAUUGGUCAAACUGGGUCUGUGUUUUCUGGGCGUCUCUUUCCUGUGAAUUUCCAGUUAGAAUUCGCCAAAGGAAUUAGUGAGUUUUGAGAGAUGUAAAUAAGGCAGCAGCCAUUACCCUUUGAAGGUCUUUGCAGUCAGAAAAUAUAAUAGAUGCAGAAUUGUCUGGAAGGAAGGGAUAGGCACCUCCUUAAUGGUGGUUAGGGUACUUUGGCCUACUUCCAUCAGAUAGGGACAGUGCUUUCAUCUUAUUUUGGAUUUGCCAUCCCCCAAAACAAGGCUUCUGCUCCAUUCAUGGAGAGACAGAAUGACUUAUUUAUUAUCAUAGAUUUCUGUACAGCAUUGCUUUUGACCAAGAACUGAUUUUAUAAUCAAUUAAGUCUGUUCAUGGCAUUCACUGGUCAUGGUAACCUGUUUCCCAAUACCUUAAAACAGAUGUCUUUAUGAAAUAGUGGAAUAGCUUUUAUUAAGGCUCAGUUAUGGCACCAGCUAGAUGGCAACAUCUUUUAGGACUGGGAAAAUGUCCUUCAAAAUGAAUCAGUAACGGAUAUGAUACUGUUUCUUUCACAGGUAGGAAUCAUGGCUUUGAGAUUCAGGGAUAGAAAUGGAAAUGGCCUCUCUCACUGUUACAUUUAAUUGUCCACUAGUAAAAUUUUUGCUUCCUGUCCUUAUAAUCUUGGGUUCGUGUUUAGUUGUCUUGAAUUCCAAGAGAGAAUAUAGUAAUGGUCCCAUUACAUUGGAAACUAAGACUACUACCUGACCUCAUACUAGUGAUCCAAUAUUCUACUGAAUGGGAUGAUUGAUUGCCAUAUAAAGGAAAAAUCAGGUUGCUAGUACACAUAAGGGCAGAUAGGAGUAAUAUAGAUUGCAUAUGUUCCCCUAGGGCACUUCUUAAUGCUUUCAUGUUCUGUGAUAAAAGGUAAUGCAUAAAUAUAAUAUCACAAUACAGGCUGGAAUGCUAAAGGCACAAGAACAAAGGUUGGAGUCAUCCCACCUGUCAGGGAACCAUGACUAACUGGCAUGGGCAGAGCCAGUGUGAGACAAAUAAGGCACCCAUGUCAGGCAUACAACUUAAGGGAGCACCACAAAAUUCAGGAAUGUAAAUAAAUAAUAUUUUAACCCAAUAUUAAAAAAAAUCAAAAUUACUGCAAGAAGUCCAUGAUGAAAAAAAUAUAUAUUAACAUUCUAAAUAAAGGUAGGAUCUGACCCUGACCUUGAAGAACUCACCUCACUGACAGCACACUGUUAGUUCUCAUGCUGAGUUGUUCUGAGUUGUUCUAUUGCCAGCUUGGUCAAGCUGGGAAUUAUGCUUCCGGUAGGAUUUCAGGUAGGAAUUGACCAAGGAAGGAUUUGCUCAAGAUUUAGGAGUCAGAAGUGAAGCAUGAGUCAUUAUUUCCAGAAGGUCUUUGCUCUCAGAUGGAUGGAUGAAGAAGUACAUGGUGGCUUGUAGCUUGUCUAUUUUUUCUAUGCUGCCAGCAGCAUUUUCUUUCUGCAACCGCCUUUAGACCCACAGAAACAUAUCUACCCAGAGGCACGUCCUAUAGACCUCAGUGAGCUUCCCUUUCUCAAAACGAACAGAGAGUUUUAGGAGGACUGGGUAGUGCCUCUUUCCCUGAACCAGUAACUCCACUUUCCAGACCUUUGUUCUGCCAGUAACACCCACCAUUAUGUAAGGUCUAAUUAUUUAAAUAAUUCCCCUAUUCCUUUGCAUUGAAAGUUACUCUGCUUUCCUGUCUAAACACUGACUGAUAGAUGUGAUUUUCUCAGAAGUGCCACAGGUCCCAAGUUCAUUAUUUGAAAAACUUGCAGCCAGAUGUGUUUUGGCAUUCAGAUUAGUGUGUCUUUUAGAAAGACAGUAUGGUACGUACGUACACCAUGUGAUGUUUAAUAGCUUUGUGGGAUUUAGGACAGUGCCUCAAAUUCAAACUCAGUCAUAAAUUAUGCUCUUCCUGUCUCAGUUUCCUUACCUGUGAAAUUGGGGCAGUAGUACCUUCCUCUAAAGUGUUACUGCAAAUCUCUUGCUUAUCUAAUGCUUAUAAAGCAUUUAGCCUGCAUAUAGUAAGUACUUAGUAAGUCAUAGCUAGGAUUAUUAUUUUGUUUCAUCAUACCAAUGAUUAUGAACUACUCCAUCCUUUACCCUCAUCUAAUGGAGUGCCUACUUUUCCGUACAUGCUGAAAACAUUUGUGUUGCAAGAAUAAAUCAUGGAACAUAUUAUUCAAAAGAUGCCAGUUUUGGGUAACUUGAUAUUUUAAGAGGUCCAAUUUGGGGUAUGAAGAUCUGGAGAAACUCAUAAAUGUUGCAUGAAAAAGUCCCUGUUCUGUACCUUUUAUAGGUGGGUCACAGUCUCUUGGGCAUUCUUAAGGAUUAAGAAAACAAUCUAAGAGAAGAAUUCCCAGAUUGGACCAAUCCAAAGCAGACUCAAAUAGACAACCAAGAGAGCAAGACCCUGCCUUCCCAGUCUUCAGUAGUUUCUUCCAGUCUCUACCAGUUUCUUCAGGUAGUAAUGUUAACUAAUGUUCCUCAGUUUACAGGGAGGCUCCAUAAGCUAAGCAGAUCUGGUUGCACAGAAAGUCCUACCUAGACAAAUGUGUGUGAAUUUAGCUAUAUGAAACUCAAAUGUACUCUUGUUUUGUUUCCUCUCCUUCUGAGUGGUCUACAGCAGGCUAUUCCAUGUAAAAAUUCAGCCAUUGUGUCUCUUACCUUUUACUGCCACAUUCAAGGUAAUAUAGGGAGUGUUUUAGGGGCUUUGACUAUCUCAUUUAAUUCCAAAUAAUGCUUUCUUGGUGAUAACAUCAAUGCUAGUUUUUCUUUUCCCAAGGGUGUGCAAAUCAUAUUAGCUUCUAAAAUCACAAUUAUUGUAUAAACUUGAGGUUACUUUUCAUUAUAUCUUAUAAAUGCCAGUAGGAUGUCAACUGGUCUGUUUUUCACUUUUUGUUUUGUUUUUGGUACAAAUGUAUUAUUUCUAUGAUUUUUAUGUGUCCUUAUUUGCAAAAUAUAACUUGAAAUAUAACUUGGACUAUUAUAUUUCAUUGUCAGUUUUACUUCUAACCAAUCAUUUUUCUCCCCAACAUAUUUACUGGACUUUAUCUCUCUAUAGAAAGAUCAACAUUUGGGGUUCAGACACAUGAUUGUAAAUUAUGUUACAUGGCUAGUAUUUCUUUUUUUUUUUUUUUUAAUUUUUUUUUCAACGUUUAUUUAUUUUUGGGACAGAGAUAGUAUUUCUUGAUGUAACCGUAUCGAAAUAAAAAAGUCAGUAUUUCUUAGAAACCAUCUAUCAAAUUAUUGCAAGAACACAUGCAUAAUAGUUUUCUGUAUACAGAUUUCAAGGUUUCAGCUGGAAAGUUGAUUAUUCUUCUGGGUUUCUUCUGUCUUCUAAGGUCAGAGAAGUAAUGACAUGUCUGUGCCCUUUCAACCAAAGGAAGCAGAGCUUAGAGUUCUUGCCCAAGAGGAAAGGUAGUUGACUUCUGGAAGAGGGUAUAUUUAUAACCCUUUUGGAAUAAACAUAGACCCUUCAGGAACUUGUGAGAGUGGCAUUGAAUGUGACAGUUGACCACUCUGGAAUGUCUUAGUAGAUCUGGAAGAUUCUUGUAUAGUCAUUUACAUUUCUAGACUUUCCAGUCAUGUAGUCCUGACUUGGCACAUUUUGAGAGUCGAAUUGGACAUGGAGUUCAGCACCCAGGUUUUCAUUAAUUUUUUUUUAAAUUUAUUUUUGAGAGAGAGGAGGGGAGGGGCAGAGAGAAAGGGUGAGAGAAAAUCCCAAGCAGGCUCCACACUAUCAGCACAGAGCCCGAUGUGGGACUGGAACCCACAAACUGUGAGAUCAUGACCUGAGCAGAAACGAAGAGUUGGAUACUUAACUGAUUGAGCCAUCCAGGUGCCCUGCAGUUUUUCAUUUUUAAAUGGCCCAUAGGUGCUAUCUUAUGGAAAUUGUUUAUAAGUAGGUUCAAUGUUAAUUUAUUACUUCAUGCAUGCUAGCAAUUUGUGUGAAAUACUAUUUGGCUAAAUAUCUCCGGUGGGUCAUAUAUUAGAUGUCCAGAACUUUCUACAGGUUGUUUGAUCAUGAACAUUAAGAAUUUUCAUCACUAUAUAAUGUAUAUUUAUCCCCACUCAUGUAUGCAGUGUUAAGUCAUAUUAAUGAUGUGUGAUGUAGAAAAUAAAAACACAGAUGAUAGUCAAUUUUCAAACAGGUCUGAGUUUCACCAGGAAAUGAAAUAGAAAUGCUCCCCUCAUUUAAUUUUACAAAGUUUACUCUUACAUUUUCUUUGAUAUAAAGGUACUUUAGAAAGGAAAAAUCUAGGCAAUUGCAUAGGAGACUGAAUUCCUAAAUUCCAUCCAACUUGUUAAAAACAUUAUUUAGUGUAUGAAGGUUAGUUUCCUGAAUUAUAAUAUGUAUCUCUAUGUAUGUAUGUAUGUAUGUAUGUAUGUAUCUCUUUCUCUCUCUCUUUCUCUCUCUCUCUCCUCUCAAUCUAUUAGAUUUCAUCUAUGUAUCUAUAUGGGUUAGGCAAAAUGCUUAUUUAAAUUGUCUGUAUUUUAUUUGUUCAAGAAGUAUUACUGAGCAUCUUCAAUGAGAUGAGUUAAUUUCUGGAUAAACCAACAAAUAAUGCAAAAAAAGCCAUUGUUCCAGUACUUAGGGAAUUUAUAGUCUAAUACUGGCAUAACAAAUAUGUUGUGCUGAACAUAAGUUUCUACUCUAAAUGCUUUAUUAAGAAGGCUUUUAGGGGCACCUGGUGGCUCAGUCAAUUAAGUGUUAGGCUCUUGAUUUUGGUUCAGGUCAUGAUCUCCUGGUUCACGGAUCAAGCCCUGCAUUGGGCUCUGCUCUGAUAGCACGGAUGCUGCCUCGGAUCCUCUCUUUCUGACCCUCCCCCUAUUCAUUCACUUUAUCUCUCUCAAGGUAAAUAAGCAUCAGAAGAGGAGGAGGAGGAGGAGGAGGAGGAAGAAGAAGAAGAAGAAGACGAAGAAGAAGAAGAAGAAGAAGAAGAAGAAGAAGAAGAAGAAGAAGAAGGCAGCUUCUAAAGCAGAGACAAUAAAAAAUUUCUGUAAUGAAUUAGUAAUUCCAGCCAAAAAUAACAUAGAAAUGGGAGUGGCAGCAGGCAUGACUCAUACUUGCUGUUAUCCAUUUAAUCUCUAAGAUUCAAUGACCUCACUACUCAUUUCUAAAGAUUAGCCACCCAAUUCUCUAUAAUACUGGAUUAAGAGAAAUAGGAGAACAAACAUGUUGGCAAGUGAGGCUUUUUUUUUUUCUUAUAAUAAUAGCUAAGUACAUCAGCUAUUGAUAAACAUAUGUUAGCAUUUACCUAUUCAUUCUGUUGGAGAAAACUGGAUAACUCUUAAGUGUUUUGCCCUCCAGGCUUACAUUAAAAGUUAAUUAUCACCACGUGGGACAGGCCUCCAGAGGCCAUGGCAGCCUUGAACUAAUAUCAGCAAAACGUGCAUCUCACAUUAGUCCCUGAGUUGCUUACCUCUCACAAUAGAAUGCUUUCUCCUUGAGUGAAUGCUUACAAGUUAAAACCACAUCACUUUCUGAGUAGUGAGUUGAAGAACAACAACUUCUAGCUGAAGAAGAAUAAAAUUAGAACCCUGCAUUACAUAGUUAAGGACAAGGGCACCAUGAGAGAGAUUUAGCAUCACAUAUAAAUGAAGAGCUGUAAUUAGCUACCUUGUCAAUAACUGAAAAUUUAGUGGUGUGUGUGUGUGUGUGUGUGUGUGUGUAUGUCCAUAUGUCUGUCUCUGUCAGUCUCUUGCAAAUAUGCUUCUUCAUCUUGGUUGUCUGUGCAAACUUGCCAUGGGUACUUAUGAGCAAUAUAGUCUAAUAGUAGCCUUCAAGAACAAAGAUAGUUUAAGUAGAGAUGCAAUAAAAAAUGCUUUAGUAGGCCAUAAAUCACUCUUGUCCCUAAAUCCCUCUUUGACUUGCUUGCAAAAGACCCUUGAUUUUUUCUAUCAUAUAUUAAUUCUCAAUCCAUUAAAUAGAAGCAGCCUGUGCAUGGACCAAUGAUGACUGUUUAUGCACCUGAGGUCUAAAAUUAAAUUAAAUUUAAAACGGAAAAGCCCCAUCAAGGUUUUGGAUUGCUUUGGAGACUACCAAAAGCACAACCUCUCAUUCACUGUUGUGGUACUUACUGUUGUGGUACUUACACAUUGGUCUCAGUGAUUUAUCAUUAAUGUAGACUUCAGGUUAUUUUUGAUAUCUUUAGUUUUAUUCCCCCCCCCCCAGUUUGACUAUAAGUCCUUUGAGGGAAAGAACUUUUUCUUCACAGUUCUAUAGUAGUGCAGAGUGUAGUAUCUUAUAUUUGGGAUAUAGCAGAGAAUGUAAGUGUCCUGUAAUCCCUGGGAACUCAUUUACUAGUCUGGAACGUAAUGGAUUAUUCAGUUGCUCUCCCAAGAGUCUAUGUUUUCCUACACUGGCUGCUGGUUUGAAAUGUUUUGAGAUAUUAGUGUUUUCUUUGUAUGGGCUGAUGGUUAUAAUCUCUUUAAAAAUAAAAUUACUGUUAGAGAACAAUAAGAUGGUUACCAGAGGGAGGUGAGUGGGGAGAUGAGUGAAAUACAUGUAGGGUAUUAAGAGUACACUUAUCUUCACAAGCACUGGAUAAUAUAUGGAACUGUUUAAUCAUUAUUUUGUACACCUGAAACUAAUAUACACUGUAUGUUAACUACACUGAAAUGAAAAUAAAAAAGAAAAGGGAAGGAACAAUAUGGGCUGGCAAACACUUUAUGUUGCCAAGUGAGAACUUUUUUAGAAAUCACUAUCUAUUUUGGAAAAGGUUACUUUAUUCAUUUAUUUAUUUUUAAAUAUAAUUUAUUGCCAAGUUAGCUAACAUACAGUGUAUACAGGGUGCUCUUGGUAUCAGGAGUAGAUUCCAUGAUUCAUCGCUUACAUACAACACCCAGUGCUCAUCCCAACAAGUGCCCUCCUCAGUGCCUUUCACCUACUUCUCCCUCUCCCCCACCCCCAUCAUCAACCCUUAGUUUGUUCUCUGUAUUUAAGAGUCUCUUAUGGUUUGCCUUCCUCUCUGUUUGAAACUACCUUCCCCUUCCCUUCCCCCAUGGUCUGUUUAAGGCUCAAAUUCCACAUAUGAGUGAAAACAUAUCAUAUCUAUCUUUCUCUGACUGACUUAUUUCACUUAGCAUAAUACCCUUCAGUUCCGUCCAUGUUGCUGCAAAUGGCAGGAUUUCAUUCUUUCUCAUUACCGAGCAGUAUUCCAUUGUAUAUAUAAGUCACAUCUUCUUUAUCCAUUCAUCUGUUGAUGGACAUUUGGGCUCUUUCCAUAAUUUGGCUAUUGUUGAUAGCACUGCUGUAAACAUUGGGGUACAUUUGCCCCUAUGAAUCAGCACUCCUGUAUCUUUUAGAUACAUUCCUACUAGGGCUAUUGCUGGGUUGUAGGGUAAUACUAUUUUGAAUUUUGGGGGGAACCUCCAUACUUUUAUCCACAGUGGCUGCACGAGUUUGCAUUCCCACCAACAGUGCAAGAGGGUUCCCGUUUCUCCACAUCCUUGCCAACAUCUGUUGUUUCCUGAGUUGUUAAUCUUAGCCACUCUGACUGGUGUGAGGUGGUAUCUCAAUGUGGUUUUGAUUUGUAUUUCCCUGAUGAUGAGCGGUAUCGAGCAUCUUUUCAUGGGUUGGUUGGCCGUCUGGAUGUCUUCUUUGGAAAAGUAUCUCUUCAUGUCUUCUGCCCAUUUUUCACUGGAUUAUUUGUUUUUUGGGUGUUGACUUUGGUAAAUUCUUUAUAGAUUUUGUAUACUAACCCUUUAUCUGAUAUGUCAUUUGCAGAUAUCUUCUCCCAUUCCAUCAGUUGCCUUUUAGUUUUGUUGAUUGUUUCCUUUACAGUGCAGAAGCUUUUUAUCUUGAUGAAGUCCCAAUAGUUCAUUUUUGCUUUUAUUUCCCUUGCCUUCAGAGAUGUGUCAAGUAAUAAGUUGCUGCAGCUGAGGUCAAAGAGGUUGUUGCCUGUUUUCUCUUCUAGUUUUGAUGUUUUUUUGUCUCACAUUUAGGUCUUUCAUCCAUUUUGAGCUUAUUUUUGUGUAUGGUGUAAGAAAGUGGUCUGGUUUCUUUCUUCUGAAUGUUGCUGUCCAGUUCUCCCAGAACCAUUUGUUAAAGAGGCUGUCUUUUGGAAAAAGGUUACUUUAAUGUUAAAAAAGAAUGACAAUGCAUAAAUUUGGCCUUAUGAAAAAAAAUAACACUACUGAAAUGCAUUUAUAAAAGCUAUCUUUGUUUUUGAACCAAAAGACAGGUUUACCUUUGUUGAAAUAUUAGUAACAAUCUUCAGCCAGUGAAGAAAGUUUUCAUACUGAAGUUUAUACUUUAAUAUAAAGCAGCUUGAAUUUAUAUGCUCAUGUACCAAUCAUGUAGAAUAAUAUAAUAUGUCCUAAUAAUUAAGAACAGGAUCUAAUUACUAUCAUUUUCACCCUAUAAAGAAUAUGUAACAUCCAUAUUUCUGUUUUCACUUACAGCUCCUUUGAACUUACUUAAACCUUUAUAAGCAUAAUAUUUAAUGAAUUUAUUUGUUCAAUGAUAACUGUUAAGACUAUAUGACCAUUCUGUGAAUGGUUCAGUAUAUUUUUGUAUUACAUUUUAUGUGAGUUGGGGACCAGGGAUCAUACCUGUUUAAUUUACUGAGUUCAUUAUCAAGUGUAUGGAGAGUCUUGACAAUGUUUUUUGAUGAAGAUGCUCCACCACCCAGAAUGAGGGAAGGGGAUCAACCAUUAAGGCAUUUCAAAGGGAGACAUUAAAUAAUUGUGGUGGAGAAAGAUGGUAAUGAUGGCUAUAUAUGCAGGAGAAUAAAAUGAGAUAUGAGAAAACAAAGAGGAUAGGAAAAUAACUCACACAAGGAAUUGAAUUAGACCAGUAAAACAUCUGAAAAUCUACUACUCGCAUCAAUGUCAAAAAAUCCAAAGAGAACAGGUGAUCUGAGCAUGCUGCUGACAUCCAUCUUCGCACCCUCUUGGUCUAUAAAAUACUUCUUUAGCUUCCUUGAACAAAGACACCACGGUGGGCUACACAAGGUGUAGCAAAGGAAAGGAAAGCUGUUCCGACUCCUCUGCAUGCAUUAGUCAUUUUCUUCCUCUGAGUCUGUGUCUUAAUUGCCUUGCCUGUCUUAUUAGAUUGAAAACCCACUGGGUUGGGACCAUUGCUACUAAGGGGUACAGCACCAAGCUUGGCAGGUGAUCAGCACUCAAUAAAUGUCUAUUGCUACCAUAAACCAAUGUAUAAAUCUCAGAAAUAGGCAUAAUAAUGGACCUGACAGAUUAAUGCCCAGGGCUAUUUUUGUACAGCAGCAUGGGCUAGCCAAAUCAAAAUCAGACAUCUCAGAUUCAAUUCUUCUCAGUUUUGCAUGUAAUUCUCAGCCUUUCACAUUUUUGUCCUGUGACAGACAGGAAGAAAUGAGUCAACUUUUCAACAGAAUUGAAUUAAGAAGCAUUCUUCCCUCCCCACCUUUUUGUUUGUUUGUUUCUUAAAUACUAUUGACCCAUUAUGUAGAUGGCAUUGCUUUUUUAAAUUAUUGGUAGAGUGUUUUCAAAUGCUGCAGCAUUUAUAUGGUAUUUAUACUCAAUAUUUCAAGUCCUCUUCUUUGUGGGGGAUUUUUCUCUAUGAGCAAAAAACUACUUAAGGAAACCAUAUAAUUAAUACUCUAAUGUGUUCUCUGAGGUGACUAAGAAAGAGUUAUUAUCAGUUUUUCUCUUCGGAUGACAAAAUUAACAUGUGAAGAAGAAAUUGUGUGACUUAAGCAAGAUUGCCCAGAGAAACAGUAAUGAAAUCCUGAGUAGAAUUCCCCUUGAAAACAGAGCACUUCACAGAAAGAUAGAAACAAGCAAAAACCUGGGGGUCAUUGAAGCUUUUUUCAGUUGUAACAAAAUACAAUAAUCUUCAAAUUCCAUUUUUCCUUCCUUGAACUGGCGGCUUUGUCUACCUGUGAGAUAAGAUUUUUUUCCCCUGUCUUUGUAAAGCUCCACUGUAACUACAAUCUACUAUUAGUUUCCUUUUCUUAGAUAUUUUUAUACUUCUUUUCUUGGUCAGUGUGUAAAAAGUCACCCACAUUAGAUAAUAUGAUCAUGAAAUUAUUUAAAAAUUGAUUGCAGUGAAUUCUUGGGGUGCCUGGGUGGCUCAAUCAGUUGAGCAUCUGACUCUUGGUUUUGGCUCUGAUCAUGAUCCCAGGGUUGUGGGAUCGAGCCCUGUGUUGGUUUCUGCACUGAGUGUGGAGCCUGCUUGGGGUAAUCUCUCUCUCUCUCUCCCUCUGCCUCUCCUCCCCUCUGGUCCUCUCUCCCUAUGGCAUGUGCUCUCUCUCUCUCAAAUUAAAAAAAAAUAAUAAUAACAAAAUAAUUUAAAAAUUUCAAUAAAUUAUUUAAUCUCCCUAACUUCUUUCUAUGGCAAGAUGACUAUAAGUAAAAGAAUCAAUUAAAUUAUCUAUUCUCAGAUCUAGUUUUUUUUUUAAAUAAAUAUAAAAACAAAGCCACAGUUGACCAUAUGACCCAUCAAAGUUAAUAAGAGAAAGUUGGGUAUUGAGGGUAUGGACUGAAUAUAUAACUGGAUCCUACAGUGACAUAAAAGGAAGAGUCUAGGAUUCACAUUUACACUCCAUAAAGCAAAAGGGAUAAGAGAGGCAAUUGUUUAUGUAACUUAGAUUAAAAAAAAUGUCUUUGUCUCUAUCAUUAAGAUAUUUCAGGUAUUUCCAGAAUAUUGCCAGCAAAUAUACCCGCCCAUAUAGAAUACUCCACUAGGCACUUGAGACUCUAGGGUAGAAUGGCAAGUCAAAGAAAAUAUUUUCAUGCAAAUAUUAUUUUACAAAUAUAUUUGCAUAAAAAUAAAAUUUUGAUUUAUCACUUAUUUUUUUAAAAAAAUAUUUUCAAGUGCUUGUAGUAUAUUAAGCAGUUAACUAAGCUUUAUGUAUUAAUUUUUAUUCCUUUUAACCUCCCUUCCUGCAAAGUAGAUUUAUGGAUGCUCCAUGUCUUUUGUUUGAAAUAAAGAUGGGUAACAAACAAGGUAUAUAAAUGUCUAUAAUAAAAAAACCACACAGAAGGAAAAACAAACAAACAAACGAGCAAAAACAAAACAAAACUUGUCCAAAAAGAUUUUGAAGUUUAUAAGUUUGGGUGACUGGAGGAAUGGUGGAACCAUUAAUGGAAAUACCAACUCUCAAGUCAGGAGAAUAAAUAAUUUGUGAAGGGACACUUAACAACUUCAGUUUUAACUAUGAUGUGAAUAUGAGACUGUCAUAGAACAUUCAGACAGGGCUUACACCUGUCAUUGUAUAGAACAGGAUCAGAAUUUGAAGGAAAUACUAGUCCUGAGUACCCAACUUUAGUCAUCGUCAGCCAAAAUAUGUUAAUUUAAUAUUUGUCUAUUUUAUUUUGUCCAUAUAACCAACUACAGUCAAUAAAAACUAGAAGUCAAAAUGCUCAAUACAUCUGGAGGAAAGAAAGAGGAAUUUUUCCUUUUAGAGGCAUAAUUGAAAGUGCUUCUCUACUAUGUACUUGAUUAUCUGACAUUCUGCUCUGUUCUCAAGUCUGGAAUACUUUUCUUCCAAGAUACAUUAAAGCAAAGGAAUAUGAGAAGAAUUAGAAAAAUAUCUGUUUUCUCUGAAAUUAUAUUUAUUUUGUAGUAUUUCUAAAGUUGCUGAAAUCUAUGCAAGGUCUUAUUUUGAGGUAUUGCAAGUCCUGUGUUCAUAAAAGAAUGAUUAAAUCUUUGUUAUUUGGCUUGCUAAGAGAGCUACAAAGCAUUAGAAUAACCAAACCAAACCAAAAAGCCCUGAAAAAUGUUUAGACCAUGGUGCCAUCAUAAUCUCAACAUCUUCCAUUGGCUCUGAUUAAUUUCCCAACAUGAAUAUUCUGUUUCUGUUUUUCCUGGUCCUUAUCCAGGAGUCUCUGGACCUCAGGAAUCAUGGGUCAGUUGGUACAACUUAGAGGUUAUGAGACAGAUGGAUAUACAGUGAGAUGUUGGCCCCAAAUUCUAUUUGUCCUUUGUUCAUAUGGAUUUUUUAUUUGUCCAAUUUGAUUACAGAGGCAUUAAUCUCUCCAUAGGACUCUCUCUGCCAAGGCUUAAUGGAUUUUCCAAGAUGAAAGUCUUAACCUAGGAGUAUCUUUAAAUGAGAGUUUAUAGCAUGGAAUUCAUGAGCUGUGCCAUGCUAUCAGAAAGACUUGAGUUCCCAUACAAAUCAUGCCACUCCUUAACAAUGUGGCUUAGACAAAUCACUUAGCCCUUUGUAAAUUUCAGUCUCCUCCUCUAUAACAUCAAGAUAACAAAGGUAUUGUGAGGUUUGUUAUGAGUAUUAAAUGAAAUAGUAGAAACUAUCUGUAGUUGAACAUAAUAAGUAGACAAUAAAUAGGGUAUUAUUAUUGUUACACUAAUCUUUACUUGUGCAGGCCAAAUAUAAAGGCAGAUUGGGAAAUUGGUGCAGAAGAAUACCAGUAAAAAGAGGUACAAAUGAUGAGAAAUACAAUGAUUCUUUUAGUAAUAAGUCAGAGUUCUGCAUAAAAUUAUUUCUUGGUUUCUUCAUUCUGUUUCUCCUUUCCUGAUCAAGUCCCAGUUCUGUCAAUAGCUGAAUUGCCUGCCGCUUUUUGGCCUUUGACCUUCAAUAAGUCAGUUUAGGAACAUUUUUAAUUUUUCAAAUUAUGUAAAUGAAUCCAGUAUUGUGUCCAGCUCUGGGAGUUUAAUUUGAAUAUGUUCUUCUCUUUGUAAUCUUUCUAAAAUGCAGUUAUGAGAAGAUUAUCUACCGCUCCAUAACCUGAGCAGACCAUGGUAUACACUAAAUUCAAAAGAUCCUCCAGCCUACUCUCCCUUCCCGGGUCCCACAUAUUCUAGCAUCCAGGCACACCAUUACACCAUGAUGGUUUUAUGUUACGUCUUCUCACAUAUUGCUUUUUGAUUAAUCUGGUAGUUCCUUAACUAUUUCAAGGAUUCUGCUUUUCUUCUAAAGCCUUACCUAAUACAACAAAAUGAAAUAAGUUGUUACUCCUUGCUUCUUAUCACCAUUGUGCCUUUAAUAGAGCCCCAUUAUUGCAUUGAUCAUAUCAUAUUGCAAUUAUCUGUUAAUUUACUUAUUUACCAAGAUCUGACCUACCUAAAGAGCCCGAGCUGUAAGGAUUAAGAAGAAUUGUUAAAUGAAAAAUGCCCACAAAUCAAUUGAUAUUCAUUUGCCAUUAAUUGCCACUCAAUAAACGUUUGAUGACUUAAUUACACAGUUGACCCUUGAACAAGAUGGGUUUGAACUGCAAGAGUCUCCUUAUAUGCAGAUUGUUUUCAUAAAUACAGUAUAGUACUGUAAAUGAACUUUCUUUCUUAUGACUUUUCUUAAGAUUUUAUUUUUUUAAAGUUAUCUCUACACCCAACGUAGGGCUUGAACCCACAACCCCAAGAUCAAAAGUAGCAUGCUCUACCAACUGAGCCAGCCAGGCGCCUCCCUUACGAUAUGCAUAGUAACAUUUUCUUUUUUCUGGCUUCCUUUAUUGUAAGAAUACAGUAUAUAAUACAUAUAGCAUAUAAAAUCUGUGUUAAUGUCUUAUCAGUAAGGCUUCCAGCCAACAGUAAGCUAUUAGUAGUUAGGUUUUCAGAGAGUCAAGAGCUAUAUGCAGAUUUCGACCAGAAAGAGAGUCAGUGCCCCUAACACCUGCAUUGUUGAAGGGUCAACUGUAUAUCCUCAAAUGCUUUGAAAGCUCCUUAGUAUUACCAACAUCACAGAUUCCAUAGUAUAAUCUCAGAUUAGUUGCUUAAUAACUAUCUAUUAAACGUUUGGAGUGACUUGAAUUUUUUUAAAGGAUUUUCUAUUUUAAAGUUAAUUUUUCCAGAAGCAUAGGUCUUUAUUUGUGGAGUCAAGGAUGUCUAAUGGAGUGCCCUUCAGCCAUCCUUCUUAAGACCAAAUAAUAAUAGCUAACAGAGAUUGAACAUUUAUCAUGUUCCAAGUACUUUGUCAAGGUUUAUAUUAUUUGUUACAACAAACCUGCAAUGUAGCUACCAUUUUCAUUCUCAUUGAAUAGUAAAGGUAUAGAGAUUUUAACUUGCUCAAUAUCACACCAUUAGUAAUUCAUAGAGCUGAGAUUUAAGCUUGGAAAAUCUGUCGAUGAAGACUGUACUCUUAAUCACUAUGUUAUAUUGCCACUUAAGGCAAGCCAGGCUCUAGUAACCUGAAUGAGAACUCUCAACAGUCACAUUAAUACCACACCUUUUCUUCUCCAACACAACCAAGAAAGCCCCUCCUUGUGUUUUAUACAUUAUCUCCCACAUUCUUAAAAAUGUUUAUCCUAGAAAGGAGACUUCCAGAAUCUAAGCAAUAUGUUUUGCAUAUGCAAAUUGUCAGAUAUUCUAUCCAGCAUUCUUUAAAUUAUUUGCUUCAGUGUUUGUUGCUGUCUUUAAAAAUUAGCACAGAAAUGAUGUUUAUAUUCAUUGCCACCAGCUAAAAGCGUUGGAGUCCUACAGUGCAGCUUGAGGGAUUUUGUAGGUUUUCUUUUUUCCAUUAAUAUUUAAGCUUAAGCUAAGGCAGACAAAACUGAAUAUAUAACAAAUAACCAUCAAGGUUACUCUUUAUGGGUCAAACAUAAUGACAGUUUCAAUUAUUAAAAUUCGCAGCAUCUGAAGGCAAUAAUUUUUACUGUGAAUACUUUGCAAGUUCUUUCUCAAACUUGUUGGUUUUUCAGUUUUAGUGAGACAAACUUGGGAUAGUAUUCAGCAAUUGGCUAAACUUGGAUUUUACCUUUUUGCCUUCUUAAAACAUUUCACAUGUCCUACAUCAAUAGCAAAUAAGCUGCGGGUUGAUAUCUACUCAUUUGUGUAUCAAAAUGAAUUAGAAGCAACAAGUCCUGAGAUUCAAGGAGUGUGGUCAGGGGUCUCUUCUCUGUGGAGGAAACACCAUGGACCCUUGGGACCACUUGAACUUAAUUUAUGUUGAACUAAAAUGAUACCUAUUCAUGAUGUGUCCCAAAUACAUCGGCAUCCUUUGAGUAACCCAGAGUGAAUGGUCCCAUCUAUGAAAUCUGCUGGAAUUCCCAAAUAUGUGACAUAGACUCUACCUUCUCUUUAUCCACAUCCAGCCACAUUUCUUUUUUACCUUCACCUUCUUGGUUUUUUCUUGUUUCUAACAACUCUGACAGCUCUCUGUCACUCUCUGAUUUGAGACAAACAUGUCUUCUCUCCUGAAGGCAAAGACAGGUUACCAUUGUCUCCAGGAGACCACCCCCCCCCAUAAGCCUCAGUGAAUCCUAUUUCUAGUAAAACCAUGAGUCUGAAUUCUGAACACUGAGGCCCUUUCUCAAACUCUCUCAAUCUCAGACCCUUUAUUUCUUCAUUUGGAGCUUUAUCCCUCGAUGCCUUAUCCCAUAGCCAAUCUCCCUGCAUGCGUCUUCAGCCCGCCAGAAUAAUGACAGAUUUUAAGGAUGGAAAAGAUUGACAUCUAGAUCAAUAGCUAAGAUGCAGGGUCACCGAAACAUGGGAUUUUCCCUUAUUGUAAUCACAUGUCAUGUGCUGAGGUUCUCGAAGGAACUAUACAGAGAAGAAAAGGCUAGAAAACCUAGCACUUGGGCUAGGACUUGAAGCAGUCCUCUGGUGAGCCAUGGUGGUUAUGGGGAAUAUUUCCUCUACCUGAGUCAGAAACAGGUCUAAGAUCUGGAGCAUAGUAGACAAGAGCUGAGUUUUCUUCUUUGGCUUUUAGCUCACAUUCAAAUUUCAUAAAUUACCUCAGCUAUGGUGUGUAGAGGGCUAAGUGCAUGGAAGAAGCAAAGGCAAGAGCAGGAGAAUCAAUAGAAAGGAGGAUGACUCUGGCCUGUGCUGAGAUUUCUAGGCAUUUCAAAAGGUACAAUAAACUCUCUUUUCUCAGGAAAAAUAUCCUGAGAGAAUAAGUGGUAACUGUAUCUCUCUUUCAAGUUAUUAUCAGUUAAUUUUCACAACAAAACCGUAACAUGGCUGCCAUUAUUAUUUUCAUUGAAAAGUUGAGGCACGUGUAUUUUAGCCUGUCUUACAAUGAAAGAGAGAGAGAGAGAGACAGAAAGAGAGAUAUUCUUCUUACAUUGUUGGGGGGUGGGGUGUAGACAUAAUAGAGACAGCAACACCAUUAAUGUCAAACUCCCAAACCUCGUAAGUUUAUUCAGUCUGGUUUGGUGGGUCUAAUCUGCAUGCUGUAUUUGGGGAGUUAGUGAGAAGUACAGAGGGCCAAAGAAAUGCUUUUGAAGUUGUACUCCUAGGUCAGACAGGUCACCCCUGGUGGACUAAGCAGGAGGAAGUGAAGUGGGUACUCACCCUCUGCAUUCAGGAUGUAGAGAAACCAUGUAGCAAGAACAUAUUAGUUAGGACAUCAGUGAGUGAUCCCACCACCACUAAUGCAACUUGAUGGUUUCUUGGGCUUUUUAUUUCAGUUUGCAAUGGCUCCACCUGGGGCUGCAUAGUGUUUCAAUUUAUCUACAUUUCUCUUAGUUUCUGGGUAGAAAUACUAGAAGCAUGUCUGGUAGGUGGACUUCAUCAAAUGUCAGAAUAUGAGAUAGAUGGAAGCUCACAUUCAAGAGGAGAAAAGAAACAUCCAGGUUCUCAGGUCUCUGCAGAUUGAGCAAGCGCUGACACUGGUGCUCAUAGUCCCAGCUUGAGCUUCAGUAAGAAUGCCUUUUGUUCAGUAUACUCUAAAUGGUAGGGGAACAUGACGGCUUUGGGACUUGUAUCAAUCUUAAGAGCUUUGUGUUACCUAAUCUUUACCAAUUCCAUUUUUCACAAACCUGAGAACAACAAAAAAUGAGGGUGAUGAAGUUCUGUGUAUCUGUCUGUCUGUCUCCCUACUUAUUUACUUAGAAAAAGCAAAUGCUAAAUAACCUCCUGUGUGCGGGGUAUUUACUGCUUUAGGGCACAAUCUGUUGCAGAACAGUUAAAACUGUUGCUAAGGCAUCUAUUGUCGUAAUAUAUGCCUCGGCAGCCCUGUGUUCUGUCUUGCUCCGCAUCUGUGAGCACAGUGAUUUAUUGGUAAUACUAAUCUUCUUUGAAAGUCCUAGUGCUGCUAAGUCAAACAUAUUUGAAGAGGGGAAAAACAGUUUCAUUUUCUGUUGUUUGUUUCUGUGGAAUUUCUUAUGGCUGCUUGAGAAAACAUUUCAUUUUGAAAGAGGACAUGUACUUGUGUAGCUGAGUAAGAAAUGAGGAGUGGCAUCUUCUUUAGGAUUCUAUUCGUAUGAAAUUUGCCCCGGUGCUUUCAUCUUCUUAGGACACCGUAUUCCAGAGAAUCGCACGGUUAUUAUCACCAUUGUCGUCAUCAUCAUUGCGGAUGAGCCUUACUGCACAGUCAUUACGUGCAGUCUUUAAGAAAAAAGAAAUAAGUUUGAAAACAGAGACCCUAUAUGAAAACACAACCUGACUCUUCCCUUCAAAGAGGGAAGUUCUAAGAAGAGAAUUCCCACCCUCAUUUUACCUUCUUUUUUCUGUCCUCUGGUAGAGUAUUAGUAAAACUAGGAGAGCUCAGUACUGAUUGGACUUCAGUGACCAGUGGAUUGGGUAGGUCAUUGCAUCGAAACUCAGAUAUUGCAAUAGUUAGUUGGGGGGAGGGUUAGGGUCUUGGAGACAGCUACUCAGCUUAGGGUACUUGGGGUUUGCACACUCAGCUGUAACCUAGAUUGAUCUCAAGGUGAAAAUUGGAGUGUGGGCAACAGCCAGCAGGAAACUUGACUUUUGUUUGAGACAUACAUUGUAUCCUUCAUCCCGAGAAACACAUAAACACCUCCCCCCCCCCACCCACACACAACCAAGAGCAUUUUACUUUUAUUUUCAUUUGCCCUCUUGUCGUAAUGCUGCCUUCACCUCCCUAUUCACACUAAGGUAAAAGUGAGUGAUAACAGCUCCCAAAGGUAAUUGCUCUUAGUUAGAUAUAAACUGUCAAAUAAAUGCAGUUCUGAAUUGAGGACAUUACUCAUCCAGUGGGAAGAUGGUUUGGUUUGUGUGAAGAAAGUCACCAAAGAUAAGGCAGGGACUUCUGACACUAGUUUGGAAAGGGACUAUAAUUAGCAACAUUGUGAAUUCUGAAGGCAGAUUGACCUGAAGUUAUAUUCAGCCUCAUCACUUACUUCAGUGCUAACAUUGGGCAAAUUUGUCAGUCUUUCUAAGAGCCAGUUUCCAUUAAAGUAGAGACAAUAAUAGUUAAUACAUUCUCAGGAGUAUAGUACAUAUUAGAUGACAUAAUGCAUGUAAAAUGCAAGUCACUGUCUGGCCACAAGCUAGUAUUUGUUGUUAUUUAUAUGAAAUAGAUGAUAGCAUGCCUUUGUGUAAAGUUAGUAAUGAAUGAUUCCAUUAUCUGAAACUGCAGACUCCGUUGAUUUGAAUUCUUCUCACUAAGAUGAAAUAUUUCUUUCUUUUUCUUCUGGUUAGGCUUAGAUAUGGAACAAUGAACACAAAAGGAAACCUUAAAAAUAAAUGCAUACAAAAACUAAUAUGAGAGAUUAUCUACCCAAUAAGCUAGUUGAGUGUAUACUUAAAGUAGCAAUGACCACAAAUGUACAGUAAUUGCAUCCCAUUUUUAUUAAAUGAGGGAUCACAUCAAUCUUGUCAAAAUUCAAGAAACAAACAGAAAAAGUGAAUAUAGGUGGAUUUUAAUAAUCUGAUUUUUAAAAUCCAAGACUAUAAACCAAAUAGUCAUAUACCAGAGAUAGAAGUUUUGAUUCAACUCAACCAAUUUUUUCAAAAUAUUGAGCCACUGAAACAUUUUACAAACUCUGUAGACUUUAUAAUACUCUGGAACUAUGGCUUUACUAAUUUUUUAACUGACUGAACAAGCCCGACUGCUUACAGCCUAAGUUUCUUCAUCUACCACAUGCAUAAGAUUGAUUUUAGUAUUGAAAGAGCAUAUUCAUAAAUUGCUAGAUACAGGAACAUAAUCAGUACUUGGUGGUAUUGUGAUUGUUACUGGGUACUUACUAGGUUCAAGGCCUCGUUUCUUCAAAGAACCCAUAGUUGGCAACAACCCGUUUUAGCAACACUUUCCUCCUGUAAAGCACCUCUUUAAUUUUGUUUACUGUUAAGAUAGAAUAGAGUCAAUGAAAGUCUGAGUGUGUUUUUACUCACCCAGGAAACAACCAACAAACCAAAGCAAGCAGCAUCCUCUGCAGUACCUUAUACAAUAGGUACAGACUUUGCCUAUUUUGUCUCAACAUUUGAAGGGCAAGGAGUUAAUUCUCUACAACCUGGAAAGGCUUCAUUUGCAGGCUCUGUACCUCUGGAUGAAUAAUGAAUGUUAAUUAACGAUGACAAUGACAAUGGCAUCAUUCCAUGUUUUACUUUUUUGCACUUUAUCCAUCUCUAAGCCUUUUCCUCCUGAUGUGGGCUCCCUAUUAUUUUAUUCAUUAUUUUAUUCCUGGAAACUUAUGCUUUGUUAAAAUACAGCAGAUAUCUUCUUGUGUGUUACCAUAGCAAAUUGCAUAAGAAUUUACACCAUAAAUUAUUCAUUACAGCCAAUUUAGUAUAAUUAUUAAUUCCAGCAUACAUUGGUGCCUGAUUACAUCUCAGUGCUCAUUGCUGGAUCUUGACCAUGUUCUGCUGAAAAUAAUGAUCUGUCAUGGCUAAUCAGGAUCUAAAAAGCCCCACUAAAAGGCGAAAAUGUUUAAUUAAUAUCGGUUUAAUAAAACAAUGAUUGAUCCAAUUGUUACAAUCUGUCAGAGAUGCUUCCGAAGGUAAUCCAAAAUCUAACUGGUAAUGAAUUUAAGAGUUAGCAGUGGUGUACAAGCAAUCAACGUGCCUUCCAAUUCAAGGGCAAAUUGGGAUGUACUCUUCCCUUGGUAUCUUUCUGCAAAAGUAAAUCAGCUCUCCUUUCACUGGGAAGCUUUGCUCCCAACAUCAGUUCUGGUAUUUCAAGCUUUCAUGCCUUCUGCUCCCAAUGAGCCCUUUCCUUGCAUUAAAGAUGCAUCCUGUAUUGUACGUGAAUGUUCCAAGCUGCACUGCCUCCCACGCAGAUCUCAUUUUAACUCUAAGUUGAACUGAGCAAAGUUUGCAGUUGUAUUUCCCACUGGGAUUAACUUUAGUGUGGAAUAUGACUAGGAAUUCAGUUCCAAAGCCCUUUGGCUGCAAAACCAUGUAGUCUAAAUAUCCAUGGAGCAUCACUGAAUAGAUAUGACCCAAUUUUGAUUUGAAUUUUGUUGGGGGAAGAGCUCUUGAAAUGUAGAGCAGAAAUCAGUCCUAUGUGCAAUAAGAUGGAUUUUAUUAUGCAAACUUAUUGGAUAUAUUUUUAACAGUUUAUCUUUGUUUUUCUAUUGAGUGCCCUCAGGAUUAAGAGUGAGAGAUAAUACUUAUUUAAAAAUCUACAGGAUAAAUUUAAUGGCUUAUUUUUUUAAUCAUAGAGGAGAAAAUAAACUAUGAUAACAUCUCUGUUACUGAGGGCCAAUAAUAUGCUAGGCACUGUGUGUGUAUUUGUGUGUAUACUCUCAGUGGCCUUUAGAAAUAGGUAAUAGAUUCACCAGUUUCAAGAAGAGAAAGUUGAAGCUGGAGGUUCUCAUCUAGUAAAUGGAUGAGUAGGGGCAGAAACUCAGGUCUGCCUGAUCUCCUACCACUUACGGUAGCACAGUUUAUUAGAGUACAGCUCUAGACCAGGGACAUAAAGCAAGGGCUGUCUGAAUAGCUAAACUGAUUGGCUUUUUAUUCUUUCCUUGUUAGACCGAGGGUGCAUUUCAAUGCUUCAUUUUUGAAACACAUACGUGGACGAGAUGAAUGAGGGGAAAGAGGCAGAACUUAGAUACUUGCUACCAAUUCAAUAUCAGAUUUUGAUUAACUUGGCUGUGUAUUUGUCUCUGUUUCAAGGGACAUACACUUGUAGAUAUCAGACCCAUGUACUAUAGAGAUAAGUCAUAUUACAAAACUCUACAUCCAUCACAUUUCAAUUCUCAGACCUCUCCUACCAAUGCCCUGUGUGUUUUCCCAAAAAAACGUUCAGAAGUCACUUCUAAAGCAACUUUUUUUGUGUGAAUUUUGUUUUAAGUACCUUCCCAGAGCUUGUUAGGACUGGGACUUUCAGAAACUUGUCAGUUGUUUGCCUUGAAGGCUCAGGGGCAGUGGAUACCUCAAUAACACUUUGAGGGGCCACCUUAGAAAAACACAGACAGACAGAUGCUAUCAUCUUUGCCCUGCAGUUCAGUGCACACAAACUGAAGGUGUUCUGUACCACCUGAGAAUUCACUAAUGUCUUCAGGGCUAACCCCACGUGUUGCACAUUCAGCUCACCCUGGAGUUCUUCAACACCGCAAAUAUAACUUACAUGUAAGAGGAGAGGUUAUGGCUGUGUUUAUAUAUAACCAUUCUGUUUGCUUCUGGGAUUUCAUUAUACUUAGUGGCAUAUCAUGCAAGUUUAGAGUCUUUCCUGGAACUGCUCAGUAUAGUCCUUUAGCAUUGCUAAAGCUUGCUAUACUUUUCUCUUAUUUUCACAAGUUUAUUGGGUCGCUAAAAAGCUGAGAGAAAAACUCUCAGGAGAAAGAACGUGAAAGAUAGCUAGUGAGGGAACAAAGAAUAGAAGAACCAGGCAGAAUAAGGAAAGAGGAGCCAUAAGAGUAGAUAGUCAAAACUGCAAAAAGAAUUCUAGCUGCACUAAUCUGUCUUUUUAUAAACAUAAUUUGUAUCAAUAUUUUUCAUCAAAGAGCCAAGUAAACUGCUUGAUUAUUCACUAAUGAAUCAAUAGCAUAAUUCUUAUUCUUACCCUCUAGGAGCAGAUAAUCAGAUAAUACAAAAUAAUUAUUAUCUCUCGCUUAAUUUAACUUCAGUUUAUUGGAUGCCAGAAGAAAGUUUUAGGAAAUGCCCACUUGCAAGUUUUAUACCUAUAGCUGGAUAAAAGAAGGGAAGUUAUUUAUUGGAUUUAUUCCUAAUCUAGGUAUAUUUACGUUUUCAUGAAAGUCCAUUGAACAAUGUAAAACAGGAACAUGAUUUAAGAUUACCUAAUAUAACAUGACUGUCAUAUUUCUAUACCUUGAAAGUGCUAUUCAUCUUUUGGAAGAUAACUUUAGGAAAUAUAGGAAAUGGUUCACACCUUCCCUUCCAAAUGGGAACUUUAUCCAACCUUUUUAAAAAAAAAAAAUUUUUUUAAUGUUUAUUUAUCUUUGAGAGGGAGAGACAGAGACAGAGCAUGAGUAGAGGAGGGGCAGAGAGAGAGGGAGACACAAAUUCCAAAGCAGGCUCCAGGCUCCAGAGCCUGACACAGGGCUCAAACCCACAAACCACGAAAUCAUGACCAGAGCUGAAGUAGGAUGCUUAACCGACUAAGCCACCCAGGCGCUCCUUCCAACCUUAUCUUUACGGUCAUCAGAAAAGGAGAUGUAAGUGUUAGGUGUGUAUGUGAAAUACUUUGGUAAAAUAUUGAUGUGCUUUUCUCUUUUGCAUUGUUGCACAUAGCAUAUUUAUAGUCAGGUCAAGACAGCCCUCUAUUUCAGAAAUAAGAUUUGGGGUAUUAUAACAGAAAUGGAAAGAGAAAAGUUUUAAGUUUUUAUUUUUUUAUUUUUUAGAGACAGGGAACACUAGCAGGGGAGAGGGGUAGAGGGAGAGAAAGAGAGAAUCUUAAGCAGGCACCACACUUAGCAUGGAGCCCAAUGUGGGGCUCAUCCUGGGGCUAGAUCCCACAACCUUGGGAUUAUGACCUGAGAUGAAAUCAAAAGUCAAUCACUUAAUCAACUGAGCCACCCAGGUGCCCCUGAAAAGAGAAAUAUUUAAUUUUCAUUUUCUGACAUUCAAUGUACAAUUUGCUGUACUAUCUUCUUCAACACAUUAAAAGCCAACUUGAAUUCUAGACAGCAAAUUUUUUCACAUAUUACCUGAGGUAGAAUUUAGGAAAAAAGAGAAAGAGAAAAUAAUUGAAAGAAGUUCAACCCUUGCACACAGAGGGUGGAGGGAUUAAGAGAAGAGGCUGAGGAAGACGUUAGAUGGUCAAAUGUGUAGCAGAUUCAGACCAGGAGUGACAUGUGCUAUGGACAUGAGAAGCUGUAGCCUUCCCCCACUUUGGAGCUCUGAAGGAAGGUAACUGUUCAGAGUUGUACAGCAUCAACAAUGGACAGUCCACCUUAGUUAAGAAGUUGGAAUUGCCUUGCUAUGGAGAGUUCAAGUUUAAAAUUCCAAGAUUUCUGCUAAUUCUCAUGUGGGUAAGGAGUGUUUGCCAUGGGGAAAGCUGUGGUGAAAGGGAGAUAAUGCCAAAGCAGAGGCUGAGGUAGGCUAUUUUAGGACAGAAGACAAGAUGGCCUACAAGGCGGGAAUCUUCAGCAGUGGAAAAUGGAGAGCCCAGUGAGAGACAAGACUGUACAUACUAUUAUCUAUCAAUAAUGGCAGCCCACUCUGGAAGAUGCCCAGAGAUCAGACCAGUUAUCCCUCAAAGGUCACCAGGUUUUAUACAUGAGGUAACCACCUCCUUUCCCCCAAUGCCAUGAGGUCAUACAAUUUAUUCUUCCUAUACAGAGACCUCAUGGUGGAGAAGGACCAGGGAACAUCAUGGUGGAAAUAGGACACUGAAGAUGAAAAAAAAUCUCAGAAGUCUGAAUGAUGUCUAAAUAUCUUUAUUUAAUCAUAAAUUAGUUAAUAAUCAUAAAUUGUAUGAGACUUUUGAAAACUAGGGUAUGAUAAAAUAUCAGUAAAAGCAACAUACACACAAAUUCCAAAAUUUCUAGCAAAUCUAAUUGUUGGGAAAUUUGUAACCCUGUUGGAAAAAAAGAGAAAGAUUUAGGUCAUAGCAGUGAUACAUAUCUUAAUGUGAGUGAUUCUAUCAGAUCUUUUUCUUUUUCUUUUUUUUUUUUUAAGUUGAUAUAUUCGUUUUGAGAGAGAGAGAGCACGAGCAUGGGAGAGAGAGGGAGAGGGAGAGAGAGAGAAUCCCAAGCAGGUUCCAUGCUGUCAGCACAGAGCCCGACAGAGGGCUCGAUCUCACAAAGUGUGAGAUCAUGACCUGAGCCCAAAGCAAGAGUCUGAAGCUUAACCAAUUGAGCCACUCUGGCGCCCCCUAUCGGAUCUUUUUCUAAAAGUACAUUGAAUGGGUUGAGGGGUAAAAAUUGGUAUGGGGGAAAGAACAAAAGGCCACUGACCAAAUUAAUCAAGACUUUACUGUUCUCUUUUACCCCCUUGAGGAUGCUUUAUCAGUACUCCAAGUUUUUAUUAUGAUUAAUGCUCUAUUAGUAAGGUGAUAGAAAUAUUGAUAAUUAUUACUGAUAAUUUAUAAUCACAGUUAAUAAAGGAGAUAUUUUACUAGCAAAGCCUAACAUCCCAUCUUAAUAGGGAUUAGGCAAAAAGCUUCUGACAAUCACAUCUGUGCUUUUUACCAAUCAGGGAAAUGAGAGGAACAAAGGCUCAAACUGCUGAGAAGUAAUGACCUUAAAAAUAUUGAACCAACCAGACGGACACAAGCUGUAAACCAGCAGUAUGGACAUACAGGUGCACAGUAGCAAAUGCAGCUCUUUUUAUCAGGCUUCUGUCUGGUAACUCAAGGUACAUUUGUUUCCUAAAAAAACAAAUCAGGAAAAAGGCAGUAAAAAUAGUGAGUGCGUCUAGGUAGGGAAUUCAUGAGACGUUAAAGCUGCCCAAAUAUUGAUUGCUAUCACAUUAGCAACACAAUUAAAGUAGUUUAAAAUGGGCAUUGUUUUCAUAAUUGUGGGCUUUUAAAAAUUUAAAAUACACGAAGAAAAGGUUAUCUAUAGUUCCGUCUUCCAAAGAUGAUGACCAACUCUUAACAUUUGUAUCUUGCAUUUUUUUUUCCUUAACAGGUAUUUUGUAUACUUCCUUUACUUUUCUAUUUGAGGCAUUAUUGUUUAUGAUUAAACAUUAAAAAAAAAAACCAAACUAUGUAGGUAGAUCACUGUUGUUUGUUUUAAAAACACAUGAAGCUGGGUAUGCCUGGGUGGCUCAGUUGGUUGGACGUCCGACUUUGGCUCUGGUCGUGAUCUCGUGGUUUGUGGGUUCUAGCUCUGUGUCAGGCUCUGUGCUGACAGCUCAGAGCCUGGAGCCUGCUUCGGAUUGUGUCUCUCAAUCUUUCCGUUCUUCCCCUGCUUGUGCUCUGUCCCUCUCUCUGCCAAAAAUAAAUAAACAUUAAAAAACUUUGAAAAAAAAAGAUUUAUUUUUUUUUCAAUAUAUGAAAUUUAUUUUCAAAUUGGUUUCCAUACAACACCCAGUGCUCAUCCCAAAAGGUGCCCUCCUCAAUACCCAUCACCCACCCUCCCUUCCCUCCCACCCCCCAUCAACCCUCAGUUUGUUCUCAGUUUUUAAGAGUCUCUUAUGCUUUGGCUCUCUCCCACUCUAACCUCUUUUUUUUUUUUNNNNNNNNNNNNNNNNNNNNNNNNNNNNNNNNNNNNNNNNNNNNNNNNNNNNNNNNNNNNNNNNNNNNNNNNNNNNNNNNNNNNNNNNNNNNNNNNNNNNNNNNNNNNNNNNNNNNNNNNNNNNNNNNNNNNNNNNNNNNNNNNNNNNNNNNNNNNNNNNNNNNNNNNNNNNNNNNNNNNNNNNNNNNNNNNNNNNNNNNNNNNNNNNNNNNNNNNNNNNNNNNNNNNNNNNNNNNNNNNNNNNNNNNNNNNNNNNNNNNNNNNNNNNNNNNNNNNNNNNNNNNNNNNNNNNNNNNNNNNNNNNNNNNNNNNNNNNNNNNNNNNNNNNNNNNNNNNNNNNNNNNNNNNNNNNNNNNNNNNNNNNNNNNNNNNNNNNNNNNNNNNNNNNNNNNNNNNNNNNNNNNNNNNNNNNNNNNNNNNNNNNNNNNNNNNNNNNNNNNNNNNNNNNNNNNNNNNNNNNNNNNNNNNNNNNNNNNNNNNNNNNNNNNNNNNNNNNNNNNNNNNNNNNNNNNNNNNNNNNNNNNNNNNNNNNNNAAAAAAAAAAGAUUUAAAAACACCUGAAACUGAAGUAUCAUUCUGCCUUACUGUGACCAGAUAGGCACUUUGAAAAAUUAUUGUCACCAAAAUGUUUUUGUGAAUUAAGUAAGGGGCGCUUUCCCUUGUGUGCAUCUGUGUAUUUGUAGUGUGUGUAUGUGAAGAGAUUGGGCAUAUUGGCACCUAGAAGCUUGAAGAAGUGGCUCUGAAGAGGUGAUACUCAGACCUUUAAGGAGGGUGUGCUACCCCCUGCUGAGGGCACAGGAAGCCUUUUUCCGGAGAGCUGGAAGGAGCUGGAAGCUGGAAAGCACUGUCACUGCUGGAGUAGAGCCCUGUUGCUGAGGCAAUGCUGGCAGUAAUAGCAACCAAAACAGAAAUGGAGAGUCUCCUCUUCCUCCGCCAGCCUUGCAAUCUCCAUGAGAAGACCUUAACAGAAAGCCAGCUGGCAAAACCCAAGUGUAGUUUACAAAAUCCCAGCCCUAGCAUCAUGCAGGAGAGUGCAAAAAAGAAAAGUUUGGAGCCGAAGGAUAAAGGAAUUUAUGUAUAUGUAUACACACACACACGCACGCACACACACACACCACAUAUAUACUUAUGCCCUGCAGAGGCUCACUUGACCUGGCACAUGAGUCAGAGAACUGUACCAUUUAUGAACACCUGAAUCGUUUAUAGAGAGACCACAUCUGCCUCAUCUUGGAAAAGAAACAUCUAUACUUGCAGCUCCCUCUCUAGGGCUGAGAUGAGUUUGGCAUCUCAUUACUAUACCUCUUUUUAAGUUUUCUAACUUUUGCUCUCAAGCUUCCCUAAGGUUUUGGACUCGCAUUUAGAUAAGUAUAUAUUACACCCAUGUCUAUUCCACAUACCUCUGCUAGGAGCUAAGAACCCGACUAAUAGGUUUUCUAUGUCUUUUCCAAAAUAUUUGGUGUACAUCUCAUUUUAGAAUAUUAUUUAUGAGUAAAACAUGUUCUUAAUAACUCUUCACCCCAAAAGACCAUCAUAUUAUUUUCUUUCAGCAUUUUUAAAGAAGUUACUUAAUGACCCUCUAGAUUUCCUUGUUUUUGUUGAGAAGACACCUGCUAGUCUUGCUGUUCCUUUGAAGAUAAUGUGUCUUUACUCUGGAUGCUUUUAAGAUGUUACUUAGUUUUCAAUCGUUUGUGAUAUAUUUAGGUUUGGUUUUCUUUGAGUUUUGGAAUUUGUAGAUCUUCCUGGACCUGGAAAUUGAUUUUUUUAUCAGUAUUGUAAAAUACUUAACCAUUACUUUUUAAAUAUUGUUUUUUUCUCUUUUCUUCCCAUUACACUCUUUAAGCACAUGUUAUACUAUUUGUAUGUGUCCUACAGGUCUAAUAUAUUCUGUUCUGUUUUAGUACAAGUGUUUUCUAUGGAUCAUUCUUUUAGUUUGCUAAUUCUGUUGCAAACAAUCUUCCGUUCUGGAUUUUCAUUCAGGUCAGAUAUUCUAUUUUUUUUUAUUCUAACAGGUCCAUUUGAUUUUUUAUAGGUUAUAAUUCUAACUGAAAUUUUAUAACUUUAGUCUGAUUUUGCCCAUCAUUUUUCCUAUUUUCAUGAACAAAUUAAUCAUAUUUUAAAAGUUCUUUGCUAAUUGCAAUAACUAUAUCUGUUUUAUUAUGUAUUAUUGUCUUGGUUAUCUGCCACAUAGUCCUGUAUGCCUCGAGGUUUUAUUGCACCUUUAUUGUGUUAAAAAAGUUCCAGAUAACGUUAUCGUCCAUCAGAGAGGAUUUUCCCUUUCUUUUACCAGGCAGUUAGAAUGGGAAUCUCAUUACUUUUAUCCAACUAUGGGCUGCCUGGGUUAAGGCUUGAGAAUUGUACGUUAGUGAGAUGUGGCUAAUUGUUCAUUCUUGUUCCUAGGAUGUAGUUGUCAAGGGCUCUCAACAGAGAUUUUCUGGGAAUUUCUUCCUGCUGUUAAGAGACUUUUAUUUCAGUUUUUUAGUAUUAUACCAUGCACAGGUUUACAGUUUGGCGGAUAUCUUACAGGGUGGGCCACCUUGAUGAUCAAGGCUCUUCAAGUGUACAAUUUUGUCAUUCCAGAUCUGUGCAAUGCUUAAAAAUACAGCUAGAAGCUGAACAUCCCUCUUCCUGGGGACAAGAAUGGAUUCUCGGCCUCUAAUUGUGCUCAGAUUGUCAAAUAUUCCCAGGUGGAAAGUCUCGAAGGUAGCCCUGUAACAGCAGGAACACAUUCUACUUGCCCAGGGGCAAAGCAAAAAUGCUCUUUUUAACUUCACACUACCUUCCAAGAUUUGGAUUUUUAAUAACAUUUUGGCUUGUUAUUGUUUUGAUUUCUGAGAAAGAAAGAAGAAGCAAGCGGAGUGCUGUUGCAGACUGUUUUCUUGUCUCCCAUAUUACCAGAGUCUGAGAAGUCUAAACCUGCAGGUGGGGAGAUUAGGCCUCACAGCAUCCUUAUUAUGAUCUUUUCUUAUGCAAAUGGCAUACUAGUAGUCCAGAAAAUUGAUGAUUCUGGAGCUGUUGGCUAUAUUUCUUUGCAGGGCAGCGUUUUGGGCCAAGCAAAUAAAUAUUUAGGUAUAGUAGCAGGGAAGCUUCUCACAACACCUAUGCUAUUAAAAAGGGAACAUAUAUGAUAAAAUAUAGCAGACAUUGAGGAAAGACCCAGAUGUCCAAUCAGGUAUUACCACACCUAAUAAUGUAGCGUAAACAUAUUAUAAGAUGUUAUAUAUUUUUGUGAACAAGCUAAAUGUACCUUGUUCAAGUUUUCCUUACCAGUCCUAUAGCAUGGCUCACAUAAAGUAACUUUGCACUUUUGGGUCAUGCAAACUUUGUAAAUGCACAUUCGUCAUUUUUAUAUUUUAUAUCAGCUUUGGUAAUCUUCUGCUUAUUGCUGGUCCUCUUGAGAGGGAGUAAAAAUCAUUAAACUUCCUGGCUCCUGAGGAAGAUUUUUCUGGGCUCCAACUAAACAAGGGUCUUUGCUUGGGAGAAGGUUCAUGUGUUCCCUACUAUAAAUUCAGUUUUGUCCAUGAUGACUAUACAUGUGUACACACACACACACACACACACACACACACACCCCGAAGGUAACCAUGAAUUUUCUGAUUAUAACACAGAUAUGUAGAUAUACUUUCACCCUCUGGAAGAUUGUAGCCUAUUAGGGAUAGUAAAUGAGAUUAUGAAAUCUGAUGACAUUCUUUUAGGACCUAUGCUAAGUAACCAAAGCAAUGGGGAAGGCAAAACCUCAUUAGGGGCAGAAAUGACUCAUGAUCAGGCUAAAAUAACCCUGGCUUAAGAAUCCAGGGAUCUGAUUUUUAAGACUUUUUUUUUUUUUUUUUUUUUUUUACCACAGUGAGCUUCAGCAAGUCAAUUAAAAUACAGUUGGUUCUCAGUUAUAGCAUGAAAAGACUGAAUGAGAUAAUUUCCUUAAUAAUCAUUUGCUAACCAUAAAUUGAAUAUCUAUCCUACAUUAGGCAUUUUAUUAGGUUCAAAUCAUCUUAAUUUCUUCUGGCUCUAAAAGUUGAAGGGACUAUGGAUUCAAAGGAAAGAGUAAUAUUUGUGGGCUUAGAUCUAUAAACUGAGGAAUGCUUCUGAGAGCCAGAGGAAAAGGGAAACCAGCUGGGCCUUGAAUGAUGGGUGUGGCAUACAAUAGGAGAUGAGCUGUGAGUCUAGAAGCUACCUCCCAUGCACAGUCUAGGAAAAACUCUUCUUAAGGAGGACUGGAGAACAGAUUUUUGACAAAGCUUUGAUGGCUCACACAGCCUGUGCCAAUAGGCAUCUGCAAAGGGGUGUGUUCUUGUGUGACCCCUGUGUGCUUGUCCUUUGCAAGUCAGCCAUACAACAAAGUAACACUGUGCCCUUCACUAUUACUUUUAAGAGGUAUAAAUCCAAACAUUAUAUAUAUUAUAUAUAUAAUUAUAAUAUAAUAUAUAGUAUAUAAAUGUAUGCCAUAUAUAUAACAUAUUUUAUAUAUAAUGUGUAUAUUCAUAUAUACAUAUAUUUAUUAGCAACAAGGUAUUUGAGCGCUUGAAUCUUCCAAACUGUAUAGGGAUGCCAGUGAUCAAGUUCUGGCAACUUUGUUUCAUUUGUGGACUUUGGUAUUGGCAUGUAUACACAGCAUCAGGCUUUUACUGGAGAUGUUUGUGCAAACUUGGGUAAAGUCUAAACAUUUUUUUUUUAAACAUUUAUUUACUAUUGGGAGACAGAGAGAUACAGAGCAUGAGCAGGGAUGGGGCAGAGGGGGGGGGGGGGACACAGAACCNNNNNNNNNNNNNNNNNNNNNNNNNNNNNNNNNNNNNNNNNNNNNNNNNNNNNNNNNNNNNNNNNNNNNNNNNNNNNNNNNNNNNNNNNNNNNNNNNNNNNNNNNNNNNNNNNNNNNNNNNNNNNNNNNNNNNNNNNNNNNNNNNGAAAGAUUGAGAGACACAAUCCGAAGCAGGCUCCAGGCUCUGAGCUGUCAGCACAGAGCCUGAUGUGGGGCUCGAACUCACAAACUACGAGAUCAUGACCUGAGCUGAAGUCAGACGCUUAACCGACUAAGCCACCCAGGCGCCCCAAGUCUAAACAUUUUAAAGAAAAUGAGCAUUUGGUUACAAGAUUUUACUUUAUUUUAAUAUUUGUUAAUGUUUAUUAGGUUUGAGAGACAGAGAGAGAGACAGAGCAUGAGCAGGGGAGGGGAGAGAGAGAGGGAGACACAGAGUCCAAAGCAGCCUCCAGGCUCUGAACUGUCAGCACAGAGCCCUACCGGGGGCUCAAACUCAUGAACCAUGAGAUCAUGACCUGAGCCAAAGUUGGAUGCUUAACCGAGUGAGCCACCCAGGUGCCCCACAAGAUUUAUGUUAAAAGACUUCUGGAGUAACUCUUCUGAAGAAAAACAGGUAUACCAUUCUUUGCUAGGCUAUCAUAUAUAUAUAUACAUACACAUACAUAUAUAUAUAUAGACUAUGCUAUCAUAUAUAUAUAUAUAUAGAGAGAGAGAGAGAGAGAGAUACCUAUCUAUAUUAUCUAGAUAUAUCUAUAUCAUCAUAGAUAUAUAUCUAUCAUAUAUAUGUAGAUACCUACCUAUGUCAUCUAACUACUUAACCAUCUUAAUCAUCUUCGUAUCUAUGUAUAAUAUCUAUAUACAUGUUUAUGUUUUGGGGUUUUUUAAUGUUUAUUUAUUUUUGACAGAGAGAUGAAGACAGAGCAUGAGCAGGGGAGGGGCAGAGAGAGAGGGAGAUACAGAACUUGAUGUGGGCUCCAGGCUCUGAGCUGUCAGCAUAGAGCCUGAUGCGGGGCUUGAACUCAUGAACUAUGAGAUCAUGACCUGAGCCAAAGUUGGUUGCUGACUGAGCCACGAAGGUGCCCCCACGUUUAUGUUUUUGGCUAUUAGUCAUAUUUGGUGAUUUUAAAAAUUAUAAGUGCAUCCUAGGAGGAUAGUACAGUGAGGAGACAGAAUGUAGGGAAAGAAGUGUAUCCUUGCUAAUAGAAGAGAUAUUUCAGUUGUUACAUUGCUACUAUUUAACAUAUAUAUAUAUAUAUAUAUAUAUAUAUAUAUAUGUAGGAUGAAGCCUGAUAUUCGAAAGAGAAAGAAAAAUAGUCAUAAUUCAAUAGCAUUUACAAUCAAGUUUCAAAUAACUGUCAAAACUUUCCUUCAAAUGCUAAUAAAUAAGUUAGUUAUUCUCUUCUCAUAUCAAGGGACUGUGCUCUAUGACACACAAUAAACGCUCUGUAAAAGAAAGUUCACAUACCUUUAGGAUAUGCCCGACUGUAAGCAAAACGGGAAGAGAAGGAAUAAGAUGAAGCAUUUGCCGAAGUUAUCAUGCACUUGAAGCUUCUUUGUGUCCUGGGCUCUGAGAAUUUUAUCAACAGAGUGAAUAAAAACAGAACCCACCAGAGCCCCUGUGAGAAUGCCUCGGGGAACUGCCUGACCUGUGGCAUUAGGGACUUGACUGAGGGAGCCCUAAGUGCAAAUCCUACAGCUCAGGUUUCUGGAGGCUGUAGAUUCUGACUGGGAAAAACAAAAUAAAGCAAAACAAAGCACCACUACCACUGCCAUCAGUACUGCCACGUUAGUCUAAAUACUUUCUGAUCUUUGAAUUAUCCAUUUGCACCUCUGCCACUCCUAGCUGCUCCUCGUCAGACUCAACUCACAGCCAACCUUAGUGAUACCCUUCCAAAACAGGUUCAUGCGGAGAAAUAUGCACACAGAAGAGUCCUGUAUCAGAGAAGUGUGGGCCAAUGAGUUUUCAUGAACAAUUUCCUCCACAUAACGGUGAGUUAGGUUGAGCAAUGUAACAUUACCAGGACCCCAGAAACCCCCCUUGGGCCCCCUUCCUAUCACUGCCUCCAAGGGUACGCCCAUUCUGAAGUGAAACACUGUAGACUAAUCUGCGUGUUUGGGGUCGGUAUAUACACAAUUUGUGCUCUUUUGAAACUGGCUUCUUUUGCUGAACAUUAUGUUGAUAUAUUCACUCAUUUUGCCGUAUUUAGUUACAGAAUUUUCAUUUUUCCUACUGUAUUCCAUUAUGUGAAUACAUAAUUCCAUCACAUAAUUCCAUUAUGUGAUGUACAAUAAGUACAUCCACAAUGUACUUAUUCUUGCAACUCUUGAUGAACGUUUAGGGAAUGUUUUUUGAAAUGGUAACUUGUAAAGGGCCACAGAGGAACCCCUCUGCCCAAAUACACCUUUGCUCAGAACCCUCCAUGCUGAAAUUCCUUAGUGAAACAUUCCCUUUGGCUCACACCUUAACUGUAAGCUCAUUAAUGGGGCUUAUUCUUUCCUCUAUGAGUUGGCUUCUAUUCCUUGUCCAGCUCUCCUCUGUCGCUCUUUCCCUUGAUCUCUGCCAAAGCUACACUUAGCAACUUCCAUCUCUUUUCCUCUGUGUGUUUCAUUCUGGAUAAUUUCUAUUGCUAAGUUUUAAAGAUCAUUGUGUUCUUUUUCCUGUAGUGUCUAAUCUGCUGUUAUUUUCAUCCAUUGAUAUUUUUUGUAAGUAUUGUAUUUUUUAUCUCUAGGCAUUCAUUUUUUAAAAAAAUAUCUUUCAUUUCUUGCCUUGUCAUGCUUACACUGUCCUCUACGUUCUGGAAUGCAUGGCAUACGUUUAUGAUAGCUCUUUUAAACUCUGUUUAAUUUUAUAAUGUAUUAAUUCUUGUGUGUUUCUAUUAAGUGGUUGUCUCCUGUUUACGAGUAAUAUUUUCCUGCUCCUUUUCAUCUGCCUGUUAAUUUCUGAUUGGUUGCCAGACAUCCGGAGUCUUAUAUUGUUGCUUGCUGGAUUAUUUCUUCAAUUCUUUUAAUAGUUUGGGUUUUGUUCUGGGAUGCAGCUAAGGUUGAUCCUAUUGAGACUUGUUUGUGAGCUUUGCUAGGAAGGAUAAGACAGCUUGGAGUCCAGGGCUCCUUUAGCCCCACUAAUGAGGCAACACCCUCCUGGAUUCUGCACAGUGUGUGUGAGGAGGGCUAACCACUCUGGCUGCUGGGGACACAAACUCUUCCUUACCCUGUAUGAACUCCAGUGAUGGUUUCAUCUGUUUCCAUCUUAUGAUUCUUUCUCCAGUCUCAGUAGUUUCCUCGUUUUUAUGUGCAGUUAAGUAAUCAGGGGACACAAUGGAGGUCUACAGAGUUUUGUCUGUGUAGUUUUCUGUUCUACAGCACUCUGCUCUGGAAUUGUAGCCACCUUGGCCUCCCAGAAUUCCAUAUUUUGCCUCUGCAACUCAGGGAGUCUGCUGUGAUCCAUUUGGCUUGCCUUAUCAGAUAUUGUGAUCUGCAAAGUCUCUCAAAGCAGUGAGGUGGGGUACUUGCAUCUUACUUGUUUUCCUUUCUCUGGGUCAGUGUCCAGUGCUGCCUACUGUCUAAUAACUAGAAAAUGUUUCAUCUAUUUUCCAGUAUUUAAUUGUUUAAAAUGGGAAGGUAAAUCCUCUUCAUUCCAUCUCGGCUAGAAGCAGAAAUUACCACCCUAACCUACUUUAAUUUGUCAGCAAAUCCUGCUUUCUGUUGCUAAGGUUGACACGUGCUCUUCCCUUUGUCUAUCUCUCUUAUCUCAUUUUCCUUAGCUCACCUAAAUCCUACUCAUUUUUAUGGUUUUUUUUUUCUUUUUUUAAGUAGGCUCCACUCCCAGUGUGGAGCCCAGUGCAGGGCUUGAGCUAACAACCCCAAAUCAAGACCUGAGCUGAGAUUAAGAGUUGGACACUUAACCAACCGAGCCAGGUGCCCCUCCUCUUUAUGGCCUUAAUGUAAUAACAGUAAUUUACACUGCUGCAUAUGUCAUAUGCCAGUUGUGUGUACUGUUUCAUUUCACUUUCUUCUAAGCAGUGGUGUGUAUUCUUGUUUUUAUCUUUGCGACAGUGAAUUUAGUGCGGCUACAAUUAUAUUCAUUUUAUAGAGAGGUAAUGAGGCUCAAAGACAUGGACUCCCUUGUUGGAGAUCACAUGACUCAUAGGUGACAGGCUUGGAUUUGAACUUGGGAGGCCUGGCUUUAAGACUUUGUUUGAACUCAUCAGGGUGCCUGGGUGGCUUAGUUGGUUAAGUGUCUGACUUUGGCUCAGGUCAUGAUCUCACAGUUUGUGAGUUCAAGCCCUGCAUCUAUCUGAUUCGGAUCCUCUGUGUCCCUCUCUCUCUCUGCAACUGCCUCAUUCAUGCUCUCUCUCUCUCAUAAAUAAAUAAACAUUUAAAAACAACAACAACAACAACAUUGAAUUCCUAACCACAACUCUGAACUUUCUUUUCUAGGUAUACUUAUUCUAAAAUAUUUUUUUAAGUUUUAUUUAUUUAUUUUGAGAGAAACAGAAACAGUGUGAGCAGGGGAGGGGUAGAGAGAGGGAGAGAGAGAAUCUCAAGCAGGCUCCGCACUGUCAGCGCGGAGCCCGACGCAGGGUUCGAACCCAUGAAACCAUGAGAUCAUGACCUGAGCUGAAACUGAGAGUCGGAUGUUUAACUGACUGAGCUACCCAGGCAUCUUUCCUAGGUAUACUUAUUCUAGAAUGAUUUUGUUAAUCCUUAAGUUUUGUGCUAUGUUAGUUUUGUAGAUAUGUUUCUAUAACACCUAAACUUUUCCAAAUUUAAUCUUAUCAUUCCAUGUUAACACCACCUGUUUACUUGCCUGCAUCCUCUGUUUGACUGUAUAAUCUGGGAGGGCAGAGACUACUGUUUUGGCAAUCAUCACAUUAGUGUCAUCUACAACAUGAAAGGCAAUCAACAAAUGCUGAUUGAAUGAAUGAAUGAAGGAAGGAAUAAUAUCUUGAUGAGAAGAUACAAUAAUUUUUAUCAAGGUCUUUAUUAGAAAUGGAUUCAGUUGUUGAGUUUAGCUAACUAAAUACUGUUUCCUAUAUUCCCAAGAGAAGGAGUCACAGAAAAAAAUAUGUUUUAGACAUGAGUGGGGAAGUUAGGAAAGGACUGUGUCUUUAGGCCUGGCCCCUUGAUGGUGAGCCUGUCUGUAUACCACAGCAGGGGCUCAAAAACUCAAGAGGAAAGGGGCUUGAGGAGAGAAGAGAUAGAAACAGAAGGGAAUAGGGAGUUGUUGAAUAGACAACACUGAUAUUUUGCCUAGGGCUGGCCUGCUUACUAAAAAAGAGUCCUUGAUCACAUCCUAUUCUAAACCCGUGAUCUCUUAAGUUUGGGAGUCAUUUUGUUUGUUGGGCAUAGGUAAAUAGCUAUUCUAUCAGUCUAAAUAAAUUACUUAGUCAAUAAAGGUGCAUUUUAAUGACAGAGGAAAAUUGCUAUUCUUUUGAGAAUGCUUGAUCUUCUUUCCAGCGAUGUAAAGGAGCACAGAAUAAGUGAACAUAGUCAAAUGUGAAAGUGGCUGUAUUUCAUAUUUUAUACUAGGCUGUUUAAAUAAUGGCUGUGUAUUAUCACUGCCUUUUCUCUUCUUACGCAGACUACACCAGAACGAGGGGAUCAUUAUGAAAAUUAAUUUUACCUUUUGUGAUCUAAGUAUCCUUUAUAUAUGUGGUUCCCCCUUUUAAUUUAGAAAAACUUUCUUCUAUGCUAUUCUAUGUGAUCAAAGCAGCAAUAACAUAGUGGGAAUUCAGCGGUCAUUGCUACCUUGCUUUAUACUUCUACACUUGAUCUUAGCCAAAAGGCCAAGAAAUGAUUACUUUAUAUUUCUGAGCCUCAAAUACUCAUAUAUAAAAUUAUUAUAUCUUUCAUUAAUAUUAUAACUCCAUUGAUUUUCAUAUUGUGCUUCAUGGAAACCUAGGAUUUUACAGAGGCACCAUAGAGUAAAAUAUGGAAGGAAAGGUAGGGGAGACCAAGCAGGGCUCUAAGACUCUUACCUUUACACAAACUCAGAGUGCUUUGCUUCUUCUCUUUUAUCUGUGAAGGAGGAUUUGCAUUAAACCAUCCUCACUCCCUCCCCUGGUACCAUUAUAAUGAACUGACCUGAAAAUAAGUGCAUUAAGUGGCCAUAGAACAUAAAGACACUAAUUAGUUCACUUGGGGAUCAAAUCCAUGAUAACAGACUUAUUCAUGCUUUUCUCUAUCCCCAAAACUAUUCAGAUAAAAGCAAAGGGAGGGGGAAAUAAAUCUAUCAUAUAUAUGACAAUCUUCAAGAACAAACACUUGAAGUUUCAAAUAUGAUCUGGUUGAUUCUGUCACGGGGAAAGAAUCUUAUCACUAGUUAAGAAUAAGUAAUAAUUGAGUCUGGACCCAUAGCAAAUAAUAUUUCACAACAAAAGAAAUGCAAAUAGCCAAUAAACAUUUAAAAGGUUUAGUCUCUCUGAUGAUCAAAGGAAUUUACAGUAAUAUUCUGAGACACUAUUUUAGAUUUUUAAAUUGACAAAUGUUUUAAAAAUUAUAUACAGUGAUGAUGGGGGAGGCUGGGAUCCUCUCUUCAUGCAGUGCACAUUAGUAAAUUAUUUCGGGAGAGCAGUUUGAUAUUAUGCAAAAUCCUUAAAAAUAUUAUUGUACUUUGACCAAUAUAUUCUAUUUCCAGAAUCAUCCUAAGGAUAUAAUCACACAUGUGACAAGAGUAUAUACUCAAGUUUUAUUGUAGUGGUGUAUAUAACUUAGGCUCUUUUACUUCAUAACGAACAGAUGCAAGUUGAGCUCCAGGUGUUAUGGGUUUGUUGUAAAGCUACAAGGGUAAACAAGGGAAACAGAAAAACUUGUUCAGCCAGGUCUAAGUGAGAGUGGCAUGAAAUUUGGAAUAAAGGGCAGGGGGAGGGAGUCAUUUAGGACAUGUUGAAAUAUCCCCAGGAGUUUCAUCUUGCCCCAUCCUUAGUAGCAUGUGCCUAUUGCACUGUCCUUUAAGAAAUUGUCACCUCAGUUAAGUUGCUGUUUAUUGAUGCUUCUGACUCUUGUCUGAAUCUUUAUUCUCUCACUACCUCAUGACUGCUGUUCCUAGAUUCAGUUUAGUUACUUUCUCUUUAUAUUUUGGUUUCUGCCUUUACAAGGAGACUCUGACCUCUUUGCAUGCCUUUAUUAUACCUUCAUAAAUCAACCAAUCAAUCAAUCAAUCAAUCAGUCAAAUGAAUGAGCUUCUUCCAGACACCUCACUGACUGCUGUUCAACUCUAUAGAGUGGUUGCUCUUUUGUCUGGUUCCCAGUACUGCUGCAAACAGGUGUUUCCGGAAAGGGCCACAGUGGUUGGUUUCUGACGAAUGGAUUGUUGAGUGUGCCCGUACUUGGAGGAAAGCAAAUUUUCAUCCAAGACACAGUAUCAUUGGUAAAGGCCCAAAUGGGGAACAAUUUAGCUAUUCAAAAAUAGGGGAAUUGGCACAUAUACUACACACACAAAUGAUAACAUGCAACUAUGGGCAUAUUUUGAUGACAUUGUGAUUAAGGGAGUGUGUACAGGUAUCAAUUUAAAGUGAAAAAAUAUUCAAAACUAUACUGAGUAGUGUCUAUUUUAGAUUAUGUGAGCAUAGAAUAAAACAUUGGGAGUAAAAUACACUAGACUGUUUAGCGAUUACCAAAUGGUAAGAUAUAGUGAUCUCUAUUUUCUGCUUUAUAUAUUUGUUUUCCAAAUUUCAUCUUAGUCUAUUUUACUUUUAUAAUAAUGAUAUUUUAUAAAAUAGAAGUAAAGAAUGAUUGAUUUGAAAUACAAAAAUUUAAAAUCAGAUGAAAGAAAUGUUUAUAAAAUUUCCCAUGAGACAGAUUGUCCUGAGAUGCUUGUAUUUAUGCAAACAGGAGCUGAGAAUCAUUAACUUCCGUAGCAGAGUUCAUCCCUUAGGAAAAGGACUGCACGUAUAGAGUUCUUCUGUGUUCCUCUAGAGUUCUUUUCUCUAAAAUAUUACAAUAAACUUAUCUCUUGUUUUUCAUCCACUCCCAGACAGCCCUUCUUGUCAUUUUACAACCAAACAACCAAUGAAUUACUAUGAUGAUGCAAAUGUUCAUAUAUUUGUUCCUUAGAGAAGUCAUACGUUUAUUAUUUUCUGGAAACCUUCUCAUUGCUUCCCCAAAGGGCAGUGGAAUAAACACAGAGCCAGCCAUGUCUCCAGGGGACUAUUUACUCAUAUUUAAAGAUACACAAGAAAAAAGUGGUCUAGUUAUUUAUGUGUAUCUGACACAUCUCGCUGGUAGAUGGUGAGCUUCUGGGACCUAGGAACAGCACUUGACUCUUUGUAUCAUUUCAGCAACUAGUCCAUAACAGAUCAUAGAAAAACUGAAUUUUAAAUCUGCAAAGAUAUUAGAAAUCAGAUGAUCCCCUUCUGUAGCUGAGGAGACAGAAAGUCCUAGCAAAUAAAUGGUUCUUUCAAGAUCAAACAAGUUAAUGGAACAACUGACACAAAAACCAAUAUUUUCUGAUGUUCAUCUGUAUAGGGAAGAAGAAAGAAGUUGGAUUUUUUGGUUUAGAAAAGAUUACAUUUUUUUUUUUUCUGAAAUGAAAGCACAUAGAAUCAAAGGUGGUAAACAUGGAGAAGAAUACAAUAGCUACUGGUGCUAAGUUAGGUUUUUGGGUAAGCUUCUGUCAAGAUAGGAUGAAAGGGUGCAAGAUAUUUACUGAAAGAAAUAGUGGUGAAAAAUAAAGACAAGGGAGUGGUGAAGGAAAGGAGGGUCUUCAGAUCACAGUGUACGUCACAUCUCUGAAGGAGAUGGGACAGGAAGAAGGUUUAGGUGGGGGGCAUCUCAAAUUGCAGGACAGUUCCAGAUUUUUAGCUAGGCUGUUGGAGAGUACUCAAGCCAAAUUCAACCAUUAAAGGAACUCCAUGUUUUGUGAGAAUGGCCUUCUUUAGCAUCAUUGCAGUGUUCAGUCAUUGGAGCAGCUGUCUGGAAGUGUCACACUGGUGCAUACUCAGUGGAUCUGGAAGGAGCAGCUGGGGCUGUCCAUCAAUGACACAUCCUGUGAGAGAAAAUCUGGGUGUACAUUUUCAUGGCUACCCCAACAACUGGGGACUUACUGUGUGCCAGGCACCCUGGUUAUAUAUGUAUAUGCAUUAUCUCAUGUCAUCAUUUGAACAACAAAUGAGGAAAUUGGGACUGAGAAAAAGUUAAUAGCUUGUAUGAGAUCACAUAUUUGGUAAAUGACAGAAUUAGUAUUAGUAUAAAUAUAUGUACUAAUUUACACGCUUAAAAUACACUAUUUUGUCUAUGAUGGCUAUGGAAUUUUGCAUGAAGGCAGAGACCCCAGUGUUGAGUAUUGCAUAUCUUAAUUAGUAUUAACUCACAUCCAGUUAAUCUGAGAACUGUAAAUCCACCAUACUUAGUUUCAGGAAUUUCCCAGCCUAUAUUAACUUAAUACUUUACACUCAAAAUUCAGUAUUAGAGAAAGAUAAAUAACUGAAAAAAAAUUGUAACAAAAAUUAAAUUUGUUGACUAGAAUUAAAAGUUAGGGAUCCUAAAUACUCUUGUUUUUUCAACUGUCUUAGUGUGUUACACUCUUUCUAUAUGAAAGUAGAAGAAAAUCUUGCUCAUUCAGAGACUAGAAGCCUCUACUAUCAUCUGCAUCUGAACUAUGUGUAGCUAGUGAAUAUCCCUAGAUAAAAAUAAUUAAGUGGCUUGGGAUUCCCAUGAGAAUGGUUCUCGAUUUUCUUCUUUCCAGUUCUUUCUCUUCUGCCUCUCUCUAUAUUUAGGUAGUAAAAAGAUUAGUACAUUUGAUGCCAAAAAUAUAUUACUAUGACCACAUUCAAAAAUACAUUACUAUGACCACAUUCAAAUGAAUGGACAACUAUCUUAAGAAAUAAACUUACAUCAAAAGAAGAUUAGUCAAUGAAAAGAUCAUGGAAUUAACCAAUCAAAUAAAGAAAAAACAAACAAAAAAACCCCUAUAAAUAACAAACAAUAUAUUUUCAAAGCCUGAAUACCUACUUGGGCAUUUUAAUGUCAAGUGGUCUAUCAGGUAAGAUAGAAAAACAAUAUGUGGAUGAUUUGUAUCACUUUUGAAGCAAAAGAAGGUUUUCAAACAUGUGUAAUAAAGGUAACUAUAAAGCAGCUCAGGCAAUAAGGGUGGUCCAGAACUCCAAACCACUCAACAUGUCAUAAAUUCUGCUGUGUAAGGAAGCCAUUUGCCAAGCAGAAUUUGUUCCUUGAAGUAGGCAUCUCUGUAGAACUAGGAAGAUGGGAUGAUACUGGGGGGUAGUACAGCUAGAAUAAAAAGAAGGGAGUUUUGCUUUUUAUAAACAGGUGAACUUCAACUUGUGUAUUUGACAGCUUAUGAGAUUCUAUAGAGCUCUUAUUUUUCCGGCCUACAGGUGGCUGGUUGGUGUUUUUAUUUUGUCUGAUUUUGUUUAAAAAAAACAACAACAUUGCAAACAGAUUCAAGUUUCUGUUUUUUCCACUUUUAAGUACUGCUCACAGAGGACAGUUCAAUUGCACUGGGAGUGACUUUAGCACCCUGAUGAUGUAAACAGAUUUUCCUGUUCCUUUUGCCAUCAAAGGGAAGUAAAGCUAGUUGGUGUAAGGAGGUGAAAAGGAAUGGUUAGCAACAGGAUCUUUUUACCUAUGUCUCUACUCAUAUAUACAUUCCUAGAAACAUGUAGUUCCUAUUAUCUCUCUCUCUCUUUUAAUUAGAGAGAGAGAGAGAGAGAGAGAGAGAGAGAGAGAGAGAGAAUCUCAAGCAGGCUCAAUAUUCAGCACAGAGCCUGAUGUGGGGCUUGAUCCCACAAUCCUGGGAUCAUGACCUGAGCCGAAAUCGAGUUGGAUGCUCAACUGACUGAGCCACCCAGGUGCUUCCAUAUUAUUUCUUUUUAACGGAGUUCUAAGUUGGAAAAUUUGAGUCAUAGCCUCCUCAGCCUCAAUCCUAAAGAAGCUUUCAUAACCAGUGGGUUGUAUGUUCAUAUGAAAAGAUUAAUGAGAUAAAAAACAUAUGGAACACUAUUUUGCUAUAAAAUAUUGUACCAAAUUCUUGUCAACUUUAAAAUACUAUGAUUGUUUUCUUUAUUCUUAGCUGUGUGACACGUGGUUGGCAUGCAAAGAAACAUUAAUACAACUUUACUAUAAAGACUAGUACUGAUGGCUAUUUUUGAGGACACAUGAACAGAAACUAGCAGUUUUGAUUUGGAGAGUGGAUUAAAAAGGACCAUUAUAAUGAAAGCUCCUUUUAAUCUAAAUCCUAUUUUAAACAGGUGCAUCCUCUGAAUCUGUAUGUUAACAUUACUGAUACCAAGAUUGGAUGUUUACUGACUUGCUGUUUUAAAAACUCUUUCAAAUGUUGCUGUGUAACAAAUUAAAUCUAAAUUUAUUUUUUUUUAAUUUUUUUUUCAACGUUUAUUUAUUUUUGGGACAGAGAAAGACAGAGCAUGAACGGGGGAGGGGCAGAGAGAGAGGGAGACACAGAAUCAGAAACAGGCUCUGAGCCAUCAGCCCAGAGCCUGACGCGGGGCUCGAACUCACGGAGUGCGAGAUCGUGACCUGGCUGAAGUCGGACGCUUAACCGACUGCGCCACCCAGGCGCCCCUCAAAUUAAAUCUAAAUUUAAAUGAUUAGAGGGAGUGACUUUCUAUAUGAUUAACAUGAUAAUCUAAUAGGGUCUCUAUAUUCUGAUAUUUUUAUGACAUAAUCAUAAUCAUUUGAAGACCUCAUGCACUAUUAGUAGUAUAUUUUUAAUGCGCAUUCAGUAUUUGAGAACUUAUUUUGAAGGCAGGGUUAUUUCUAUUUUAUGCAGAAAUCUGACAGAGUUCUACUAAUGACUUGAUCAGGCAUCCCAAGAAAUUAUAACAGGGCACAUAUUCCCAAUGAUGAAAAUUGUAGUCAAUUUAAAUACAAGAUGAAUAUUAAUAGGAUGCUUUGUUCCCUUUCAAAUACCUUUCCUGUUUUACUUUCUUUCUUGGGUCAGUGGUCUUUAAGCUGAGUUCUGAAUCAUUGGUACAGCCUUACCUUUUAUAAAAUUAUGCAUGAAAUCCAUACAUAUCCUAUGAGACCCUCUAGACUAAAUUGUAUUAAUUCUUGUAUUUGCUAAAUGUUCUUCCUCUUGCUGUGCCGCAUGCAUUCAAUUAUGGGAAAUGGGAAUGCUUUAAAAUACCACAUUCUGGCAUGAAGUGUUUUGAAAAUCUUUGGGGAACAUUAGUUUGCCUUUAAUAACAGGUCCAAAAUUGUGCCUACUGGGCCUCUCCGGUGGAAACAAAGUCUGCACAUUGCUAUGAAAAACAGUGUUGUCAUAUGGCUGAUAGCUGUCAAAUGGAGAAUAGCUCUGUAGCACAGGAGAGAGGAUCAGGAGGAGGAGGAGGAGGAGGAGAAAAUAGGCAUUCAAAGGUGAGAACUACUUUUUGUUUUCCCCUGGAAGACAUUUUUUUUAAGACAACAAGAAGAAAGUAUUUUAUUUUUUGGUCCCAUUCUCCCCAGGCUUUACAAAACGUAGAUGCUCUGUUGUCAAGUUGGAAAAUUAGAGCUAUGAUUACCUUAAAAAAGUUUUACUUGUCAGAAUUUCUUCCCAGCAUGUAAAACACCUCUUUGUAGUGUCUCCCGCCACAUUUUCACUUCUAUAAGACAUACCGUGGAGAACACCUUGUCCAAAAGAGUCAGCAUCAAUGCUUUUCAUGCCAUGCCAAUUGAUUCUAAGAACUUUCCACUUCGUUUUCCACUGGGCAAAUCUUUGCUACUUUUUGGAGUAUGACAAAUGUAAUUUCAUUCUGAAAUAACCGAAGAGAAACAGAGAACUAAAGGGAUUUGGGAUUGAAUCUAUGAGAUAAAUUGAAAUUCAAUGGACACAAGUGCCUGGGUAAAAGGUCUGGCCCAAAGAAAUAAACAGAAAAGUAUUUCAAGAUUAAUACUUGAUAAUGAAUGAAAAAUGAUUGUCAGUAUGGCAAUGUGUUAAUAGAAAAAAAAAGAGCAAAAUAUAAAAUAGGGGAAGUUUUUAUCCAAUAACUCUCAAUAUCUCCGUAUCUCUAAAAGUUUUCUCUUUUAAUAGCACCUGAGCAAAGCCAGCUUCUCAUAUAAUUCAUUGUCCCCAUCUGUUACUCACUAUUAAGAUCUGAUUACAAAAAUAUAGUGUAAUAUAUUAUAAAGACCCUGGAAAGUAGGAUAAGAAGUAAGACAUUAGUUCAAGACCUGAUUCUGCUUCUUACUGAAUGUGUGUUUUGACCAGUGGUGUGAUAAAUAUCUAACUAGUGACUCUUUAGGGGAAAUAAAAAGUUUGAAAUGUAUGCUUUCCUUGAUUACAUAAUCCUAACAUGGCCAAUUUCAAGCUAGCAACAUGAUGUCACUUAAUGUAGAGUUGAGGAGAAAUGUGGACAAUUGGCUUUUAUAACUAGGUAGGAGCUGGCUUCAUCACGUUCUUGCCUUGGACAGAUAUAUCACUGUUCUGUUUUUUAUUCUGUAAAACUGAUAUAAUAAUGUGUAUCUCAAAGAAAGUUCAGAGGAUUAAAUGAACAAAAUACUAGUACCUCUAGAUCAUUAGAGAAAUGUAUUAAGGUUAAAGGUUAGGGCACUGGAUGGCUCAGUCCGUUAAGCCUCCAAUUUUGUUUUUUGUUUUUUGUUUAUUUAUUUAUUUAUUUUUCAAUAUAUGAAAUUUAUUGUCAAAUUAGUUUCCAUACAACACCCAGUGCUCAUCCCAAAAGGUGCCCUCCUCAAUACCCAUCACCCACCCUCCUCUCCCUCCCACCCCCCAUCAACCCUCAGCUUGUUCUCAGUUUUUAAGAGUCUCUUAUGCUUUGGCUCUCUCCCACUCUAACCUCUUUUUUUUUUUUCCUUCCCCUCCCCCAUGGGUUUCUGUUAAGUUUCUCAGGAUCCACAUAAGAGUGAAAACAUAUGGUAUCUGUCUUUUUCUGUAUGUAAGCCUCCAAUUUUGAUUUCUGCUCAGGGCACGAUCCCACGGUUUGUGAGAUAAAGCCCUGUGCUGGGCUCUUCACUGACAGCAUGGAGCCUGCUUGGAAUUCUCUCUCUCCAUCUCUCUCUGCCCCUCCCCAUCUCAAAAUAAAUAAAUAAAUAAACAUUUUUGUUUUAUAAAAGAUUAAAGGUCAAGCUGAAAGUCCAUUAGAUUCCUAGUCCACAUUUCAGUAAUGUCCAGAUAGAGAAGAGAUGUCAAUUACAUUUAUGAGUACACAAAACUAGGAAGAAUAGUUGGCAGAAUAGAAGACAGAUUGUGAAUAAAAAUUUUUUGAAAGAUCUGAGUAAUGGCUAUAUAACAAUAGAAAAUUUACUGAUAACACUUAUAUGUACAUGUGCAUCUAAAAAUUAAAACACAUAAGCAAAAGGAGGAACUCAUUUUAAAGACAGGCUUAGGGGUUUUAUAAGACAGUUAUUUUGUGUAUGCAAUUGACAUGGUGUCAGCAAAGAUUGCAUACUCAGACUAAAUUGAUAAGGCACUUAAUUCAAUUAAGGAAGUAAAAAUUUCUCUCCAAUUAAGAGUGGCAACUCACACCUGGAAAAUAUGUCUUUGGGUCUAAGUGUUGAACAUUAAGAAUAUGACAGAAACGUGCAACACAGGAGAGGUAGAUCGAACAGAUCCAGACAAGACUUAAUAUAUAUCUAUAUCUAUAUCUAUAUCUAUAUCUAUAUCUAUAUCUAUAUCUAUAUCAUCUAUAUCUAUCUUGAAGAAAUUGCAAAUGUCUAGCUCAGGAAAACAAAGAUGCAAUGAAAAUGUGAUUGCUACCAUAAAACAUGUGAAAGUUCAUCUUAUGUAUGAUUUCAGAGAUAAAAAACAGUGCUAAAAAGUUUCAGGAAAAUGAUUUUGCCUCAGUAUAAGAACUUUCUAAAGAUGACAUUAUCUUUUUUGGGAAACUGGGCUCUCCAAAAUGAUGGCUAAUCAUAUAGCAAAUGGAUGAUUAGAGGAGAAGAAUGGGAUUCAAGGCUUAGAAGCAUGGUUGUACUUUAUGACAUCAAGCUAUCUUUCAAUUUUAAAUUGUUACAUUUUUGAGUUUCUGUUUUUAAAGAACAAUAGGGGAAAAAAGAAUACUGCCUGAAGUCUAGGGGUGGGCGGCAACCUAGAAAACUUUCAAUGUUCAUUUGUCACCAUAAUUUCCAAAAUGUUCAGAAAUCAGUAUGAAAAAUCAGGUGGCUAAGAAUGUGAGCCAAAGCACCUACCUUAGAAUAUCACAUGCGAGAUCUUGGCUGUCAGGGAAGGCAACAGCAAGGGAAGCACUGCCGUGAGUAGAAUUUUACAAUGUGAUGUGUUAACUAUUAUCUUCAUUCAGCCAGCUACAGUUAUGACACUGCAUGUUAGUAUAAAGACCCUGGUUUUUAUCUACACACAACUGUGUAGUCAAGAUUUAGAGUCGUUUCAACAUACACAUACAGAUCUCUGAAGAAUGAUGCGUGUUUGUUGACCAUUUCCUGGUCCCUCCUUAUGAAGAUUAUUUUAAAUUUGCCCAAUGUAUGCUUAUAGUUUGAGCAGUACCUGAUCUGGGUAAAUAUUUGUGAGCCUCUGAUGGUUAGUCAUCCAUUAUAUAUUUCAAAUGAACUGACAUUUUAUGUUAUUACUCUGCUUCAGAUUCAUACAGUUCUUGGCUUCUUUCCUUCCCUAAAUGGACAUUGACAGCAGCUAGGAUUCCCAGAAUGAAGCCUUGGUACUAAUAGAGCAAAGACGCUUUUUCCCCCAUUAUCUAUCAAUACCAUAUUCAUUAGCUUUGGCUUAAGUCAAUCUUUAAUUCAAUUACUGGUUUGCUGAGGAAGAGGCUUUGGUAACCUACAAUUAGUGUUCAGAUUUUUUAUUUGCUAAUCCCUUAACCUUGGUGUCUGCAUAUUGUGCUUUGCCCAAGUCCUCAACAACUACCCUGACGUGACAUGCAGAUUUAUCUAAAACCACUGUAGGUAUGGUCUUUGGGAGACUGCCAUGAAUUUUUUUUAUUAAGUUAUGAAGGACCUGUGUCCCACGUCCUGGAAGUUCUAAAUGUCUAAGUGAAUGCUUUUUAAACAGUUUUUAUUUUAAUUCCUGAUAAUAAUGCAGUGUUGUAUUAUUUUCAGGUGCACAAUAUAGUAAUUCAACACUCCCAUACAACACCGUAUGCUCAUCACAAGUGUCCUCCCUAAUCCCCAUCACCUAUUUAACUCAUCCCUCACCUCCCACCCUUCCCUCUGGUAACCAUCAGUUUGUUCUCUACAAUUAAGAGUCUGUUUCUUGAUUUAUGUGUGUGUGUCUCUCUCUCCCUCUCUUAUUUUUUCCCUUUGCUUAUUUGUUUUGUUUCUUAAAUUCCACAUAUGAGUGCUUAAUUGGGACCUCUUUCAGGCUCUGUGUUUGAGGGUAUUGGAAAAGAUCAUGAGCAUCCUUGAUGUUUGCUGAUCUGGAUAUGUAGGAAGCCCGAAAAUUACAAUAAACAGUAUACAGCCAUUAACCAUUUGUUGCUUGUUGCCACGAAUUUGAUGCUGAUGAGCAUGUAGUUGAGAGGGUUUUGUCAGUCCAAAUUUAUUGCUGGAAUGUCUUUCUGAUUGGCCUGUUUACAUUGACAAGUGGUAAGCUUCUGAGAAAACAGCUUUUGGCAAAAGCUGAAGACUCCUUCCUUGUAUCUUUCUGUUAGACUAGAGUUUCUAAUCCCUGUUAUCAGUGUUUAAUGUGAAGGAUUUGAGGUAUCACCAAAUAUGAGCACACAGACCUGAACCAAGUGAAGUACCAAAAUCUUGAACUUAAAUUCUAUCCCUUAAAACCUCGUAGGAGUCCUUUAUCUGGCAAGCCAACUUUUAUCUCAUAUGGUAAGCUUCCAACUCUACCAGUUUCUAGAGACCUAGUGGGUAUUUUUCCAAUUGUUCUGGGUCUUUCUUGCCAAGUUUGGAAGCUUCUUUCUCCUCACUGAUACAGGUUUUGUUAAUUGGAAUAGGUUGGGGAACUAUGCUUGCGUUGGCAAUCAUAACUCCUGCAAAACCCCCAUUACUUUUCUAGAAGCCCUUUUGUAUCAGGGACUGUACUUUCAGGUGACUGGCAACCCUGUCAUCCACAGUACUCAGAAAUACUUUCUUGAAAGUCUUCAAUAUUUCAGUCACUUACCAAAUCAUUGCUUGCCUUAAUAAGGAUGCUUCAGCAUUACCAGGUGGGAGUUUAUAUCAACCUCAGUGUCUUUCUUCCAUUCCAUUCAUGCCUUUAACCAAAUUUUAGGGAUGGGUUCAGCCAAAUUUUAAAGACUUCCUAUCCCAGUUAUAAACAUUCUCUAGGAUAAAUUUUCUGAGGAAAAUAAUGUAUAUUUAUUGAAUUAAUGAAUUGAUUGAUGAUGAGUUAAUUGUGCACUUUUUAAAAACUACCAUGCUUUAUAGAACAUCCUUUUAUUAAACGGUGCUCUACAAACCACAUGCAAAUGAAUCUUCUUAGAUGCUUACUACUGUAUACUAUAGUGCCUGUGGAAGGCAGCUUCAAAGAUGGCCCCCAGUGAUCCUUAUUUCCUAGUAUUCAUAUGAACUGGUCAUAUUUAAUAGGAUACAGUAGAAGUGAUGAUAGGUCACUUCUGAGAAUUGGAUAUAAAAGGCACUAUGGGUCCCAUCUUUGUCACUUAGCCUCUCUCUCUUGGAUAUCUCGCUUUGGCAAAAGCCAGCUGCCAUGUAGAAAAGCCCUGUGAAACCACAUGUGAUAAGGAACUAAAGCCUCUGGGAAUAACUAAUGAGGACUGAGGCUACCUGAUGACAGCCACAUGAGUAGGAUAUCUUGGAAAGAGCUCCUCUGGGUCCAUGCAAUUCUUCAGUGAUAAAGUCCCAGCUGACAAUGUCACUGUAGCCUUAUGAAAGACCCUAUGCCUGAGCCACCCUGCCAAGUCACCUCUAGAUUUCUGACCUCAGAAACUGUGUGAGAUAAUGAAUAUUUGCUGUUUUAUACUGCUAAGUUUGGGAGUUGAUUCUAAUGUGGCAUGGUAACUAAUACAGGUCUAAUCAUAUAUCUACUGAAUCAGAACAUCCAGAUGGUAAAGCCCAGGAAACUUCACUCUUAGCAAACACGGCAAGGUGAUGGUAACUUUGCAUGUUGAUAUUGAAGAACUAUAGUGUUAUUAGUGUUUUUCUAAUUAACUAUAGACUCCCAUUCUGUACUAAUUCACUACUAAAUACCCCUGAUCUGAUAACAUAUGAAUAGUUCCAGUUUCUACUCAAUGCUUUCUGUACAGUGCCCAAGGACUUCCAAAAUUGUUUGUGUUGUAACUGUUCUGCAUUUCUCAAUCUAGGUAUUGAGAAAGAAACCAUAUUGAGUUGAUCAGAUUUAGACAUUUGUAGCUUCAUGUGGUUUUUUUGAAUGCCUCCUGAAAGCAUGAUUGUGACUACUUGCUCUGUACCUUUAAGUAUAACCACCGAAAUCAAAGAAAACCCCCUUUACCAUCAUUACUUCGAUGACUAGGAAAUGUUCCGAUUCCCUUCUCUCCAGUCCACUUUUCUUUACCAGAGCACAGGACCCAACUCUGUAAGAUCAAAGAACCUCUUUUCUUUUUUUUUUCAAAGCUAGCAAGCCAUUAAUAUCCAUGUCUGUAAAGUAAUCCAAAUGAAUAUUUCAAAAGUGACUUGUAUAAUUAGCAGAAUUUGCCAACAGUGUCAGUGUUCACCGGAGGACUGUCUGUAGGGGAGUCGGAGGAGCCUGGGGUGGCAGCCAUAGGCAGUAGUGAUUCAGGAGAGUUGCCUUCAUUCCUCUGAAUUGAGGCUGCUUUAUUUCUGAAUUGAACAUGCCUUUUUUCCUUUAUAAAACAGGAAUUAAUUAGAAACUAUAAAGAGUCACUUUGUAAAUUUUGAGCAUUUUGAGAAUGAAUAUUAUCACCAUCACCUUGGGUUUAUAACCACACUGUAGAAGUUGAAAGUCCUAUUUUAUUACCCCCUUCCCCUCGACCCAGUCAGGAUUCACUCAUGAAAGCGGAACCAAUAGGAGAAUAAUAGAAUAAGAGACUUAUUAUAGGAUACUACACUUUUGUGGAAGGCACUAGAGAUGCAAGGGUCCACAAAUAAAAGUUAAAAGAUCUAAAAAAUGUUAACCAGCACUCCUGGAGCACUGGGAUAGGUCGACAAGUCAGCUUGCUGCCAGAGUGAGACUAGGAAGGGGAACCCACGGAAAAUUCAACAAAGAGUUGGUGGCUUCUUGUACCUACUGCCCCUGUGAGUUCACAACUAAGUGUCUGGUGAUAUGCGUAUGAUUGCUAUUGGUCAACAAGGCCAGAAGUUAAGAAGAAAGCUGGAUAUGAAGUGAGGAGAGCAAGGUAAGGCAGAAUAUUCUAGUACUUAUGCAUCAGUUUGUCAUUGCAUCUGACCCCUAAAUCUUUAGACUAAUGUCAGCUGCUUCACUCAAGCCUACAUAGCCUCACACAACCUCCCUUUUGGCCAACUUUAAUCUAGACCCACAUAGGGAAAGAGAUUCUGGGAAACACCGUUCCCAAUGUAAUCAAAAUGACAAUAGAAAAACCCAGUAUCAUCACCUCCCCAUCAAAAUAUGAAACCAUCAUGUUUAUUUUGAAAUUUGUGAUAUAAGAUGUAAAGUAGGAGUAAGAACACUGGCUUUAGUGUCAAGAGACUUGGACUCUAUCUCUUUUGUAACGAAUUUUGUGAGUUUAGUCUCCUUACCUUCCUUUACUGGGCCUCAGUGUUCUCAUUUUUUUUUAAUAUGUAAUGGUAGGGUAGGGAAGCAGUGAACCAAGGAAUUUUGAAAUGGCUUCUAUUCAUGAUGUUCUAUUGUUUCUAACUAGAUAUACUUUUUCACUUCUAGCUUUUAAGUUCUAUGGUUCAAAAAUCAAUUCAUAUCUAGUAGAGUUCUCUUAUUUUUAAAGUACAUAUCUUCCAUUAAAAUUUGCUCUCUAAAUCACUAUAAAAAAUCAUCUGCCCUUAGUUAUAAAUCUAGAAGCAAAACUACAUUGAAGGCUGUUCUCUUUUAUUGUGUCUUAAACAUAUUGUGGGGCCAGAACUAGAUGUCUCAAAGAAUUGUGUGUGACUCAGAAGUCUAGAAGUAUAUUCACCUAGGCUGUACAUUGUAGUCAUAUGAGGACAUUUUUAAAAAUACCAAUUCCUGAAUUUUGUCACCAGAGAUUUUUCUUUAAUUGGUCGGGAGUAAAACUCUGGUGUCAUUUUGCUAUCCAGGCAAUUCUAAUGUCCAGUCAGCAUUAAGAAACACUAAAUUAGCCGCUCUGAUAGAAAUAAAAAUAUAAGACUCAUUUUAUCUGGCAAUAGCUAUUUAUAAAAACAUCCAUUUUCAAAAUCAAGCUAUAUAAUUCACUUAUGUGGAACUGGAGAUCUGAGAUUUGUAGGAGAGAAUCGUCAGUAGGUCUGCUUUGUGCUUUCCACACUGUAGUAUACUUGAGUAGAAUUAUUUACCAAUAGAUUUAAUACAAAAUGGAAUUGAGAAGAUCCAGUCAACACUAUGAGUAAAUCAUGUAUUAAUUUUUUAAUCACUAAAAAAACAAUUAUAGGAUUCUUACCCCUAUCUCCUGUUAGUCCUGCUACUGUUUCUCUUUUGUCUUCAGUUUAUUUUUGUGCCAUUAUAUUUGCACAUUCAUGCCUUGGAGAACACUACUGAAUGGAAAGUUUUUCGUUUUUUUGUACCGUGCCCUAAAUACCCAUCAAUAAUCUGCAGAUGGUUCAGUAUUUGAGAUGCUAUAAUAAGCUGAGCACCAUUUUCUGUCCUUCCUCUUUAGCUUCUUGUGUCAAUAAAGACAAAGCUCUUGACUCAUAAUACCUUAUUUUAUCUUAGUCAGUUGAAGUCACAGGGAUCUUGACUUUAGGACAAUAUCUUGUUCCUGGCCCCAUUGGUCUCCUUGGUUCAAGUGACCAUACCUUCAAUAACUAGUUUAAUCUUAGCUCAGGUUCUAAUAAAUCUUCUAGUGUUGAGUGUCUGAAAUAUGAGGAUAUUAAUCUUGCGAACAUAAGCUUGAGGAAGAAGAAAUAAUUUCUUGGUAUUCAUAUGCCAAAGAUGUUCUUUGAGAAAUAAUGAGCUGAUUUUAUUCUUUAUCUUUUUCUUUUCCUUGGCUUUAUUUAUUUAUUUAUUUAUUUAUUUAUUUAUUUAUUCAUUUAUUUAUUUAUGAGUGUAUGCAUGCACAUGGGAAGGGGGCAGAAAGAUAAAGAGAGAGAGAGAAAAUCUCAAGCAGGCUCCAUGCUCAGUGCAGAGCCUGACAUGGGGCGAGAUCUCACAAUGGUGAGAUAAUGAUCUGAGCUGAAAGCAAGAGUCAGAAGCGUAACCAACUGGGCUACCCUACCCAGCCACUCUCCUUGGUUUUGUUUUAAGAAUUCUGUCUUCUCUCCUAGUGGUGGGGCAAAAACAAAGUAUGCAAAAGUUUAUGGGAUUCAAAUUGAUGAUGUUUAUGUAUGGAAAACUUUCCAGUCCAUUCAAGUAUAUUUCUAUUUAGCUAGACACACAAACUAGUGGUUUACCUAAUUAUUCUUAAACUCUUAAAGUUCUAAAAAUGUAGAGCUUGAAUUACAAGAAGAUGACCAAAUACAUUACCUACCCAAUGUGUCACAACUUUGCUGGCAACAAUGCAGAUGGUUAUUACGAGAAAAGUAUCUCUUAUGUUUACCUCUUUUGGGACUCAUACCUGGCAGGUUCAUCUGGUCAGUACCUUUGAUUCUAUUUUAAAUGUGACUCUAUGCUGGGCCAAUAAGCCAGCCCAUCAGAAUAAUUUGGUAAAGUGAAGCAGAGCAAAUGACUAUAAUUACUAAUAAUUAACAAAUACUAUGAUCUGUCAAUCAUAGGUCCAAGAAAUUUACACACAUUUUGUAAUUUAAAAUUUAAAACAAUCCUAUUAUGUAGAUGCUCUCAUUAUUCUCUUUUUACACGUUGAGGAGCCUAUCCAAGACACAUUAAAGUAGAGUAGCUGCAAUAUGAAUCUGGAAAGACUGCAUUCAGUGUCCAAGUUCUUAAUCAGCUCAUGCCACUAUUAAUCCAUUUUGUCAUCCAUCCAUCUAUCCAUAAAAAGAUGUGCUGUCCUGAAAGUCAUGGUAAAGAGUCUGCUAAAAUGUGCAGAAUAUUUUUUGUUUGGUCUUCCAGGUUCUUUGUUUAUCUUUCUCUGCUCUACUCCUGGCCACAGGAGGCCAUUUUAUAUCACCUAGGUUUCCUUGCUCAGUAGUCCUCUUAGAUUUAGCUGAUGGAAAGUUCUAGCAGAUGAAACUAUGGAAGACAGGAAGUCCCAAGUAUUUCUUCCCCACUUACCCUACUUUGAUGCCCUGCCUCUGGGCACAGCUGUAGUCUCCCACGACUAAUGCUUUUGUCUAGUGUUUUCCUUAGCUACAUUUCCAAUUUUCAGCUAGUAUCUGUUGGUGUGCGGACUUGUGUAGUUUAGUCUGAACUGUGUUAUUUAAAAAUUGCCAGCAUUUUAUGACUGGGUAAUUUGACACACAUACAAAAGAAUAGUGUUCUUGCUUUUCUUGAAAAAUGAAGUUCUGGCAACACAGAGUCUGAAAUUACCUUAAGGUAAAAAGCAGCUGGGCUGAUUUGAAGCCAUGUUCUCUCUCUCUCUCUACUCUACUUACUUUGUCAGGGCCUAAUAGCUAGAGUCAUUUGAUAUUGCCACCCUGCUCUUGUCAGUUGGAUUGGCCACUUGAAGUGUACAGCCGGAGCAGCCAUUGUUCUGGUCUGAUGUUUGGAAGCAGAAGGAGAGAAUGUUGAAGUUGGCAGAGAGGAAUAUGGGCUAGAGACCAUGAAGUUCUCCACCAAUGGAGAAAAAAAGCUUUCUUUCCUGUGUUUCUAGUUCCCACUUCCAGUUUGUUCAGUUACAAAAUCACACCCCUGAGUCAUCCAAUGGGAGACAUAAGGUUUUACAACCUUAAGGAAUUUAGCUUUGUUUCGAGGAGAGUUUGCUUCUGAUUAUUGAAGUAAAGUGUUGGGUAUAAAGAGUACAAAUUUAGGACAAAGUCCUGAAUACAGAUCAUGGUUUUCUGAAUGGUAUAAACAGAGCCUAAAAUUUAAACAUUUAAAAAUAUUUCUCCAGGAUAAAUAAAUAUUUUCCCCCCGGGUACUGGAAAUCUGUUAGAUUGGGUAUUUACAACAAUAAAGUGCAACACUUAAUAGAUUCUUAAAUACACUGUGUCCACCUAAUUCCCAAGCUUUGUAGCUUCCUGUUAGUAUUUUUCAUUAACCUGUACUUGCCUUUUUUUUUUUUUUAAAUUUGAUACACAAGUGACAGGAAUAUUGACCUUCUUUAUACAUUUAAGGCAUGGAUUCCAGUUGUAUAAAACAAAGAAAGAAAGGCAAAAGAAAAUCUCAAAAAUGUUAUUUUGCUUCAGAGAUGAGAUACCAAUUACUGCAAGACAAGAUUCUUACCAAUGUGUUGUUUUAAAUAUGUUCUUUAUGAGGGGGCAAGAAAAAUAGGGCACGGGGAAAGAGUAUACAAUUUGCUUCACUUUUAGUUUUGCUUAUAUUUGUCUCCCACCAAAGACUGUAGAAUAUGAAGUUACUCUAAACUCCCAUAAUUCCUUAAAAUGAAAAUUUGUUUGACAUUUUUCUUUUUGGGAAGUCUUUCCUAAUCUAUCAGUUUUUAAUGAACUAAGCACCAAACAGCAGACUUGGGUGUUGAUUUGUUUUGAUUAGCAUAUUCUCCCACUACAACUUCUCACUGCCUUUCAUUUCAUGGUAAACACUUCACAAAUGACUCCUAUCUAACAUUUCAAACCUCAGAGCUGAUAAGAAAGGCAAGGGAAGUGAAUGACACAUUGAGUAAGCCAGAGUAGUCUCAAUAAUUUGCCAUAGAUAUGAUAAAGAAAAAAACUGCUUUAUUCUCAGAUACCUCUCAGUUCUUCAGAGCUGAGUAAAUAUUAUGUGAGCAAAACCAUGAAAUGGAAUGAGGUGUGAUGACUGGAGUCCCAACAGAAGAAUUGUCAGAAAUAAACUAUAUGGCAAGAGUCCUUAAAUAUAAGAGCAAAACUGACAUGGCCGUUUGGUAGCUGAUCAGUAGUGAAUGUGUCUCUUCGUUACAUUUGUCUUUUAUCAUUAUCAUUAUUAUUAUUUAUAUAAUCAUUUAUCUAUUAGUGUAAUUUUUCAGUUGAAGAAAAUUAGUGUCACAAACCAGAAUGCCUUCCUUAAUUUGUACCCAAGCCAGUGCCAGUCAAUAUUCACAGAAUUCCCAGCGCCCUGUCAAUGCACUUCAACCCUUCCUUGUUGAGUCUUUCUUAAUUGACUCCACUGAAGCAAAUCCAAUUUCUGCUCUCAGUCCUUGUACACAUAUGUGAAGACUGCUAAAUUUAAACUAUUUCUGCUCAAUUUUGUGCUGUCAACUCUUGACACACCAGACAGAAUGAGAUCACCUGAAUUUGCUUUAUGUCUUAUUUUAAGAUCAUUUAAUUGGAAUGAUUUUGUGCCAUUGUUUCAGGAUAGUAUUAAAGUGAUAUCCUAGAGGUGAAAAACAAAUACAUUAUUCGACUCCAUCAUCCAAUCUCUCUGAAACCACCUUCUUUGCUUUGUCUGCCUGAUUUGAUUUAUAUAUGAGACAUAAGUGUCAAUAACAUGUUUUUGAUGGUUGCAAUACUGCCAGGAAAAUGGAUAUAGUUGAACAUUAGGCUAUAAAGAGGGGCAUGAAAUAUAAUUCAGAUGGGCUUCAUGACACUUGUCCCUCAUAUGACACACAUUCUUUUCAUUUCCAAUUUCACUGAAACAAGCAGAAAGAACGGUUUCCAAUCCGUCCCACCUCAUAAAAAUAGACCUGUGUUUAAUUCUUCAGGACCUAAAAUUAUCCUUUGGAUAUUGUCAGCCAAUCAUCCAAGGAAAACGUUCCUAGCCAAAGGAAUAGAAAUCUUCUAGGUAUUGAGAUGGCUAAAAUAUUACUGUUAUCUUGUUUUUAAUGAUUGCACAAAAUAUUACAUAAAACAAAAUGUGAUGAUAAUAGUGAGAUAGUCUGGCACCUCUAUCUUUUUUUUUUUUAUUAUUAAAUUGUGUCAUUUUCUCAGUAGUAUACUGCAGUUUGCAAAUGUAGUAUUUUUGAAUAGGAGAACACCUGAUCACAGACCCUGAUUUUUUAAAAAUAUAGUAAAGGAACUGUGUUUGUCAAAGCCCCAAAGCCUCAUUAUUUGUAACCAAAGAUCUUAUAGGAAAGAUGUUAGUUUUAUUUCUGAUUACAGUGGAUGAUGGCUGAGCAAGCUGGGUUAUAAAUGUUAUAUCUCUAAAACAGAGCAGCUUGAUAUAAAGUCAGCUGCCUAAAUUUUAGACAUUUGGAUAGUUUCUAGAACCUAUUGAUUAUGUCACGUCAAGAUUGUUAUGAAUAAGGUAAGUGUCUCUACAGAAAUUACAGUCUACUCUUCAAAAAUUUGAGAACUGAGUCAAGAAUGAUUUUUAGUUUAAGUCUACUGGUAAAAAAAAUUACAUGUCAUCUGUUUUUUCAAAAGUCCUAUUAGAGAGAUAGUAAAGUUUAUAAUUAUUUUGUCCUAGGCUUUGGAAAAAUUAAACUUGCAUUAUCUCUUGCAUCUUCUAUAUAUACUAGUUAAUAAAUGCAUAAUUUAAAUCUUGCAAAAAAUAAAAGAAUCCAAAAUGAGGCAUAUUCUUUUGGACUUACUCAAAGGUGAGUUACUUUCUGUUUAUAUUAAAUUUUUUAUAUUUUCCUCUUCAGUUCACGAGUGACUUCUAGGAAGGCACACAUUAUGGAUUAGGGUCAGUGGACCCCAUUUAUGUUUCUGUGUGAUCAAAGACCCCUGUAUGGUACAGUCAUUGAACUGAAAAUCAACAACCAACAACAUUAAGAUUGUCCAACUUAUGACUAGUGUCAGUGGAGCUAUGUGACUGUUGGUGGAUAUUUAAAAUGUAUUUUAAUUAGAAAAAAAUGUCGGAAUUGCACUUUUCUCCCUUUUAAACUCUUCAACUAUCAGUAAGGGAAACAUGCAGCUGGGAUUAAUAUUUACAUAAGUUUUGUUCUUGCAUAAACACGUAACUGUUGAGAACAGGGAUGUUUGAGAAUAGGAUAUUUUCAAAAAGGUAUUUGACUUGAUUUCCUGUAUCUAUUAGGUUACAGAUCAACUCUGUCUUUUUACUUGACCAACUGCAACAGCUAGGAUGUGGAUUCGUGUCUCCCUAAGAGAUACUCCUCACAAUGAAUUUUCCCCCAACUUCAUUCUUCCCUAAUGGCAGCUUGAUUGAUGCAAAACAUAAGCAGUUUAUUUAUCUAUAUUCUCAGAGAUUCCUUAAGCAGACGGAUAACACCACAGUGAGGAAUCCUUAGUUCUGCCAAGCUUGGAAGCCUAAUGCAGACAAAAAUAAUUUUUUUCCACAGUCUGAGCAAUCUUAGCAGACAAGAAAGGAUUAAUAAAUAUAAGGAGAAGUAAAGGCACUAAGAGGCUACUGAUAUUUGUCAAGCAUCUACAAUGAGGCCAAUACUAUGUUAGAAGAUUUAUGUAUACUGCUUGAUUUGGUUUUCAGCAGAAUCAUAUGAGUUAAGUUUUACUAGUUCAUUGUGCAAAUGAAUAAAAUGAAGCCCAGAAAGGUGAAAUAAUUUUCUUAAGGCAAUACAGUGAGUAGCCAAACUCAUCUGACUCUCUUCAUAAGGAUAGUGUCCAUGAAUUUUUUCCAUUAUACCAUGCCAUCAUGAAACUUAUGAAGAUAUACAUGUUUCUUAAUAAACGUAAUAAACAUUACAACAAAUAAGAUAAUUUGCUUUUUCAGAUCAGCGUGAAUACUUUUGGUACUGAGAACCUCAUCACAAUACCCAUUUCCUUCAUUUGUCCUAGAGUCCAGUGUCCUUGUCAUUUGACUACAUUGCUUUAGCUUCACUAACCUUUUUCUUUUCUUCUACUUUCUGUCUUUUGUUUACCUACUUUUUGGCUCUUGUUAACAACCAUUAAAGGACACUUAAAAAUUAGGAAUGUAGAAUAGUGUUAUUUAAUGCUAGGGAAAGGGGGCUGGGAAUUUAAAACAAUAUCUAAAAAUUAUCCUAUGUACUUAUGUUUAUAAUUUUCAAAGUUUUUGCAAGUCUAACGGUGGAUUGUCUUUGUCCUGAAGGCACAUUAAAAUUGAAAUGGAAUUUUUCUCAAAAUGGCUUUUUUUGGUACUGACAUAUGAAAUCAACAAUGGUUGCAUAAGGGUUCCUCAAGUUCCAGCUUGAGUUGGCUGUCACACUCACAAAAAUACCUUAGAUAAUUGGUUCCUGACCUACUUGUGCCUAUGAGCAUUCAAAUGAAGCAUCGUUGUCUAUCUAUAAGUCAGAAUGCUUCACUGUCUGAUUUCUCUUGUUGAAAGGGCAACUAGGUAACCAUCCUUUGUGAUUCAAGAUUUUGAAUAAUCACUAUUAGAGUGAGAAAGUAUGAAGUGUUGCACUAAAGCGAGUAUACAUAUGGUAUACAGGUACCUACAAAACUUUUAAUACCAGUAAUUAUGGUGCGUUGGAAGUUUCCUGUCAAUACUACUCACAUGCUAAAUAUAUUAUCUAUUGGAAUCCGUUUAAAAAAUUUUUUUUAAAUGUUCAUUUAUUUUUGACAGAGAGAGAGACAGAGCAUGAGAGGGGGAGGGGCAGAAAGAGAGGGAGACACAGAAUCCAAAGCAGGCUCCAGGCUCUGAGCUAUCAGCACAGAGGCUGAUGCGGGGCUCAAACCCACAGGCCGGGGGAUCAUGACCUGAUCCGAAGUCGGACGCUCAACCGACCGAGCCACCCAGGCACCCCUAUUGUAAUUUUGACAUGAGUUUUAUGUGAAUGGAGACUCUCAAUAGGCCAAAUUAGGCUCUACAUAAUUUACAAAUCUCCCUCUUCCACUGCCUCACCAACUUCAUGAUGAACAGUGACAUUUAUUACCUGGUAAUAGUUUUUUUGUUUUGUUUUUGUUUUAAAGAAACAGAAUGAGAUAGACAAAGAGACCUCUAUUUUCCCUCUUCUUCCUUUCUUUGAUUUUUUAUCAGUCAUCUUUCAAAAAGAAGGAGGAGGGAAGAAGGAGGAGGAGGAGGAGGAGGAGGAGGAGGAGGAGGAGCAACAACAGGGAACAUGUUUAGUUUCCAUCAUGUAUAAAGAUAUGCAACUGAUCCAGAAAUUGCAGAAUUUCAUAAAGCCAGAAAUUAAGCAUUUUGAAAGUCUUUUUAUAGAAGUUCUUUGCUUAGUUUUUUUAAAUCUAAUGACUAAAAGUUUUUUUUNUUUUUUUUCCCUUCUUCUCGAGAGUAUUUCAGAAUCUGACCCCUCCUCCCAACCCACCAAAAAAGGAUACAUGCCUUCCAUGAGCUUUCCUAAAGCAUCUGUUAGAUAUGGAAUGAUCCAUUUGUAUCUACUAUGAAGUACCCACCUUAAUUCACAACAGGAACAAGGGGAGAGAAGGAGAGCACAAUGAGGUAGUGGCCCAUAGUUUAUCAUGCUGUCAAGCACUGUAAUCAAAAGAAAUUAUAGAGACCAAGGUUAGAGAAAUAAUGCAAUUUUAAUAAAUAAAAACUGUGCUUUGAUGUGGCACACAGAGUGGAGGCAAACUAUGUUUGUUUGUUUUUCUUUUAACCUGGAACUGGUGUGCAAAAUUUUCAGUGUGAUGUUCUAAAUGUGAUAAAUAAUCCAAGAAUAUGAAGAAAACUUAGUGUUUAUUUUGUCCAAAGUCAGUGGGUGAAUGCACUUCAGUGUAUCAUGAUGAUUUCUGGGUAAAAUCUUGCUUCUUGUACAUUGCCUGUUGACUAAAGACAUAUAGAACAAAUCUAGUCCCUCUAUAUCUUUCAGUCCAAUGGUUUCUGAAGAUAGAUGACAUUCCUCUUAGGUUAUACCAAAGGUUCAAGAAUACAGGUGCUGUUGGGGAUUACUUGAAAUAUAUUAGACAGCUGACAAACUAGAAAUACAUUUAUAUCUGCUGUUAAUAUAUAGGCUAUUUUACAUGUUUAUUUUGAGAUAUUUUUGAGGUUGAUGAUAUCAAGUAUCUUGGCCAUUUUCAUGUUGCUCUAAAACUAGGGACAUAGUUUAACUAAUUUUUGGUACAGGCAAUUAAACAAUUAUCUUUCAGGGAAAGUUUAAAUUUUGGUUUUAGGGACAUGGAAUAACCUUUGUCUAAAGAUUCAGUUGCCAUGUUCAUACUAAUGUGUGUAUAUAUAAAAUCAAAGUUUCAAUGGCCACUGUGCCUCUAAAAGGUUAUAUAUCUUUUCAUUAGGAUCACACAAUUAAUUCUAAUUUUUCCCCUAUGUUUUCUGGUAUCAUUUCUCUUUAUUAUCAAAAGCCUCAUACUUCUUCUCAUUCUAUUUUUUAGUGUAUAAAAUAAACACUUUAAAAUUUAUUCUUUGCUUCAUCCUAGCAUGAAUUGCCACUUCCAUUAGCAUGUAUCAAUUCAAUGGGGCUCUUUACGAUUUUAUGGUUUUCUAAUAUGUGUGUAUUUGUUGAUAUGCAAUAUUAACACAAAUUGAGUAUUUAUUAUCAUUUAUUACCUUAAAUCCUAUGCUUCUGAUUUAUGUGACUAGGAAAUUAAAAAUAACCAGGUCCUAUUCUAGCUAAAAUUUAUAUUUUUAAAUUAGUUAAAUAUAAAGAUGAUAGAGCCCAAAUAUGUUCGUGAAAAUGUCACUUUCCCUGUGCUAAAAAGUAUAAUUAAACUAAAAUUCAGAUUCAAAUGGACUUAUCCCUGGAAUACCUUCUGCUUGAAUGUUUUUUGCCCUUAAUUUAAUUGGCAAUAGUCAAAAUGUUACUUAAAAUGUCUGACUUAACAUGCUUGGUUACUUUCCUUUUGUUAUUACUUUACUUUCUUUUCCUUCUCUUCUUUUGUGCUCACAAAGGUAUUAAGAAUAUCACUCAUUAAUGCUUGUAUUCAUUCCUUUAGUUAUCCACUCAUAUAUUCAAACAUCAAACACUUAUUUAGUAGGUACUGCAUGUUCGGCAUUAGAUGAACUAGCAUCUUCCCUAUUCCCAAGGAGCUACCCACUCACUCUCCUAUAGCAUGCACGGAUAGGGGUCAGACCUUAGCCACUGCUUCUGUGAGCCAAGAUUUGCUUUAGAACAGUGCCUCUUGGAGCACCUGGUGGUUCAGUCAUUUAAACGUCCAACUCUUGAUUUCAGCUAAGGUCAUGAUCUCACAGUUUGUGGGUUUGAGCCCUGCAUCAGGCUUCGCACUGACAACUUGGAGCCUGCUUGGGAUUCUCUCUCUCCCCUCUCUCUCUGCCACCCUCCCUCAAAAUAAAUACAUAAACUUGAAAAAAAAAAGAACAGUGCUUCUUAAAUCACGAUGUGUUCACCAGCCACUAGGUGAUAUAAUUAACUUUCAGAUUCUGAUUCAGUAAUUCUGGGGUGGGCCUGGGAUUUUGCAUUUUUAAUAAACUCCCAGAUGAUGCAGAAGCCCUUGGCCUGGGGAACAUACUUUGGGGGCCACAGCUUUAGAUUAGAGAAUAGAUUUGGUUCCUUUGAACUGAUUUGUCUGUCCACUGCAGAAUCAAGACAUUUGCUUCUAUAAAUAAAGGUAUUUUGACAGAACCUAAACCCAGGACACAUUAGUUUUGCAAUUAUGGACUUGUCCUCUCCAUUUUUAUGGCACUUAUCACACUGUAAUAUCAUUGAUUGCUGGCACCUCAUUUACUAUAUUUAAUUUCCUUGUGAGUUGGCAUUAAAUUAUAGUUAGGUUUGCACUUCUACCAUCUGUCAUGGUGUUUACUGCUCAAUGAUUAUUUGAUGAAUAAAUGUAGUAAUAGGUAACACUGUCAGAGUAACAUCUAUUCUUACUUUUGACUUCUUUUCCUUAUUGCCUAAGGGUAAGAAAGAGCCUUUUUCCUGACACAUUGUUAUUAGGUUCAUUUUUCCACUCUGCCUAAAUUCAGCUAGCCAUCCCAAGGAGUGGAGUGUUCAGAAUUAAGUUAACUGGUAUUGGGUUUGAUGUGACAUGAAGAGAUUGUCAGGAAUUUAAGAAAGGGACAAAAAGAAAGUCUUAUGUCCCAGAUAAGAUAAACUAGGAAAUGAGACAAAUAUUAGAAUUGCCAAGUGUAGGGGUGGCUGGAUGGUUCAGUUGGUUAAGUGUCUGACUCUUGACUUUGGCUCAGGUUAAGAUUUCAUGGUUUGUGCGACUGAGCACCAGUACAGAGACUGCUUAGGAUUCUCUCUCUCUCUCUGUGUAUGCCAUUCUUCCACUUGCUCGCAAUCUAAAUAAAUAAAUAAACUAAAAAAAUAAAGAAAGAAUUCCCAAGUGUCUGGAGUGGGAUGGCUGAAAGUAAAGACCAGAGCCAAUGGAAGUUGUGCCAAGUAAUAAGGUGUGUUAGAGGAUAGUAUCCAGACAUAUUCUCCUAGAAAAAUUGUACAAUGAAGAGAGGCCAUUAGCUUUGCUAGAAGGGUGCGACCCAUGCCUUCUUUUCCGGUCCUAAAUUGUAGUGUUAGCACUGGUAUGGGGACCAGCAUAGAGGGAGCUGUGGAAAAUACGUCGGUGGAUGUGUUUAGGUUUCCACUUGACCUUGAAUAUUCAGAGCCCUAGACAGAUUCUUGUACCAAUCAGACAGUGACCUUAUAAAUUUCUUAUGAGAAUUUGCGAGAGUAGUCCAGCAAUCAUUUCAACUUCAAGGAUAAUAAUAAUGGUAGACAUCUAUAUACUGCUUCAUUGAAAUAGGGACUUUGGAAGUAUAAGAAGUCUUAGGAAUCAGUAAUAAAUGCUUUCUGUGUAAGGCAUAGAGCUAAAUAAUUUAAGAAAAAUAGCAAUGUGUCAGAAUUGUUGCUUUACAGUUAAUACAAUCCCAUCUUUCUCCUUUGAAGAUGUCAUAAUAAUAAUAGUAGUAGUAGUUACACUUACAGCUUACUAUGUGCCAGGGUUUUUUCCUAAUUCUUUGUAUCUGUUAAUUCAUUUAAUUCCUUUGACAGAGAUACUGUUAUCACCAUUUUAUGGAUAAGGCAAUAAAGGCACAGCAUAUUUGGGUAGUUUGCCCAACGUUACAAAAUACUGAGUAGUAAAACUGAGGUUUUGAACCUGAGUAGCUUUGAUUCUAGGAUCUGCUCUUUGAACUACUAUAUGCCACUGUCAAUCACAAAAAUGAUUGUUUCUCAUAAAGUUUACAUGUGAAAAACAUACACUUAAAAUUUAUUUAUUUAAAUAUAAUUGAAAACAUAAUACAGUUCUCAUUGAAAUUGUGUUUUGUGAAAUUGAAUUGAAACAAAUUUCUAUUCCUUGGUGCCUAACAGUGUAUCAUGUAUGCAAAUCGUAGAAUGGUUGCUGAGAAAUGUCACAAAAAUCUUAUCUAUAUCUAUGAGACACAUUCCAUGAUGAUUCUCUUAAUAUUCUGAAGGAAAAAAAAUGGGAGCAAUCCACUAAUUCGUAAGUAAUUGAGCAAUUAUCCAAAGAGUAACUGGUAAUGGACUCAUGCCAAACUCUGUGGAGAUCUCUGGAACUGGGAUUCCCUACUUGCCUAUCUCUUGUUCAGCAAUCUGAUCAAUGAUUAGAACAAUGGAAGAAGAAAGGCUUAGCACUCUUGCAGGGAAUGCAAAGCUAGAAAGGGUGUCUGUUAGUUUAGAUGAUAGUUGUGUGCCCAAGAAACAUCAUUACCAGGUAGGAACUAUAGGCUGAAACUAAUAAAAUGAAAAUUUAUUGGGUUAUUGUAAACUCUUGUUUAUUGCACAUUUACAGGAUAGAGAAAUUUAUGGCAGAAAUUCCUGUGGUUUUAUUUGACUACCUGCUCAAUAUGAGCCAAUAUGGUGUUAACAGAUGUUUUAAAAAGUUAAUGCAUUCUUAAGCUGCAUUAAUAGAGGUAGAGAGUCAAGUUCAAGGGUGGUAAUAGUUUCACUAUAAUCUGAACUGCUCAGACCGUGUCUUGAAUAUUAUAUUCAGUUCUGUAGGCUGCGUGUUAAGAGUUGCUGAAAAGGUGGAUUAUACCUAGAGGCUGACUAGAAUGUUGAAGAGAUUGGAAACCACAGUGUUUAAGAAAUUGGGCUCAUCUAACCUGAGGAAGAAAAUGAUAAGGCCUAGUGAAAGUUCAAAUUUUAAAUGCUUUCCUUUCUUGAAGAGAGAUGUUAAUACAAUACAGUUCUAUAGAGAAGUAGAUCCAAUAGGUUAGAAGUUAAGGAAUUAGGUAUCUUCUUACAGCUGUGGCAGAGAAAAGAUAGAAUAAGACACCUUGAAAAUGAUGUGGAGUGGGGAAGAAUAAGUGAUCACUGCAUAAAAAUUGUUUUUUUAAUAGGAGUUUUGGGGGGCACCUGAAUAGCUCAAUUGGUUGAGUGCCCAACUCUUGACUUCAACUCAGGUCAUGAUCUGAGGGUUGUGGGAUUGACCCUGCGUGGGGCUCUGCACUGAGCAUGGAGCCUGCUUGAGAUUCUCUCUCUCUUUCCCUCCCUCUGCCCCUCUCCCACACUCACACACUCUCUCUCUAAAAGUAAAUGAAAUAAAAUAAGAAAAUAGCAAUUUUUAUUGUAAAUGUGAUAGUGCUCAAUAAAAAAACUGAAAAACAAUUUGGAGGGUAUUAAAUAAAAAUUAAAAAUUCUCUUCCCCCUCAGGAUCCUUGGCCUAUUAAUUACCACAUGGAUGAUAUAACUAUUGUUAACACUUUCUUCUACAUAUUCCUUAAAAAAAUGUCUGUGCACAUACAAGAUCACACAGACAGAUAGACAAAAAGGAAUAGAAAUAUAUACGUGUACAAGUUUGUUUUUCUUUUUACACUAAAGGGAUCAUACUGUAUAUAGUUUUCUGAAGCUUAUGUUUUGAAUAUAUCUUUUCCUAUCAGUGAAAUGAGACAUGGUUUACUCUUUUAUAUUGCUUAGGGUUUCUUUAUUACUCAAAAUCAUGUUGAUAAAUAUUUAGGUGUUUUUCUUUUUCAUCAUAGUGAUUAUGAGCUUGAGUAUAGUACCUAGCCUUUUGCAAAUAGUAUUUAUUUUUUUAGUCCUAAUUGCUAGAAUUGCCAAUUUAAUUGCUAGAGCAAUGAGGUAUGAAUGAUUUAAGCUUUUGAGAUAUUUUAUGAAAUUAAUCUUAACAAAGAUUGUAAAGUUAGACUUCCACCAGCAGUGUAUAAGCAAUUCCAUGUAUCUCCACGUGAUCAAUAAGAGAAAAUAUGACCAGAGUUUUAUCAUUAUUUAUUUUAUUUUAUUUUUUUUAAUGUUUGAGAGACAAAGAGAGUGAAAGUGGGAGAGGGGCAGAGAAAGAGGGAGACACAGAAUCUGAAGCAGGCUCCAGGCUCCAAGCUGUCAGCAGGGUGCCUGAUGUGAGACUUGAACUCACUAACUCUAAGAUCAUGACCUGAGCUCAAGUCAGAUGCUUAACCGAAUGAGCCACCCAGGCACCCCUAUCAUUAUUUUUAUAGUUUCCAAUCUGAUGGAUGAAACAGGGCAUUUUGUUUUGAUUUCUAUUAAUAGUGAAGUUAAGCAUCAUUUAGUGUGUUUAUUAUUCACCCAUGCUUUUUCUUGUGUUUGUUCUUUUGUGAAUUCCCAUUCAUGUCCUUUGCCUGUUUUUCUAAUGGAUUGUCUUAUUUUCAAAACAUUGAAUACAAUUUAUUUAAAUAUUAAGAAUUCUUUCACUUUUUUAUACAUAAUGCACAUAGUUUUUCUGUCCUAAUAUUUGACUUUUAAUUUUUAUGUUAGUUGUCAUAUGAGUGGUCUCCAUUCUCUAUUAUAUUUUGGUUUUGAUUACCAGCAAAAUGGAAGAAAAGCUAAAAAUAUUCCAUGAAGGAAACCAACUGAUUAAGGAAGCCAUAGUCUCCCUUGGUUUCUCAAUAAUACCUACUCUUUCCUGGGUAUCAAGAUAUCUGAAAAAACUGAACUGAUAAAAAUAGUGAUCCAAUUUUUAAAUAUAUUUGAUGAAGGGAAACUCAAUGAAAAUCUUUAAAAUUAUUCUAGAUAUUAAGGAAAACUUUACAAGAUAAAAUUCUGUAAUUUUUAAGAAUUAGAAACAAUGAUCAUCCCUUCGUUCAUUAAAAGUCAACUUGAGAUUUAUUUUAAAAUCAUAGCUUUAACCAUAUAGACAAAAAGUGUGUGAGUUGAUAUUUUUUCAAUUCAAAGUUUAUGUCAGUCAUUUUACAUUGAUAUGUGUGCAUGAGUGUGUGUGUAUGUGUUUGUGCAUGCGUGUGUGUGUGUGUGUGUGUGUGUGUGUGUGUUGGCUUAAAUGUAUGAAUUUUUAUUUAUUUUGACUUCCUUUAUCAUGUGCCUCUGGGUUAAUACCUGUUGGGUGUUAGAACAUCAAGGCACGCCGUAAAUGUGAGCCUUUGUGUGCUGCCUAAUUUAUGUGUGAUCGCUAACGUAUGUACCUGAAGUUUCUGGUGAAUUGUGGCCAAAGAAUGAUGUAUAAACUGAAAGGAUUGCAUUAAACUGUGAAGGACUAGGACAGUGCCAAUGGGAGCACUUUGUUCUCCGUUCUCCAUACUAAUGCUGUAAUACAGAAAGAAAUCAAGCAUCUCACGGAAUAAUAUUCCUUUGUAACACAUUUUAUAAGCAAGAUUUCACUGGUGUUGAAUUUUCACUACUGGGCUAUCUUACUGUCAGCUUAUAUUUUAGUAAUUGGAUUAUUAGUAUGAAAAUAAUGUACAUAUCAUUAAAAGGUAUGUGGAAUGUAAAAAUACAGAGGACAGUGACAAUUUAAUUUCUCUGUUUAUAUGAGUUUAGAACAAAAAGCAAUGCCUGUAAACUUAUCAAACUGUAGAUAUACAUAGACAAGGCUGACAAAUGUCCAGACUGGAUCCUUGGAUUCGGAACUGGGAGUUUGGACAGCAGAUGUUCAACCUCUUUCCAUGAAGGAAUCUGAAGAAUAAAACCAAACAUUCUUUUCUCUUAAAGUAUUUAUAUGGAAACUAAAAUUCAUACAUAAUCAAAUACUCAUUUUCUCAAAAAAACUUUUAGUGGACACCUAUUUUGGGUCCCAUUCCCAAAGCUAUCUUGCUUAAGUUUUCAGAUAGUGAAAACUAUUUUCAGCCUUCACUUACAAUAAUUGAGUGAAAAUUAAAAGAGCAAAAAACCCAACAUUCUUCAGUUAAUUAGCUCAGCAAUUAUUAAAAUACCUGAUGACACCCAAUGCUGACAAGGAAAUACAGAAGCUACAGCUUUGAACAAUUUUAGUGGAACUAUAAAUCGAUACCACCACUUUGGAAAGGCAGUUGGCAAAAUUAUCAAGAUCUAAAAUGUGCAUAUUAUUGGACCAGCAUUAAUAAUAACAGUUUAUUUAACAGAAACACUGUAACCAUUUGAAGACAGAUGCUUGAGAAUACUGAGUGCAUAAUUGCCGGCAAUAGUGGUAAGUUAUCACUUAUAAUGAUUACUAAGAGUGUUAAUAACA